rnacentral:lncRNA from 1 species
AAAAGGAGCCACCAUGUCCAUGCACAACUAUACAACAAUGCCGGGACUGAAGAAGUUGGCCAGUGACAAAGUCGUUGUGUGUCAUAAGCAGAACUAUCCCUAUGCUGUGUUUUUCUGCCAUGCAAUAAAACAUACAGCAGCUUAUGUUCUCUUCCUGAAAGGCGAUGAUGGGGAGAAGGUUAAAGCAGUAACCAUCUGUCAUCUAGACACAUCAGAAUGGAACCCAGAGCAUAUGUCCUUCCAAAUCGUCAACGUUAAGCCCGGAACCAUUCCCAUCUGCCAUUUCAUUUCCACUGAUGCUAUUGCCUGGGUUCCGAACCACAAAUCUGCAUGAUCAUCACUUAGCACUGUACGUAUAAUUAUCUCCUUACUUAUUUCUGCCUCUUCAUCAUGUGGUGUAAGAUAUAUGAUGAGAUGAAGUUUUUGGGAUUAGUGGUUGGGUUGCCUGAAAAACACAGAUUACAGAAACUGCUUGAAAUUAACCCGAUCAUGUUUUCUCUUGUAACUAUAUAGACUUCAACUUGUACUCAUAAUAAAGCAUGCUAUAUUUAUGAAGAGAUAUUAAUCUAUAUAUAUUUUUUAUAUAUGCUUUGGCUUUGUGGUUCUACCCAAUGUUUGAGUGUUGAAUUGUUACGUUGGAAUAGGCUGCUAAUGCAUGUAGUUAGAGAAGCCUUCAUUUAUAUCAAAGUCCUCAAACUAUCAAGAACUAAUGUAUCCAGAAACAUAUACCAAGACGCAAAACAACAUAUUUUCCAUGCUCUGUCUGUAACACCAAAGCAAACUUCCUUGAUCACAAAAGGAUCAAAUUCCAGUACUAAUCUAAUCCAUCAUGUAAAGCAUACAAGUGCCUCCCUAAAUACUAUACUCUUUUUGUUAUUUCCUACUAUACUAUUUAAGAUUUAAAAUUCAGGUCAACCCAUAGAUUUCUCGCCUUUUUCUUCUUCAUCUCGUCGGGCUUGUCUUCUUCUUGAGGAUUGUAUAGGCCAAGGAAAUGCUUUGAGUUAGUUUUUGCGCUUUUGCGUUUUGGGCCUUGGAAGUUGGGACCCAAACCAACUUCACAAAAAGAAAACGCUCAGACUAUAAUGAGUGGAAAGUUAUAAGGGGUAAGUUAUAAGGAGUUCACUUUAUAGCCAUCAGAUCAAUCUAAGGGCUGGGGAGAAUUGAGAUAAAGUUUUAAAAUCGGGUAGGUGAGGAACCCAAACCCGAAUUGAAUAUCCAGCACGUCCGAAAAAGAAGAAGAAGAGGCAAGCACGUCCGAAAAAGAAGAAGAAGAGGCAAGGUCGAAGUUUGAACAGAAAAAACUCAUCUCUUUAAAACCCAUAGCUCUGAGAAACGGUUGAAGGCAACGGUUAACGACGGUUGUUGAAGCCACUCCGUUCUCCAGACCCUGAAAAAGUAUUUAUUUUGAGUAGAAGGGGCAAAUGUGUGGAUUCCGAAACAGUGAAGGGGCGAAGCAGUGGAAGGGGAAGGAGAGAAGCCGUAUUCGUUGGAAGUGGUAGGUUCCAUUUGUGGAGCAAAGCAACACAAAGACCCCGCACAGACACCUUGCGAUUGUUCAAUAACCAGCAUUUGGUGAGUAAUUUAUGGAAUUUGAGUUUAGGGUUAGAGUAAUGGUUUUCCCCAAUUUGUACCAUCAAUUUUGUUGGAUUUGGCAUCUCUUCUUUGUGCUUCAGUUGCAUGUUAAUUUUUGCUUGGGUAUAUGUUAAAAAAAGAAUGAAAAUCAAGUCAAUAACAAGUGAAUAACAUGUCAAUAAUGAUAUGAAUAAGAUAAUGGUGUUGAAUUGGAGGAGGCCCUCAAAACAUUCCACAUUUGAAGCAGUGCAUAGUGCAGAUUAUCUCUCUGGCGCUAGAAUAUAUAUAUAUUUUGAAAUAAAUAUGAUUUCCUUUGUUACUAAAUUUGCCUGAGAAACAUGAGAACAGAUAAUAAUAAACUCAUGAAUAGAAGUGCAAAGCAUUUGAUGAGUAAUUUAUGGAAUUUGAGUUUAGGCCCAGGAAAUUCCUUGACCCCAAAAAAAAAAAAAAAGUUGAUUUAAAAUUCAGGUCAACCCAUAGAUUUCUCGCCUUUUUCUUCUUCAUCUCGUCGGGCUUGUCUUCUUCUUGAGGAUUGUAUAGGCCCAGGAAAUGCUUUGAGUUAAUUUUUGCAUUUUUGCGUUUUGGGCCUUGGAAGUUGGGACCCAACCCAACUUCACAAAAAGAAAACAGAUUUGCCAAAAAUCAAAUUUCAAGUCUCUCCUCCGAUCGAAAUUUGGAUUUGAUGAACUAAAGUGGUUUUACUUUCUCCAUCAGUGUUUGAUAACUUAAUUUGUUAUUUACUUUUUUUUUAAAAAACUUUGGCUUAUAUAUAUUAGUUUUCUUUUUUCCUUCAUAUUCACCACCUUUAUGUUGCAUAAGUAUUUCAGUCUUAAUGGGUUUCCAUCUACCACUCAUCUUUGCUCUUCUCAGUGUAAGCCUUUUUUUUUUUUUAAAGCACAAGAUUAGAGGGGAGGGGGAUUUCUCAAUGUAAGCUUUGCAGUUUCAUAAUUAAUAUUUCCAAUAUCUCACUGUUAGUAAAAUACAGAAAAAGUACUAAUAACAUAUGCACAUGUUACUAAUUUAUUGAGAUAAAACACCAUUUUGCCCCUAGAAUAUUUUAUUAGGUUUAAAGUUGACUUUUUGACCAGGAAGGAAUUUGGGUAUUUAGACUAUAUCGUUGCGUAGAGCAUGGCGAGAUGAGUCCGUAGACACAUGAUUGGCUCGAAUCAGAGUUAUAAUGAGAGAGAUACGAUCAAAAUACCCUCAGUGGUAUAACCGUAAUUUUGGCUUAAAGGGUUUGAUAAAAUAUAAUUUUUCUUUCUUUCUUUCUCUCUCUCUCUCUCUCUCUCUCUCUCUCCUCUCUCUCACGACGGCAGUGAUAGCCGGCCACUUUUUGGCCAGCCAUGCUCUCGUCCGGCCACUAAAGUUGACGGGGCCGGUACCAAAAUGACCGGGCCACCAUCCUUUUCCAACCCCAGCCAGGCCCCACUGCCAGCAGUCGUGAUUUUGCUGAAAAAUGGAGAAGAAGCGGCCGAUUUCGUUCGAACUUCUCCGACUUCGUUCUCUCUCCUCCGGCCACCGAUUUCGAUGAAUGAGGUAUGGUUUCUCACCUACUUUUUAUGCUCUAGCUGCCUGUUGGGUAGGAUUCGAUCAAUUCCUUGCGUAGGUAGCUUGAUUUUCGAAUUGGAUUUCGGCCGGUUUUGGGAUCUCGAUUCCGGCCACUUCCGGUCAGUUUUUGGGGUACAUCCCAAAACAAAAGUGGUUCUAAAUAGGGUGUUAUACCUAGGGUAGGAACCUUGAACCGUAAUUUUGAGAAUUUUCGGUGAUGCCUAAUCGCUUUGGACACCUACGCUAUGCCUGCGUGUGGGCACUAUAGAAAAAGGGCAUUGUGUCCCGAUGCAAUCCCCUUGUUGUCUUGAGCGCGUAGGUGUGCUCGGAUUUCAAUUUGGAUACCGUUUGAAUCUCGAACGAAUAUCGCAUAUUGUGCGUUAUUCGGGGUCGAUAGGUUUGAACUGUUGGAUAGUCUUAGAUUUAUAAUAUGUUAAUCUAGACAUUCUUAGGAUCGAAUGGGAUUAAACGGAUCGUAAAACGGAGUCCCGGAUACUCCAAAAAUGCCAACCCUAGGGCUAGGUUCCUAGUAACCGUCCGAUCGUGCGAUCGUGAGCGAUCCGACCGUUUGAUCCGAACCAAACUUGCAGGACGUGUAUCCUAAACCUUGUAGAACCCAUAGGAACUUUCGGAUUAGAAUUUGGAGGUCGUGGGCCCCUUGGGCCGUUUGACUAAGUUUGGGUAGUUUGACCCUUGGCUGAUCGUGAGUCUUCAGAGGUCUUGAGCGUUGUUGAGCUAUGUUGACUAGGUUUAGACUUUUAGAGUGUUUAUUAUUAUCAUAGGAAACUAUUAGAUAUUAUUUUAAUAAUUGAAAUUAUCAAAUUUAUGUUUAUGUGCAUGAUUGUUGGUCUAAAAAUAACAUUGUUUUCUUGAUAAAAUUACGUUGCAGUCUACUAUAGACUGGUAUCACUAAAUGGAGAUUACCUCUAUUAUUAGUUUAGAUAAUUAAGAGUAUGUCAGUUUGAAGUGCUAUAUGCACUACCCUAAGUACCACCCUGUGAUUGUUAGGUCCCAUGUGGUGUAGAUUAUACAGCGUCAGGACAGACCCCAUACGUGGCUUUGGAUGUUCUGGCGCAUGGGGGAGAUUAUGUAAUGGUUAGGUCAUACGUGGCGUAGGUUAUUCAGCGUGUUGACAGACCCUAUACGUGGCGUUGGAUGUUCCAGUAUGGAAAGAUUUUGUGAUUGUUAGGUCCCACGUGGCGUAGAUUAUCCGGCGUGAGGACAAACCCCAUUCGUGGCUUUGGAUGUUCCUGCGUAUGGGGGAGAUUAUGUGAUGGUUAGGUCACACGUGGCGUAGGUUAUUCGGCGUGUUGGCUAACCCCAUAAGUGCCGUUGGAUGUAACGACCGGUCCUAAAUAAAUUAGUGAAUAUUAAUUUAUUCAGAGAAAAUACCAUUUUGCCCAUAGAGUAUUUUAUUAGGUUCAAAGUUGACUUUUUGAUCAGAAAGGAAUUUGAGAAUUUCGAUUAUACCGUUGCAUAGAGCACGGCGAGAUGAGUCCGUAGACACGUGGUAUGCUCGAAUCGAAGUUGUAACGAGAGAGAUACGAUCAAAAUACCCUCAGUGGCAUAACCGUAAUUUUGGCAAAAAGGGUCGAUAAAAUCAUAUAUAUAUAUUUUCUCUCUCUCUCUCUCUCUCUCUCUCUCUCUCUCUGCGAUAUUGUCCCUCUCUCUCUUUGAUUCACUGCCAUCUGCCCACGGCAGGACUUGAGACUGGUCACGUUUGAACCGGCUCGAUGUCCCGAUCACGUCGCACCCAAAAUGCAAAUGGAAACCUUGAAUUCCAGCCACGGCUUCGACUGGUUUGAACUGGGUUUUUCCCGGCGUUGCGCCACCGCCUCCGCCGCCCAAUUCCGGUGAAACAGGUAUAAUUCCUCACCUAUUUUUCGAGAUCCAGCUGUUGUUGUGUAGGAAUUAGACGAUUUUCAUGUUUAGGAACUCGAUUUAGAAUUUAGGUUUUGGUCGAAUUUUCAAAGUGAAAUUUCGGCCACUUCCGCUGGUUUUUCGGGGUAUGUCUAAGAACAAAAGUGGUUCCAAAUAGGGUGUUAUACCUAGGGUAGGAACCUUGAGCUGUGAUUUUGAGAAUUUCCGGCGAUGCGUAUUCGCUUUGGACACCCACGCGCCGACAGCGCGUGGGCACUGUAGAAAAGGGGCAUUGUGUCUCAAUGCGAUCUGCUUGUUGUCUUGAGCUCGUAGGUAUGCUCGAAUUUCAAUUUGGAUACUGUUUGAGUCUCGAACGGAUAUCGCAUAGUGUACGUUAUCCGGGUUUGAUAGGUUUGAACCAUUGGAUAGUUUUGAAUUUGAUAUAUGUUAAUCUAGGCAUUUCUAGGAUCAUGUAGGAAUUCAGGGAUCAUGAAUCAGAGCCCCGGAUGUUCCGAUUUAAUAACUUAAAGUUUAUGUUUAUAAUAACUAUCAGAUCGUGCGAUCGUGAGCGAUCCGACUGUCUGAUCUGGACCAAACUUGCAGCACGUAUAUCCUAAACCUUGUGGAACAUAAAAAAAUUUCGGAUUAGAAUUUGGAGGUCGUGGGCCCCGUGGGCCCAUUUAACCAAUUAUGGGUAGUUUGAUCCUUGGUUGACCGUGAGUCUUCCGAGAUAGUUUUACCUUCCUAGGAGGAUUAUAAUGACCCUAGUGAUAGGUCUUGACCGUUGUUCAGCUAUGUUGACUAGGUUGAGACUUCUAGAGUGUUUAUUAUAUUAUUGUAGGAAACUCUUAGAUAUUAUUUUAAUAAUUGAAAUUAUGAAAUUUAUGUUUAUGUGCAUGAUCGUUGGUCUAAAAAUAAUAUUAUUUUCCUGAUAAAAUUACGUUGCAGUCUACUAUAGACUAGUAUCACUAAAGUGGGAAUACCUCUAUUAUUAGUUGAGAUAAUUGGGAGUAUGUCAGUUUGAAAUGUUAUACCCUAAGUACUACUCUAUGAUUGUCAGGUCACCCGUGGCGUAGGAUUUUCCGGUGAGAUGACAGACCCCAUACGUGGCGUUGGAAUUUCCAACGUAUGGAGAGAUUAUAUGAUUGUUAGGUUUCACGUGGCGUAGGAUUUUUCAGCGGGAUGACAAACCCCAUACGUGGCAUUGGAAGUUUCAGCGUAUGGGGAGAUGAUAUGAUUGUUAAGUCACACGUGGCGUAGGUUAUUUGGAGUGCUGACAGACCCCAUACGUGGCGUUGAAAUUUCUGGCGUAUGGAGAGAUGAUAUGAUUGUUAGGUCACUUUGGAUGUUCUAGCGUAUUGGGAGAUUAUGUGAUUACCAGUGAGAUGAAUAAAGGAUUGUUAUGUUAUAUUGGGAAAAACAUGUUUGUAGAAAGAAUUACGUGUGGCUUGAUCCCUCAGUAAGGGUACGUAGGCAGCCUAGGGUAGUGCCUUGGUGCAGUCGCUGACUAAACAUUAUAAUGUUGUUUUUAGGUUUGAUUAUAUGGUAUUAUGGGGCAAGGCCCCUAGGACUAUUGGUGAUAAUUCAUAGAUGGUAGUGGAUGCAUGCUAGAAAUUUGUAGGAAGUUAUUUCAUGUGGAUUGCAGUGGUACUCGUAAAAUUUAUUUGAGUUCCUUAAUUGCAUUGUUAAUAUAUUAAUUUACUUAAGAGUACUGCUAGUAGUUCUGCCUUGAUUUAUUUGAAGGCUGGAGGCCUUGUCUGGAAACUGUGUGCAAUUAGAUUGUGUGUGCUGGCAGUUGACUUUUUAAAUUGUGAAUUUUGUGCAGGUUGAAAUUUGGGAAAUGUUCAAUUUACAGGGGAGACUCUGCUGAAAUUUCGGUAGAAAGUCUUGUGCCCUUAUUCCUUUUUGGGGAAAAGGAUAUAGUUUUAGAAGUGGCGAUGUCGGGAAUUUCCACAGGAUUCGUCUCGGGUUUCGGGAAAUUCGGGGCGGGUCUGAAAAAGUUGUUUCAGUUUUGGCAAGUAUCGGAAAAGACCAAAAUUUUCCGACUUUAUUAUUACUAGAAACAAGGUCGAAGUAUUUACCAAUCAUGUGGCCUUCCAAGUGCUCUAGGUUAAGCCAGGAACCGUUCCUAUCUGCCGUUUCCUUCCCAACUAUGAUCAUGUUGUCUGGGUUCCAACCCACAAAUCUACAUUGGGCUACGUAUUUGAAUUUGUACUAAAGCGUGAUCUAUAGUAUGCAUAUAUUGGAUAAGUUUGAGAUCAGUGGCUUGGGUGUCCGCUGAGCUUGAACAAGUUUGGGUGUGCUGAGUGUUUCCAUGGGUGUGUUGAUGAUCAUGGUUAUUAGAUUUGUGAUAGUUUGGGCUCAAUUUCAACAGAACUCAUCUCAAGCCUAGAUAGUUGAUUCUUAAGUUUAUCAGGAAAAAAAAUUAAAAAUUAAAAAAUCUAAAGUUAAGCCCAAGGCGCCGAACUUGGACUUCUCACCAAACUGUGCAUAAAUUGAAAUAUUUAAUAGAAGCCCAAGAUUUUUGAAGCACAUAAUAUCUACAAAAAUCUACAAAGUGUAAUACUUUACAAACUUCUUAUGUGUACCAAUUUCUGCUCAAAUUAAUUUCUCUGUGGUGCUGAGAUUCAUCAUAAUUUUAGUAGAAAUUGGAAGUUUUCAUCAUUUUUGCUUUAAGUCUCUCCUCCACUCACUAAUAAAGAUUACUCAAGUGAGUUUACAAAACAUUUUUUUUCUACUCUCUCCUGAAGACUACACAUCUUCUCAAAAGAUUAGAUCACUUCACAUCUUGUAUAUGUGAAAACUAAUGCAAAAAGUUGAAACUUUAUCAUAAAACCUCGACAAAAAUUAGCUCUACUUAGAACAUUAAAUUUGGAUUCGUUGAUUUAAAUGGCAAUUUGACACUUCAUAGAAAUUUUUACAUACAUGUGUUAGUGUUUGAUCACUUCACUUAUUACUUACUAUAUUUAUUCCAUGAUUCUCCCUCAAGUUAUGUAAAUAUUAUUAUCAAACAUUUCAAUUCAUUUGUGAUAUUUCUUGUCCAUCUUUCAAUGUACCCUGAAAUCCAUUAGCCACAUAUGAUGACCAAAAUCCACACUCUGUUGUUUGCAAACGUUCAAUAUACGACUUGCAUCCACAGUCCUGACCCAAAUGAAAUGCGGAAACUGUCAAGCUAACUGUAGGGAGGACUAUAUUUGAUUUUACCUUAAAGACUGAUCCGAAACCACCUUCUCCAAGUUUAUUGUUGUUUGAAUAGUUUUUGGUUGCACAAACAACAGCGGCCAAGUCAAAUAAUGGCAAUUCCAGAUCUUCCUUUUGGCCGGGCUUCAGUUCUCCUGUGAAGUACGUAGUGAAGUAAAUAAUGUAGCAUGGAACCUUAGCUUAGAAACCAGAGAGGCAACAGCAAAAAUUUUCUAUAGAACUGAACCUACCUAUCUUAGAAAAUGAAGGGGCAGAAGAGUAGAAAAUCAAAUAGCUUACCAUAUUUUUGUUGCUGGUUCUUCCUCACAUAUAAUAGCAGGGUAAGGCCCAGGGUCAGCAGUCCAGUAGACAACACAGUACUGGUUACUAUGAUCUUUGUAUUGUGUCCUUGAUCUAGGAAUGAAGUAUUUGAAAGCAGAAGAUUGAGGAGUCAGAAAUUCAUAAAGAAAAAAUCUCUACUUUUUAUCAUCCAACGAACAAUUAAUGCUAGUUUCUGAGACAGUUCUAAAGAAAUAUUUUUCUAACAAUGUCAAAAGUUUUCUGGCUCUAUCUUGUUUCUAAUCAUGUCACUGUUGGAAGAUUUCUUUCUUCUUUUUUCCUUGGUGGCUUUUAUUUUUCUUUCAAACUUUGUUUUAAACAGCAAGAUGAUUCCAUACCUAGUUCUGACGAAGCCAUUCUUAUGUAAAUAUCUUGCCCAUUUAUAUUGGAAUAUCUUAUAUCAACCAGAUCGCUGAACCACAGCAAGGACCCCCUUCCUCCAUCUCGGAUAUCCAAAUUUGAAAAAGCGGCGCAGGAGCAGUUGUUCAUGCACAUCAUCUCACAUUCCUUGAGGUUCAUAAUUGUGUUAUACUAGGAUUGUUCUGUACUUUAUUUCACCCCAGUGUACUUCUUAAAGAUGUCUCCACUGCAAUUCAGUUGGCUCUUUCUCACAGAUCUAUAUGACCAAUCCACCAAGUCCCAGUCUUGUUGAAAGUCGGUAUAAAUCCUUUCAAGCAGCUACGUACUGGGGACUUGUCAAUACAACAUGCACCAUUCGGACCACAUAUUCCAUAUUUGUCGCAGAUAUCAGUCGUUGCUCUUAGAUAAACAACCCAACCUUGGUUUCCAUCACUCCCGAUGUAGCUCAGCCCAAAUCCAUCUUGAGUUAACGCCAGCCUGAAAAGAGUUGAGCUGUUGAGAAGCUUAUAACCAUAAUAUACUUCAUCAUCAUUAUCCAACACAAAAUCAUAUGUUGGAUUUAAAUUAUGCAUCCCACUAAAUUGGAUUCCAUUCCAUGGUGCAGUCCGAUAUUUUAUAACAGAACCCUCCCUCAGAAUUAAUUCAUGGUACCCAUAAGGACCAAGUUGAUAUGGGUAAUGUCCUUGAGAAGGAUCCUGGGGGCUUUUCCAGGGUGUAAGAUGCCAAUUAAAACCUGUGAUUUUGUUCCUAACAAGCUUCAUACCUGGUAUUAAUGUAUCUCCUGGGUAAUCAAAACUCUGCCAUAAAAUAUUAUCAGAGUCAUUACGACCAUUGCCAUCUAUCACAACAAGAUUUCCGGAAUCCAAAAUCUGUGCCACUGGAUUCUAUGAAGAACUUGAUGUGUUGGAAGACCUGUAGUGUUCUUUGUUGAAUAUUUGGAUUGCAAAGGGAGCAAGAAAUGUACUGAGAGAGAAAGAGAGAGAGAGAGAGAGAGAGAGAGAGAGAGAGAGAGCAGUGAGCCUUAGAUUGUUCUAACAGUUUUCUUACUCUGCAUGAACAUAGCAGCAGAGCUUAUAUUCCUUCAUGACUGUUACAUGUUCUCUCUUACAUCAGUAGAUUCAAAUCUAACGGUUUGUAAUAGUAAGCCAAUGUGAGUAUGACACAUGGCAAUACACAGCUGUCCUAACAGCUGGGAAUUCAAAACAGACUCUAGCAUUGCACCUGGCAUAUAAGCACAAGGCACUCAGCUAACACAAAGAUUAAAAACAGAUUGAAUAUAAACUGACAUAGAACUUACUAACUAAUCUGAAAUUAGCUAGACAGUUUACAUUUUAACACUCCCUUCUAAAGUGCUAGCUGAUUUCACUCCAAGCAUUCUCCUCAAAUAGUCAAACCUGUCUUUGGGAAGAGCUUUGGUGAAGAUAUCAGCAAUCUGCUCUUCUCCUUUGCAGUAGAGCAGUUCAAUCACUUCUUCUUGUAUUGCAUCUCUAAUAAAAUGAAACUUCCUUUUAAUAUGCUUGCUCCGUUGAUGAAAAACAGGAUUUUUAGCCAUUGCUAUGGCUGAAGUGUUGUCACAAAACACAGUUGUUGCAGUGGUCUGUUCUUCCCCAAAAUCUUCAAGAACAAACCUGAGCCAAAUGGCUUGUGAUGUAGCUUCUGCUGCACUCACAUACUCUGCCUCUGCAGUAGAGAGAGCCACACUGUGUUGUUUGACUGAUGCCCAUGAAAAAGCACCACUUCCAAAUGAAAAUGCAUAUCCAGAAGUGCUUUUCAUAUCUUCCUCAGAUCCACUCCAGUCACUGUCACAGUAACCAACUAAGAGUGCAGAUUUUCCUGUCACAUACUCAAUUCCAUAGUCAAUUGUGCCUUGUAUGUACCUUAGAACCCUUUUAGCUGCCCCAUAGUGCAUCUUAGAAGGGUUAUGCAUGAAUCUUGCAAGCAGGCAGGCAGAGAACAUGAUAUCUGGCCUGGUUGCAGUAAGGUACAGCAGGCUGCCUACAAUUUUUCUGAACAAACUUUCAUCUGCAGCAUCACUUCCAUCCUCUCUUUUCAAUUUAUCAGUAGCCACUAAUGGAGUGCUUACUGACUUGCAGUCUUUGAGUCCAAACUUAUCCAAGAGAGUGAGAGCAUACUUCUUUUGAUGAAUGAAGAUGCUCCCUUCAGUUUGUGUUACUCCCAUACCAAGAAAAUGGUGGAGUAAACCCAAAUCAGACAUCUCAUACUUGCACAUCAUUUCAGCUUUGAAUUCUUUCAUCAUUUCAUCUCUACUUCCUGUGUACACUACGUCAUCUACAUAGAUUGACACUAUUAGUGUUCCCACCUUCCUUUGUUCUCACAUAGAGAGUGGCUUCACUUGGACUUCUGUGAAAACCACACUGAUUCGAGUAGGUGUCAAUUUCACUAUACCAGGCCCUUGGAGCCUGCUUCAACCCAUAGAGGGCUUUUCUUAACCUAUACACCUUAUCCUCAUCAUCUUUAACCACAAAACCAUCCGGUUGAUCAAUAUAAACUUCUUCUUCAAGGACACCAUUUAGGAAGGCUGACUUGACAUCCAAUUGCCAUAGUUUCCAGCCUUUCUGAGCAGCAAGAGCUAUGAGAGUUCUAAUGGUGUCUAACCUUGCUACAGGAGCAAAGGUUUCAUUGAAAUCAAUCCCUGGUUUUUGUGUGUAUCCCUUGGCAACAAGUCUUGCUUUAUGUUUUUGAAUGGAGCCAUCAAGAUUAAGCUUAAUUUUGAAUAUCCACUUCACUCCCACAAUUGGUUUACUACUUGGCCUGUCAACCAAUUCCCAACUGGAGUUUUUCUCUAUCAUAAGUAUCUCCUCAGUCAUAGCCUUCCCCCAAGCUUCAUCUUUGACUGCUUCUUCAAAAUUUUCAGGUUCAAUGAUGCUCAUCUUGCAUUGAGCAUACACUUCACUCAAACUCUUCCAUUUCUUUGGGGUGUUAUCAUAAGUUUCUAAUGGAGCAGAGUCUUGAGUAGCAUGCACAUCAUUACUUGUUUGUGUUUCCAUAGGAGACUGUACAAUCUGUUGCUGUAACAGAUUUGGUUAUGAAUCCAAAUCUGAUACAAUUGAACUUACUCCAUCACCCCAAGACAUAGGGAUUUGCAAUGCCUCAUUGGUUUCCCAAUUCCACAUUGCUUCUUCAUCAAAAAUAACACUCCUAGACAGCUCAAUCUUUUGAGUUCUCAAGUUGAGCACUCUAUACCCCUUUUCACAUACACCAUAUCUUACAAAUACUCCCUUCUCACCUGUGUCUUCCAGCUUGUGCCUUUUCUGUGUGGGGAUGUGAAUAUAGCAUAGAGAACCAAAUAUUCUCAAAUGCUUGACACCUGGUUUUCUUCCACCGAACUUUUCAAAUGGAGUGGAAUUGUCCAGUGCACUUGUAGGACAUCUGUUCUGCAAAUAUACAGCUGUAUUGACAGCUUCUGCCCAAAACUUCAAAGGGAUUUUCUUCUCAUACAUCAUGGCUCUUGCCAUUUCCAUCACAGUACGAUUCUUUCUCUCUGUAACUCCAUUCUGUUGUGGAGAGUAGCCUACUGNNNNNNNNNNNNNNNNNNNNNNNNNNNNNNNNNNNNNNNNNNNNNNNNNNNNNNNNNNNNNNNNNNNNNNNNNNNNNNNNNNNNNNNNNNNNNNNNNNNNNNNNNNNNNNNNNNNNNNNNNNNNNNNNNNNNNNNNNNNNNNNNNNNNNNNNNNNNNNNNNNNNNNNNNNNNNNNNNNNNNNNNNNNGGUGUGGUCAUCAAUGAAGGUGAGGAAAUAUCUGUUCCCUCCAAGAGUGAUGGUCUGCAUUGGACCACAAAUGUCUGAGUGAAUCAGUUCUAGAGGUUGAGUGGCUCUCCAAGCUCCUUCCUUAUCAAAAGAGCUUCUGUGAUUCUUGCUUUCAGCACAACCUGAGCAGACCUUCUCAUGUUCUUGUAAAUUAGGCAUUCCCUGAACCAUAUCUCUCUCUUGUAACAACUUCAAACUAAUAUAGUUUAGGUGCCCAAAUCUUCUGUGCCACAGCCAGGAUGUUUCUCCAACUGUUGCUCUGUUUGCCAUAGGAGGAUUAACAUAGUCAAGAUUUAAAGGAAAACAUUUGUUUCCCUUCAUUGGCACUCUUGCAAUGCAAUCUUCCAACUGCCUAUCUCCAUAGAUAUCAACUGCAUUAUCACCAAAUACAAGCCAAUGCCCAUGUUCUAUCAUUUGACCUACACUUAGCAAAUUUUCAUCUAAACUUGGUACAAUCAUGAUUUCUUUGAUAUAUCUAGUCACACCCUUCAUUUCUAUAGCCAAAGUCCCUUUGCCUAUUAACUGCACUAGAUCACCAGUCCCCAUUUUGACUUUACUCUUCAUACUUUUAUCAACAUUUACAAGUAAUGACUCAUGGGAAGUCAUGUGAUUGCUGCAUGCACUAUCAACAUACCACAUAUUCACAUUCUUUCCAAUUGUUGCAGCAUGACAUGCAUAGAACAUAAUGGCAGGUUCAGUUACCUGAUUUGCAAUGUUAGCAAGUUUCCCUGCCUUGUUUGCUUGGUCACAGUCCUUAACAAAAUGACCAAAUCGAUUGCAGCCAUGACACUUUGGUUUUCCUUUAAACCAACACUCACCAUAGUGUAACUUCUCACAAUGUUUGCAUUUUCCAGAUUUGUCUCCUUGACUUGGUUUUCCCCCUUGAUUGGCACUGUUUUGGGGUUUAGAAUCCCAUUUCUUAUCCUUGGACUUCCAAUUCUUCUUUGAUUUAUUAGAGCCAGAACUAGAACUUGAUUGAGAUCCUUUUGAGUUUAUGCUCAUGCUGCUGAAAGCUUUCUCAGUGGUGCUUUCUGCAUGUCUGUCAAGGCGCUGAGCAAAACCUCUUAAUGCUGCAAUUACCUCCUGCACUUCAAUGGUUUCAAUGUCUCUAGUUUGCUCAAUCACAUAGCAGACUGGAUCAAAUUCCUUGGUUAAGCUUAUUAGCAGUUUUUGAACUAUCCUCCCUUUGGUCAGAUCUUCCCCAUAUCCCUUCAUCUGAUUUACAAGCUCAAGUAACCGAGUGAUGUAUCCAGACAAGAUCUCAUCAUCCUUCAUCCUGGUGUACUCAAAAUCUCGACGCAGACCCUGCAACAUGAUGGAUCUGACUUGCUUAUCACCAUGAAACUCCUGAUGCAAGAUAUCCCAAACACCUUUUGAGGUUUCUUCAUUUGAGAUUCUGGGAAAGAUGUCAUCUGAAACAGCACCUUGGAUAAUACCAAGAGCCUUAGCAUCUUUCAUCAACAAGGACACCAUCUCUGAAUCUGAUGACCCUUCUUUAUCAGCUUUUGAAUCUGGAACUUGAAGGCCUUUCUCAACCAAAUUCCAGAUUCCAUGAGAUUUGAAAAUUGUUCUCAUUCGAAUCUUCCAAAACUCAUAGUUCUCCCCAUUGAAUAUUGGAGCUCUAAGAUCACUCCCUCCUGACCCAGCCAUCUGAGACCAGACUCAAUGAGUUGAGAGUAGGAAAUUUCCCGUUGGAUUUCCAGACUCAGCUCCCACAGCUUCAACGCCCUCUAUCCAGAUCCAACCUGCGCACCUGAUACCAUGUUGAAUAUUUGGAUUGCAAAGGGAGCAAGAAAUGUACUGAGAGAGAGAGAGAGAGAGAGAGAGAGAGAGAGAGAGCAGUGAGCCUUAGAUUGUUCUAACAGUUUUCUUACUCUGCAUGAACAUAGCAGCAGAGCUUAUAUUCCUUCAUGACUGUUACAUGUUCUCUCUUACAUCAGUAGAUUCAAAUCUAACGGUUUGUAAUAGUAAGCCAAUGUGAGUAUGACACAUGGCAAUACACAGCUGUCCUAACAGCUGGGAAUUCAAAACAGACUCUAGCAUUGCACCUGGCAUAUAAGCACAAGGCACUCAGCUAACACAAAGAUUAAAAACAGAUUGAAUAUAAACUGACAUAGAACUUACUAACUAAUCUGAAAUUAGCUAGACAGUUCACAUUUUAACAUUCUUAUGGUCGGCAGGGACAAGAAUUCCAGGGCUGCUCAACUUGAAUACACCUGAUGAACCAGUGAGGGGUGUGUUUCUUUUAGUCUGCACUAUAUAUGCAGGGUCUGACUCUAAUUAGAAGAUAAUUGUAUUAAUUUGGUAAAGCUUUGUCUGUAACUGUCUCGCACCUUAAAAAAAUUUCACAAUUAGCAGCAUUGGCAAUACUUGAUUAGAAAGCAGAAACCCUACAGUAUAUAGUUAAGUUGAGUAGCUGGGAAGACAAUUAGUAAGCUUUCAAUACUAAAGUUGAAUAUUGGGGAGACAAAUUACUAGAGCUUCAAGUUCAGAUAAAUAGGAUGAAUUUCUCUUAAGGGAUCCCCUUUCACUGUAGCUUGGAGUAGAAUUCAUUUUGACACAAUAUCAAUUAUCAAUGUAAACACGUUACUGAUGCACUAUUGACAAUAUCGAUGCACGUCAUAUCAUAUUUGUGGGAGUAAAUUUCCUCACGAGAAUAUUUGGUUCAAAAGAUUCCCCUUUUUUUUUUUUUUGCCGCCUCUUUCUCCUUGCAAAAUAGAACAAAUAAGAGGACCACACCCGGGGGGUGUUGGCCAAAGGCCCUCCGAUGCUAAAUUAGUUCAAGUAUUUGUAAGAAAAAUACUAGCUAACUAGGGUACAGAGGUGUAUUUAAGGUGUAAACCGGGCAGCCGAAGUCUUAUGUAAAAGAGAGAGAGAAAGGAGGUGGCUAGCGUUUGAGAGGAAUUUUCUGCAGAGUUUUUAGUAGAGAUUUCAGACGUACCUCAACCAUUGUGUGUGGCCAUCUUUUUAUAGUGGUCUUGGAGGCUAGGGUUUCAGAGGAAUAAUUCCGUAGAUGGAAAGGAAUUAUUCCUCCCCUAUUUGGAAUUGAUUUGAUUAAUUAGGGAUUUGAUUUAUUAGGGUAAAUCAAAUCCCUAAUUGUGGUAGGUAUCAAAUCAAAUCCUUUUUUAAUUAGGUAACUCCUCAUUUAAUUGGGAAUUGUGGUAGGAAUCAAAUCAAUUCUCAACCUAAUUAGGUAACGUUCAAUUUAAUUGGGUAAUUCCCAAUUAAAUUGAGUAACUCCCAAUUAGGUUGAUUAAUUCCCAAUUAGAUCAAAUAAUCCCCUAAUUGAAGGAAUUAUUUGACCUAGGGUCUGAUUUAAUUCGAUUCCCACAAAUGCCCCCCAGCUUCUGCAUGGUGCAUGGUGGCACGUAGGAGAUGUAAAUUAUCUGUUGGGCUGUCCAGCUGUAACUGGGCUUCCUUCGUGGACCUGGGCUCCCGAGUAGAGGAGGUGUUUGACUUGCCAAUUUUAUGAACACCCAAUUGGAAAGGGUUUGAGAUUCCUUGUAGGUCAAGGAAUUUUGCUCCUUAUAAAUGUAGGGCUCCUCCAAAUUAUUCUCGACAUCAGAAAUCUACUCCUCCAAAUUUGUUAGUGAGAGAGAGAAGACUUUGGAGAAUUUUUCAGCGUGCUUGAGACUUCAUCUUUGCAGCCCAUCCAAGGUAAUUUGAUAGGAAGAAUUUUAUUUUGAGUUGCUAUGACUUUUGGCAGCAAGCUGUGAGACUAAGGGCAUGUCUUGAGGUGCGCGCUAGGGCUUUAGGCAUGGCAAGAGACUCGGAAAGGCUAGCAGGUUCGUUUCCACCUACGCUGGGCUCAAGGAGAAGGCAACAGGGCUUCAGGCCUUGUGGAUGAAGUGGGCUUUCGCUGGGAGCAAGAGGCCUGGAGCUGAGGCAAGGAGACAAUGGGCCUGGUACGAGGUGUGGGCUGAGCAUGCCAGCUUUGGAGCAAGGGGGCCAGGACGACUGCUGGGCAGGAGGUGCGCUGGGCUGCAUGCGCGAGCUGCGCCGAGUGCUGGCUGGAGGAGCGAGCUGGGCUGCGCGCUAGGCCAUUCAUGCUGGGCUACUUCCGUUUUUUUUUUGUUUUUUUUUAAAUUUUAUUUGCUGUUGCUGCUUUUUUUUUUGUUUUUUUGUUUUUUUUUUGUUUGGUAUUCUAACUCGUAAUUUUUUUUUUCUUCUUACAGCUACUUGUUGAUCAACCAUGUCUUCCGGAGAUGGUAGCAAGGCUCCAAGCUCUUAGGUCCUUUUGUAUUUAUGGGGAGGCUCCAUAGUGCAUGGCAAGAAGUUUGUGGUCAACUUGCAUCGCGUCACGACUUAUGCUCAGUUCCAGAAGUGGCGGGCCACUUAUGCGUCUGCCAUUCCAGAUGACGUGCUGGUCAAGCUAUUGAAAUCUCAAACUGAUAACGAGCCUUUGGUGGACGUGAGUGAUCAUGAUGCUAGGAUCAUUACCUUCCGUCCUUUUUACUUCUCUUUAGGCUUCAAAUUCCCGUUGUCAAAGCUCUUCAAGAAGGUGUUCUGUGCCAUGGGGUGUGCUCCGAGCCACUGUACUCAUGUGCUUCAAGAAUUUGAGUCGUUUCUUCAUGUUGGAGCUGACGAUGCGAGAGUUCUUUUAUUUUUUUCGAAGUGAGGCACUUUGAGCGGUACGCCCAAGUUCGUAUCUACAAGGCCAAGCUGUUCCACGGUCUCAGUCAAGGAGAUCACGCUUGACAUGAAGAUGUGUUGGAGGUCAGCAGACGGUGGGAGGGUGACGUCGGUGACGGCCCACCUGUUCCCAUCACCUAUUGUGAUGGUAUGUCUCUUUACGAUUUUUGAUAUGCUCCUUUUAUUUGAAUUUCUUGAAGUGUGGCAGACUAACUUCUAUCUUCUGCUCGUAGUGAGUGACAUUAGCAAGCAAUUGGAGCUCCGACCAGACAUGGCUAAGGUCCGUCGUGCUUUGAACAUCCCUCUAAGGUUUCACGAGUGGCGCUGGCUGUUGAGUGAGUACCGGGAGGAAGACGGUGGUUUUCUCCUUGCCGAGGAUGUCGAAAGGUGGAAGCAGAACGAUCCUGACCCUGAUGAUCUGCUUGGCAGACAGGAAGAAUGUUCUGCUUAAUCGCUCUUAAAGAGAAAGGCUGCUGCCAAAUCUUUGAGAUGUGAAGCUACUUCUUCGCAUGCAAAGGAUGGGUCUCCAUCGAGGAAGAAACCAAGGCUCCCUUCUGCUGAGAAGACUCAAGUGGGGUCUGCUCCCUCAUCAUCUGCCAGGGUUAAGCAUCUCGUGGGUGCAGAUAGCAAGAAGGUUGGUGGUAUGCAUGGUACUCGGGGUGUUCUGCCCAAGCUUCCUGCUGACACGCUCGAAAACCAUGAUAUACUUCGUGAAGUGGCUCGUGCCCAACCUAGUUCUGCCAAGCGUCAAAGAGAUGUAGACAUUCCUCCUAGAAGUUCGAGUUGUCUGCAUCGGUCAAAAGAUGGAGACCGAAGCGGGAGGUCUGCUUAUGAUCCAGCAUUAUUGACUCAUUUGGAGAUGAGGUUGGCGAAGGCUAAGAAGGUGAAAGAGUCAUCUGCCCGGGUUAAGGGUUCUUCCUCGGCGUUGGUAGUUGGUCCCAAGAUGAACAAGUCUAGCUCUGUAGGGGAUGCAUGCGUAUCUGAUCUGCUCAAGAUGAACUUCCUAUCAAACCCGUCCUCUUGUGUUGAGUUGGUUGAUCACAUCCCUCAAGCGGGCGAUCUAGGCACUUUCUCGUGCCUUUCCUUAGAAAAAUGAAGGAAAAUGACAUUCCAUCUGAUUCAAAAAGGACUGGUUUUUGCUACUGAGACUAUUUGGAACUCAUCUGCUAUUGCCCCUCUUCUGUCCAACUCAGCGAGUUGGAGAAGAAGAAUGCUGAUUGGCUAGACAGCUUUCCGCCGAGCAGGCCCGUUACGAGAAGAAGAUGUCUGAUUUGAGGGCGAUGAUAUCUGAGCUGAAAAGCUCCCUUACCGAGAAGGAUUUCGAGCUCAACUCUUCUGCUGCUGAUUUGGCUAGUCGAAAAGAUACCUUCUUUCGUCUUGAGCAUAAGAAUGCUGACAUCUUCCUUAGCUAUAACAAACUCCUGGCUAGAUUUCAUGCCUACCAUAAGUCUGCUAAAGAAUCCAAGACAGAUGGAGCUGCUGAAGGCGUAGCCGGUCAGGUGGAUGCCGAAGAGGCUGCAGCUUAAAAGUCUUCUGCUGGCGUCUCAGAGUAGAUGAAGACUCUUUUUUGUUUCUUUUCAGCUUUUGUAGUUUGCUUUAUUGUUUAGAAUAACUGGUCUUAUUUGACCAUCUUCUUUUUGUUGAACUUGGCUGGUUGGUCUGUUUGUUAGGGAAAUUUCAGUUACAUUUUCCAACUUCAAUUUGCAUAUUUGACUUGUGAACUGCUUAAGUAACCAGCCUGUGUUUUGAUUGCACAUCCCCCUUUAGAGAUUUGUGAGUACCAGGGUCCCCCUUGGAGGACUCCGGCCAUGCACAGUAUAUCUCGUAGGAUGGUUCCCCUUAGGAAGUUGGCGAGUACCAGGGUCCUCUUUGAGAGACUCCGGGUGUGUUCUGCACAUCCCGUAUGAUGCCUUAAUCGUCGCCUUGCUUCUCCCGUAGGACGCUGCUUAUAGGCAACUAUAUGACUAUCCUGCCUUUCUUAGGAAACGGAUAGGAACCUGGAUAUUUCCCGCAUGAAGCAUGGAGACCUCCUUUUAAGAAAUUUUUGGUGCACCAUGCUUCUCCCUUAGGACGCUUUUUUCGCAGGCUGGGUCUCCAAAUGGACGCUUUUAGUCGUUGCCCUGCGUCUCCCUUAGGACGCUCCUUAUGGGCAACUGUGUGACUAUCCUGCCUCCCUUAGGAAAUGGAUAAGACUUGAAUAUUUCCCGCAGUAAGCAUGGCGACCCCCUUUUAAGAAACUCCUGGCGUACCCUGCAUCUCCCUUAGGAUGCUUUUUAAGAGGGCUGCUUCUCCAAACGGACGCUUUUAGUCGUUGCCUAUGUCUCCCCUAGGAUGCUCCUUAUGGGCAACUGUGUGACUAUCCUGCCUCCCUUAGGAAACAGAUAGGAAACUAGAUAUCUCCCUUAGGAAAUUCCUAGCGCACCUUGCGUCUCCCGAAGGACGCUUUUUUAGCUGGCUACGUCCCGAAACGGACACUUUUAGUCGUCGCCCUGCGUCUCCCUUAGAAUGCGCCUUAUAGGCAACUGUGUGACUAUCCUGCCUCCCUUAGGAAACGGAUAGGAACCUGGAUAUCUCUCUUAGGAAAUUCCUGGGGCACCUUGCGUCUCCCGAAGGACGCUGCUUAUGGGAAAAUAUUGUGUUUCGUGGGCAGAUGAGACAUUUUGGAAUGAGAAACUGAACUUAUAUUGAUAUUCAUAAGAUUACAGUCCUUUAUUUGAAAAUGGAAAUAACUUGGUUCAAAAACUUAGAACUUCUAGCAGCUACGAGGAAGCACUAUGGAUAAUACUUUCGGAGAUGGUGAGCAUUCCAUUGUCGUGGUAUUUCCUUCCUAUCCAUGGUGUCCAGUGUGUUGCUUCCUCUGCCCCGGACCUGCUGAUCACAUAAACGCCCUCCCAGUUAGGAUUCACUUUUUUUGACCCGUGUCUUGGUGCAGUAAUGAAAGCCUUAGCACGAGGUCGCCUGGUUGAAACUGUUUGACCUUAGCUCUUUUGUCGUAGUAAGACUUCAACUGCUAGUGAUAGGAGGCGACCCGAAUAAUGGUCUUCUCACGCCUGCCCUCAAGUAAGUUGAGGUUGAGCCUCAUCUGCUCGGAGUUCUGAUCAACACUGCCUACCUUAAGACUUAUAGAGAGGACAGUGAUGUGAGGUGGUAUGAUCACUUCUGUUCCAUAGGCGAGAGAGAAUGGGGUUUCACCAGUCGAUCUUCGCUUGGUGGUGUGAUAAACCCAUGGUACUCUGGGGAGUUCAUCCACUCAUUUCCCUUCAGCGCCUUCCAGCCUUUUCUUUAAGCAGUCCAAUAUGACUUUGUUGGAUGCCUUGGCUUGUCCAUUUCCUUGUGGAUACCUCGGGGUGGACAAGUGUUGUUUGAUCUUGUAUUUCACAAAAAAAGCGGUGAUCUGCUUGCCAAUGAACUGUGAGCCAUUGUCGGUAACCAACGACUGUGGGCAGCCAAACCGGCAUAUGAUGUUUCUCCAGAUGAAUCACUCCACAUCGGCUUCUUUAGUAAAUGAUAGAGCUUCGGCCUCGAUUCAUUUAGUAAAGUAGUCGGUGGGGACGAUCAUCAUUUCUUUCUUGGCGGGCGCUAGUGGCAAGGGAUCCACUAGGUCGAUGGCCCAUUGCAUGAACAGCCAUGGACUGUUUUGCGGAUGAUAGACUUCGGCAGGCAAGUUAGGGAUCGGCUUGUAUUGCUGACAGCGUCACAUUUCUUGGCACAUUCAGCACAGUCGUGACGUAUGGUAGGCCAGAAGUAGCCUAUGUUUAGAACUUUCUGGGCGAGUGACCUGCCCCAGAAUGGUUGCCAUACUCGUCGUCGUGAAUUUUACAGAUAAUCUCAAGUGUUUGAUGGUACUUUAUGCAGGUGAGAUGAAGGCCGGAGUAUGAUCUGUGGAUGAGCUUGUUGCCGUGCAUGUAGUAUCUCUCGGCCUUUUGCUGGACUUUUCUAGCUUCGGACUUGUCCGUUGGCAGGUUUCCAUUCGUGAAAUAGUCGAUGAUGAGGUCUUGCUAGCUGGGGUCCUCGUCAAUCUGCAUGGUAUUAAUCGGCUCUAUUUCUUCAAUGCUUGGUCGGUCAAGGUGUUCGACCUAGAUGGAGUGUUUGAACUGGGUAUCCAGCGUUGAACCUUGGCUUGCCAGUGCGUCUGCAUGCGCGUUCUUUGCCCGGGACACUUGUUGGAUAGUGAAGGUAGGAAAUGCCUUCAACAGCUCUUGGACUCUAUCAAGGUAUAAGAUCAUCCUUGGGUGCUUUGCCAUAUAUUCACCUGAGGCUUGAUUCGUGAUCAACUGUGAGUUUGAGUAGAUGGCUAGCUUUUUGAUUGCGAGCUCCUUUGCCAAGCGUAAGUCGGCGAGUAAUGCCUCGUAUUCUACCUCGUUGUUCGAGACCGAGAAGCCAAGCGUAAUAGCUUGCUCUAACAGGGUUCUAUCCAGGGUGGUGAUAACGACCCCUGCUCCAGCUCCUUUUUGGUUCGACGCUCCGUCUACACGCAACUGCCACAUGUCUCUGGGAUGGCUUGGUUCUGCGGAGGUCCUGUCUGCUUUUGAACUUCCCUCCUUUUGGUUGACUAACUUCUCUUUUUUGGCUGAUGGGGUGAAUUCUGCGACGAAGUAUGCUAAAGCCUGGGCUUUUAUUGCAGUUUUUGGCCCGUAGAGGAGGUCAUAUUGGCUUAGCUCUAUAGCCCACUUCAUGAGUCGCUGAGAAGCAUCAGGGCUGUGGAGGAUUGAUCUCAAAAGAAAGUCAGUCAUGACUAUGACUCGAUGAGCUUAGUAGUAGGGUCGCAGCUUUCUCGCAGAAACUACAAGAGCCAAAAUAAGUUUCUCCAAUUUCGGGUAACGAGUCUCUGCAUCGAGGAGAGCUUUUGACGUGUAGAAUACCGGAUAUUGGGCCCCUAUCUCUUCUCGGAUGAGAGCUGAACUGACAGCUGAGUUGGACUUACCUCACUAGGGACUGGAUUUGAGAGCAUGGAAGGUGAGGUGAGGUAAGUCUUCAGAUUAUGGAAAGCUACUUUGCAGUCCUCAUCCCAUUUCUCUCUUUGUCCUUUCUUCAAAGCUUUGAAGAGUGGUCUGCACUUGUCGGUUGAUCUCGAGAGGAAUCGGUUGAGAACCGCUGCUUUGUCCGUCAGACUUUAUAUCUCUUUCACCGUGGAAGGCGACUUCAUCUCUAGAAUGGCUUUGAUUUGACGUGGAUGUGCCUCGACACCUCGUUGCGUGGCUAGGUAUCCCAAGAAUCGGCCGGAGGAUACACCAAACAGGCAUUUACUUGGAUUCAACUUCAUGCGAUACUGGCGGAGCAAGCUGAAUGAUUGGGUAAGACUUCCGAUGUGAUCUGCACGUUUUGGGGCUUUGACCAGCAUGUCAUCCACGUAGACCUUCAUAGUUUUGCCGAUCUGCUUAUUGAAGAUUUUAUUCCCGAGCCUUUGAUAGGUUGCUUUGGCGUUCUUCAGCCCAAAGGGCAUGACCUUAUAGCAGCAGGUCCCUCUCUCGAUGAUGAAAAAAGUUUUUGCCUUGUCAUCCUCGUGCAUCAGGAUUUGUUUAUAGCUGGACUAGGCGUCCAUGAAGCUAAGCAGUUGAUUGCCAGAAGUGGAAUCCACGAGUUGGUCGAUUCUCGGCAAUGAGAAGUUGUCUUUAGGGCAUGCUUUGUUGAGGUCUGUGUAAUCGACACAAACUCUCCAUUUGCCAUUUUCUUGUUUUGCCACCAAAACAACGUUGGCAAGCCACUCUGAGUAGGAGGCCUCUUCGAUGAAGCCGACAGCUAGGAGUUUGUCAAUCUCGGCCUCGAUGAUAGCAAGUCGCUGGGGUGCGAAGUUGCGUCUCUUCUGCGCCACUGGCUUGCAGGCAGGGUUGAAGUGGAGUCAGUGACAGAUGAUGUUCUUGUCGAUGCCAGACUUGUCUGACGGCAACCAUGCGAACAUGUCUCUGUUGCUCUGGAGGAAGGUGGUAAGCUCCACAUUCUCUUCUGGCCUUAGGCGCGAACCGAUCCACUCUUUCCUAUCUGGUUGGUCAGGAUCCAAGGGUAUUAACUCGACGUCCUCCUUGGGUUUCCAUCCUUCUUCAGGAAAGACCUAUGGACGGAUUUCCUCGACUUGGUCCUGACGCUUUAAUUGCUAUAAGAUAGCAAGAUCCAGUUGCUCAACCUCCUCCAGAUCUGCCUGGCUCACAGGGAGAAACUGCGCUUGUUUACCUUUCUUUAGCCCUUGGGCGGAGCAUUUCCUCGCCAUUGCCUAAUCGUUGUUGAUUUGGCCGACACCGCCCCCAAGGAUUGGGUACCGAAUUUUCUAAUGUGUGGCGGAGGUGAUUGCAUUAAUUUUGCCAAUCGAUGGUCUGCCCAGAAUGCCGUUGUAGGGUAAGACCUUAUUAAUGACCAUGAAGGUUAUGAGCUGAUUAUAAGUGGGGAGUAGACGUCGAGGUCUAUCAUGCCCACGGUAACCGUUGUUGCACCAUUAAAAUCGCUCAGCAACCUAGCUAAUUUGUAAAUCUUUGUCUCCAAUCCCAUCUGUUGAAUGACCUCCAGUUGCAGGAUAUUGGCUGCGCUGCCCUCGUCUGUGUGGAUUCAGUCUACCAUGACCUGAGCAAUUUGAAUGCUGAUGACAAGGGCUUCGUUAUGUGGCAUGUAGAGGCCGAUCAGAUCUUUCUUUUGGAAGCCGAUUACAGGAUCGUCUUCUGCUGGUGGAAGGUCGGUCGAGAUUUGGGAGAUCACAGUGGUCUGUUUGAUCUUCCUCUUUUUUUCCUUUCUGGUCAGCCCAGACUCCUCGGAGUCAGCUAGGAUUGUGUUAAUUCUUAUGACCUUCUGAGGCGGCUCCUUGGCGAUGUCACGAUCUUCUAUCCGCUGGAUGACCUUCUUUGCAAUGAAUUCUGUGCAGUGACCUUCUCUCACGAGUUCUUCAAGAUGUGCUUUCCAAGCGAAGCAGUUGUUCAUAGUGUGUCCGUGCAUUUCAUGGACGGCACAGUAUUUGCUAGUAUUCCUUUUGUCCGGAUCUUCUUUCAAGGGUGGUGGUCUUCUUACCCAAGGUUGUUCUUCACUUGGGCUAAGAUUUGAUGUAUGGAGAUGGUGAACUUGGUGUAGUUCUCUCCUGCCGUAGCAUCCCCUUAUGGGUGCGACCUGCGCUUGUCCUUGUCCCUGUUGCUAAAUCCGUCGCUUCUUUGGCCUGCCCCCUUAGUCGGCUGAUCUUCCUGCUUAGUAGAGUUCUUUGCGGCGAUUCGAUCGUCAUCCCAAAGCGCAUAGCUUUCCGCGGUCUCGUAGACCUCUGCCAAAGUUUGGCUGGGAGUGAUGGUCAGCUCGUGGUACAAGUCGUGCUCAGUCGAAAGGUCUUUCUUGAAAGCAGAGGACGCAAUUUGGUCAUCACAUCCUACAAUGUUGGCCUUUUCUACUUUGAAUCUCUUGAUGUAAUCUCUAAAGGAUUCGUCGAACUUCUUGCGCAGGUUAUACAGGUGGUCAGGGUUCUUCUUGAUUGUUCGGUAAGAGGUGUAUUCUUUGGUGAAUAAGUAAGUCAGCUCCUUGAAGCUGCUGAUCGACCUGGAUGGCAGAGUAUGGAACGAGUCUUGGGCUUCCUCACAAGGUCAUUGCAAACACCUUGCACAUCAGCGCGUCGUCAACCUUGUGGAGGAUCAUGACACUUUUGAAGUGUUUUAGAUGGCUCUCAGGAUCGGAAUCCCCCUUGAAGUGUGUGAAUGUGGGCGUUGAGAAUCGCUUCAGGAGAGCAGCCUGCUCGAUUUUGGCAGUGAAAGGUGUAGAGUAUGCCUGGUCUACCUCAUUUCGUACAUCUUCGAAAUUUCCACCGGUCUUCAAGUCUCGAAGUUGGUCAUUCACAAGCUUCUCUACGUCUUCCGCACACAUUGCUUGUCGGCCACAUUGGCGACCUUCACGAAUUGUUCGAUGCUGACUGACUUCCUCGUUGAUUUCCGAGGAUCGACCUUCUUGUCUGCAUUGCCUAGGUGGAGUGUUGGUGGAUUGCGCCUACGAAAGAUUCUCUGUGGCUUGUCAAUGAGAAUCGGUUCUUCGAGAGUGAGUAACGAAGUGCCUUUCCUCAUGGUCCUUAUUGUGAGGGUUAUCCAGCUGACCUCCCUGGGGCCUAGCCUUUCCUGAAUGCUUCUCUGCGAGUAGACAGUUGAAUGCUUUUCUUCACGAUCCUCGUUGUGAUGGUUGUUUGGCUGACCUCCUUAGGGUCUUAGCCUUUGAUGUACAUUUCCCUGCCUGCCCAAGUAGGUGCGGACGUCGAGUCGUGGGCCCAGCCUUUCGUGCACGUCGUUCCUUAAACUCAAUCUGCUCUGAGUGUGGCUUGCAGAUGCUUGCGACAUGUCGGCAGGUCGAUCACGUUGUUGUCCCUCGACUUGUCUGCCCACUCUUGCUUGACCUGCUUGGUACUCGUUGAGCUGUCUACCGGCCCGUUCAUCCUUCCUUCUUUCCUCGCCUGGUUGUCCAAGGCCAAGGUUUUGAGCAAAGCUUAUUUGGUUGAGGAGCUGCCUCAUUAGAUUGUUUUGGUCGUCCAUUCUUUAAGCUAGCUGGUCAACUCUCAGAUUAAGGUCUGCUUGAUUUCAUGGAUCAGGAGGAGAGAAGUGUGUGGAGCUCAACUGCACAUAGGCUAGGGUUUCAUUAGAGGUGUAUGCGGGAGCGUGUGUCGAGCGUGGAGGCAAUAGAGGGAAUGCUUGGAGUUGCUCCAAGACCGGCCCUAGGUCGGCGGUGGUAACGAGUCCACCUUGAUGGGAAGUUCCACCAUGUUUGGCGGCAGUGACCGAUGCAGUGGUGAGAGGUGGUGGUGCCACCAUGUCGAUCGCGGGAUCGUUGGUGGAGUGGCUUUGGGCCGUCGCAAAUCUAGCCAUCAUGGCGGCUUUGCCUCUCGUGUUCAUGCUUCCAACCAUGGUUGUUUGGAAGGCUUAGGUGGAUUGGAAAAUUAGAGGAACGGAUUCCUUGAGCACGCAUUGAGUAUAACUCGUGCUCUCAAUGAAAGCACCAAUUUGUGGGAGCAAAUUUCCCCACGAGAAUAUUCGGUUCGAAAGAUUCCCCUUUCUUAUUCGCCGCCUCUUUCUCCUCGCAAAAUAGAACAAAUAAGAGGACCACACCCGAGGGGUGUUGGCCAAAGGCCCUCCGAUGCCUAAAUUAGUUCAAGUAUUUGUAAGAAAAACACUAGCUAACUAGGGUAUGGAGAUGUGUUUAAGGUGUAAACCGGGCGGCCGGAACCUUAUGUAAAAGAGAGAGAGAAAUGAGGUGGCUAGGGUUUGAGAGGAAUUUUCUGCAGAGUUUUUAGUAGAGAUUUCAGACGUACCUCAACCAUUGUGUGUGGCCAUCUUUUUAUAGUGGUCUUGGAGGCUAGAGUUUCAGAGAAAUAAUUUCGUAGAUGGAAAGGAAUUAUUCCUCCCCUAUUUAGAAUUGAUUUGAUUAAUUACGGAUUUGAUUUAUUAGGGUAAAUCAAAUCCCUAAUUGUGGUAAGUAUCAAAUCAAAUCCUUUUUUAAUUAGGUAACUGCUCAUUUAAUUGACAAUUGUGGUAGGAAUCAAAUCAAUUCUCAACCUAAUUGGUAACGUUCAAUUUAAUUGGGUAAUUCCCAAUUAAAUUGAGUAACUCCCAAUUAGGUUGAUUAAUUCACACUUAGAUCAAAUAAUCCCCAAAUGGAAAGAAUUAUUUGACCUAAGGUAUGAUUUAAUUCGAUUCCCACAAUAUUUAGAUGCAUAAUUGAAUGCGAAUAAACAUCACUCUCUCCAGUGUGAAAUGGCGAAAAUUCUCUUCAAUCAAAAGUGGGCUUACUUCAAAUUUAGUUGAAGAAUGAUGGUGUGUCUUGCCUGACAAUUGACAAUUAGGUUUAGGAGCGUUCCUCUAGUAGAAAAAUCUAAAUCAUUUGUGGUCAUCCACUCACUUGGUUAGUCUUCCAGAAUCAAAUACCAAAUCAACCCAAAGGAAGCUGCAAUUUUCUGAAUUGUAUACUUGUUUUAAUUCUUCCUAUCUUUUUCUCUCUUUCAUUUUUUUUGUCUCCCUCAAGUUAAUACUUAAGUGAGUUGCCAAAUGGGGGUAAAAAAGAGAGUAGAAGAGAUGAACCCCACAUUUGACUUUAAUAGACAAAUGCCCAAGAGAAGUACCAGUAAGAGCAUCUCCAAUUGGGAGGUGCUAUCCUAUAAUUUGACACACAUUUCUUUUUUCUUUUUUUUCAAUUCUAACAACAUGUCAUCUAUAUCGCAAUAGGCCGUUGUAGUUAAAUUUUCAAAUAACCAAGUUGCUCUCUAUUUUCCAAAGAAGACUAGAAAACAACUUACCAUCUAUCUGGUGCUGCUUCUUCCAAACAUUAGAAAAAACAGAGCUACACCCAGGAGGAGCCCAGGAGAUGACACAAUACUGCCUACUAUGAUUCUUACUUUCUUCACAUUCAAUGAGACUAUAAAAUAUAACCCAAGUGGUCUAACCCCCCAGGGCGGAAAUUGGGUUUAGCAAGUUUAGCACUGAUUGUUGUAUAGUCUUAAACAGUCCUGAUCUCUUGGACCCCUGUAGUCCAAGAGAUUUAUGGUCACCCACCGUUGGAUGUAAAUUCAACGGUUGACUUGAAUCGGGUAAUAAUAAUUUAUGUCAUAUUGCAUUUAUAUAUAUCAUUUUGAACCAUUGGAUUAAUAUCCAACGGUGGGUGACCACAAUCUCUUGGACUCCUGUGGUCCAAGAGAUCGGGACUGUAGUCUUAAAAUAAGUAGUUUAGCGAGUGCAAACUUCGACUUAAAAAAACUCUCAUGUAUAGCCGCGCGGCUAUACUAUUUACAUAUAAAUAUAUAAAAAAGCACCCCCUAGUCACGUGUCACAAAUAGUAUAGUCGAAAACAGUAGAGCCGCGCGGCUAUACUGUUUUUAAAAUAAAAAAAACCAUAUUCGAUUCUCCUUAUAUUUAAAAGGGGUAUAGCCGCAUGGCGAUACUAAUUUUUUUUUUUCAAAAAAAGGGACCCCAGUACUCCUUUUAUAUAUUAUAAUAUAUUGUCUAAUAUUUGGAAUAUUUACUCUAAAAUAAACAAUAUAUUAGGUUCUUUUUGUCUACAAAUUGACCAUUAAACUUCUUAAUCACUCUUAUACUUUCAAUUAAAUCUACUAGGCUAGGUUAUGAUAUUUUCACUAAAAAACUCCUCCUUUUUUUCUUCUCUUUCUCUUCCUGUUUUGUUUAACUUAAGCUUAAGUUUUGUAAUUUUUUUUCCCGCCCUUUUUACAUGUUUGAGUAGGGUACUUUAAUAUUGGGAUUUAUGAACUUUUUUUGUAUUUCUUCUUUAUAUUGGAAUAUAAAUUAUUAACUUUUGAGUCUUUAAUAGUGUAGAUGAUGAGAUUAUUAUUCAACCAUUUUAUAAUAUGAAAUGAAGGACAAUCAUGAUUGUGAUGAAUGGAUUAUUAAUCAAUAUGAAAUGAUAUUAUGAAGUGGGCUAAAUCGAGUAGUUAGUAUCGUAUUGUUGAGACCCAAAAAAUCCAAGGCUAGGCCCAAAUAUAUUAUGAAGUGGGCUAAAUCGAGUAGUUAGUAUCGUAUUGUUGAGACCCAAAAAAUUCAAGGCUAGGCCCAAAUAUAUUUCCGGUCCAAUGCGAUACCUUACCGAGAAGAAACCUUAUUUGGGCACGCGAAAGUUCGUCAUAUGCUCUUGCACACAUGCCAUGCCAAGCAAAUAAGCAACAUGCCACGCUACAAGCUUAAGUGGGCCCAAGCCACGUGAAUGCCUAGGGCCUGCUGAGUGGGUUGUGGUAUGGAUGGUUAUGAGUAUUCACGAGGCCCAUUGAUGGUCUAAGGAGUGGAAGUUUUGGGCUACUUGGGAGCACCAAAACUCAAGCCCAUUCAUUGAGCCCAAACAUAUGGGUAAGCAUGAGAUAAAACCUAGUAGCCCAUCACCUUAAGAAAUCCUAAUAGCCCAUAACAUGUGAGAAAAUCCCACAUCAACCAAAGCUUCCAGCAGUCUGACGAAAUCAAAGGGAACUCACAAGCCGUUGGAAACAAAACAACCCAACACUGUAACACCCCGACCCCAAAUUUCCCCAAAUUUAACCCUUAUUUAAUUAUUUAAGGGUAUUUUAGUCAUAUUUUUAACCGGAGAGAGUUUGGGGCAAUGACUAGUAUUUUUGGAUAGGUCGUACUGAGACGAGUUUAUGGACACGCAGUGAGCUCGAAUCGGAGUUGUAACGAGAGAGAUAUGGUCAAAAGAAGCCCAGUGGCACAAUCGUAAAUAUUUUGAAAUGAGAUUUUUUAUAAAAAUCUGGUUUUCUCUCUCUCUCUCUCUCUCUCUCUCUCUCUCUCUCUCUCUCUCUCUCUCUCGCUAGCGACCUCUCUCUCUCUCCCCCGUCGGUCUCUCCCCUCUUUCUCCUCGUAACUCCGGCCACCGGCCCCGGCUGUGGACGGGGCCGGUACCAAAAUGACCGAGGCGUCGUCCUCUUCCUACCCCAGCCACCUCCCACCGCCAGCCGUCGCGGAUUCGCCGGAAUCUGGAGAUGAAGCGGCCUACGUCGUCCAAAUUUCAAAGCUGCCGAUCUCCCUCCUCCGGCCACCAAUUCCGUCGACCCAGGUAUGGAUUUUGAACUUCUCGAGCUGCUCUAGCUGAUGGUUGGGUAGGAUUAGAUCGAUUCUUAGCUUAGACAACUCGAUUUUCAAAUUGAAAAUCGGCCGAACUUCGGCUGCCGUGAUCGGCCAUUUCCGGCCACUUUUUGGGGUAGGUCCAAGAACAAAAGUGGCUCCAAAUAGGGUGUUAUACCUAGGGUAGGAGUUUGGAGCCGUGGUUUUGAGAUUUUCCGGCGAAGCGUUAUCGCUUUGGGCACCCACGCGCUGCCGGUGCGUGCGGCGGCGCGUGGGCACUGUAGAAAAAGUAGCACUGUGUUCCGAUGAGAUCCUUAGGUUGUCACGAGUGCGUAGGAUUUUGCGGAUCUCAAUUCGGACGUCGUUUGACUAUCGAACGGAUAUUCGCAUAUUGCGCGUUAUUCGGGUUCGAUAGGUUGGGACCGUUGGAUGGACCCAAAUUUAAUAUAUGUUAAUCUAAUUAAUUCUAGGAUCGUGUAGGAAUUCACGGAUUGUGAAUCGGAGCCCCGGAUGUUCCGAAUAAUAAUUUUAAAGUUUGUAUUUUAUAUUAAUUGUCAGAUCGUGCGAUCGUGAGCAAUCUGACCGUUCGAUCUGAACCAAACUUGCAGGACAAGUGUCCUAUACCUUGUAGAACCCAUAGGGACCUUCGGAUCGGAAAUUGGAGGUCGUGGGUUCCGCAAGUCGGUUUGACCAGGGUUAGAGAAGUUUGACCCUUGGUUGACCGUGAGUCUCCCGGAGUAAUCUCACCUUUCUAGGGGAGAUUAUCGGGUACUAGAUGAUUGUGGACACAAUAUUAGAAUUAAUUUAUAUAAUUAUAAUUAUAUAUGGUUGUACAAGGGUACAACAGAGUCUAGAAUGUCAGUUUGGAGUGCUAUACGCACUACUUUAGGUACCUCCCCGGAUGUUGGGAUUUACUACAAGUACCACCAAGUGAAAUUGAGGUCCCGCGUGGCGUAGGUUAUCCAGCGUUGGGAUAGGUCUCAUACGUGGGGUUGGUUGUACCGGCGUAUGGGGAGAUUUGUGAUAUUAUGUUCAGGUCUCACGUGGCGUAGGUUAUCCGGCGUUGAGACAGGCCCCAUACGUGGUGUUGGUUGUACCAGCGUAUGGGGAGCUAUGUGAUAUUGUGUUGAGGUCGCACGUGGCGUAGGUUAUCGGGCGUGUCGACAGACCCCAUACGUGGCGUUGGUUGUACCGGCGUAUGGGGAGAUUUGUGAUAUGAAAUUGAGGUCCCACGUGGCGUAGGUUAUCCGGCGUUGGGACAGGCCCCAUACGUGGCGUUGGUUGUACCGGCGUAUGGGGAAAUAUGUGAUAUGAUGGCAUGGUCGCACGUGGCAUAGGUUAUUCGGCUUGUUGACAGGCCCCAUACGUGGCGUUGGUUGUACCGGCGUAUGGGGAGAUUAUUUGAAAUGCAGAGAAACGAAAUAUGGUAUCGCCCAAAUGUGGAAUUGGGUUUUAGGGAAGAACUACGUGUGGCUUGAUCCCUCAAGGAGGGUACGUAGGCAGCCUAAGGUUAAUAGGUGCAGCCGCAGACUAAAUGUUAGUCAUAAUUGAUAUUUGAAUUGUUUGGUAGUUGGUUAAGAAUUAUUGGAAGGCCGAAGGCCAUUUGUGUGAAUUGCAUGAAAUUAUAUUGUGCAUGCUGCCAGUUGGGAAUAUUAAAUGCGUUUUUAUGCAGGUAUAAAUUUUAGGAAAUGUCCAAUUUAUAGGGGAGACUCUGCCGAAUUUUCGGCAGGAAGUCUCAGUUUUUAGUAUCUGGGCCUGGCAUCGGGAGGAUGUCGGGAAUUCCAAAGGGUCGUCUCGAGUUCUGAAAAAUUCGGUGCGGGUCCUUUCAAACACCUUAUAAAAUAUCCAACGCCGUGCAUCUCUGUUAAAACCAGAUCACAGCCAAACCACCAAAACCAUGCAAACCCAUAUGCUGAUCACCAUUUUUACUAGCACCCUUACCCAUUCUUUCCUCUUCAAGCUUUGGUGAGAAAACAAGAAACAAAAGUGGGCGGAUCUUCACCCACAUGGAGAAAUCCAGCUGCCUGAGGGCCCUGGAACUCCAAAAAACUUCUUACCUACAUGCUCAGGCUAGGGAAGUUUCACCAAAUAAGCAAGAAUGGAAGAAAGUGAAGGAAAAGGGGAAAGGGUGGCUUGACGAAAUUAAGGUUUUCAGCACUUAUAAAAGGAAACACUUUCUAUCCAGCAAAAACAACUCACCCUGGUUGCUGCAAGCCUCCUAGCAACCAUGAGAAUUCAUUGAAGGCAAGCAUCCCCUUUGGAACCCUUCAAUUUCAUGCUUUGUUCUUCCAUCUUCCUCCUUUCUCUCUCUCUCAAAACCCACAUCCAGAGAGAGCAAGCAUCAUCUCUCAUCUUUGGAACCCUUCGAUUUGAAGCCUUGUUCUUCCAUUGCUUCCCAUUUUCUCUUCUGUCAAAUCACCUAGGAGCUUGACGAAACUUUCGUCAAGCUGCUGGAAAUAUGGUAAAGCCACCCAUGCUUCCAUCUUCUUCCUCUCUUUCCAUAAACACACAUCCAAAGAGCAAGCUUCAUCUCUCAUCCUCUAAACCUCUGCAAUUUCAAGCCUCAUUCCUCUAUCUUCUCCCAUUUUCAGCGGUAGUGAGAAUGAUUUCUGCGUGUGCAUGGGAAGGAUUGUAACUCAGAUGAGGAGGAGAUGGUUUGGAGUGGGGUGAGGCAGUUGGAUAGAGCUCUUGGCCUUUUCAAGUUUGGAUGGGAAAGAGCAGGGAUGAAAGAAGCUUUACAACUGCAAGGGCAUAUAUGGUGCGUAGGGGCUGAAGGCAGAACACUUACAUAUAGAGGAAACACAUUUUUUGUCCAUGGGAUUCAUGUUUGACAAACACUUGUCUUAGACUAUGAGUUCAAAUUUCAAAACCUUUUUUUUUUCUUUCUGAAAUCAGGACCAGUGUGGAGAACUAGCAAGGAUUGGAGAAACAGAUUUUUGGGCGUCACUUGACCACAGAUUGUUGAUUGCUCAAAUGUGUAGAAUUGGCCAUCUUAAAUGUCAAAAUGAUUUAUCAAUUGGGGUUUUUUUAGAAACGUUUAUGUUUGUCAAUAGAGACAGAAGUCAGAGAACAUAAACCUUUCUCAGCAAAUUGAAAUUCUCAGUGCAUGCUCUGUUCUUCCAUGGCUUUCAAACCUUCUCUGCCACGGUGAAAUGGAUCGAUAGAGAUAGUUUAGGCCGUUCCAUUUGUUUGAUGAAGCAUUCGUUCUAGGGAUUCUGUAUAUUCAUAACAAAAUCACUAGAAUGAUUCUUAGAAAUUCAUCACUGCUAAAGGCAAUGGGUUCAGCAUAAUAACUUCUUAGUCUUGCUUCUUGGUCCUUUAUUUUCUUUGCAUAAUACUCCAAGUUUACCUGGGUUCUACAGAGAAAAUCUCGUAGAUACCUCUUUUUGUGGUCUUCCAUGGCAUUUAAGUGCUGCUUUCCAUGGUGAAGUGGGCCUAUAGAGACUACCUGAGGUGUGUAGGCUUUGUCAUUUCCACGCCGUAAUCGCUCAGGAACUCUGUAGAUACACCUUCAAGGGGGACAAGGGAGACAAACUAUCCAAUUCCUUGCGCCUUACAAAUAGAUCGCAUGGGUUUUCUAUUUCAUCUGCAGCUUCAUCAAUUCCUUCCAUUUUUCUCCUGAUCAUCAUGCGCGGUGAUUCAAAUAUUUCAUAAUGAACAUUGAAAUGAGAUGCUACAAGCAAACUUAUGAAAAGAAACAGAAAUACCAAAAAGACAAAUCAAUGUAGAUGGUUUAGAAAAUCUAAACAUUGCAAUUAUACUCCUUUGCCCAACUUCUAGGAGCAAACGUACACAAAGACCUUAUUGCUUCCAACUUUUCCAACAGAAUUUCAUAUGAAUUGCUCCAAGUGAAAUCCGUAUGAAAAAUCGGUAGUUGGAUUUUCAUCCUGCUUUAAUAUGAUUAUUUAACUUCUAACAAAAAAACUCUUAUUACUUGAGCAAGUAAAAUACUAUUCCAGGUUUCUCCUAGUUCUAUAUGCGCUUAUAAUUGGUAUACUCUAUAAAUACCAUAAUCUGAAUUUCUCUGUUUUGAUUACUUUAAUUUAUUACUUAUGUUUUAAUUAUUGUUUACUUAGUGAAUUAUUAGUAUUUAAGAGAAGGCCUUCCAUCGAUUAGGCACCACGUGUCUAUAAUAAGUAAAGCCGUCCGGCUAUACUUAAAAAAAAAAAAAAUUGUAGUAUAGCCGACCGGUAUAGCCGCGCGGCUAUACUAUUUAAUACAUUAUAUUUAAACGGUAUAGCCGCGCGGCUAUACUAUUUAAUAAAAUAAAAAACAAAAGAAAAAGAAAAAUUACCCUCCUAUUUCAUUAGUUUGUACUUUAUAGAUACUAGCCCCUUGACACAUGCUCACGCAUGUGCCAAUUGGUUUUCUUUUUCUUUUUUAUUUUUAUUUUUAGAAUUAAGAAAAAAUAACAGGAUAGUUAUGUUCCAUAAAAGUAGGACCUAUUAUCUUAUUUUGUUUUUAAUUUUAAUUUUUUUAAUAUUAAAAAAAUAUGAAUUUACGAUAUUAUCCUCAUUUAAUUAAUAAUUUCAAUUCUUAAUGUUUGAAUUAACAAAGGGCAUUUUCUGGUAUUUUGAAUGUUUCACCAUUCUCUGCCUUUUGCUUUAUAUAUAUAGAUUAAUUUGCCAGUUUCAAGAUAUCCAAAGUACAUAUUAGACUUUCACUAUAUAAAUUUCAAUAUAUAUUUUUUAUAACAUGUGUUGUUCUUAUUCAAUAAUAUGUGAGAAUUAUUUGUAUAAUACGUGAAUUUUGUGUGUCUUACUGAAUUUUUUUAAAUACGUGUAUUAAACGUUACAAAUACGUACAUAUAUGUACAACACGACUAUUGUAAGUUUGCUAUAUAAAAAAAAGUGAGAUGUAUCUAGAACACGAAUGUAUUAUCGAAAAAUAUAUAUGUAUGUAUAUAUAUAUAUAUAUAUGUAAAAGCCUAUAGCCUCUCACCUAUACUAUUUAUUAAAGACAAUUUAAAAAUUACAACAACAAAAAAACCAGUACAGCCACAAAGCUAUACUAUUUUAAAAAAAAAAAAUAGAAAAAAUAUCAAGUACUACACAGGGCAAAGGCCCAGUGUAAAAUAGUAUAGCCGUACGGCUAUACGUUUUUAAGAAGAAUUUAAAAAACUAAGUAUAGCUCACCGACUAUACUAUUUUUUAAUAUAAAAAAACAACCCCAUCCAUUAGGCGCCACGUGUCAACAGAAGUUUAUUUUUAAAAAAAAAAAUUAAAAGACAAGGAGUAUAGCCGGGUGGUUGUACUAUUUUUUUAUUUUAAAAAGAAGACAGUCCAUCGAUUAGGCGCCACGUGUCCAUAAUAAGUACAGCCGCUCGGCUAUAUGUUGGAUAUUUUGAAACUAGCAAAUUAAUAUCAAUAGCCGGUCGUAACCUAUGCUGUCCACGUCACUCAUGUUUUACCAGAGUUAAAGCAUCCACAAUGAGCUCCCCAAACCAUCUCUUUAGACAAAUUUUAGGGAGAAAUUGGAAAAGUACAACUCCAACCAUGCUCCCUAUCCACCAACUAAAAUAGGGAGACCUCUAGGAGCUCCUAAAUCUGAGGAGAGGGAAAGGACUCUUAGUGACUCCCUAUAAUUUAAUGUUGCUUUGUUUUAUGCAUAUUUUAAACUUUUAAUUAAAUCAAAUUAUUAUUUUAUAUUAUUUUGUAUACAGAUGGACCAAUUAUAUUAAAUUAAAAAAUAAUUAAAGUAUUUGUGACUCUCUAAACUAAGGAGUAUGAUUAGAGUUCAAAUUUUAUAAAAAGCUCUUAAAAUAGCUUUUGUGUGUUUUUAGCUAAAUUUUAACUAAAAAAUUUGAAGAUUCUUUAUUUGGGUUUCUUUCAAGACGAAAACCAUAUCCACAACAGACAUCUUUGGCUGUUCAUCACAAUUGAGAGACAAUGAAGAAGACAUAAGGGAGAGGCUGCCAAAUACUUAUCACCUUAGCCACCACCAACACCACAAGACCAAUAUGUGUAGGCCAGGAGGCUUUCCAAUUUUAAUAUAUAUAUAUAUAUAUAUUAAAAAAUAAAAUAAAAAUCAAUCUAUUAUCAUAUAUAUUAUAAAAUAAAGAUUAUUGCUCCAUCCUCCAUGCACUUGCGUGCCCUCUUACAAAGUAUGAAGUAGAUUUUGUUAGCUGGAUUUAUAAGAUCUUUUGUUUUUUGGAAAUUUUCUGAAAUAAGGAAAAUCAAGUAAAAUUAAUAAAGCAUAAAUUGGAAAGGGAAAAUAUCUAGAGGAUGCAUUGUAGGAUUGCUCAAGCCAAUAAUUGUACCCUCUAAAUAUAUAGGGACAUAUUUUUUUUGUUUUCAUGACAUGUCGUCCUAAAAUUAUUGUUCUUAGCGGGCUCUCCACCCCCUCUCGAUUGAAAACCUAUUGUGUAAAUCUUCAAUCCUGAAUUAGAAAAGUACAACUCCAACCAUGCUCCCUAUCCAUCUCCUAAAAUAGGGAUACCUCUAGGAGCUCCUAAAUCUGAGGCGAGAGAAAGGACUCUUAGUGUCUCUUUAUAAUUUAAUGUUGCUUUGUUUUAUGCAUAUUUAAACUUUUAAUUAAAUCAAAUUAUUUUUUUAUAUUAUUUUGUAUACAAAUGGACCAAUUAUAUUGAAUUAAAAAUAAAUUAAAGUAUUUAUGACUCUCUAAACUAGGGAGUAUGAUUGGAGUUCAAAUUUUAUAAAGAGCUCCUAAAAUAGCUUGUGUGUGUAGGGGUCUUUUUCUUCUGGCAACUACAGAUGGGUUGGGCUACCGUAAGGAGCAAACUGAAGAAAAUAUCCCCUGUGUCUGAGUUCAAAGAUUCGGCCCCAAAAUAUUUCGAAAAGGCAGUAAAGCCUUAGGAAACACCUUAGUUACCUUCACCAACGAAAAUGACGGCUGCUUACAGGUAGAUUCUUAGUGCUUACAGAUGAAUUCUUAGCUUAGCAUGAGGAGAUCGUGGCAUGGAAGCAAAGUUAGCAUGAGUUUAGCACUAAAGAGAAAAUUAUGUGUUCUUGGGAGGAAGAAGGGGUGUCCAGGUAAAUGGGAAAAGGUUUUGCAAGUAGAUUUGGCUAAGAGAGAAGGGAGAGAGAGAAGAGGGUGGCUAGAGUGCUUCUUCCGGCAGCUUGACAGUGACUCUGUCAAAUGUUAGAGCAAUCUGCCAUAAGAGGGAAAAUGGGGAAGAAGGAUGAACAGUGCACAAAAUUGCUAGGUUUUUGCAAGUAAGAGAGGAAGCUUGCUCUCUGGAUGUGGAUGAUCCGUUGGGUAGAAGAGGCCCCAUUUUAUAGCCGCUGGAAACUAUCAUUUCUCAAGAAACCCUAAUAGUUUCUACCCAAUUUGGUCAAGCUUUUCCCUUCCUUUCUCAUCUCCUCCCUUGACUUUUCCUAUCUUGGUGAAAUUUCCUCUGUCUAUUUGCACAAAAUCAGGAGCUCAAGGCCUCCCUUUCCCGCAACUGUUCAAUGGGAGACUCCAUUCUUAGCUAUUUUUCUUCUUCUUUCCUUCCUCCUUCCCUGACCAAAUCUGAUGAAGGAAAGCAAAUAGGUGCACACAUUGGUUUGAAGGGUGCUUCUCCUUCUAGCAGCUUACAUGCCAAUAUCCCUUGGGUCCUUGCAUGUUUUUUGCUUUGAAACUUGUUUCUUCCUUCCCGUCAACUCACGUGGUCUUCCAUGCUUCUUCAUGGCUUUAUCUUUCAGCCAAAAGAUGGAGUUUUUACUGCUUGCUACUUUUAAUUGUAUGGGUCUUCUAGGAUAGGAAGUCAACCUACCAAACAAAUGGGCCACCUUUAUCAAAUAUUGGGCUGUUGGGGUUAGUUUUAGUGGGCCAUUUUGACUGGGCUUUUUGGUUGGGUUAUUUAAGUUAUUUUCCCUUUUGUGCUCACCCAUGUAUUUAGGCCUAAGAAAUGGGCUUGGGCUCCGAGUCUCCCAAGCAACCCGGAACCUCCAUUUCUUGGCCCAUUAAUGGGCCUCAUGACAACCUAUUACCAUCCAUACCACAACCCACUCAAGCAAGCCCCGGGCAUUUGAAUGGCUUUGGCCCACUUUAGGCUUGUAGUGUGAUUGGGUGUGGCAUAACGAUUUCUCGCUUGGCAUGGCAUGUUGCUUGGCAUGUUUUUUCAUUACGAUGCUUGAUGGAUUUGUAGAGCUACCUAUUUUUAUGAUCUUAAUCUUGAUUCCUAGCAUGACAAAUUUAUUUAUUUGGCAUGGCAUGCGGAGCGUGACUUGUGCGUGGCGAGUUUUGUAUGCUCCAACUUGGGCCUUUCCUAAAUAAUGUAUCAUUUUGGGUUAUGAAUUCUUUCGGGCCCAACCGUGAAUUUUUUGGGUUUCAACAGUGUGUUUUUAGCUAAAUUUUAACUAAAAAAUAGGGAGCAUGAUUGUAGAUCAUCUUAUAUACCUUAAUUUGAAGAUUCUUUAUUUGGGUUUCUUUCAAGAUGAAAACCAUAUCCACAACUGGCAGACAUCUUUGGCUGUUCAUCACAAUUGAGAGACAAUGAAGAAGACAUAAGGGAGAGGCCGCCAAAUACUUAUCACCUCAGCCACCACCAACACCACAAGACCAAUAUGUGUAGGCCAGGGGGCUUUCCAAUUUUAAUAUAUAUAUAUGGAGUGAAAAAAAUAAAAUAAAGAUUAUUGCUCAUCCUCCAUGCACUUGCAUGCCCUCUUACAAAGUGUGAAGAAGAUUUUGUGUGCUUCAAGUCAUUGACUAGAGCUGAAACAUGGUUAGCUGGAUUUAUAAGAUCUUUUGUUUUCUGGGAAUUUUCAGAACCAAGGAAAAUCAAGUAAAAUUAAUAAAGCAAAAUGGAAAGGGAAAAGAUCUAGAGGAUGCAUUGUAGGAUUGCUCAUGCCAAUAAUUGUACCCUCUAAAUAUAUAGGGACAUAUUUUUUUUGUUUUCAUGACAUGUUGUCCUAAAAUAUUUGUUCCUAGCGGGCUCUCCACCCCCUCUCGAUUGAAAACCUAUUGUGUAAAUCUUCAAUCCUGAACGAUGCUCCUAAAACUCAAGUGUCCCAGGCCAAUUAUUGCUCUCAUACCACUUGUUGCAAUACACAUCCACUCAUUCUCAGGGAAAGAAACCCAUCGAUAUUAUCUCAAAUUUAACCACUUUAGUCUAUUAUGAUUAACUAUGUAUUUUAUGGAUCAAUGCAGUUGUGAGGUUUUAUACCCAAUUAGAUCGACCAAUACAGAGAUCACAUGUGGACUGAAAAGCGCCAUCGGUAGGGGAGUGUUUGGCACCCUUUACUGCCGAGUGCAACACAAGACCCCUUACCAGGAACUUAUCUACUAGGACACGUGAAGCCACCACAAGUAAUAUCAACAGUCCCACAUCGAAGUUUAACAUAACAUGUACACUCCCCAGGACUGAUAAAAGUGGGCACAAGUCCCAAAAAUGGGGGAACUUGGACUUUCAGCAAUUCAUCCAUUAUUAUGUCCAAAUUACUAUACACUCCGUACUUAUUCUUACUUAAGCAUUGGAGAGCCUUCGGCCGGUACCACACCAGUGCCUAAGGGCUUACCGAGCGUUCUCUAUCUUGCAUAUUGAUCGCUCUACUGAAGCCCAUAAAGAGUUAAAGGUCAAGACAUCACUAAGUUGAGCCCAAAAGUGCUGAACCACAUCAAAAAUAUGUAUAGAUUGAAAAAAUAAAAUAAAAAUCAAUCUAUUAUCAUAUAUAUUAUAAAAUAAAUAUUGGAUAAAUUACUCAAAUGGUCCUCAAACUUAUACUCGAUUUACAUUUUGGUCUCUCAAUUAAAUUAUUUGUUCAAAUGGUCCAUCAACUCUAUAUUAUUUCUGCAAAAUCUACAAAGUGGUGGGAGGCAGACCAACAAAAAAAAUUAGCGAAGGCUUAUAACUCUGGUAAAACAAGAGUUACUUGGAUAGAAUAAUGUUACGUCGUACUGAAGAUUUUUGGGUUUCUUUAAUUGGUUAAGUGAAGAUUCUUUAUUUGGGUUUCUUUCAAGAUGAAAGCCAUAUCCACAACCACAACCACAACUGGCAGACAAUCUUUGGCUGUUCAUCACAAUUGGGCGACAAUGAAGAAGACAGAAAUUGGAGUACUGUAUGUUAUCACCCACACCACAAGACCAAUAUAAGGAGGAUGGGGAGGCUGCGGAAUACUUAUCACCUUAGCCACCACCUACACCACAAGACCAAUAUGUUGUAGGCCAGGAGGCUUUCCAAUUUUAAAUUAGAUAAAUCGGAAACUGUUUCGAUAUCCAAUUGUAUUCUAUAAAAUCAAUGAACACGGUGCUUCAAGAAAGUAAUAAAAUUUCAAUAAUUCAAUUGAGUGGUCAAAUUCAAGUGAUUUUUUGUAGUGAUGAUCUUUGAAUGAGUAUCUAUAAAAGAGACGGUUUGGAUUAGUGAAAUACAAUAUGGAGUGGGCCCUACCAGCAAUCCACGACAAAAUGUCUGCAAGCUUUCGUAAUAUAAGGAGGAUGGGGAGGCUGCGCAAUACUUAUCACCUUAGCCACCACCUACACCACAAGACCAAUAUGUUGUAGGCCAGGAGGCUUUCCAAUUUUAAUAUAUAUAUAUAUAUAUAUAUAUAUAUAUAUAUAGGGAUGUGAUUUCUCUACUCCCCUUUUCUCUACUUAUACUCCCUUUUGCUUUUAAAUACUUUUUAAUCAAUUUUUUUUCCGCUUUCCUAUUAAUAUUCUACCAUUUCCCUACAUUAAUUUCUUUUUACUUCACUUUUAUAUUAGUUCUUUUUCUUUAUACUUAAUUUUUCAACUUGCACUCCAUUUUCAUUAUUUUUUUCCUAAUCGAGUAAGAAAUUAAGUUUUUUUUCCCCAUUUAAUACUGAAAAUGGAGUGUAAGUUAGAAAAUUAGGUAUAAAGAAAAAGAAAUAAUAUAAAAGUAAAGUAAAAAAGAAAUUAAUGUAGGGUAAAGGUAGAAUAGAAAAGAGAAUGAACAAAAUUGAUAAAUAAAUAAAAAAGGUUUAAAAAGCAAAAAGGAGUGUAAAUGGAGAAAAGGGGAAUGAGGAAAUCAGCUCCAUAUAUAUAUAGAUUGAAAAAAUUAAAAUUAAAAUCAAUCUAUUAUCAUAUAUAUUAUAAAAUAAAGAUUAUUGCUCCAAGGAAAUGACAUCUUUUGUUUUCUGGGAAUUUUCUGAACCAAGGAAAAUCAAAUAAAAUUAAUAAAGCAUAAAUUGGAAAGGGAAAAGAUCUAAAGGAUGCAUUGUAGGAUUGCUGAUGCCAAUAAUUGUACCCUCAAAUUAUACAUGGACAUAGGGGUGGGCAUUCAAAUAGGCAAACUAGAAAUCCGAGCUGAACCGCACCUAGGAAAACCGGAAAAAAAACCGAGUUGACCAAAAAGUCAACAACUGGUCAAAAAUCGAACCGGACCGAUUUGGACUGGUUUUGGAUUCAGUUUAUAUGCAAUGCUACAUUUUUAGUCUCAUAACUAAUAUUUAUCCAAGUUCAAUUUCAAAACAUCUUUCUUUUUUAGCUUUAAUAUUUAUUUUUAUAUGAAAUUAAAUAAUUUAUUAAUUUUCAAGUAAAUAAAAUAAAAUUUCAGUUGAAAUUUAUAUUAAAAAAAUAAUUUUAAUAAUCCAGUUCAAAACCAAACCGGACCAUCCAGCUGUGAGGUACAUUUCUCCCACAUGCCACAAUUGUAUAUUCACAAUUACGUCUGAUACAUCACAUCAUGCCACUUGCCUCAAAUGAAUUUAAGUGAGUGUGGCAGUGGAAAGUAAUUAAGCUCUAUAUUGGUGGGUGGACUGUUACUUCUGGGUUCCCCUCAUCAUUCGUCUAUAAAAUGGUGAAGGCAGUUGCUAUUGUUACCAUAAGAGCCAGCUCCGACUUCCUUUAAUUUCUUGCUUCAUAUCCACUAGCUACAUCUGUUACCAAGUUAAUUUCAGUCCUAAUGGGGUUUCAUCUCCCACUCAUCUUUGCUCUUCUCAGUGUAAGCUCUGCAAUUUGAUUAACUUUUCCAUUCUCUCUCAUUGUACUCUAUAUAAACGAAAGUUUUGUGUUCCUAUAAUUCUCUCCGAUUUUAUUUAGUACGUACUUAAGUGUCGUCCACUAAUUAAUUACACUUUGUGAUUUGAUUUUAAUUUGAGUUCGAAUUAAUGUUGCAGCUAGCAGCAGUGGCACUGGCAAACCAUGCUGCUCAACCAGCACCUCAACUUUACUGGAACUCCGUCCUGCCAAACACACAGAUGCCAAGAUCUAUCAGUGAACUUCUGCAUCCUGGUUUGUGUUGAGCUCUUUAGAAUCUUAGAUAUCUCUUCUACCUGCCAUUUUACUAAAAUAUGUUCCACCACAUAUUUAUCAGUUAACCACUGUUAUUACAUGAGUGACACAUAUUCACAAAUCGGCUGAUCACUUAUUUUCCAUUAUGACGUUGAUAUAUAAUUUGCAGACUCCACAAAUGAAGAAAAGAGCACAAAUGACGUUGGCAAACCUGAAACUUUCCCAUUGGGCAAUAAACAUUACUCCAGUCAAAAACAUUAUGGAAGAGGCAAACCUGAAACUUUCCCAUUGGGCAAUAAACAUUACUCCAGUCAAAGACAUUAUGGAAGAGGCAAACCUGAAACUUUCCCAUUGGGCAAUAAACAUUACUCCAGUCAAAGACAUUAUGGAAGAGGCAAACCUGAAACUUUCCCAUUGGGCAAUAAACAUUACUCCAGUCAAAAACAUUAUGGAAGAGGCAAACCUGAAACUUUCCCAUUGGGCAAUCAGCAUUACUCCAGUCAAAAAAAGUAUGGAAGAGGUGCUUCUCCAUCCGACAAUCAACCACCAAUUCCAUAGAAAUUCAAACACGGCUACUUUCUUGCCACGAGAAAGCGCUCAAUCGAUCCCCUUCUCCUCUAACAAACUACCAGAAAUUUUCAACCAUUUUUCAGUGAAGCCAACAUCUGAGGAAGCCAAAACAAUUAAGCAAACAAUCGAAGAGUGUGAAGCUCCAGACCUUAAGGGAGAGGAAAUAUAUUGCGCCACAUCUUUAGAAUCAAUGGUUGAUUUUAGCACUUCGAAGCUUGGAACAAGAAACGUUGAAGCAAUCUCGACGGAGGUAUUGGAAAAAGGAGCCACCAUGUCCAUCCAAAACUAUACAACAAUGCCGGGACUGAAGAAGUUGGCAGGUGACAAAGUCGUUGUGUGUCAUAAGCAGAACUAUCCCUAUGCUGUGUUUUUCUGCCAUGCAAUAAAACAUACAGCAGCUUAUGCUCUCUCCCUGAAAGGCGAUGAUGGGGAGAAGGUUAAAGCAGUAACCAUCUGCCAUCUAGACACAUCAGAAUGGGACCCAGAGCAUAUGUCCUUCAAAAUCGUCAACGUUAAGCCCGGAACCAUUCCCAUCUGCCAUUUCAUUUCCACUGAUGCUAUUGCCUGGGUUCCGAACCACAAAUCUGCAUGAUCAUCACUUAGCACUAGUACUGUGCGUAUAAUAUGCCUGUAUAAUUAUCUCCCUACUUAUUUCUGCCUGUUCAUCAUGUGGUGUAAGAUAUAUGUUGAGAUGAAGUUUUUGGGAUUAGUGGUCGAAAUUAACCCGAUCAUGUUUUCUCUUGUAACUAUAUAGACUUCAACUUGUACUCAUAAUAAAGCAUGCUAUAUUUAUGAAGAGAUAUUAAUCUUCAGGCAAAUAGAUAUUAUGAAAACAUAUAUAGCAAUUUAUCCAGAAGAAAUAUUAUGAAAUGAAAAGAAUAAAAAGUAAAAAAACAGAAGGAAAGGAAUUCGCACCUGCUAUGUAUGAAAGGACCAAGAUUGUUUUCCCUUUGGUUAAUGACUAGAAAAGCUCACUUGCAGAUUGCUUUCUCUGACCGUAGAUGCAACAGAAAUUUUCUCUUAAUAAUAGCACAAUGAUCGGGUAAUUGUAAGAACAAGUUGAUUUAAAAUUCCUUGACCCAAAAAAAAAAAAAAAAUCAUUUCAAAUUCAGGUCAACCCAUAGAUUUCUUGCCUUUUUCUUCUUCAUCACGUUGGGCUUGUCUUCUUCUUGAGGAUUGUAUAGGCCCAGGAAAUGCUUUGAGGUAGUUUUUGGCCUUGGAAGUUGGGACCCAACCCAACUUCACAAAAAGAAAACAGAUUUGCCAAAAAUCAAAUUUCAAGUCUCUCCUCAGAUCACUAAUACAGAUCAAAUUUUGGAUUUGAUGAACUAAAGUGGUUUUACUUUCUCUGUCAGUGUUUGAUGACUUAAUUUGUUAUUUACUUCUUUUUUUUUUUUUACUUGAUCUUUGUAGGGGUUUUUUUCUUCCGGUAACUUAAACGGGCUGGGCUGCCGUAAAGGGUAGAUUGAUGAAAUUGUCUCCUUUGUCUGAGUUCGAAAAUCAAGCCCCAAAAGCGCUUCGAAAGGGCAGUAGAGCCUUAGGAAGCGUUCUAGUCAUCUUCACCAACUAAAACAACAGCAACUUACAGAUGAUUUCUUAAGGCUUACAGAUAAAUUUUCUAGCUUGGCAUGAGAGGCUUGUGACAUGGAAGCAAAAUCAGCAUGAGUUUAGCACCAAAGAGGAAAAUAUGGCUUCCUAGGGAGAAAUGGGAGUGUUUAAGGUGAGGAAGAAGAGGUUUGCAGGCUGAUUUGGCUGAGGAGAGAGAAAGAAAGAACAAUGUUCUUCCAGUAGCUUGACAAAGCUUCUGACAGAUGUGAAAGUCGUCUGCCAUAAGAGGAAAAUGAAGAAGAAUGGUGAAUAGUGCAUGAAAUUGCUGGGUUUUUGCAGGUAAGAGAGAAAGCUUGCUCUCUGAAUUUGAGUUGGUUUUUGGUUGGGUAGAAGAGGCCCCCUUUUAUAGCUGCGGGAAACCAUCUUUUUUCAAGAAACCCUAAUGGUUUCUAUCCAUUUUGGCCAAGCUUUUCCCUUCAUUUCUCUUCUCCUCCCUUGACUUUUCCUAUCUUGGUGAAAUUUCCUCUGCCUAUUUGCACAAAAUUAGAGAUUUUGAGGAGCUCAAGACCCCUUUCCCGCAGCUGCCUCAGUGGAGAAUCCCCAUUUUCAGUCAUCUUUCUUCCUUCUUUUCUCCCAUCUUCCAAGGUUAGGUCUGAUGAGGGAAAGAAAUGGGUAUGCACACUGGUUUGAAGGGUAUUUUUGCUUGAAACUUGUUCUCUCCCAUGUGCUGGAGCUUCCCAGCAACUUACACACAUGGAUAUUUUGGCUUUCAUCGUGGCUUUUGUUUUCAGCUAGGUGCUGGAGAUUUCGCAGAUAUUUUCAUGAGUUGCUUGGGCCUUCUAGGACAAUAGGUUGGUUUAUCAAGUGAAUGGGCUAACUUCAUCAAUUGUUGGGCUAUUUUGGUUGAGUUAAUGGACUAUUUUGGUUGAAGUAAUGGGCUAUUUUGGUUGAAUUAAUGGGCUAUUUUUCUCUCUUUGUGCUCACCCACAUAUUUGGGCCUAAGAAAUGGGCUUGAGUUCCGGGGCUCCCAAGCAACCCCGGGACUUCCAUUUCUCGGCCCAUCAAUGGGCCUCAUAUCAACUUAUUACCAUCCAUAUCACAACCCACUCAAGCAAGCCCUGGGCAUCUUGCGUGGCUUGGGCCCACUUAAGCUUGUAGCGUGACGUGUUGCUUAUUUGCUUGGCAUGGCAUGUGUGCAAGCGCAUAUGACGAACUUUAGCGUGCCCAAAUUGGGUUUAUUCUCGGUAAGGUAUCGCAUUGGGCCGAGAAUUUAAUUGGGCAGAACUGUGGAUUUUUGGGCCUCAACAAUCUUAUAUAUAUUGGUUUUCUUUUUUUCCUUAAUAUUCACCACCUUUCUGUUGCAUAAGUAUUUCAGUCUUAACGGGUUUCCAUCUACCACUCAUCUUUGCUCUUUUAAGUGUAAGCUUUUUUUUUUUUUUUUUAAGCACAAGAUUAGAGGGGAGGGGGAUUUCUCAAUGUAAGCUUUGCAGUUUCAUAAUUAAUAUUUCCAAUAUCUCACUGUUAGUAAAAUAUGGAACAGGAAAAGUAUGAAUAAAAUACACACAUGUUUUAUUUAGCAAAAUUUUGACAAGAUACAACUGAAAAGUUUGGCCACUAUAUAAUAUUUUGAUAUAAUUUCUACACUUCUUCUCAAAAGAUUAGAUCACUUCACAUCUUGUGUAUGUGAAAACUAAUGUAAAAAGUUGAAACUUUAUCGUAAAACCUCGACAAAAAUGAGCUCUACUAGAAAAUGUUCAAUUUGGAUUCGUUGAUUUAAAUGGCAAUUUGACACUUGAUAGAAAUUUUUACAUACAUGUGUUAGUGUUUGAUCACUUCACAUGUUACUUACUAUAUUUAUUCCACUCAAGUUAGGUAAAUAUUAUUAUCAAACAUUUCAAUUAAUUUGUGAUUUUUUUAUUAUUUAAUCAAUUAUGAAUUAAUGGAUUCUUCUUGUUGUUUUGAAGACCAAUAAAAAAAAAAGGGUAAGGAUGGCUUAUAACUCUGAUAAAACAACAGUGACGUGGACAGCAGAUGUUACACCGUACUGAAGAUUUUUGAAGAUUCUUUAUUUGGGUUUCUUUCAAGAUGAAAACCAUAUUAUCCACAACCACAAUGAAGAAGACAGAAAAUGGAGUAAUUCAGAUGUUACCAGCCAUCCACGACAAACUGAAGUCUGCAAAGCAUUCGUAAUCUAAAGGGAGACUUUGGAAAAGCCCAAAGGAGAGAGAAAAUUUUUAAAAGAAGCAAAAAUGGACAAAAUUGCCCUUAUUUAUUUUUUGAUUUCCUAAGAAAUCCUUUACAUUUGCAUGUCUUUGGUUUGAAAGUUGAGAGGUUAUUCUGUCUUUUUUCAAAAAGCUUUGGCUUUUUCCAAAAGUGAAAGUUUUUUUAUGGGUAAAACCUAAAUUUACUUAAUCCCUAAAAAGGAUGGGGAGGCUGCGCAAUACUUAGCCACGUGUAGGCCAGGAGGCUUUCCAAUUUUAAUAUAUAUAUAAAUUGAAAAAAUAAAAUAAAAAUCAAUCUAUUAUCCUAUAUAAAAUAAAGAUUAUUGCUUCCAUGGGCAGUGCUAUGCACAGGACAGUGCCUGCCCAGCACAAAUUUUUUUUAAAUAAAAAAAAAAAAUCUACAUAUGUUAUAAGCUCAUCCAAAAAAAUAAAAUAAAAUAAAAGUAAAUUCUACAUAUAUGUUGCCCAUCUAGGUGGUUCCAUAUCUUCUCUCUCCUUCUCUUUUGGCUAUUAGACUUCUUGUUUCUCUCUCUCUCUUUGCUACCUCACAUCAGCAAGUUUCUCCCUCUCUUUUUUUGGGGUCAAAUUCUUCCUCUAUUGACAAAAUCUUCUAUUAUCUUGGGUGGGCAACUUGGCAACAACAUCUUCUCUUCUCCUUUUGUCAACAACAAGUAUUAUUCUCAUUCUCUCAUUUGCUAUAUAUCUUUAAUUAUAGUUUUAAUUUAAAAUUGAGUAUUCUAGGGUUUAAUUAGGGAUGAAUUAUAAUUUUAGAAUUUUGUUGAAAUUAAUUAAGGCUUCGAUUAGGGGUGAAUUAUUCUACUGCUUUGGUUUGGAAUUUUGUUAAAAUUGAGUAUUAUAGGGUUUAAUUAUGGAUGAAUUAUAAUUUUUGAUUUUGGUAUUAUUGAGAUGUUAUUAUGAGAAUUUGUUUCAUUUUUUUAUUGGUAUAUUUGAUUAAAAUUCUUUCUACAUAUUAUUCAUAGGCUAUCUUUUAUUAUGUCGGAUCACAAUCGGAAUCCCAAGAGAACAAAGAAUUUGAAUAGUGUUGUUUUGUAUUGCAUUGCAUUUACUUUUGGUUUUAGUUUUGCUUUUAGUGUAAAUUACUCAAAUGGUCCUCAAAUUUGUACCCGAUUUACAUUUUGGUCCAUAAACUAAAUUAUUCAUUCAAAUGGUGCACCAACUCUUUAUUAAUCAGUGCUUUGGUCCUACCGUUAUGUUUUCUAUUAAAUUUAGUCAUGUGAGCAGCACAUGCUACAUUUGUAGGGGUAAAUAAGACUUUUGACCACUUUAUCACCUAUGUAUCACCACUUUAUAACCUAUUUGGAGAACAUAGGUCAGUUAUGGACGGUUUUACAAUUAUAUUUGACGGCAACAUUAACAUAAUGUAACAGUGGGAUCAAUGGAGCGAUUAAUAUAGAGUUGAUGGACCGUUUGAACGAAUAAUUUAAUUGAGGGACCAAAACGUAAAUUGAGUAUAAGUUUGAGGACCAUUUGAGUAAUGUACCCUUCGCUUUUAUAUUUGUUGAACUUUUAUUUAUGGAUAGAUAUGCAUUUGAGGGUAAGACCCAUUAUGUUCCCCCUGACUUGGUGUAUCUUUUUAUGUUUAUUAAUGAAAUUCACUCGAACUGUUGAGUUUAGUAUGUAAGUUUUGCCUAACCGGCUUUUGAAUCCUAGAACCGCCACUGUUGCUCCAUCCUCCAUGCACUUGCAUGUGCUCUUACAAAGUGUGAAGUAGAUUUUGUGUGCUCCAAGUCAUUGACUAGAGCUGAAACAUGGUUAGCUAGAUUUAUAAGGACCCAUCUCUCUAUUUCCUAGACAUAUACCCAUCUCUCUAUAAAUCUAUAUGUAAAACUCAAUUUCAAACUUAAAUGACCAGUAAGAUAUAAGAGGUCAUAGUAUUCCUAUGUUUUUACAUCGUUGCCACCAGACUUCUUAUUUUAUUUAUAAUUUAUUUCAAGCAUUUCAUUAACUGCCAUAAUUGUAAUUAAUACUCCAUAUUAAUAGCAUAUCAAUCACCCCAUUUCUUUUGAUUGCCAUUCCCUCUAACAUAUCGCCCCUUAAAAUUGAAAACCAAAAAAAAAAAAAAUGUAAAUUACAUAUCCAAUAAUGUACCUAUGAAAAAUAUAAAUAUAAAUAUAUACGUAUAAAAAUAUAGGUUUAUUAUUUACCAAAUAAAAAAUAUAAAAAAACUAGGUCAGUUGCUUUGUAAUUGAAAUUUCUAUACAUUUUCCACAAAUUAAAAAUAGGUACACAAUAAUUUAUAGAAAAUAUAGGUGCAUUAUUUAUCCAUAGGUAAAAAUACCUAUAAAUGCACAUAGGUAAAUUAUUUACCCAUAUAUUAUUUUUUUGCUAAGGAUUUACCUUAGUUUUUAGUAGAUUAAUUUACCUACCUAGAGGCAUAGGUAGCUUAAAAAAAUUGUAGCACCUUAGUUGGUUGCAUACUAAUUUACCUACCUAGAGGCAUAGGUUGCUAAGAAAAAAUGUAGGUAAAUUCAUGUACCUAAACACAUAGGGGUCAAAUAGAGAAUAACAUGUUAUUUCCCUUCGAACAAAUUAAUUUCAAACCAUAACAAUAAUUGAAUUCGGAAAUUGGUAUAAAUAAAAGGAAAUAAAUAAGCUAUCAAUUUGAAAAUUAAAAUAAGAAAUGAUCAAGUAGUCAUAUUUGAAAAAAAAGAAAAGAAUAUAUUCUUGGUUUUUAUAGGAACAACGUGUAUAUUCAAACCAAAUGGCAGUAACUACACCAAGCUUUAAUUACUUUUUUUUAAGGCCAAAAGUCACUUUUGGUCUCUGUAGUUUGACACUUCUAUUACUUUUGACGCUGUAGUUUCAAUUCCGUCAAUUUUGCCAUUGUAGUUUCAUAUUUGUAGCAAUUCAAGGACAUGUUAAUAUUAAUGUCAAUUUGUUUAAUGAUGCAAGGGGUAAUUUCGUCAUCCCAAAAUCCUUGAGCAUAAAAGCUUGUCUGAAAUUCUCCCCAUUUCAUAUUAGGGCUCGAAAUUCAACCACUAAUCCCAAUUUUUGAAGAACCCUAUACCCAAAUGACCAAUUUCAAGCCCUAAUAACAAAUUAGGGAAGUUUUAGAUGAGCUUUUAUGCUCAAGGAUUUUGAGUUGAAGAAAUUGCCCCUUGCACUGUCAAAGAAAUUGAUAGGAAUACUGACUUGUCCUUGAAUUGCUACAAAUACAAAAAUACAGGGUCAAAAUUAACAGAAUUUAAACUAUAUGGUCAAAAGUGGUUAAAGUGCCAAACUACAAGGACCAAAAGUGACUUUUAGCCUUUUUGUUUAAAUAAGGAAAAAACUUACCUAUUAAAUCCUUGGAAUCUAUACAAAAUUGAAACACAGUUAAUCAGCAUUGAAUUGCAGCUAAUUUCUUAAACAAGGGUAUUAUAGGAAUUUAAAAAGUAUAACAUUUAAUCCAUUGAGCUUGAUUAGGAAUCUUGAUGAGUUGGAUCCUAGUUAUAUAGUUUCUCUUAUAAAAAUCGGGUUUUAUUUAUAGACAAAUAAAACAAUGGGUUGUAGGUAAGAAAAUAUUAAUUUGAAGGGAAAGUGUCACAUCCUGGGAUCGGCUCCGCCGUAGCACGAUAUUGUCCGCUUUGGGCCCCCCUCUCUGCCCGCACGGUUUUGUUUCUGGGAGCUCACGAGCAACUUCCCAGUGGGUCACCCAUCCUGGGAUUGCUCUGGCCCCCAACUCGCUUAACUUCGGAAUUCCUAUGACUCCGAAGCCAGUGAGCUCCCAAAAGGCCUCGUGCUAGAUGGAUGCGGGUGUGUACAUAUAAGACACAUCACCCCCUCUCCGUUGGUUGAUGUGGGAUCUUACAGAAAGAGUCAAAUUUACUAAAUUAAUAAAGCAUAAAUUGGAAAGGGAAAAGAUCUAGAGGAUGCAUUGUAGGAUUGCUCAUGCCAAUAAUUGCACCCUCUCGAUAUUGAAAAACCUAUUGUGUAUUAUUAUCUUCAAUCAUGAAUGAUGCACCUAAAACCCAAGUGUCCCAAGCCAACCAUUGCGCUCAUACCACUUGUUGCAGUACACAUUCACCCGUUUUUAAAGAAAGAAAUUCUACCAAUCGAUAUUGUCUCAAAUUUAAUCACAUAGGUCUAUUAUGGUUAACCAUAUGUACUUUUAUCGGCCAUAUAGAGGUACCUUUUUCCAACGUGCAACAAUUGUAUUUGAUUCACAAUUAUGUCUGAUAUACAUCACAUCAUGCCACUUGCCUCAAAUGAAUUUAAUUGAGUGAGGCAAUGGGAAGUAAUUAAGCUCUAUAUUGGUGGGUGGAGUGUUACUUCUGGAACCCUCAUCAUUCGUCCAUACAAGGGAACAAUUCCCUUCCUUCUAUAAAAUGGUGAAGCCAGUUGCUAUUGUUUGUUAGAGUUUUAGGAUCUGAGUGUUAGAUUUUGUGAGAAGAGAGAAGAGAAUUUAGUGAAAACUUCCAAUACUGCUCUGCUAUACGUGUAGCAGAGAGAACAUUCUGUUUUGUUAUAUAUUUUCAGUACAACAACACACACUUGGUGUGAGAAGAAAAAUGACUGUUAUGCACAGUACCAGCUGGAUGCUUUCCAUCAAAGUAAUCUCAGCCAUUCACUAUCUAACCAAUCAAGCUAUGACACCUGGACUAAGUAUAAAGAAAUACAACUAAGCAGAAAACAAGACUCUUAAUCCUGAAAUCAACUUAAGCACUUAUAAUUCAACACUCCCCUUUAAGUCUUGAGGUGAUUUCACUCCAAGCAUGCCUCUGAGAUAAUUGAAUCUGUCUUUGGCCAGAGGUUUGGUAAAAAUGUCAGCCAAUUGUUCAUUUGUAGGACAAUAUUCCAGAUUGAUUACCCCUUCUUGCAAUGCAUCCUUGAUGAAGUGAUACCUCCUGUCAAUAUGCUUUGUCUUCUGGUGGAAUACAGGGUUUUUAGUGAUUGCAAUUGCUGAGAUAUUAUCACAAUGCAAUGGAGUAGCUUCAGUUUGAAGCUCUCUAAAGUCUUCUAGCACAAAACGGAGCCAAAUAGCUUGAGUAGUAGCCUCAGCUGCACUGAUGUACUCAGCUUCUGCAGUAGACAGUGCAACACAGUUCUGUUUCACUGAGGCCCAAGAAAAUACUCCACUUCCAAAACUAAACGCAUACCCUGAUGUGCUCUUGCAAUCACCAACUGAUCCUCCCCAAUCACUGUCACAGUAACCAACUAGAAUUGAUCUUUUGCCUUUCACAUAUUCAAGACCAUAGUCCAGAGUUCCUUUGAUGUAUCUCAAAACCCUUUUAGCUGUUCCAUAGUGUCUAUUUGUAGGACAGUGCAUGAAUCUAGCUAGCAAGCUUGAGGCAUACAUGAUGUCUGGUCUUGUAGCAGUUAAGUACAGCAAGCUACCAACAAUGCUUCUGUAUUGUUCUUCAUUUGCAGCUCAACUCCCAUCAUCCUUAGCUAGUUUCUCAGUGGCAACAAGGGGUGUUGUCACAGGUUUGCACUCAGUCAAACCAAACUUGCUCAACAAGGUGCUAGCAUAUUUCUUUUGAUGUAGAAAUAUACUAGACUCAGUCUGAAUAACUCCCAUGCCAAGAAAGUGAUGAAGUAAGCCCAAAUCAGUCAUCUCAUACUUAGCCAUCAUGUCUUCUUUGAAUUCAGCCAACAAUGCUUGACUGCUCCCUGUAUACACAAUAUCGUCUACAUAGAUAGACACAAUUAGAAUCUCCUUAUCUCCCCUUACUUUGGUAUAUAAGGUUGUUUCACUUAAGCUUUUCACAAAACCACAUUGAGUGAAGUAGCUGUCUAUCUCUCCAUACCAAGCCCUUGGGGCUUGCUUCAGACCAUAAAGGGCUUUAUGCAAACGAUAAACCUUGUCUUCUUUACCUUUAAUUACAAAACCUUCAGGCUGACUGACAUAAACUUCCUCUUGCAGCACACCAUUAAGGAAAGCAGACUUCACAUCAAGCUGGAACAAUUUCCAAUCCUUUUGAGCAGCUAGAGCAAUAAGUGUUCUAAUGGUGUCCAAUCUGGCUAUAGGUGCAUAAGUCUCAUUAUAAUCCAGUCCAGGCUUCUGAGCAUACCCCUUAGCCACUAAUCUUGCUUUAUUCUUUUGCACUGAGCCAUCCAAAUUCAGCUUUGUCUUGUACACCCACUUAACUCCAAUCACUGGUUUUUCAGUUAGUCUAUCUACCAAUUCCCAUGUUUCAUUCUUUUCAAUCAUCUGCAGUUCAUCUUCCAUAGCCUUAAGCCAAGAUUCAUCCUGAGCAACAUCAGCAUAUUUUUCUGGUUCCAUGAUACACAAGUUACACUGAGCUAGAACAUCAUCUAGCCUUCUCCAUUUUAGAGGGGUGUGAUCAUAAGCUUGAGUUCUCCUUUCUUCACUGCUUAUAUCACCUGGAGUUGAUGAAAUGCUCUCUUGCAUAUCCAAAGUUUGAGGUGUACCAGUAGAAUUCUCAUUAGAACUGUCAGAUUUCAAGUCCAAAUCAACUUGGUUUUCAAUUGAGUAUGUUGUCAUAACUGAACCAUUUUUGUUUGUCCAAUGCCAAGCAUUUUCUUCAUCAAAUGUCACAUCCCUUGAUAGUAAAAGCUUGUUAGAAACAGGAUCAAAAACUCUAUAUCCUUUUUCACAAGUUGCAUAUCCCACAAACACUCCCUUUGUACUCUUAGGAUCCCGCUUGUGUCUCAAUUCAGUUGGCACAUGAACAUAACACAGAGAACCAAACACUUUCAGAUGUGCAAUUCCAGGCUUCCUUCCACUAUAUGCUUCGAAUGGAGUAAUGUUGUUGAGAGCUUUGGUAGGACAUCUGUUCAGCAAAUAGAUAGCUGUAUGCACAGCUUCUGCCCAUAGGAAAUAAGGCAUUCCCUUCUCAUGUAACAUUGAUUUUGCCAUCUCAAUGACAGUUCUAUUCUUCCUCUCAACUACUCCAUUCUGCUGAGGAGUAUAGGCCAUUGUAAGCUGCCUUUGAAUGCCAUUAGCUUCACAAAACUCCAAAAAAUCAGUAGACAUAAACUCUCCACCCCUGUCACUUCUUAUGCACUGAACCUUGUGUCCAGUUUGUAAUUCAGUCAUGGACUUGAACUUCUUGAAACAAAAGAAGGCUUUUGACUUGUUUCUCAAGAAGUAUACCCAAAUCAUUCUUGUGAAAUCAUCUAUAAUCAGCAUGAAAUAUCUGUUCCUUGCAACAGACUCAUUUCUCAUGGGACCACAGAGAUCCACAUGUAUUAGCACUAGUACUUUGCUUGCUCUUUGAGCUUGAUCUUUUGGAAAAACAUUUCUGUGCUGUUUUCCAAAUUGGCACCCGUCACACACACCACUUUGUUCUUCCAAUUUUGGUAAACCAUGUACCAUUUCUUUAUCACUUAGCUGCUUCAAUCCUCCAAAAUGCAGAUGACCAAAUCUCUUGUGCCAAAUCCAUGUGGAUUGAAGAAAACUAGUCUUCAUUAGUAACUGUUUUUCAGCUAGAAAAGAGACAGGAUAGCAUCUGUUACUCUUCAUUUGCACCUUUAUGAUGAGAUAAUCCAUGGAUGGGCUAUCAAAUACCCUGCACAUCCCUUCUCCAAACACUAGACAGUACCCAUGUUCAUCCAUCUGCCCAACACUUAGCAGAUUUUCUUUCAAUCCUGGCAGAUACAUUACUUCUCUGAUGUAUUUCCUGCCCUUUGCUGUAUCAAUACUCAGUGAGCCAAUACCAGCUACACUCACUAAUGCACCAGUUGGCAUUUGUACUCUCCCAGCUACAUUAGUUCUCACAUCAACCAGCAAAUCUAAAUUUCCUGUCAUAUGAUUGCUGCAGCCACUGUCAAUGUACCAUUCAUUGGUUUUGAUCUCAGUGGUUGAGCAAUUGGCAUAAAACAGGUUUCCUGUAACCUCCAUUUGAUUUACACAAUUAGCCUUCUGCACAUUUUUGCUCACUGUACAGUCUCUAGCAAGAUGUCCAACUCUGUCACAGUUAUAGCAUUUUGGUUUUCCCUUAUACCUGCACUCACCAAAAUGAUGCUUUGAACACACCUUGCAUUGAGGCUUUGUGUUUUCCUGAUUUGAGAACUGUGUUGAAGUGUGGUUCUGUGCAGAAUAAUUAUUCUGCUGUGUCUUGUCUUUUGCCUCCCAUGACUUCCCUUUAGAGUUCCAGCUUCUCUGUGACUUAGAUGAACCAGACUGAGAAGCAUUUUUGUUCUGACCCUUUGAAUUCACAGUGAAUGAGGCAAAUGCCUUCUCAGCUGUAUCAACACUAUGCAUUUCAAGCCUUUGCUCCCGACUCUUCAAAAUGGCAGUUACUUCCUGCAAAUCCACAGUUUCUAGUGUCUUUGUGUUUUCAAUCACAAUGCAUAUAGGGUCAUACUUCUUACUUAGACUAAUUAACACCUUCUGAACCUACCUCUCAUUUGACAGAACUUCACCAAAUGUUUUCAUUUGGUUAAUCAAUUCAGUUAGUCUAGUAAGAUAUUCAGAUAAGGUUUCACUAUCACGCAUCCUACUGUAUUCAAACUCACGUCUAAGGUUUUGAAGCUUUACCGAUCUAACAUGCUCUCCACCAUGAUAUUCUGAGUACAGCAGAUUCCAAGCCAUCUUUGCAGAGUCAGCAUUGGCAAUUCUGGGAAAAAUCUGAUCAGAAACAGCAUUUUGAAUGAUACCCAAGGCCUUCGCAUCCUUCAUGAGAAUCGCAGCUGUUUUCUCAUCAACUUCUUCUUCUGAACCAUCCUCAGAUUCCUGCUUCGUCUUUGAAUCUGGGAUUAAAAACCCCUUCUCUACCAAACCCCAUAAACCAUAUGAUCUGAAUAUGGUUACCAUCUUAAUCCUCCAAAAUUCAUAGUUCUCACCUGAGAAAAUGGGGAUUCUAGCCUCUGAACUUCCAGAUCCAGCCAUUACGAAUUUCAGAUUCGCCUGGAAACAAGAUGUUUUCAGAUUUGACCCUUGAUCGAGCUCAAUCAGCUUCGUGAGCUUAGAAUGAGCUCACCUCGAUCGAUUUUCUUCACAGAACAACGCCCAGCUUCAGAUAAUCAAACUUGGCUCUGAGGCCAUGUUAGAGUUUUAGGAUCUGAGUGUUAGAUAUUGUGAGAAGAGAGAAGAGAAUUUAGUGAAAAUUUCCAAUACUGCUCUGCUAUACGUGUAGCAGAGAGAACAUUCUCUUUUGCUAUAUAUUUUCAGUACAACAACACACACUUGGUGUGAGAAGAAAAAUGACUGUUAUGCACAGUACCAGCUGGAUGCUUUCCAUCAAAGUAAUCUCAGCCAUUCACUAUCUAACCAAUCAAGCUAUGACACCUGGACUAAGUAUAAAGAAAUACAACUAAGCAGAAAACAAGACUCUUAAUCCUGAAAUCAACUUAAGCACUUAUAAUUCAACAUUGUUACCAUAAGAGCCAGCUCCGACUUUCUUUAAUUUCAGUCCUAACGGGGUUUCAUCUUCCACUCAUCUUUGCUCUUCUCAGUGUAAGCUCUGCAAUUUGAUUAACUUUCCCAUUAUCUCUCACUGUACUCUAUAUAAAGGAAUAAGUGUCGUCCACUAAUUAAUUACACUUUGUGAGAUUUGAUUUUAAUUAGAGUUCGAAUUGAUGUUGCAGCUAGCAGCGGUGGCACUGGCAAACCAUGCUGCUCAACCAGCACCUCAACUUUACUGGAACUCCGUCCUGCCAAACACACAAAUGCCAAGAGCUAUCAGUGAACUUCUGCAUCCUGGUUUGUGUUGAAUAAAUAUAGUAUGUUACUGGAGUACGUAUGGCAACAUAUUCACAAAUGUGUCACGUAUUUUCCAAUAUGACGUUGAUAUAUAAUUGCAGACUCCACAAACGAAGAAAAGAGCACAAAUGUCAUGAAUGCUGUUGGGAAUGGAAAGCCAAUUGACCACAAGGGCAACCUGAAAAUACUGUACUACCACAGCUUGCACGACGCCCAUUUUCUUACAAGAGUGAUGAUCGUCCCACUGACAAUCAACUCCAUUAUAAAAACGUAGCUAUUUUCUUCUUGGAGAAGGACAUGCGCCCUGGCACAACAAUGAGCUUCCAAUUCCCUAGAAAUUCAAACACGGCUACUUUCCUGCCACCAGAAAGAGCUCAAUCGAUCCCCUUCUCCUCUAACAAACUACCAGAAAUUUUCAACCAUUUUUCAGUGAAGCCAACAUCUGUGGAAGCCAAAACAAUUAAGCAAACAAUCGAAGAGUGUGAGGCUCCAGGCAUUAAGGGAGAGGAAAUAUAUUGCGCCACAUCUUUAGAAUCAAUGGUUGAUUUUAGCACUUCGAAUUUUCGAACAAGAAACGUUCAAGCAAUCUCGACAGAGGUAUUGGAAAAAGGUGCCACCAUGUCCAUGCACAAGCAUACAACAAUGCCGGGACUGAAGAAGUUGGCAGGUGACAAAGUCGUUGUGUGUCAUAAGCAGAACUAUCCCUAUGCUGUGUUUUACUGCCAUGUAAUAAAACCAACAGCAGCUUAUGUUCUCUCCCUGAAAGGCGAUGAUGGGGUGAAGAUUAAAGCAGUAGCCAUCUGCCAUCUAGACACAUCAGAAUGGAACCCAAAGCAUUUGGCCUUCCAAAUCCUCAAAGUUAAGCCCGGAACAAUUCCCAUCUGCCAUUUCCUUCCCACUGAUCAUAGUGUCUGGGUUCCGAACCACAAAUCUGCAUGAUCAUCACUUAGCACUGUACGUAUAAUAAGCUUGCACCCCUGUAUAAUUAUCUCCCUACUCUACUUAUUUCUGCCUCUUCAUGUGGUGUAAGAUAUAUGAUGAGAUGAAGUUUUUGGGAUUAGUGGUCGGGUUGCCUUAAAAACACAGAUUACAGAAACUGCUUGAACUUAACCCGAUCAUGUUUUCUCUUGUACUCGUAAAGCAUGCUGUUGUGGUUCUACUUAAUUUCGUUCUCCCCAAUGUUUGAGUGUUUAAUUGUUACGUUGGAUAAUGCUUGUAGUUAGAGAAGCCUUCAUUUAUAUCAAAGUCCUCAACUUGUAAAGAUAUCAAUGGUCCUAGUGCUGCCACGUGUAAGAAGAUUGAAGAAUAAAGCUGUUGAGAUAUUGUUAGACCUGUUAUGCAGUUUAGGAAAACUGUUAGUAUUGAUAAGAGAAGGUUAGAGAUGUUAGAGAGGUUAGAAAACACGUGAACAAGGCUUUAACUCAGCUGAUAUAAAGUCUGUAGUUGUGCUCAGUUGAACUUAAUGAGAAAUACAACAAGUCUCUUCUCUAUCUCUGAAAUUCUCUCUGCUCUCUCUGCUUUACUUCUUUUGUCUCUGCUCUACAUUUUUUUUCAAUCUUCCUAUCUUAACAAAACUAUCAAGAAUUAAUGCAUCCAGAAACAUAUAUACCAAGACGCAAAACAACAUAUUUUUCAUGCUCUGUCUGUAACACCAAAGCAAACUUCCUUUAUCACAAAAGGAUCAAAUUCCAGUACUAAUCUAAUCCAUCAUGUAAAGCAUACAAUCUACAAGUGCCUCCCUUAAUUUGUCCAUUGGAUAUAUAUGUCACUUUUUGGUAAUUUGGUAUAGCAGCACCACGUAGUCUUGAAAUAGUAGUGCGGCUAUACCAAAUAUACCAUUUGCCCCUGCAUUUAACAGAAAAGUAAACAAAAUUGACGGUAGAACUAUUUGUCCUAACGAAACUGCAGUUGAAAGACCAUGAGAACGAUUUUGAAAAUUGAGGGACUCAAAUGAAAAUUGGGUCUAAGUUCAAGAACCAAUAAAACGAUUAACCCAUAGAUUUUGGAUCCAGUACCACAUCCCAAAGAGAAAACCACAAGUUUGCAAGCAAGUUUGUCCAUAAUAACACUACGUACAGUAUGGGCAGUGCGCUAGACUCAUCUCACUUUCUCAACCUAUCCUAUAGUUGUCUAAAAGAGUUUCUAAUUUAAUGUACUGAGAUUUACGAAAGAAAUAUCAGAGAAACAAUUUUCAGGCAAUAAAAAAAUGUCUUGGCAAGAAAAUGUACAAUUUGUUACAUAACUUAUUAAAUAUGAACAGUUGAAAGAAAAAAGAAUCUGGAUGAGGGAUUUGCAAAUUCCUAUGGCCCAAUUACCUUUUUUUCUUUGUUGUUUUUUUUUUUUUUUUUUUGGUUCUUUUGAUCCAGUAGCAUAUUCCAAAGAAUGAAAACCACAGGCAUGCAAUGCAAGCUCUUUUCCCACGUUUUCCUCUGUUUUUCUCCUAUCAUGGAAGUGAUUAAAACACACCUCUAAGCUUGUUUUGCGUUUGGUAGCCGAGUGUAAAAGCUCAAUGCAAGAUAGUUUGAGGUAGAAUUUUCUCCUAUUUUAUUAGGACAAUGAUAAUUAAAAAAAAGUGUGAUUCAUUGAAUAUUUGCGGGGUUUUGUUCAGACCUGACAAAGUUCUAAGUCAACACAUCAAAUUCCUUUUUCCAACAUGCAACAAUUGUAUUUGAUUCCCAAUUUUUUCUGAUAUACAUCACAUCAUGCCACUUGCAUCAAAUGAAUUUAAUUGAGUGAGGCAAUGGGAAGUAAUUAAGCUCUGUAUUCGUGGGUGGAGUGUUACUUCUGGAACCCUAAUAAUUCGUCCCUACAGGACUCUAGAACUCUCAAACUUCUUACAAGGACUACUUAACUCUAUAGCUUAAUGCAUAUAGCAUAUAUAUGCAAACACAAUUAGAAAUUCUACAACAGAAGCAAGAUCAAUCUCACUAUGCCUUCUAAACAAACAAACAAAUAAAACAAGCAUAUUAAUUGCUUUAAUCACUCUACUAACAUCAACACAGCACACUUAGUUUACUAACAGAUGAUAUAGAAAGGAAAAAAAAGGACCAAUAGGGAGAAAAUGGUGAACUAAGGAGAGACUAAUACUUCUGGUCCUUAGAAGGCAUAACAGAAAUAAUAGAGCACACUGCUUGAAUGCAAGUCAGUAUUAGGAGCAAAACAGCUGCAAUGAAAGAAAUAGUUGCCCAAGGUGUAUUGAAAUAAUGUUGCCUCAAAUUUGCCUUCCAUUUGUUCCAAGGCUUUCUGCAGUAGCUAUUAAGGCGCUCAGAAAGAAUAGCAAAGUAGAAGCUUUCACGAUACACUGCAAUUCCUUUUCCGAGGUUGUUAAUCAGAGUGCACACCUCAUUGUAGUCACCAAGCAUAUUUUUGACAAUCCCAUCCUUCAGAAGGAACUCCACAUCCUUUUCGGUGUUCACAAACUCAUCCAUGAGUGAAACAUAAUCACUUAUGUAAUUCUUACGGCAAUGGCACUAUUCAAAGGCAAUGAGGUUACGGAGUGUGAGCUCUGUGUAAUCGUGUAUUUUUAGUUUUGGAAUUUCUAGAAUCCCAUCGUUGAAUUGUGUUAACGCAGCUUUCCUUUCCUAGCCUACACGGAAGUCAACUUCACAAUCUCCUCCUAGCAAUUAGUCUUUCCUGCUGUAAAUCAGAUUUCCUACUGUAAAUCGGAUUGUAUUCAUGUCUAUAUUAUUUCCUACUUUAAGUAGAUAUCUUGUACUAGUAUAAAUAGGGACUUUGUGUAAUCUGUUAAAUACAAGGAAAUAUAUACUCUGCAUGGUAUCAGCCUAACCUAGGGUUCUCUCUCUCUCCCUUAUUCGAUCCUCUUCUCCUUUAGGUCCACCUCAUGGCUUUGUCUGAAUCCACCAUCUCCCUCCCAAGCCCCAACUCUUCUAUUUUAUCAAGCUUAUUGACUCCAACUAUCUUCUUUGGCUCCGCCAACUCAAACCCUUUUUAGUCGGCCAUGACCUCUGGAAAUUUAUCGAUGGCAUUCAUAAACAACCUUCUGCCCACACCUCCACCUCUACCACCGCAACACCCACAACCACCACCACUCUUACCCAAAUCAAUCAUGCCCAUGCUCAGUGGUACCAACAAGACCAACUCAUUGUUAGCUACAUCACCAAUACACUCUCUGAGUCCAUUCUCUUUCUCACUGUUGGUUGCACCUCUGCCCGGGAUCUCUGGGAGUGUCUCCAACGCCACUUCUCUCAAUCCAGUAUGGCCAGUGAAUCUACUCUUCGUUUUAAACUCAUGGAUUUGCAAAAAGGCUCUGAACCCACUUAUGCUUACAUUCGUCAUGCUAAGUCCUUUGCCGAUUCACUGGCUGCCAUCAAUGAACCUGUCUCCCCAAAAGAACUUGUCACUACUGUGCUUUGGGGUUUAAGACCCUAUUGCAACAUCCUCGUCACAGCAAUUCUCAAUUUCCCUCUGCUUCCUAACUUUGCUAAUCUUCGUGCUCGUUUGUUAGCAUUUGACGCACAGACUCCUUGAAUCUCUCCUGAUCAAAACACAGCGCAAAUGGCCACCCAAUCCUCUCCUCACACCACCGGUCAUACUUCCUUCCCUUCUCACCGUGGUGGUGGCUCUUCCAACAACAGGCGUGGUGGCCUCGGUGGCUGGCGCAAUAGCGGCCGGGGUGGCUGGCGCAGCUUCUCAUCUUCCUGGAGCAACCCGUGGAAUGGCUUCCAGCAGCUCCAAUGACCUAAUCAACCAUGGCCUCCUUUUGCUCCAAGUUCUGGAUCUCAAAGCAACUGGCCUUCCUUUCAGCCUCCUUGGGCCUAAUCUGCCGCUUCUAUCAAACACUUUGCCCGGCCCAACUCAGCUCCUGGUGUCUUGGGACCCGCUUGGUGCACUACCUGCAAUACCAAUCACAUACUACUACAAUAUGUCCUCAUCGCUACAAUGGCCCAGAAUCCUUUCUUUGCUAGGGCUCAAUUCAUGUAGCCACCUGACUCUACUUGGUACCCUGACACAAGUACCACUCAUCAUAUGAUUGGUAGUCCUUCUAAUCUCCAAAAUCAAUCCUUCUAAUCUCCAAAAUCAACAGCCAUAUCAGGUUCAUAAUUCUGUAUUUCUUGGUAAUGGAGAUUCUCUCCCUAUCUCUCAUACUAGCUCUCUCUUUUGUCUUCCAUCUCUUCGUACUAAUCUUCUUUUUGUUGCCCAUUUUACUUGUGAUAAUUUAGUUUUCUUUGUCUUUACUCUUGACUUUUAUCAAAUCUAUGACUUAUGUACUGGUUCGUUACUCUUUCAGGGCCCUUCUAAAGAUGGUCUUUACCCACUUUCCAUCUCCUCUCACUCAUCCAUAGUCCCCCAUGCCCUUACCACCGUGCACUCUCCUGCUUGGCAUCAUUGCCUUGGCCAUCCAUUCCAUCGUGUGCUCUCUCAUUUAGCGCCAUCUCUAGGCUUUAAAGUUUCUCAUGCUUUCUGUAAGGAUUGUGCACUUAGCAAAUCCACCAAACUGUCAUUUCUUAGUAAUAAAACCUUUGCCCCAUCUCCCUUUUAUUUAAUUCACUCUGAUGUAUGGAUGUCCUCGGUCAUUUCUGUCACUGGUUAUCGCUAUUAUGUCUUGUUUACAGAUGACUUUUCUCGUUACUCCUGGAUCUAUCAUAUGCACCGUAAAAAUGAGGUCUUUUCUCACUUUCAAACCUUUCUUGCUAUGGUUAAAAAUCAAUUUCACACCACUGUACAAAUUCUUUAAAGUGACAAUGGCACUGAAUAUGUUAAUAAUGCUUUCUCUGAUCUUUGCAGUCAACUAGGCAUCCACCAACGUUUCACAUGUCCCCACACUCCCCAACAAAAUGGCCUAGCUGAACAUAAACACAGACACAUUGCCACCAUGAUCUGUCCCCGGUCAUUUAUUCAACCAUCUUGACCUUUUGCUUGAUCAUUUUCCACAAGCAACCGUCCACGUACCCCAAUAAUUUAAAAGGGCUGAUGAUCUUUAAUUUGGUGAAAGCUUCUAUCUACCUACCGUGCUAUAUAUGAGCUAUGCAAUCGUGACCGUGUUACAUGACGUCCCAAUGUCGUAGGGAUAAAAAAAUAAUAGUCAUGGUUUUCUUAUUAAUGUCAAUACAUUCAUAGCAAAGAGCUUGUAGCUCUAGUGGUUAAGAGCAAUUACCCAUGCACUUGAGAUAUUUUGUGUUUAAAUCCCCUCUUCCCCAAUAUUUCUUGUAUAAAAAUAAAAAUAACAAUAAUAAUGACAUUAAUGUUGUAUUCUAUAAAGUGUUGGACAUGUUUUAUACCCCUUUCUUGCAAAUUACAGUUUGCCACGUGUACAAAAAUAAUAGAUAAGUGUUGGACAUCAAGAGCACUUACAUAUAGGUUUAAUAGGUAAGUUUUGAAUAUUUCUGUAUUUAGCUUUAAAUAUUGAAAAUCAACCUAUUAGCAUAUUAAAGAUUUGUCCAUAUUCGACGUACAUUCUCUUAUUUUUCUCUCAUUGAAGUAAAUACAAAACUAAGCACAUAGUGGGAAAGUGCGUCACGAUUAGGGGUGGGUUUAGUCUAGGUUGGUUCAUUUUUGGGCUCAAUUUGAACACCGAACUGUAAGCUUCGGUUUGGCUAUUUUGGAAACCGAAACCAAACCAUAAUUGAUGAAAACCGACCACUUCGAUUACCUUCUGGUCUUCCAACCAGAAGAAAACUCAAAACUUUAACCAUACCAAGUGCAACAGAAUUACACCAGGCUGGAUUCAAGUUUAUGAUGGUUAAAGAUAAAAACUUAUUUGACAUACAAUUUGAGAAUGGAAUCCUCAAAAUUCCACACCUGCGAAUACGGGGUUUAACAGAAAUUUUCUUCCGCAAUCUUAUUGCCUAUGAGCAGUGUGAGCUUCAUGAUCAUUACAUCAACGACUAUGUCUUCAUCAUGGACCGCCUGGUCGACAGUGCCAGGGAUGUGGAAUUGCUUGUGAAGAGUGGAAUUCUUGAAUCUAUGCUACCGGACAGCGAGGCAGCAGGGGAAUUUAUUAAUUCUCUUGACUUGGGGCCUAUUUUAGGCAAGCUUGAAACAAGACUAUUUCAGUUCACCAUGGGCUGGCCUGUCUAUUAUUGUAGCCGCUAUACUAGUUGUGCUCACAUUUAUUCAAACAGUGUGCUCCGUAAUGGCGCUGUAGGUUCUUCAUUUCCUCAAUUUCAUGUUUAGUGGUUGCAGAUUUGUUGCUCAUGUACGUGUUUAUCUAAAGUUAAAUAAGAGUGAUUGACUGGAUUGACUGUUAGUCUGUUAGUUUGUUUUUCUGGGGUUUUUCCCCCCUGUUCGUCAAAAAAAAAAAUAAAAGAGUGAUGGCUUGUGCCUAUGAAAAUUACUUAGGAGUAUGCUCCACAGAGCCAAAAUAAAUAAACUAGGGAAGUGGAGGUUCUUCUGUUUGUAUAUAAAUGAGCAAUUCAAACUCUCAGUGCCAAGGGAGUUACCCUUGAUACAUUUGUUAAAAAUUAUAUAUUUGGUCUUACAUCAAACAAAUAAUUUGAAGGGCUUUUUUGACAACUGCUGACAGCGUUUGGCAGAAAAGUUUAGAAGCGCUUCUACGCUUCUAGAUCAUAAAAGUGCUUUACCAAAAAGCACUUAGAUUUCUUAUGAAAAUUUCAACAUUUUUAUAAUAAAAGCGCUUGCUAGAAGCACUUAUAAGCAGAAGUGCUUCAUAGAGAAGCAGUCCCAAACGAGCUUGAUUUUCAAAUGUGCUGCUUAAGAAGAAAUUUAAUACGUUUUGAAAACAAAAAAAAAUACGAAAUUUAAUACGUUUGUUUUACAAAUUGUAUUAAUUGUUAUCAAUAAUACUUGUGCACACCCACAACAUACUUCUUUCUUUCUUUAUUUUCCUUCAGUACAGUUCUGCCUUUCUUUAAUUAUUUUUAACGAAUGCAAAGAGUUUGUCACAAAAUCAAGGAUUGAAAAAAAAAGAGAGUAAAUUAUGUGCUAGAGAAACUUUCCUGCAGAAAUUGAAGAACAACUCUAGUUUCUCUCUUUCGCCUUGUACUCCCGCACUGAGGUUAGUAUUGUUAUAAUGUGCAGAUUAUACGGUCACUCUUGUAUAAUGGCGAGAAGGCUCUAAUUAUAUUUUUGAACCUCUUUGACAGGACCCGCCCCGAAUUUCCCGAAACCCAAGACGAAUUCUGUGGAAAUUCCCUACAUCACCCCGAUGUUGGGCCCACUUCUAAAACUAUAUCAUUUUUCCUAAAAAGGAAUAAGGGCACGAGACUUUCUACCGAAAUUUCGGCAGAGUCUCUCCUGUAAAUUGAACAUUUCCCAAAAUUUCAACCUGCAUAAAACACAUUUUAUAUUACCCAACUGGCAGCAUGCACAAAAUAAUAACAUGCAAUUCACAUAAACGGCCUCUGGCCCUCCGGUAAUUCAGAGCAAUGCAAACUAGCAACUCUAAACCUAAUAAAACAACAUAAGUAACAUUUAGCCAGCGGCUGCACCCAGGCACUACCCUAGGCUACCUACGUACCCUUACUAAGGGAUCAAGCCACACGUAGUUCUUUCAUACAAAAUUUCCAAAUCCAUCAACAUGCAAUCAAUUACAGAAUCCCAAACAAAAUCUUUCUCAAACAUCAUUAGUUCCCAACUCAGUAUAAUAAUCCUUAAUUCAUCUCUGUAAUAAUCACAAUAUCUCCCCAUACGCCGGAACUACCAACACCACGUAUGGAGCCUGCCUGUACGCCAGAUAACCAACGACACGUGGGACCUCAUCAUCAUAUCACAUAAUCUCCCCAUACGCCGAAACUACCAACACCACGUAUGGGGUCUGUCAACACGCCGGAUAACCUACGACGUGUGACCUCAACAUCAAAUCACAAUAUCUCCCCAUACACCGGAACUACCUACGCCACGUAUGGGGUCUGUCCACAUGCCGGAUAACCUACGACACGUGGGACCUCAUCAUCAUAUCACAUAAUAUAUUAACGAUCAAGAAAUAUCACUACGGUCAUUUAAUCCUCCUGGGAAGGUAAAACUAUCUCAGGAGACUCACGGUCAACCAAGGGUCAAACUACCUCAUACUUGGACAAACGAGCCCACGGAGCCCACAACCUCCGUUUUACUAUCCAAGAGUUCCUAUAGGUUCUACAAGGUUUAGGAUACACGGCUUGCAAGUUUGGUCAAGAUCAGACGGUCGGAUCGCUCACGAUAGGACGGUUACUGCAAACCUAGCCCUAGGGUUGGCAUUUUCGGAGUAUCCGAAACUCCGUUUUACGAUCUGUCGAAUCAUAGACGAUCCUAAGGAUUUGCAGACUAACUAUAAUAAAUUCAAGACCAUCCAACGGUCUAAACCUAUCGAACCCGGAUAACGCGCAAUAGGCAAUAUCCAAAUUGAAAUCCGAGCACACCUACGCACUCGUGAGGACUAGGAGAUUACAUCGGGACAUAGUGCCCUUUUUCUACAGUGCCCAUGAGCCGCCGCACGCACCAGCAACGCGUGGGUGCCCAAAGCGAUUAUGCAUCGCCAAAAAAUCUCAAAACCACGGCUCAAGACUCCUACCCUAGGUAUAACACCCUAUUUGGAACCACUUUUGUUCUUGGACCUACCCCAAAAACUGAUCAGAAGUGGCCGGAAUGGCUGAAAUGUAAUUCAAAAAUCAAGCUACCAACGCUCAAAAUCGAUGCAAUCCUACCCAACCAUCAACUAGAUUAUGAAGAAUGGAUAAAUUUCCAUACCUUGAUCGCCAACAAUGGCGGCCGGAGGAGAGAGAUCUGAUCCGGCGAAGUUCGAGUGAAAACGGCCAAAAAUCAUCUUUUUCAGGCGGCUGGAGGGCGACCGAUGUCAGGGAAGGGCAGGGUCGUGACGCUAAGGCUGAGCCUGUCCUUUUGGCACCGGUCCCUUCCGCAGCCGUGUCCGGUGGCUGGAGUUUCGAAGAGAGAGAGAGAGAGAGAGAGAGAGAGAGAGAGAGAAAUCUGAUUUUUAUCAAACCUUUUUGCCAAAAUUACGGUUAUGCCACUGAGGGUAUUUUGAUAGUAUCUCUCUCGUUACAACUUCGAUUCGAGCCCACCACGUGUGUACGGACUCAUCUAACUGUGUUGUACGCAACGGUAUAGUCGAAAUUCCCAAAUUAUUUCCUUGUCAAAAAGUCAACUUUAAACAUUAUAAAAUAUUUUAGGGAAAAAAUGGUAUUUUCUCUCAAUAAAUUAGUAACUAAUUUAUUUAGGACUGGGUCAUUAUACUCUUUUUCGCUUCAAUGGAUGGGAAAAAAUUUUAUGUAAUAUCCCACAUCGACCAACGAAGAGGGGGCGAUGUGUCUUAUAUGUACAUGCCCGCCUCCAUCUAGCAUAAGGCCUUUUGGAAGCUCACUGGCUUCAGAGUCAUGGGAACUCCGAAGUUAAGCGAGUUGGGGGCUAGAGCAAUCCCAGGAUGAGUAACCCACUGGGAAGUUGCUCGUGAGCUUCGAGAAACAAAACCGUGAGGGCAGAGAGAGGGGCCCAAAGCGGACAAUAAGGCCUCGUGCUAGAUGGAGGCGGGCAUGUACAUAUAAGGCACAUCACUCUCUCUCCGUUGGUCGAUGUGGAAUGUUAGAAUGGAAUUGUUACCUUUGGUGUGGAGGUGUUCUAUCAUUUGAGCAAGAAAUUCCCACAUAUUCUUCAACUAUUUUUCAAGCAUGCAUAUUCCUCCCUAUCAAUCUUUGGUUUCUUCCUUUACUGUGCAUAGUAAGGAUCCAGUCAGGGACGGACCGUCGCUAUGACUAUCCUGGGCUAUAGCCCAGGCAAAUUAUUUUUUUUUCUAGUCUAAAAUAGCAAUCCCACCGCUUGCUGUAGUACUUGUUCAGUUCGUCACAAACAUGAGCAUAAUAGAAGUUAUCAACAUCUAUAUAGGAACCCCAAUGAAAAGGCUGUUAACUAAUAAUGAAGUUAACCCGUCAAUUUUUCCGCAUAUCAGAUAUCUCUCAGAAUAUGCGAUUCCAUAUUCAAUAAGCCACUCCACAUGCCCUGAGGUUUUCAUCAAACCACCCAUUAAGGAAACAUACUGACUCAUGUAAUUAUCAUUACUCAUCGGGUAAUGCAAUUGUUCAAAGGCAAGGACAUUUCUCAUUAUUUAUGUAGCGAACCCCAAUGGAAAUGGUGGGAUCUUCAGAACCCCAUCGGUGCUACUGAAUUGUAUGUCAAAUAUGUUUUCACCUUGUCACGCCUCAAACUUGACUCCAGCGUGCUGUAAUUCUGUCAAGCUGGGUAUGGAUGAUGGGAGUUUGAUGCAGGAGCAUAGGGGUGGAUCAAGAUAGAUAUUUACUAUUUAAUUAGUUAUUUCAUGAUAUAUUGUUAUUUUCUUAUUUAGGUAGUUUUAUGAUAUCUUUUAUUAUUUAUGUGUGAUUUUAUAAUUAAUUAGUAUACUUUUGGACCAAGUAGCCUUGGUGCUCAAGUCUUGUAAAGCCUAUAAAUAAGGCUAAUGUAAUAGUUGUAGAAUAGAUGUCGAUGAUUAAUAAAAUCGUUUAUUUGUGGCAUGGAUUUGCUACGAUAUAUGUGAGUUUGCACUAGCCCUAGAUUUCAGUGCUCGUGUAUGUGGUUGGUGACCUGUGUCCGGAUCCCGAUCCCCAUCAAUUGGUAUCAGAGCUAUGGCUCAAGAUCUGCUAUAUCGGGGAGGUUUUUGGAUGGAGGGUCGUUUUAACAACUACAACGACAUGGAGGAAAUUAGGAGGAUGCUACGGCAACUUAUGGAACACAUUGCUCGCAUUGAAGCUCGAACCCAGAUAGGUAAGAGUUCUGACGGGGAGGGAUGUGUGAACCCUUAUCUGAACCGAGUAGCUCGCAUCGACACUCUAAGCCGUGAGAGUCUCGACGGGGAGUACGAGGGAGAUAGCCCUUUUCAUUAUUGUGCUCCGCUGUGUGAGUCAAGUGAAGAGGGGCACGGUUAUUCUCAUUGUGUCUUUGAAGGUAUAAAUGAAUUUAGUAAUUUUGGUGCAUCUUGUUAUUCAUCAAAGUUAUUAAAUUUGGAUUUACCUCCAUUAUUUGAUCCUUGCAAUUGUGAAAAUUGCAAUAAAAAUUGUUUGGGUGUUCAAAGCAAUUUUGAUAAGCAAUUUAUUGACCAGAACAGUGAAGAGAUGAGAAUUGAGAAAACUUUCGAAGAUAUUAUUGAUUUUAUGGGCAUUAAUAUUUUCACUUGGAAGGUUGCCAAAAAUCUGGUUGAUUUUGUCAAUCGGUUGAAGAUUCUAGAGAGAAACAUUUGCAUUGCUAGAGGGAGUAAGAAGUCAAGAAUAACGAAAUAUUCCAAAUAUCUUUUUAUUUGGAAAGGAAGGUUUCAAUUGGAUGCUAAAAGAUCCAAAAUUAAUAUGCAGCAAUUGAAGAUUCUACUCGGAUUUUCCUUAAUCAAAGGCUUGAAUUCGAGGACGAAUUCUUUCCAACUAUGGGAGUCUGAUGCAGGAGCAUAGGGGUGGAUCAAGAUAGAUAUUUACUAUUUAAUUUGUUAUUUCAUGAUAUAUUGUUAUUUUCUUAUUUAGGUAGUUUUAUGAUAUCUUUUAUUAUUUAUGUGUGAUUUUAUAAUUAAUUAGUUUACUUUUGGACCAAGUAGCCUUGGUGCUCAAGUCUUGUAAAGCCUAUAAAUAAGGCUAAUGUAAUAGUUGUAGAAUAGAUGUCGAUGAUUAAUAAAAUCGUUUAUUUGUGGCAUGGAUUUGCUACAAUAUAUGUGAGUUUGCACUAACCCUUGAUUUCGGUGCUCGUGUAUGUGGUUGGUGACCUGUGUCCGGAUCCCGAUCCCCAUCAGAGUUCCCCUCCAGCUUUUGAUUCCAACGGUUGAUAGAGUUUAAAUAUUUUCCUGAAAAGAUCAAUAAUAUGUGCCACUGAUCUAAAAGUCUCCAAAUUGUCUUCCAAUUUGUCAACAGGCAAUAGAUGUUCGAAGAAACUGAAAGAAAUACAAAUUAUUGAAAGCCCCUCAGUAAUGCUGUUAUUGUCAGCAUUAGCAGGGAGUGUAAUUUUCUGUGGGUCGAAAAGAUCCUCGAGAAUGAAGAAUGGCAACUGAUUUUCAAGCAACCACGUAUCUGUCCAUGCAUCUUGCAACAUACCUGGUUUGUCAAAUAUGCGGUCAUUUUCGUCCCAAAAUUUGAAGUAGUCCUUCAAUAAGGGCUCAAUAACGAAGGCGGCGCCCACUAGAAUGAUUGUUACAAAUUCAUCACUGCUAAACUUGAUGGGUUCUCCAUAACAACGUCUCAAUCUUGCUUCGUGGUCCUUUAUUUUCUUAAUAUAAUCCUCCAAACUCACAUUGGUCCGACCUAUAAAAUCUUGCAGGUAUCUCUGUUUGUUCUCUUCCAAUACGACAUUCAAGCCUUCCUUUCCAUGGUGAAGUGGACCUAUAGAGACCGACUGCCUGAGGUGUGCAGAGCUUUUCAUUCACACAUACGUAGAUAAAAUGUCUGGGGGCUCAGAGAGUGAUGAAUGUGCAACAGCUAAUGGGAGGGUUUAUAUUCCUGAAGUAAGAAAUGAGGAAACACCAGCAGUUGGGAUGAAGUUUGACUCGCUUGACCUCGUUUACAAUUUCUAUAAUAGAUAUGCAUUCUUGGCUGGCUUUGGUAUUCGACUUCAUUCUAGCUUUUGGGGGAAAAAUAAGAAAGAGAUUUUGAGGAAAGAAUUUGUAUGUUGCAAACAAGGUGCAUACAAGAAGGAUGAAACUCGGGAGAGAAAAAGACAACGGGGAAUAAGUAGAUGCAAUUGCAAAGCAAAGAUUGUGGUUGUGAAGACAAAUGGGAGCAAGAAGUAUACCAUUUCUCUUUUUGCAGAGGGACACAAUCAUAAGAUGACACCCUCAGAAAGAAUGCAUUUAUUGAGAUCACACCGUCAUAUUUCAGAUUCUACAAAAGUACUCACAAAACAGUUGGGUUCAGUUAAUAUUCCCAUUCAUCAGAAGGUAAGUAUAUUCGAGGUGCAAUCCGGAGGAAUGGAUAAAAUCGGUUUUAUCAAAAAAGAUAUCUACAAUCUUGAAUGUAGUGUGAAUGGGAAGCUGAGGAACCACGAUGUUGAACUAGUGACCGAGUAUUUUAUGGCUGAACAGAAAAAAAAUGAGGCUUUUUAUUUCAAGAUUGAGGGAGAUGGGCAUGACAGGUUUAGUCGAUGUUUUUGGGCAGAUGCAACUUCUAGACGGGCGUAUGGGUUUUAUGGAGAUGUUGUUGUAUUCGAUACCACAUUCAACACGAAUCGAUACGACUUGACAUUUGCACCAAUGUUGGGAGUUAAUAACCAUGGUCAGACAAUUGUCUUAGCAUGCGCAUUUUUGAGCAAGGAAACGACUGAGUCGUUUGUUUGGAUGUUUGAGGAGUUUAAGAAAGCCAUGCCAGGUGGGGAACCUAAAACGAUCAUUACAGAUCAAGAUGCGGCAAUGGCCAUAGCGAUUUCAAUAGCCUUCCCGAGUACAUUUCAUCGACUUUGCAUAUGGCACAUCACAUCAAAGUUCUCUGUUAAGUUACCACGUGACGCUUAUAAGGAGUAUUGGCCUGAAUUUCAGAAAGCCAUAUGGGAUACUGACAAUAAGGAUGAGUUUGAUGCAAAAUGGAAUAUUGUGGUUAUAAAGGCUGGUUUGACUGACCAUCCAUGGCUAAGUUCAAUGUUUGAUUUAAGGGAAUCUUGGGUUCCAGCCUACGCACGACAAUUUUUUGCCGCUGGAAUGUCAAGCAGCCAAAGAGCGGAAGGUUCUCAUGGUUUUUUCAAGCAAUACAUAUCAAGGAGAAAUUCGUUGAUGGAUUUCAUAAUACGAUUUGAGAGGGCAUUUUCUCAUCAACGUGAAAAAGAGUUAGUUGCUGAUCACGUAGAUGCAUUUGAAGUGGCUCAAUGUCUUCUACCGAUGCCAAUGAACAAACAAAUGGCUACCUUGUACACAAGGACAAUGUUUCAAAAGUUUGAGCAAGAACUAAUACAAAGUACAGCAUGUUUCCUAGAGCUCAAAACAGAGGAUGCAUGUAAAGUUGUGUUCAACGUGAGCGAAAGGAAAAAUUGGGAAACAAGAGUGGCAGAAGUCGUAUAUGUCAAAGAUUCUGACCACGCAUCGUGUAGCUGCAAAAGAUUUGAAUUUGUUGGAAUUAUUUGCAAGCACAUCCUAGCAUUGUUCAGAAGGGACCAGAUUGAAUAUAUGCCCGAUAAAUAUAUUUUGAAGAGGUGGAAGAAAACUGCGAAAUGUGGAUUGGUGUCAGAUGCAAAUGGCAACGAAAUUAAAGACUGUGCAGAUCCUGGCCUUCUAAUAAAGCGGAGUACAAUGUCUCGACUUGCUUCAAAUGUGGUUGAGGAUGCAUUAAUGAGUGAAGAAGGAUGUGAGCUACUGUCAGAGACUCUAAAAAGUUUGCAGGUGAAGUUGAAGUUGCUGAAGGAUGGACCAAGUAAUAACGAAGUUGGAGGGUCCAGCUCUCAAACACAAUAUAUGAAAGACCCUAAGAGAGUGAGGUGCAAAGGAAGGUCGAAAGGAAUAACGGGAGCAAAGGAAAAGGCAAUGAAGCGAGGGAUUAGACACUGUCGGGAGUGUGGACACAUUGGUCAUGAUAGAAGACAAUGCCCAGCCUUGAACACACCGUAAGAUGCUACCACUAUUUGUAAUAAUAUCUAAAAUAUGAAAAGGUAAAAUUUUUAUGUGCUUGUGUUUGAUGUUUAUGCAGGACAUCACCGUCGAACAAUGACAAAUCAACUCCAAUACAUCGUAGUGACCCAUUAUUCGACGAUUUUGACAAGAUGCACAGACCAACUGAAUGAUUGAUAUUUGUAUUAGACGAAAUGUGGUUGUUAUGAAGAUUAAUGAUCAAGUGAAGUUUUAUAGAUUCAGUUUUUGAAUGUUAUUGUGUUUUUGUUCAUGUCCACCGAUGAGCUCUUACUAUGUCCACUGGUAAUUGAAAUGAAAAUUUUCUUGGUUUCAUUCUUCCAAGACAUUUGGAGACAUGUUAAUUUUACGUCUUCUCCCUAUUUAUAAAUUUUCAUAGACAUUUGAUCAAGUUUGAAAUUUGUAGUUAUGUGAAGAAGCAAUGACUCUUACCAUGUAAAAUGGGCAGUUUAGGGUGAAAUUUGUUUUAACAGAGAUUCAUUUUUCAAUUCCUCAGGGUAAUGCAGCAAUUACAGCAGCCAGCUGUUGUUUCCAUUACCAGUAAUCAUUUCCAGCAGCAGCCACUUUUUCCGACUGGUUAUUAGGGGCACGAUUUUGUACACUUUUGUAAGUGAAGGAUACUCGAAGCACUUUGUUGGAACAGAGCAAAUAGAAACCAGCGGGUAAAAAAAAAACAUAACAUUGCAGCUAAUUACAUUUCGAUACAUAGGUGAAAAAUAUUAAAGGGUACACUAACUUACAUAAAUACUCAUAAUUCCACACACAAAAGAACAUUUGAUUGCAAAACAUAUUAUGUGCUUCCUCAUAGCAAUACCACGAUCUCCCCAACCAACUGAACAACGGUAGCCACAAUCACUGGGUCGUACUCGUCAGCUUCUUCUUAGCAGGUCUCACAUGCUUAUGGCCACUCAUAUCCCUAGUGAUAUACACGAAAUAAAUCUUCAGCAAUAUUUGGAAUUUUAUUAUAUAUAAAUAAACCAUAAACCAUUCAGUAAACAAUGUAUAGCACAUGUUAUGUAACUUAUGACUCACGUGUCAGUUUUUUUUUUAACACAUUAGUACUCCAGCUCUUUAAUGUAAAUGGACAUGAUAAGGAGCAUUUACUGAUUCCCGGCUUUCUAUGAUAUUGACUGCUUCUUGAAUAAUAUUUCCAUAUUUGCAAAAUAUAAUGUUAGACAUUAUAACACAUGAUGACUUGCAAUACAUAGUCCCAAUAAUUAUAUAUCAAGCAAAUGAAACUGAUAUUUGUGUUAUUUUAAGUUAGAUAAUGACAUUAAGGGAGUAUAUGUGCAAUACCACGGUCACCCUCAACCAACUGAACAGCGGUAGCCGCAAUCACUUAGUCGUAUCGGUCGGCUUCUUCCGAGCAGCUUUGACGUGCUUAUGCUCAUUCAUGUCACCCCCAUCGUCUAGUAUCUCUCUCACAGCAUCAGGGGACACAUAGUUCCAAUCAUAACUUGUAUGAGUAGUUGCCGCAAAUGCUCGGAAUUUGUCGAAUCCUUCGUUGAAUGCCAACUCCAGUUCAGUAUGGUGCUCUUCGCAUCGCAUAUGGUUCAUCAAACAACCUUUGAUUUCAUCAUUCAUUACUGUAUCCAACUCCUCAGCUUUCAGCUUCCUGCUAUGACUCAGCUUCAAGUACUUGUUCUUUUGGGAUAACGCUUUGUUCACCCUAAUGUUAAGAUCAGCCAAAAUUGCCUCGUCUUCAACACAUUUCUCGUGCCAUGAAUUGAUCAGUCUGGAAUUAUAAUCCAGCUUGCCACUGACUGCAUGUAUUGCCUGUAAUGGAUCAUCGGAGUCCCCCUCACUCCCAAAUGAUGUUGAAAAAGGAAGGGGUCGGCGAGUACAAUGUGGAAAUAGAACCUGCCACUCCAAUUUGUCAUCUUCGAUUGUGUUGUUGGCGCCUGAAGAGGUUGACAUGCUUGAAUAAUCCUCUUUGUUUUGGGAGGAUGAGGAUUGCAUAUGCAAUUUCGUUUGAGAAAGGGAACAUAGGUUUAUAGACCAACAUACCAAAGCUUGUGUGUAGUCAACAUAUGUACUUUUUGGCGGGAAUUUUUUAAAAAUAGGUGUUAGGUUUUGCUUUUCAAGCAUGUCAACCUCACACUCUCCUGACACCACUGCUAGUGGUUGAAACAAAGUCAAUGGAAGUGACAUCUACUUAGUUAACUCAACCAAACUAGUUAGGAUUAAACUUAGAUUGUAUCAGACCAAAAAAUAAUUUCUACUUUGUCAACCAAAUAUUUUUUGGCGGGAACCCUUUUCUUGGUAUUACUAUCACCCCUUUCAUAUAAAAUCUCCUUCCACACAAAACUCACUCCUCCACCGAAUCUGUCUCCAUCUACCGAUACUCUCUCAAGCAAACAAACUCAUUCCCCCCAAAGAAUGAGCAUAAGCACAACCAAGUUUGAUGUGAGCAUAAUAAACACCCCUCCAAACAAAGACCGGCUUCGACACGCAAGUGAGUCACCGGACAAGCAAUGUCACAUUGCUAGACAGAAUGACCAUUUUGUUGGAAGUUUUGAGUCUGAAAGAGUUGUUGCUUUUUGGAAGGAGAGGCAUCUUCAACUUGGUGAUGAAAUCCAAAGGGCAAGGGCACGUUUGGAAUUUGUGGAAGGCCAAAUUGAAGAUGACAAAAGGCAGGCCAAUCUGGAUAGGGCGAAGUUGUAGCGCAUGAAGCGUAGACACAAACGACUUCGGAGUGUAGCUGUUCAAAAAUACAAGAACUCAUCUAAUGUAGUGGAGUCAAAGAAGCGUGUGAUGCAAGCUGGAUUCGACUACUUCCGAUCCUAUGCAAAACUCGUCGUACCCGGGUUUGAUUGGUCAUCUAUUACCGUUUCCGACGUCACCAAAUAUACUCAGCAAGGGAAGUAACCAUUUUGGUUCUCGUGUUUUAGCAGAGGCAAAUAAGUGGAAUUGGAAUUUUGGUUACACUCUGCUUCAAAGCUAUUUUGAUGCUAACUACUAUGGAAGAUUUAAACCUUAAUAUUUUGAUGUCUUUAAUUACGAAAACAGAAGAUGCAAAGAGCUCAUCUACUUCAGCCAUAUGUUGCUGCCAUGUCCAUUUGUUUUUGAUCACUUAUCAGAUUUGGACAUGGUUGCAUCAUAUGCAAUGUUGCCUUUAUUUAUUAUAUGUUAGGACAAGGUUUAUGGAAAAGCUUUUGUGAGUGCGUUUGUGACAAGGUUAUGGAAUUAUUAUGUACACUUUAUAUAUUGUUUUUUGUACUGGUUCAUUUCCUACUAUUUCUUGCUUUCUUUAUAUUUUAUGUUUGUGGAAUCCCUCUCAAAGUUAACAUAUACUGUGAAAAAAAUAUUAUGCAACUGAUUAUAUAAUCACUCAUAUAGACUAGGACAAAUAUUCACUAAGGGUUUUAAACUUGCUUCACUUGUGUGAUGUUAUUGACAAAAAGUAUGGCAUUAUUUAUGUGAUUUGACAUGAUUGAAAAUAUAUUACUGAUUCCCAAUGCGGCGUCAUAUGGACAACGUAUUGAAUACCUGUGACGUGUUAAUAACUCAAGGUGCAGUUGCAUGUGGACAACUUCUUGAAUACCUCUGACGUGUUGAAAACUCUAGGUGCAGUUGCAUGUGGACAACUUAUUGAAUACGAACUGACGUCUUCAAAGCUCUAGGCGUAGUUGCAAUGAUGGCUUCAAAGCAUGUGCAAUUAUUUUUUAUGUACAUUAUUAUAACAAAACAUAUUAUUGUAUAUAGUGAAACUAAAUAUUGUAUUAUUAGAAAUUAUAUUUCGAAUAUUAUCCGAAAUAUACGUGUUAACGUGAAUUUGGGUUAAGAGGAAAGUGAGUUAUGUACAAAUAAUUUUCAUUUUCUCAUUUUCCGGGCAUUUUUUGGAUUUUCGUAGAAUUUAUUACCUAUGUCCACAGAUUGUUGCACUAAAAAAGCCAAAAUAAUAGCAAGAGGACACCUGGAGCGAUCUCAGCCCGUCACUGAUGACUACUUGCACAAGUGUACGUCAGUCAACAUGGCCACACCCUCCCAUUUUACCCUAAAUUAUUAUUUUAUUACUUUUCCUUACAAAAAUCAGAACUAAUUACACACAAAAUAAAAAAAUUAUCCGAAAAUUGCUACGAACUCAUUGACACUCCAUCUCCGUUGCUGAAUUCUCCGAUUCAUUGUUACGUAUUUGUAAAAUUAAUUCCCAACAUUAACGGGAGAUGCUUGUUGAAGUAGGUUAUUCAAGUUGAAGUUAACAAACAUCAAUACUUAGGGUUAAGAGGAAAGUGAGUUAUGUAACACAAUUUGGAUUAUUUCAUUGCGAGACGAAUGAUUUAUAGGUUCUCCUAGUUUUAUGACGUCACAAGUAGGCCGGAGUAAUUUUUGGGGCAUUUUUACGAUUUUCCUACUAUUUUUUACCUAGUUUCAAAGAUUUUUGAACAAAAGAAUCCAAAAUGUAAAAGAAGAUGACACCUGGCGCGAUCUCAGCCCGUCACUUUUCACUACUUGCACAAGUGUACGUCAGUCAACAUGGCCACAUCCUCUCAUUUUACCCUAAAUUAUUAUUUUAUUACGUUUUGUCUUGGAAAAUUCAUAACUAAAUACACAAAAAUUCAAAAUUAUUUCUGAAAAUUGCUACGAACUCAUUGACACUCCAUCUCCGUUGCUGAAUUCUCCGAUUCAUUGUUACGCAUUUUUAAAAUUAAUUCCCAACAUUAACGGGAGAUGCUUGUUGAAGUAGGUUAUUCAAGUUGAAGUUAACAAACAUCAAUACUUAGGGUUAAGAGGAAAGUGAGUUAUGUAACACAAUUUGGAUUAUUUCAUUGUGAGACGAAUGAUUUAUAGGUUCUCCUAGUUUUAUGACGUCACAAGUAGGCCGGAGUAAUUUUUGGGCCAUUUUUACGAUUUUCCUACUAUUUAUUACCUAGUUUCAAAGAUUUUUGAACAAAAGAAUCCAAAAUUAACAAGAAUAUGACACCUGGCGCGAUCUCAGCCAGUCACUUUUGACUACUUGCACAAGUGUACGUUACCGAACAUGGCCACAUCCUCCCAUUUUACCCUAAAUUAUUAUUUUAUUACCUUUUUUCUUGGAAAAUUCAUAACUAAAUACACAAAAAUUAGAAAAACGAUCCGAAAAUUUCUACGAACUUAUUGCGAUUUCAUCUUCCUACUGCAUUCCCUGUUUAAUGGUUAUGCUACAUUAGUAUUUUAUUAUUAUUUAUCCACAAUUAUUAUAAUUAUUAUGAUAUUACUUUUUAGGCUGUCCAUUUGUUAAUUAUACCACAUCCAACUUGUUGAAAACAAUUUUAUUUUCCGUGCGAAUAGGCCAUUUGUAGUGCUUAUCGGUUUCUCUGUUCUUCAAUUUGUUAAUUUUUUUAUUUUUUAGGUUGAAGGGAUGUUUUGAAACAUAAUAUGGAAAUAUACAAGUCAUCCAUUGUACUCCUUCCACACAAAAAAAUAGUCUACGUCAUUCACUGUUCAACACCCUAGGUUAAGACACGUGUAACCAAAUCCGUUCGGAUAUGCUAAGUGGGAAAAUGUCAUUCCCAAGCACUGGUGAAAAGACACUUAUUUACUCCAUGCAUGACUUUUGGUUUACCAAAUAUGAAGAUUGGGGUCGGUGAGCAAAAUAUCUGUGUCAGUAAAAUGUCAUUCCUAGCCAUCUAUGAUGUAAGUAAUAAUUCCGCUAUAUAAUAAAUAUUAUACAUUUAUAUAUAAAACGGUUUAUGACAAAAUACCAACAUUUGAACAACAUUUAAACUGAGAUAGGUAUAACGUAGCCAGCCAACCUAGAAGUGAAGAGAAGCAAGUCCACAAUGCAUCAAAACUGUAAAUUCGUACUAAAACUAAUGCAAAAAUACGUGAUUCCCUCGCACAACUUACUCACGCAGGAUUUUGCACCAAAAAAUACUCUCACGGUGCCAUUUGCAUCGGUUGCAGCAAGUCCAAAACGCAGGAUUUAUCUUGUCUUCACUAGGCCACCCUGGAAUAACAAAAUACCAUUCAUUGUUGUUACAAGCGCUGCACCGAUUGAACUUAAUCUUCCCAUAGUCAAACAUAUCUACGAUAUGUCUUGCAACAAAUGCUCCGCGACAUCUUCCUGUUAAAGCAUCCCUGGUUCCUUUCAUAUCAAUGUUGUUACGUUGAUUCAAAGAACACAAGAAUUGUAAUGCAUCCUCUUUUGACUGACCAAUUCCGGACAUACCAAGUAGUCCAACUACAUAUGCCGCUUCCAUAUGGCCUGCCGUGGCUGCAAUGCGCAUCCCAUACAACGCUUCCACCUUACCGUCUGUGAAAAAACCUUCGAAUGCUUCUCUAAAUAUGGACUCAGGGUUAUCGCAAGCCCUGCAUUGUUGCAAGAAAUGCUGGACUGCAGGUUUGGCACGGUAGCAGAUAGGAUGGUGUGGGUACUUUGCCAUUGAAAUGGUGUUCCACACUUGUGGACUGUUUGCCAAAAUGUUGAACAAUCGGCACACACAUGCCAUACGGAAGAGAUCUUCCGAUGAUUCGGUUGCCACGUAUAACAUCACUUGAAACCAAGCGGACUCCGGGAUAAAGGCUUCGGGCAUAUCGAAAUGGAGAUGCUUCCUUCUCUUUCCUCCGACUGUAGUGAAGUGUUUCGAAUUCAUUGAAAAGUUUUUGGAAUGGAACGAUUUGAGGAGUGGCAGAGGGGAUAAAUGAUAAUAUUUGGGGUACACGUUCUACUUCCGAGCCUCUGUUUAUAGUGUUUUGAAAAGGUGUUUCCAGUUGGGGUUUUUCCAAGUUGACCCUUUUGAAAGAAACUGAAUCCAAGUGAAUUAAAACUUAAGACAAAAGAAGGGAAAACGUCAUAACGGUGCAUACAGAGUCAGACAGUUAAAAAGUUAAUUAAAUGGCUAUUUGCAUAGCCAUUUUUGGGUUUAUCCCACUAUCAAAUUCAUUGAUACAAAUGUGAUGGAUUACUGACUAGUGACAGAAGGUCCCAUCAUAUACUUUUUCAUUUUCGCACACCCAACUAUCCCUAGUAAUGUUAUUAAAAUGGAACCAAUAAUGACGGAUUCUUAUCCAACUAGUUGCCUUAAUGAAAUAUAAAUAAAUUAAUAAAAUUGAAGCAGUGUCCCGUCAUUAGUCAGAAAAUAUAUUUGGUAGUGAAGUAGUUUCUAUUGCUUUUCGGGCUAAAAGAUGUCACAAUGCUGACGGUACAGGUGUCGACAUCGUGACCAACCCACCAAAUGAUCCCAAAAAAAAGUAAUAUAACUCGAUUUGGGCAGAGAUGAGAGAGAGCUGAGUGACAAGUUUAGGGUUAUGAGUGAAGGGGUAUGAAUGACAACUAUGAGUGAGAAGGUAUGAGUCCGAAGAGGUUUCAGUGAGAAGAUUUGAGUGAGAAGAGGUACAACUGAGAAGAUUCAACAUGUCUUCGUCUUCAUCUCCUGCUCAAACAAAGAGGUGUCAGUAUUGUGGAGCUACAAUGGUGCUUCGGGUUUCAAAAUCUGAAAAAAAAUCGAGGGAAGCCAUUCUGGAAGUGUCUAACCUCCUAUGUAAGUUUUAAUUUAAAGAAUAUGUAUGUGGGUGAAAAAAAACCUAUGUCUAACUCUGACAGAAUUAUAUUCCAUAUAUGAUGCCUGCAAUUAGGGAGCCACCAGUUGCAAUGGAUUCGAAUGGGUUGAUGUAACCUCCGCUGAAGCAGAACAUCAAGAUGACACGUAUGAUGUUAGAGUGCUGAACAUGCUGAAGUCCAUUAAGGACUUGGUAUUAGUUUUAUUAGUUGUAUUAAUUGUCAUUUUAUUUGUUCUUUUAAUGAUCAUUUAACUGCACGGUUUAAAAGAUUGUGAAAGUUCUCUCGCACAAGACAUAUUGCACGCACCACCAAUGAGACCCUAAACCCAUUUUGUAAUAUUUGGUAACUGCAUGUAUUUCGCAUGUUAUUGAAUGUUUAUUGAAGGUUUAUUGAUAGUUUGCUGCAUGUAUAUGGAAUAUCAUUGCCCCAAAAUUGGAUGUUUAUUGGGGCCACAAGUAUCACUCAAGUAAGAAUGAAGGGGAGAAACGGACCUUAUUCUUUCUUAUAGUAGGAAGAACAACUGUUAAGUUUAAUAUCCUAUUCAAUACGACUUCCCUAUGGUUGGUGUACUUGGGGACUGAAGUAUAUUGCAUCAUUAUUGUGGGCAAGGGCAUGUCUAUUGUGUGUGUUAAGGGAGUAUUGUGUGGGCAAGGGCAUGUCUACUGUGUGUAUAUUGCAUGUCUACUGUGUGUAUAUUGCAUAUCUAUUCUCUGUAUAUGGCAGGCCAAGUUUGUGUAUAUUGUUUGUCUGUUGUGUGUGUAUUGCUUGUCGGUGCGUUUGUGAAUUGUGGUUCAUUUUGUGUAUAUUGUCUUUGUUUCUACUUUUAUGCUACUGAGCUGCGGAAAACCUCGCAUGUUUAGACACCUAUUAUGAUGCAACACAUUGCGAUUAAUGGUGGCUUGCAUCAACAAUGACAUAUCACUUUGCAAUGAUGUAAUACACUUAAAAAGCCGUCUUCAAAUCCCAAUUCACAUAUGCAGUCUUAAAAUUCUAAUUCAAUGCAGUUUGGUUAACAAACAUGUAAAUGUCAUGAAGGAGUUAGCGGUAGAAUUCGAUAAGGACCCGUACGUCUCUAUUGUGUAUUUACAUUAGUUUGAGAAUGGACAUUCCCAAAACCUUCUCAUGUACCAUUUGUCAUCUUCAACCAAUAUCAUGGGAAGUAAGCAUCUCCCCUUGUUAUCUCCGCAGCCAAUUUCAACCGAAAAAAAGGCAUGUUGUGCGAGGUGCAAGUAGCUAACGGAAGCUUAGCGCUGAAAAGCUCAAUGUACUUUAACACAAACAUGCCACAAUCGCCUCUGAAGCAAAACAAGAACUCGAUCAAUUCAACUAAUGACAUUCUAAUGUAAUUGACAAUUGAAAGUAAUAAAAUUAAAUUGCAAGUUGUGCUUACUCAUUAGACUGUUGUGGAACAUCCACACGCUCUAUUGGCCACGGACACCACCAAUCUCGGCUGCAAUUGUUUGCAUAAACACCUUCUUCAUAAAAGUCGAUGGUGUUGAGAAGAUUUGGAAGCGUAAUUGAUAGCGGGCCGAGUUCUUCCUUUACGAUGUCAUCUGGAAUUAGUGAAACCUUUGAAUCGUACACUUUGAUUCACACAAUACCAGAUCAAACANNNNNNNNNNNNNNNNNNNNNNNNNNNNNNNNNNNNNNNNNNNNNNNNNNNNNNNNNNNNNNNNNNNNNNNNNNNNNNNNNNNNNNNNNNNNNNNNNNNNNNNNNNNNNNNNNNNNNNNNNNNNNNNNNNNNNNNNNNNNNNNNNNNNNNNNNNNNNNNNNNNNNNNNNNNNNNNNNNNNNNNNNNNNNNNNNNNNNNNNNNNNNNNNNNNNNNNNNNNNNNNNNNNNNNNNNNNNNNNNNNNNNNNNNNNNNNNNNNNNNNNNNNNNNNNNNNNNNNNNNNNNNNNNNNNNNNNNNNNNNNNNNNNNNNNNNNNNNNNNNNNNNNNNNNNNNNNNNNNNNNNNNNNNNNNNNNNNNNNNNNNNNNNNNNNNNNNNNNNNNNNNNNNNNNNNNNNNNNNNNNNNNNNNNNNNNNNNNNNNNNNNNNNNNNNNNNNNNNNNNNNNNNNNNNNNNNNNNNNNNNNNNNNNNNNNNNNNNNNNNNNNNNNNNNNNNNNNNNNNNNNNNNNNNNNNNNNNNNNNNNNNNNNNNNNNNNNNNNNNNNNNNNNNNNNNNNNNNNNNNNNNNNNNNNNNNNNNNNNNNNNNNNNNNNNNNNNNNNNNNNNNNNNNNNNNNNNNNNNNNNNNNNNNNNNNNNNNNNNNNNNNNNNNNNNNNNNNNNNNNNNNNNNNNNNNNNNNNNNNNNNNNNNNNNNNNNNNNNNNNNNNNNNNNNNNNNNNNNNNNNNNNNNNNNNNNNNNNNNNNNNNNNNNNNNNNNNNNNNNNNNNNNNNNNNNNNNNNNNNNNNNNNNNNNNNNNNNNNNNNNNNNNNNNNNNNNNNNNNNNNNNNNNNNNNNNNNNNNNNNNNNNNNNNNNNNNNNNNNNNNNNNNNNNNNNNNNNNNNNNNNNNNNNNNNNNNNNNNNNNNNNNNNNNNNNNNNNNNNNNNNNNNNNNNNNNNNNNNNNNNNNNNNNNNNNNNNNNNNNNNNNNNNNNNNNNNNNNNNNNNNNNNNNNNNNNNNNNNNNNNNNNNNNNNNNNNNNNNNNNNNNNNNNNNNNNNNNNNNNNNNNNNNNNNNNNNNNNNNNNNNNNNNNNNNNNNNNNNNNNNNNNNNNNNNNNNNNNNNNNNNNNNNNNNNNNNNNNNNNNNNNNNNNNNNNNNNNNNNNNNNNNNNNNNNNNNNNNNNNNNNNNNNNNNNNNNNNNNNNNNNNNNNNNNNNNNNNNUUUUCCUCUCCCUCAUCUCUAUUAUUUGGCCCUUCACCCCCUUCAAUCCCUUCAUCUUCUUUUUCCUCUCCCUCAUUUCUGUUACUUGGCCCUUCAUCCCAUUGAAUGUCAUCCAUUUCCCCAUAUCCCUUAAAUAGAUGUGAGACGACACAACGAUUCGUCCUCUGUUUCAGUAAAGCUAGGUCCCUCCUUACUUCCUGCUCAAACUGAGGACCUAAACAUUGGUCCAAUAGUUUUUCCAUCCGUAUGACCUUUAAGUGAAGGACGUCUUUUUCCCGCUUUUCUUGAAACAACUCGGACCUCAACAAGCUUACCACCUUGUUCAACUCAUCAAGAUCACCACAUGAAGAAGGAAUUGACUCUGCCGAGACAACAGCAGGGCGAUCCUGUGGCCAACUCCAAUAUGGCUGUCUCAUUUCCUCUUCACUUAGACAUAGCGCCCGCAACUGAACUGACUGUUUCAGAAUACAGACAAGAGUCAUAUUAAAUCAUUCUACUUCAUAAUUUCAUUCAAUCUUAUCAAUAGUUCUAAGGGCUGCAAACCAAACCUCUUUGCUCUGGAAAAAAUAAUUGUUCAACUUUCUCAUCUCUGGAACAGACGUAGUAGUUCUCCAUCGCAAAAUACGCGGGACAGCGGUCGGAUCAACAACCUUGCAGUAAUUCAGGUCCGCCAUUCUAGGAAUUAAUUCAUAUACCCAAAUCUACACAAUUCACAGGACAAAAGUCAUUAUUUAUGUUUUAAAGAAAAACAAAACAUAACUGACAUGAACAUUAUUACCAUGUACCUGGAAAGCAUACGUGAAACCUUUAAAACUCCAGCCACUCCUUUGCGCUUCACUAUGCUUAUCCUUCUUGCCCUUCUCAUUUCUCCGGCUUGUUCCCGUUACCUUACUUUUCCCCUUCCCUCUUCCCUCUUCAUUUUCCAAGCUUUUCACAUACUUUGUUGGUGCAGAAAAUAGACUGUCUUGGGUUUUGUCAAAGGACACCGAACCCCACGGAUACCUGUUGAACGCAUCCAAGUCCUCUACAAGGGUCAGGUAAUUUAGAUUGAUGUUCAAAUGUUUGUCCCUUCCCAAAACCACUAACUCAGCAAAGUAAACAAGAGGUAGCUUGAAGAUGUCAUCUUCCUCUGUGCACCUCACAAAUGCUUCUUCUAAAGCAUUGCAUGUAAUUCCUUCGUCUAUAAAAUAUCUUUUCUGAAGUCUGAUUUCAUUACUCUCUCCACUGGAAACUUCAGGCACUUCCCCAAAACGAAGCCCUGUGAUCAAACAGAAAUCCUGACGAGUGAACUGAGCAACGUCACACCCUAAUAAGAAACUCAGUCCAUCCAAGUCUUUCACACCCUGCCCCGCUACUCUACGCAACACAACCCCAUGCACAAUCUGUCCGCUAAACUGAAUCUUAUCUAUAUUCAGAAGAUGGCCAAAGCAUGAUGUCUUGAAUUGUUCUAAUUGUUCCGCACUCAACUUCGCUCGAAUUGCAGCUAGAGAUGAAUUUGCAUGUGAGCAGUUGUUCACCCGUGAUGAAUAUACCUCUGCCUCUGGCCAUACCAGCUCCACGUUGGAUCCCAUUUCCUCAAAUACAAUGUGAAAUAACGUGAACAUAUAUACUACCACGUAUUUGCACAAUCACAACUAGUCAACCAGGCACAUUACAACUUUUACAAAGUACAUGAGCAUAUGGAUUACUCAUCACAGGCUUUAACAUCAUCAAAGCAAUAUGACAAUUUUUGUGCAAAUACCUGUUAAUGCAAUGAUUAUGUGAAUUACAAACAAUUUCACGUGUUUUAUUUAUGGAUCCAUACUCGUGUGAGUGCAAUGUAGGCAAGUUCUGCACUUCACACACAUGACAAUUAUUGUCAUCUCAUACACAACCCAAAAUAAAUAAAUAAGAAAUAUAGUGGAAGGAAGCAAAGCAAAGCAUGUACUCUGCUAUCUGCUUGCUAAGCAAUUGCCACAUCCUUCUUUCUUUCUACCUUUUUCUUCAGUCACCCACAAUCGUCAUAGAUCAACCUUCAUUUCAAAUGCUUUGCACUUUUAUUCAUGAGUUUAUUAUUAUCUGUUCUCAUUUCUCAUAGGCAAAUUUAGUAACAAAUGAAAUAAUAUUUAUUUCACAAAAUAUAUAAAUUCUAGUGCCAGAGAGGUACUCUUCACUCUGCACUGCUUCAAAUGUGGAAGGUUUUGAGAUGUUAUUGACAUGUGAUUGACUUUAUUUUCAUUCGUUUUUUAACAUAUACCCAAGCAAAAAUUAACAUGCAAUUGAAGCACAAAUAAGAGAUGCCAAAUCCAACAACAUUGAUGGUACAAAUUGGGGAAAACCAUUACUCUAACCCUAAACUCAAAUUCCUUACAUUACUCAUCAAAUGCUUUGCAGUUCUAUUCAUGAGUUUAUUAUUAUCUGUUCAAAUGUUUCUCAGGCAAAUUUAGUAACAAAGGAAAUCAUAUUUACUUCAUAAAAUAUAUAUAUAUAUAUAUAUAUUCUAGCGCCUCUUCUUAAUCUGCACUAUGCACUGCUUCAAAUGUGGAAGGUUUUGAGGGCCUCCUCCAAUUCAACACCAUUAUCUUAUUCAUAUCAUUAUUGACAUGUUAUUCACUUGUUAUUGACUUCAUUUUCAUUCUUUUUUUAACAUAUACCUAAGCAAAAAUUAACAUGCAACUGAAGCACAACGAAGAGAUGCCAAAUCCAACAAAAUUUAUGGUACAAAUUGGGGAAAACCAUUACUCUAACCCUAAACUCAAAUUCCAUAAAUUACUCACCAAAUGCUGGUUAUUGCAAGGUGUCUGUGUGGGGUCUUUCUGUUUCUUUGCUCCACAAAUGGAACCUACCACUUCCAACGAAUACAGCUUUUCCCCUUCCCCUUCCACUGCUUCGCCUCUUCACUGAUUUGGAAUCCACACCUUUGCCCCUUCUACUCCAAAUAAAUACUUUCUCGGGGUCUGGAGAACGGAGUGGCGAAUCGUUGCCUUCAACUGUCGUUAGCCGUUGCCUUCAUUGGGUAUCUCAGACCUCUGUGUUUUAGAGAGAUGAGUUCUUUCUGUUCAAACUUCGAACUUGCCUCUUCUUCUUCUUUUUCGGACGUGUUUCCCUCUUCUUCUUCUUUUUGGACGUGCUGGAUAUUCAAUUCGGGUUUGGGUUCCUUACCUACCCAAUUGUGAAACUUUAACUCAAUUCUCCCCAGCCCUUGGAUUAAUCUGAUGGCUAUAAAGUGAACCCCUUAUAACUUACCCCUUAUAACUUUCCACUCAUUAUAGUCUUGGCCAGGUAUGGCGGCCAUGCUAGUAAGUGUUGGGUCUUUGACCCAACUUAAGCUAAAUGGGUCAUAAGAUGACCGAUCAUCUUAUCUCAUAAGGAUAUAUAAGUCAUGUUAUGAUUUAGGAUUUUAUAGGGUUUCCUUUGUAAGAGGUAAGAGAGAAACAAGCUCUCUCUCUCUCUACACAAGGAGGUCAGCCAUAGCAAGGGAAAGGCUCCUAGCACUCUCCUCUCUCUUAUUAUAUCAUCCUUCCAAGGACAGCUUUGGUAUGGUAAAGUUGGAGGUUGCACACUUUGUGCACUUUGGUAAGAACUCAUCCAAGGGAGCCAAGAUUAAAUUGGUUAGCUGUUGGAUUAAAUUGGUUAGCACGAUUCAACGGUUAAUAGAUAAAACUUCACAUAAAAGUCAUAUAUAAGGCCCUCACUAUAGAAUGACUCGUUAGUUUAGUCUCUUGUUACAUAUCAAAUGUUAGAGAUAUUUUUUAAUAAGGAUCUGCCAUACCACAUAGUUGGAUAAGACAUUAUACACGGCUUUUGUAAGAGCAUCUCCAGCGCUCCAAACUAGCCCAAGCAGCAGGGGGGCCUAAGUCUAGGAAGCAGCUCCAGCUCGCAAGAUUCAACCCAGGCAAGGUGUGGAACCCACGAGGAGAUCUAGCCCGUCACCUUGCCUUUGGGUUUCAGUCAAGCUGAUGUCAACGAAAGAAUUUCAAAUUUUUUUUACCGUUACAAUGUACGCGCCAACGAUAAAUUUUCUUUGGAUUUCUUGCAUUGAUCCACAGCUACCAAAAACCAACAGCUACAAGCCACGUGGCUUCUCCAGGAGCCUCCGAUCCAAAAAUCAUGUCAAAUCUAACGGCAGUCCAUUUUUUGGCUAAAAAUAUCAAAAAAUUAUGGAAACAUGUUCUAUAAAUUCCUACAAAUAUUAUUCACUUCCCACACCAAAUCUUCAUACAAAUUCAUAUCCUUUCAAUAUUUUUCACUUUCCAUACAAGAUUUUCUACUACUAAGUUUCGUUUGUGUAAAAAUACAAAUGACCUCUUCUAUCGAAGCCGGAGGCGCGUGUACAACCGUGGAAGAUAUUUUGUUGCGUGAGUGUUGGGUCAAAGUUGGUCAUUCCCUGAUCACGGGCAAUGAGAUGAAGUCCUCUCGUAGGAGUUUCUGACAUCGCAACGAAAGUAAGAUGUGAUAUGAAAAUGUAAGGAAUUUGAUGAGAGGAAUGGGAUUUGAGGAGUUUGAUGUAGGAAUUGAUGUAGGAAUUGAAUUUGGGAGGUAUGUAUAUAAGAUUUGAGGGUAUGUGUUUAGGGAUUUUGAUAAGAGGAUUUGAGGAAUUUAGAUUUGAAGGAUUUGGAUUUGGGGAAUUUAAAUAUGAGGAAUUUGAUUAGGGUUUGGGUUUGAAUAUGUGAAAUUUGAUAUGAGAGUUUAGAGACAACAGAUGAUCGAUUGCUCUGAUACCAUGCUAAAAUAUGAUAUGGUUUGAAUACUUUAGGUUGAGUUUUAUUCUUUUCCAUAAAAAGGUAUAUAUAGGAGUUUACAUGAGUGCUUUACAAAGAAAUAGAUACAAUAAUCAAUUAGGAUAAUAUCUCCUAAUUAUACAAUAAUUUGUCAACUAUAUAGAAUAGGAAAGUAAAUUCCUUAAUUAAUCAAGAAAAUAAAUCUCAUUGAUUAAUUAGGAGACUAACGUCAACAUUUAUAAGCCAUAAAAGAGCAGAAAAAGAGGUACUUAGGAGAUUUUAUACGUCGGACUAAGGUAAGCUUAAAGGACUAUAUCAAAAAAAUAAGGGACCAAGAAGCAAGACAGAGAAGUUGUUAUGCAAACCCAUUAAGUUUAGCAGUGAUGAAUUUGUAAAAAUCAUUCUAGUGGAUUCUGCCUUCACUAUUGAGUUCUUAUUGAGGUUCUAUCUGAAAGGAUCUGGACAUGAAGGAGACCGCUUAUUAAACAAACCGUGGAUGUUUACAGCCUGACAUGUGGUUGCUUGAAAAUCAGCUCCCAUUCUUUAUUCUUGAGGAUCUUUAUCACACAUACAUAAUAACCGACUCUUUUAGGAAUUAUUACAGUACUCAUGAUCAUGAGAGGCUUUCAAUAAUUAAUAUUUCUAAGAAUUUCUUCACAGCCGGAAUAUUGAAUUUGGAGGGGAAGGGAGACAAAUGGAACAGAAUAUCAUCUUCUUCUAGUGUUGGAAAUUUUAUAUUAUUUAAUAAUAUUUAAUUUCUAUUGUGAAUGAAAAAUAAGUUUCUUUAAGAAACGUGUGUCUUAGGCCAGUUUUUCUAACUGGUCGGCUUCCUUAGAUUUGUGCCUAUUGCUUUUCAAAGUAUAAUGAUGCAAUGGUUGUAUCUCGUUCAGGCAAAUGGAAGGUAUAUAGCAAUUUAUAGAACAAUACAGUAAUCCAGAAGAAAUAUUAUGAAAUGAAAAGAAUAAAAAGUAAAAAAAGAGAAAGAAAGGAAUUCCCACCUGCAAUGUAUAUGUAUGAAAGGAAGGACCAAGUUUGUUUUAAAAUGGUAAGAACAAGUUGAUUUUAAAUUGGGUUCAGAUCAACUCAUAGAUUUCUUGCCUUUUCUGUUCUCCUUCCUUGGACAUGAACUGUUUAAUCUUGGACUCUUCCCCAUCAUGUUGGGCCUGUCUUCUUCUUGAGGAUUGUAUAGGCCUAGGAAAUGCUUCGGGGUAGUUUUUGUGUUUUGGGCAUUGGGACCCAACUUCACAAAAAGAAAACAAAUUUGACCAAAACACAAAUUUGAAGGACAUUGAAAUUGUACCCGUAGGAUAGAUUAAAACACUAUAAGGGAGGUAAAUAGUACGUUUACAGAGUUUAAGUGUAAUAAAGGAAUAAAAACAUGCCCAGAGAAUUGAUAAGUGAUAUCAAUUCUUGAAUAUACGUGAAAAUUAUUUUAUGUGGUUAAACCCCACCUCUGGGGAAAAUCCACGGAACUUCUUAGUCCAACUUCUAUCACUUAUCCUAGACACAUUCUAGAUAAUGUUUGCCAACCUCUUCGUAACUCAACUUCUGUCACGAGAUGAUCUUUCAACACUUUAUGUCGAACGCAAUACUGGUCACGAUUUCUUCAAGCUCGCCGGAGUUCUUCCAAUUCUCCUUAUAUUGAAUCUGAUACUAGUCACGAUCGAUUCAAGCUCAUCGGAGAAAAAUCGCCACAACAAUCUUGGUGCCCUCAACCGUAUGAGUCACUGAACAUGCAAAUGAAUACAAUAUGAAUGAUAAAAGUGUUUGAUAAAUCACCAAGUUAUGGAACACUUGAUGAUUUAUCUCAAAUAAAAAUUCAGCUUUCCAAAGUUUAUGAAUUGAAAAUAUGACCGUUAAAGCUCUCUAAACAAAGAAGACGAAGGUCUUAUUUUAUAGACUUUUACUUUACAAGAAAGAAAACACGUUGAAAACCAAAUCUCCAAUUUCCAAGGCUUGACAGAAAAUCACAAAAUUAUCUUUCCUAUUCUAGAGAUUGGUCACAUGAAGUCCAACCAAUAGGAAAUGAGAUAUUUAAGAAAGGAAGAUUUUGAUCAAUAUCAAUAUCAAAUGAAUUCUUAUACGCCUAGUCAAUUGUUAUGGGUAUCUUGACUCCUUGAUAUUGUGAUAUGAUUGAAACAUGAUUUCCACGUUAGAAAAUUAAGGGGAUGUUAAAACAUGAAGGUAAUAGGAGAAUCAAAUUGAUUUGGGCCAAAAUUGCCUAAAAAGAAAACACUCCUUAAUAAACUUCAAUUUACUUUUAAAAAUAGUAAAACGUGAUUGAAUCGUUCUUUAAAACAAUUCCCUAAUAUACAUGCAUGAUAGUGAUAUCACUUACCUUUGAAUCAGAUGGCUUUCACGGGUCAAGCCACAAGUUUUUGUCUUGGGGAUUGCUGAGCUUCAUCAAUCCUGCCAAUGUCAAUUUUGCCCCUAAGCUCUCUCAAAGCACGUUUACAACCUAUGCUAACAUAUAUUAGAGUUUAUGUUAGUAUCAAGAAAAUGCCAACACUAAUUUCGUAACACGUAGAAAUUGUUAGAGAUUGAAGUUUUUAUCAUUUUUUCUUCCAGACUCUCCACCACUCACUAAUAUAGUUUACUCAUGUGAUGAGUUUACAAAACCUAUUUCUCUACUCUCACAAAGACUAUACUUAGGGGGGUGUAUUCAAUUAGGAUUCUAAAGCGUUUAAAAAGAUUUUGUUUAAGUGCCAGCUUUCAUAGAACUUGAUGGAACUUUAUAAUUCGUAUAGAACUUGAUAGACUUUCAGAAGACUUCUGUAUAAUUUUUUAAUAAAACUUUCUUAAGCUUUCAUAGAACUUGAUAGGCUUUCAUUCCAAACUUAUGUAGAUGGUAUAUUUCAUUUUAUCCCCAUCCUUGACAUUUAAAGAAAGAAACUUGAAUUUUUUCAAUCAAAUUUGUUUUUGUUACCAAAGCAGCAAAAACAAAAAGUACUUGUUUGCGAUGGAAGAACAUAUGCACAGUUCAAAAUGAAAAGAAUAAGAAGCAAAGUACCUAUUUGACCAAUGAAUGCUGUGUCAACUAGAGAAGCAAUUGGAUCGGCUGUCAAAGCCAAUGCUGCAGGCAAUGCAUCGAUGGUCCAAAUUGCAAUAAAAAAAUAUUUUGAAUAAUGGCUCUUGCAGACAAAGACCACAUAAAUUCUGAACUGGUCUAGCUUGAAUAAUAAGGUUAGAUUAGCCAAUUGAUGAGAUUAAAAGCAAAGCAAGUUGAUGAAUUUAUCAUCAACUAUUUAAUAACCACAGUCCUGAUCUCUUGGACCCCUGUAGUCCAAGAGAUUUAUGGUCACCCACCGUUGGAUGUAAAUUCAACGGUUGACUUGAAUCGGGUAAUAAUCAUUUAUGUCAUAUUGCAUUUAUAUAUAUCAUUUUGAACCAUUGGAUUAAUAUCCAACGGUGGGUGACCACAAUCUCUUGGACUCCUGUGGUCCAAGAGAUCGGGACUGUUAAUAACCAAUAGAGUAUUUAAACAUAAACAACAAUGUUUGAUCAACAAAACAAAUAGUCCAAAUAUCAUCCAAAAAACAAUAACAAAAAAUCAAUCAUUCCAAACAAACUAGUCAUUCUCAAAAACUCUCAAAAAACCCACUCAUUCCAAAUUGUAGGAUAUCCAAUUUGAGCACUCCUCAGGAGACAUUUUCAAAAAUGCAUCCUUUUUUGUGUUACUAUGCAACAAAGAGAGUGCUUUAUAACGAGCAUGUUCAUCCAAAUUUGGGGUCUCCUUAAUGGCAUCCCAUAUAUAACUCCGCUGCUCUCUCUCUUUUUCCCUUUUUGCCAAUAGGUUAUGGACCUCCCGGAAGUCGAUGACAAUUGAAUCAAUGCUAAGGCUAAUUCUUCCCAUAGCUUGCUGGGUGGUCACAUUUGAGAUAGCAUUCCCUUCCAAAUAUGUUCUAGUUCGUUUCCUCUAGUAACAAGCAUAAAUCCUAGUAACAAGCAUAAACCCUAACCCCAACCUAUAACCUAAUAACAAGAAGAAAACCCAACGAGGUAUUGAUCAAAGAAAAAUUAGGGAGCAUACCUUCACAGAUGGAGGAAGGAAGCUGUUCGUCUUCGCAGAGAGAAAAUCUAGGGAAAGAGAAAAACGUCUUAUGAAAUACUUGGGGGGGAGGUUGGAUUUAUUUUGGUCUUUUUUAUUUAUAACUCUCCCCUUAAAACCUACGUAAAUUUAUCACUUAAUGAAAUCCUUCCAAAUAUAUGACCUUUCGAAUACACCUAGAUUUGAUUCAACUUUUUUAUAAUCAUAAUUGAAUACACCCAUAUUUGAAUGGACUUUUUAAAAGUUCAUAUAGGUCCGAAAUGAAUAUACUCAAACUUGUAAAACCUCUUUUAAAGUUUGUAUAAAUCCAAAUUGAAUACACCUGGAUUUUUAAAAUCUUUUUAAACACUUUAUAAUCCUAAUUGAAUACACCCCCCUUAUUCUCAAAAGACUAUAUUACUUUACCUCUAUCUCUGUGAAAUGUAAAAAGUUGAAACUUUAAUGUCAAACCUCAACAAAAGAUGAACUUUCAUCAGUUACGUUGAAUUUGGAUUUGUUGAACUUAAGUGGUUUUAUUUUCUUUGUCAGUGUUUGAUGACUUAAUUUGGUAUUUAUUUCUUCUUUUUUUUCCUUGGAAAUGUGUUCCACCAACGUGAGGAAGAAAAAUAUGCACAAAUUAAUAUAUUUAAUAGAAGCCCAAGAUUUCGGAUGCAUAUAAUUUCUACAAAAAUCUACAAAGUUUUUUACUUUACAAACUUCUUAUGUCUACCAAUUUCUACUAAAAUUAAUUUCUCUGUGGUGCUCAAAUUCAUCAUAUGUGUGUCGUUAAUUUUAUUGAAAAUUGGAAGUUCCCAUCAUUUUUGUUUUUUGGGAAUUUUCUGAACCAAGGAAAAUCAAGUAAAAUUAAUAAAGCCUAAAUUGGAAAGGGAAAAUAUCUAGAGGAUGCAUUGUAGGAUUGCUCAUGCCAAUAAUUGUACCCUCUAAAUAUAUAGAGACAUAUUUUUUUUGUUUUCAUGACAUGUGGUCCUAAAAUUAUUGUGUAAAUCUUCAAUCCUGAACGAUGCACCUAAAACUCAUCCACCCAUUCUCAGGCCAAUUAUUGCACCUAGUGGGCUCUCGACCCCCUCUCAAAUUUAACCACAUAUUUUAUGGACCAUCCAGCUGUGAGGUACAUUCCCCCCACAUGCCACAAUUGUAUAUUCACAAUUACGUCUGAUACAUCACAUCAUGCCACUUGCCUCAAAUGAAUUUAAGUGAGUGAGGCAGUUGGAAGUAAUUAAGCUCUAUAUUGGUGGGUGGAGUGUUACUUCUCGGUUCCCCUCAUCAUUCGUCUAUAAAAUGGUGAAGGCAGUUGCUAUUGUUACCAUAAGAGCCAGCUCCGACUUCCUUUAAUUUCUUGCUUCAUAUCCACUAGCUACAUCUGUUACCAAGUUAAUUUCAGUUCUAAUGGGGUUUCAUCUCCCACUCAUCUUUGCUCUUCUCAGUGUAAGCUCUGCAAUUUGAUUAACUUUUCCAUUCUCUCUCAUUGUACUCUAUAUAAACGAAAGUUUUGUGUUCCUAUUGUUCUCUCCGAUUUUAUUUAGUACGUACUUAAGUGUCGUCCACUAAUUAAUUAUACUUUGUGAUUUGAUUUUAAUUUGAGUUUGAAUUAAUGUUGCAGCUAGCAGCAGUGGCACUGGCAAACCAUGCUGCUCAACCAGCACCUCAACUUUACUGGAGCUCCGUCCUGCCAAACACACAGAUGCCAAGAUCUAUCAGUGAACUUCUGCAUCCUGGUUUGUGUUGAGCUCUUUAGAAUCUUAGAUAUCUCUUCUACCUGCCAUUUUACUAAAAUAUGUUCCACCACAUAUUUAUCAGUUAACCAUUGUCAUUACAUGAGUGACACAUAUUCACAAAUCGGCUGAUCACUUAUUUUCCAUUAUGACUUGAUAUAUAAUUUGCAGACUCCACAAAUGAAGAAAAGAGCACAAAUGACGUUGGCAAACCUGAAACUUUCCCAUUGGGCAAUCAACAUUACUCCAGUCAAAAACAUUAUGGAGGCAUACCUGAAACUUCCCCAUUGGGCAAUAAACAUUACUCCAGUCAAAAACAUUAUGGAAGAGGCAAACCUGAAACUUUCCCAUUGGGCAAUCAGCAUUACUCCAGUCAAAGACAUUAUGGAAGAGGCAAACCUGAAACUUUCCCAUUGGGCAAUAAACAUUACUCCAGUCAAAAACAUUAUGGAAGAGGCAAACCUGAAACUUUCCCAUUGGGCAAUCAGCAUUACUCCAGUCAAAAAAAGUAUGGAAGAGGUGCUUCUCCAUCCGACAAUCAACAACUCCAUUAUAAAGACUUAGCUAUUUUCUUCUUGGAGAAGGACAUGCGCCCUGGCACAACAAUGAAGUUCCAAUUCCCUAUAAAUUCAAACACGGCUACUUUCUUGCCACGAGAAAGCGCUCAAUCGAUCCCCUUCUCCUCUAACAAACUGCCAGAAAUUUUCAACCAUUUUUCAGUGAAGCCAACAUCUGAGGAAGCCAAAACAAUUAAGCAAACAAUCGAAGAGUGUGAAGCUCCAGACCUUAAGGGAGAGGAAAUAUAUUGCGCCACAUCUUUAGAAUCAAUGGUUGAUUUUAGCACUUCGAAGCUUGGAACAAGAAACGUUGAAGCAAUCUCGACGGAGGUAUUGGAAAAAGGAGCCACCAUGUCCAUCCAAAACUAUACAACAAUGCCGGGACUGAAGAAGUUGGCAGGUGACAAAGUCGUUGUGUGUCAUAAGCAGAACUAUCCCUAUGCUGUGUUUUUCUGCCAUGCAAUAAAACAUACAGCAGCUUAUGCUCUCUCCCUGAAAGGCGAUGAUGGGGAGAAGGUUAAAGCAGUAACCAUCUGCCAUCUAGACACAUCAGAAUGGGACCCAGAGCAUAUGUCCUUCCAAAUCGUCAACGUUAAGCCCGGAACCAUUCCCAUCUGCCAUUUCAUUUCCACUGAUGCUAUUGCCUGGGUUCCGAACCACAAAUCUGCAUGAUCAUCACUUAGCACUAGUACUGUGCGUAUAAUAUGCCUGUAUAAUUAUCUCCCUACUUAUUUCUGCCUCUUCAUCAUGUGGUGUAAGAUAUAUGUUGAGAUGAAGUUUUUGGGAUUUGUGGUCGAAAUUAACCCGAUCAUGUUUUCUCUUGCAACCAUAUAGACUUCAACUUGUACUCAUAAUAAAGCAUGCUAUAUUUAUGAAGAGAUAUUAAUCUUCAGGCAAAUAGAUAUUAUGAAAACAUAUAUAGCAAUUUAUCCAGAAGAAACAUUAUGAAAUGAAAAGAAUAAAAAGUAGAAAAACAGAAGGAAAGGAAUUCGCACGUGCUAUGCUAUGUAUGAAAGGACCAAGAUUGUUUUCCCUUUGGUUAAUGACUAGAAAAGCUCACUUGCAGAGUGCUUUCUCCGACCAUAGAUGGAAGAGAAAUUUUCUCUUAAUAAUAGCACAAUGAUCGGGUAAUUGUAAGAACAAGUUGAUUUAAAAUUCCUUGACCCAAAAAAAAAAAAAAAGUUCUUUUCAAAUUCAGGUCAACCCAUAGAUUUCUUGCCUUCGUCUUCUUCAUCACGUUGGGCUUGUCUUCUUUUUGCGUUUUGGGCCUUGGAAGUUGGGACCCAACCCAACUUCACAAAAAGAAAACAGAUUUGCCAAAAAUCAAAUUUCAAGUCUCUCCUCCGAUCACUAAUACAGAUCAAAUUUUGGAUUUGAUGAACUAAAGUGGUUUUACUUUCUCUGUCAGUGUUUGAUGACUUAAUUUGUUAUUUACUUUUUUUUUUUUACUUGAUCUUUGUAGGGGCUUUUUUUUUUCCGGCAGCUUAAACGGGCUGGGCUGCCGUAAAGGGUAGAUUGAUGAAAUUGUCCCCUUUGUCUGAAUUCGAAAAUCAAGCCCCAAAAGCGCUUCGAAAGGGCAGUAGAGCCUUAGGAAGCGUUCUGGUUACCUUCACUAAUUAAAACAACAGCAACUUACAGAUGAUUUCUUGAGGCUUACAGAUAAAUUUUCUAGCUUGGCAUGACAUGGAAGCAAAAUCAGCAUGAGUUUAGCACCAAAGAGGAAAAUAUGGCUUCCUAGGGAGAAAUGAGAGUGUUUAAGGUGAGGAAGAAGAGGUUUGCAGGCUGAUUUGGCUGAGAAAAGAGAAAGAAAGAACAAUGUUCUUCCGGCAGCUUGACAAAGCUUCUGACAGAUGUGAAAGUCGUCCGCCAGAAGAGGAAAAUGGAGAAGAAGGAUGAAUAGUGCACGAAAUUGGUGGGUUCUUGCAGGUAAGAGAGAAAGCUUGCUCUCUGAAUCUGAGUUGGUUUUGGUUGGGUAGAAGAAGCCCCCUUUUAUAGCUGCGGGAAACCAUCUUUUUCCAAGAAACCCUAAUGGUUUCUAUCCUUUUUGGCCAAGCUUUUCCCUUCCUUUCUCUUCUCCUCCCUUGACUUUUCCUAUCUUGGUGAAAUUUCCUCUGCCUAUUUGCACAAAAUUAGAGAUUUUGAGGAGCUCAAGGCCCCUUUCCCGCAGCUGCCUUAGUGGAGAAUCCCCAUUUUCAGUCAUCUUUCUUCCUUCUUUUCUCCCAUCUUCCAAGGCUAGGUUUGAUGAGAGAAAGAAAUGGAUAUGCACACUGGUUUGAAGGGUGUUUUUCCUUGAAACUUGUUCUCUCCCAUGUGCUGGAGCUUCCCAGCAGCUUACACACAUAGAUAUUUUGGCUUUCAUCGUGGCUUUUGUUUUCAGCUAGGUGCUGGAGAUUUUGCAUAUAUUUUCUUGAGUUGCUUGGGCCUUCUAGGACAAUACGUUGGUUUAUCAAGUGAAUGGGCUAACUUCAUCAAUUGUUGGGCAAUUUUGGUUGAGUUAAUGGACUAUUUUGGUUCAAGUAAUGGACUAUUUUGGUUGAAAUAAUAGGCUAUUUUUCUCUCUUUGUGCUCACCCACAUAUUUGGGCCUAAAAAAUGGGCUUGAGUUUCGGGGCUCCCAAGCAACCCCGGGACUUCCAUUUCUCGGCCCAUCAAUGAGCCUCAUGUCAACUUAUUACCAUCCAUACCACAACCCACUCAAGCAAGCCUCAGGCAUCUUGCGUGGCUUGGGCCCACGUAAGCUCGUAGUGGCAAUGUUGCUUAUUUGCUUGACGUGGCAUGUGUGCAAGUGCAUAUGACGAACUUUCGCGUGCCCAAAUUGAGUUUCUUCUCGGUAGGGUAUCGCAUUGGGCCGAGAAUUUAAUUGGGUAGAACCGUGGAUUUUUUGGGCCUCAACAAUCUUAUAUAUAUUAGUUUUCUUUUUUUCCUUAAUAUUCACCACCUUUCUGUUGCAUAAGUAUUCCAGUCUUAGCGGGUUUCCAUCUACCACUCAUCUUUGCUCUUUUAAGUGCAAGCUUUUUUAUUUUUAUUUUUUUAUGCACAAGAUUAGAGGGGAGGGAGAUUUCUCAAUGUAAGCUUUGCAGUUUCAUAAUUAAUAUUUCCAAUAUCUCACUGUUAGUAAAAUAUGGAACGGGAAAAGUACGAAUAAAAUACACACAUGUUUUAUUUAGCAAAAUUUUGACAAGAUACAACUGAAAAGUUUGGCCACUAUAUAAUAUUUUGAUUUAAUUUUUUUUAUUUUUUUAAUAUAUAUUAUUUUUAUUCAAUAAUAUGUGAAAAAUAGGUGUACAAUAUAUGAAAUUUGUAUGUAUUAUUGAAAAAUUCGUAAAAAAAAAACAUGUUAUUAAAUGUGAAAAAUAUGUACGUAUAUGUAUAAAACAUGUAUUGUACAUUACUUUUUAACAAACUUGUAUUUUACCUAGUCUUUAAACCGUAUAUGGAAAACGGAAGUAUUAUUGAAAAAUACAUAUGUACGUAUAUGUAUAAAACAUGUAUUGUACAUUACUUUUUAACAAACUUGUAUUUUACCUAGUCUUUAAACCGUAUAUGGAAAACGGAAGUAUUAUUAAAAAAUACAUAUGUACGUGUAUAAUAUGAGUAUUAAACAAAAAAAUGUGCUAAGUACUUAUCUUUUAAUUUAAUAAUUCAUUUCAUUUUGUGAUCUCAUACGUAGUAAUGAGAGUUCAAAUUAAUGUUGCAGCUGACAAUGGUGGCUCUGGCAAGCCAUGCUUGAUGCAGGAGUAUAGGGGUGGAUCAAGAUAGAUAUUUACCAUGUAAUUAGUUAUUUCAUGAUAUAUUGUUAUUUUCUUAUUUAGGUAGUUUUAUGAUAUCUUUUAUUAUUUAUGUGGGAUUUUAUAAUUAAUUAGUUUACUUUUGGACCAAGUAGCCUUGGUGCUCAAGUCUUGUAAAGCUUAUAAAUAAGGCUAAUGUAAUAGUUGUAGGAAAAGAGAUGUCGAUGAUUAAUAAAAUCGUUUAUUUGUGGCAUGGAUUUGCUACGAUAUAUGUGAGUUUGCACUAGCCCUAGAUUUCGGUGCUCGUGUAUGUGGUUGGUGACCUGUGUCCGGAUCCCGAUCCCCAUCAAUGCUGUUCUCCCAGUACCUCAACUUUACUGGAACUCUUUCCUGCCAAACACAAAUGCCAAGAGCUAUCAGUCAACUUCUGCAUCCUGGUUUCUAUUAAGGGACUUUUCGUGAGCUUAUCAUCUACCCAAAUUUUACUCAUCCGACGUAAUUUUAAAAGUGAUUUGAUCCUUUGGCAAAGUAAUCUUGAACUACAAAAAAGGAGGGCACUCGAAUAGGCAUGCCAUUUGGUAUUACCCACCUCUAAUUUCUUUUAAAAUUUUAGUAAUUGAUUUUUAAGAUUAGAAAAUGGGAAAGUUCAAAACCGAAAAAGUUGUUUCAGUUUUGGCAAGUAUCGGAAAAGACUAAAAUUUUCCGACUUUAUUAUUACUAGAAACAAAGUCGAAGUAUUCACCAAUCAUGUGGCCUUCCAAGUGCUCAAGGUUAAGCCAGGAACCGUUCCUAUCAGCCAUUUCCUUCCCAAGUAUGAUCAUGUUGUCUGGGUUCCAACCCACAAAUCUACAUCAGUACCUGAACUAAUCAGUUCUACAUGAAUAUUCAUUCAUGGCAACCUUGGGCUAAGUAUUUGAAUUUAUGCUCAUAAAGCUUUAAUGCUUUUGAGGGCCAAUCGUUGUCUACAUAUGGUAUUGUAGCAUCUUUAGAUGGAAGAGGUCAGGGGUUCAAUUCUUGUUUUCCACUUCUUUAUUUGUUGGUUUAUCGAGUGUAGAGUGGAGUUGCACCUAUAUGUUCGUCUCUCACCCCAUCAUUUACCAUUGAUAUAUAUUUAAUAGAAGCCUAAGAUUUCGGAAGCACAUAAUUUCUACUUUACAAACUUCCUGUGUCUACCAAUUUCUACUAAAAUUAAUUUAUCUGCGGUGCUGAGAUUCAUCAUAAUUUUAAUAGAAAUUGGAAGUUUUCAUCAUUUUUGCUUUAAGUCUCUACUCCACUCACUAAUAAAGAUUACUCAUGUGAGUUUACAAAACAUUUUUUUUUUCUACUCUCUCCUGAAGACUACACUUCUUCUCAAAAAAUUAGAUCACUUCACAUCUUGUGUAUGUGAAAACUAAUGUAAAAAGUUGAAACUUUAUCGUAAAACCUCGACAAAAAUGAGCUCUACUACAAAAUGUUAAAUUUGGAUUCGUUGAUUUAAAUGGCAAUUUGACACUUGAUAGAAAUUUUUACAUACAUGUGUUAGUGUUUGAUCACUUCACAUGUCACUUACUAUAUUUAUUCCACUCAAGUUAGGUAAAUAUUAUUAUCAAACAUUUCAAUUAAUUUGUGAUUUUUUUAUUAUUUAAUCAAUUAUGAAUUAAUGGAUUCUUCUUGUUGUUUUGAAGACCAACAAAAAAAAAAAAAAGGGUAGUGAUGGCUUAUAAUUCUGGUAAAACAACAGUGACGUGGACAACAGAUGUUACGCUGUACUAAAGAUUUUUGAAGAUUCUUUAUUUGAGUUUCUUUCAAGAUAAAAACCAUAUUAUCCACAACCACAAGCACAUCCGGCAGACAAUCUUUGGCUAUUCAUCACAAUUGGGAGACAAUGAAGAAGACAGAAAAUGGAGUAAUUCAGAUGUUACCAGCCAUCCACGACAAACUGAAGUCUGCAAAGCAUUCGUAAUCUAAAAAGGAUGGGGAGGCUGCGCAAUACUUAGCCACGUGUAGGCCAGGAGGCUUUCCAAUUUUAAUAUAUAUAUAGAUUGAAAAAAUAAAAUAAAAAUCAAUCUAUUAUCAUAUAUAUUAUAAAAUAAAGAUUAUUGCUCCCAUGGGCGGUGCUAUGCACAGGACAGUGCCUGCCUAGUCCAAAUUUUUUUUAAAUAAAAAUAAAAAUCUACAUAUGUUAUAAGCUCAUCCAAAAAAAAAAAAAAAAAUAAAAGUGUUGUAAAUUAUAAGGUGGAGCCCACAUGUUGGAAGGCUUUGCCUACAAAAGGGUUCACACCCUCCCUUUGUAAUUAGACAUUGAGAAUACUAAGGAAGACAGAAAUGAAUAGAGAGAAAACAUUCCCUUCUCUCCAUCUCAAUUCCCUCUCCAAUUCCUCUAGAUUUAUAACACGUUAUCAGCAGCACGAAUCGCUUUCAAACAAUACCAGCUGAAUUUUAUGAUGAAACCCAGAUCUCUCAUCCAUCUCUGCUGCUCCACUACUUCAAAAUAAAUCCCACAGAAAAAGAAAAAGCCUCAAUGCUCUCUCUCUCUCUCUGUCUCGCUUGGGAGACUUGGACAAUUCCUCAUCCCCGUUACUGACAAUUUCAACAGCUUCAGGGGAAGCUAGUUUAUCUUCCUCUGCUCACGAAACCAUGACUCUUUCAGAGCCAAACAACAACACAAUAGACAACGCAUGGAGACCAGACUGGAGCUCGUCGGCUAAGGCACCGACGAUCCGACCCUACCCGUAUGGACCUUCCGGAUGUGGUUCCUGGGUCUUGUCUCAUGUGCCCUCCUCUCAUUUCUCAACCAAUUCUACAAGCAGCAGAGCUUCAAAUCAAACAGAUCAUGGCAUCGCUUUCACACCUCCCCAUCUUCCUCUUCCUCCUGUUCACCGCUUUCUAUUCUACAGCUUCGCAGUCCUUCAUCGGCGCAUCCAAAGGCGACAUACCGGCGCUCGCCUCAGAUCCGAACGCGGCGGCUCAGUGGGUGAACUCGAAUGUCCUCGCCUUCUACUCGGCCAGCAACAUCGACCUCAUCAACGUCGGCAACGAGGUCCUUUUUCUCCAACGACCAGGGCCUCAUCUCGCAGCUCCUCCCCGCCAUGCGAAAUGUCCAAUCUGCCCUCUCCGCCGCGUCCCUCGGCGGCAAGGUCCGUGUCUCCACGGUCCACUGCCUCGCCGGAUCGGGAUCCUUCCUUCAAGUGUUUCUCUGUCUUCGACUUGAAAAAGAAGGUCAUGGCAGGCCUAUGUAAAAAUUGCGAAAAGGAAGGCAAUCUUCAACCUUUUCUCCUGUCUCUCUCUUGAUCAAUUCAUGGAAGGCACAUUUGGGUCUUCCGGGGGCUCAUCAAAUGAGUCAGCAAUGUCAAAGGUGGAGGUGGUGGAGCAAGACUACGUGGGGAUGUCAUAUGAGGCAACCUCAUACCCAGCUGAGGCAGAGCUUGUGCUGGGCCUGGGCCUUGGCCUGAGCCUUCGUGGUGGUGGUGCAGGGAAGCAGCCAAAGCCAUGUGCAUGGGGUGAGCGUGGUAGAAUCUUGACUGCUAAAGUUAGGUGCUGAGUUACACUGUGUUCUCUGCUACUGACCCUAAGAGGAGUGCUAGAAACUUCCAUGUUCCGCCAUCAUUUCGCUUUCACUGUUACAAGGCACUGGAGUAUGUUUAAUUGAAAAGUGAGAUACACAGCAAGUUGAUCAGCCUAGUGGAAAGCAAAGGAUUAUUGCCAGGGAUAUGAACACCCACCGAAAUAAAGGGAUAAGUACUCUUUUUCCCUUCGACCAGUUUUUUUUUGUCCCACUGGGUUUUUACUGGCAAGGUUUUUCACGAAACAUAUUCCGUAUCAUUUGUGGUCUCUAAGAGGGAGUGUUGUAAAUUAUAAGGUGGAGCCCACAUGUUGGAAGGCUUUGCCUACAAAAGGGUUCACACCCUCCCUUUGUAAUUAGACAUUGAGAAUACUAAGGAAGACAGAAAUGAAUAGAGAGAAAACAUUCCCUUCUCUCCAUCUCAAUUCCCUCUCCAAUUCCUCUAGAUUUAUAACAAAAAGUAAAUUCUACACAUAUGUUGCCCAUCCAGGUGGUCCCAUAUCUUCUCUUUCCUUUUCUUUUGGCUAUUAGACUUCUUGUUUCUCUCUCUCUCUUUGCUACCCCACAUCAGCAAGUUUCUCCCUCUCUUUUUUUGGGAUCAAAUUCUUCUUCUAUUGACAAAAUCUUCUAUUAUAUUGGGUGGGCAACUUGGCAACAACAUCUUCUCCUCUCCUUUUGUCAACAGCAAGUAUUAUUCUCAUUCUCUCAUUUGCUAUAUAUCUUUAAUUAUAGUUUUAAUUUAAAAUUGAGUAUUCUAGGGUUUAAUUAGGGAUGAAUUAUAAUUUUGGGAUUUUGUUGAAAUUAAUUAGGGCUUCGAUUAGGGGUGAAUUAUUCUACUGCUUUGAUUUGGAAUUUUGUUAAAAUUGAGUAUUAUAGGUUUAAUUAUGGAUGAAUUACAAUUUUUGGUUUUGGUAUUGUUGAGAUGUUAUUAUGAGAAUUUGUUUGAUUUUUUGUUGGUAUAUUUGAUUAAAAUUCUUUCUACAUAUUAUUCAUAGGCUAUCUUUUAUUAUGUCGGAUCACAAUCGGAAUCCCAAGAAAACAAAAAAUUUGAAUAGUGUUGUUUUGUAUUGCAUUGCAUUUACUUUUGGUUUUAGUUUUGCUUUUAGUGUAAAUUACUCAAAUGGUCCUCAAAUUUGUACCCAAUUUACAUUUUGGUCCAUAAACUAAAUUAUUCAUUCAAAUGGUCCACCAACUCUUUAUUAAUCGGUGCUUUGGUCCUAUCGUUAUGUUUUCUAUUAAAUUUAGUCAUGUGAGCAGCACAUGCUACAUUUGUAUGGGUAAAUAAGACUUUUGACCAGUGGCGGAUCCACGUUGGGACAAGAGGGGUCGGACGACCCCUUGGAAGGCUGGAAAUUUGGCAAGGGAGUCCAUGAAAGCCCCCUUGGACAGCUGCUGGAAGCCCCCUUGUAUGCACACAAUGUGCUCGACGAAAUGCCCCAACGAAAUGUCCUGCGCAGCUGUGCUGCGCCUUGCGCGUAAUUUUUUUUUAAAACCAGCCUUGCCAAACGACGUCGUUUGGUCAAGGCUCAGUCAAAUUUUUUUUUAAUUAACCUGGCCUCAAAACGACGUCGUUUUGGGCCAGGUUUAAAAAAAAAAAAACAGAACAGUACACACGCACAGCAGCUCUGCACAGAUUCAUUUUCUCCAAACCUUUCAUUCCCAAUUCCACAGCCCCUCUUCCCAUCCUCUCAAACCCUAACCUCCCAACCUCCCAACCUUGGACAACCUCCAUCAACUCUUCACCGGUGGCCCAAUGCCGAUCACCACCACCUUCUACCGCCGUCCGCCGCCCAUUUUUUAAACUACAAGUAAGUAAGCAUGGAAAAUCUGAUAUUAAUAAUUAUAGUGAUAAUAUAUAUUGUUGAUAUUGAUAUUUUUUUUUUAUGUAAUGAAAUUUAUGGAUAUGAAUCAUAUUGAUUGAUUGAGUUUAUGCUUGAAAUUUAUGGAUAUGAAUCAUAUUGAUAUUUUUUUUUAUGUAAUUAAAUUUAUGGAUAUGAAUCAUAGUGAUAAUCAUAUUAAUGUAGAUUGAUUGAGUUUAUGCUUGAUUGAUAAUAUGAAUUGAUUGGGUAUAUUAAAUAUUGAUUGCUAUUUGAUAUGAUAAUUUGGUAUAUUGAAUAUUGAUUGAUAUGGGUUUAGGGAGUAUAUUGAAUAUUGAGAGUGGGUUAUUGAAAUUUUCAUAUUCAUAUGAUAAUUAGGAUAAAAAUUAAUGAUUGAUUGAAUUAAUUGAUUUGUAGAUUUAUGGAACGAUUCUUUAAAAGAAAAUUAUCUACGGAUAGUUCUUCUCUGUCUAAUCCGGGUAGUUCAAAUGCAAGACCAAUUGAAGUAGAUGAGAUCUUAGCUAAUCUUCAAGCAGACCCUGGACUAAGAACUCGAAUGGCGGAUUAUAGUCCUAAUAUUAGGGAUGAGAUCCGAAGAGCAUAUCUACAAAAGGGACCUUGUCAACCUAGAAGUUAUAAAUUCCCACAAACUAAUCAAUCAGGAAUUAAUAGACGCUUCAUUGCUCAUUGGUUUGAUGAUCAUGAUUGGUUGGAAUAUAGUAUUGCUAAAGAUGCUACGUUUUGUCUUCAUUGUUAUCUCUUCAAAUCUAAUUUUGAUCAAGUGGGUGGUGAUGCAUUCACUGGGGUAGGCUUCAAUAAUUGGAAGAAGGCGAAAGAAAGAUUUAACCUUCAUAUUGGACCGGUUGGUAGUGUUCACAACCAAGCUAGAGAAGUUGCUUACAAUUUGAUGCAUCAAACUACACACAUUGAAACAAUUGUGCUCAAGCAAACAAGCCAAGCUCGCACGGCUUAUCGCACUUGCUUGAAUGCAUCACUUAAGUGCACUAGGUAUUUGUUGCGGCAAGGGCUUUCUUUUCGUGGUCAUGAUGAAAGUGCACAAUCAAGUAAUAAAGGGAAUUAUUUAGAGCUCUUGCAAUUUCUUGCGGAUCAUGAUGAAAAAGUUAAGGCCGUUGUAUUGGAAAAUGCUCCGGGAAAUUUAAAGUUAAUAGCUCCUUCAAUUCAAAAAGAUCUUGUCAAUUCUUGUGCCAAAGAAACCAUUGAUCUUAUCUUGAGUGAUGUAAAAGAUAGAUAUUUUUCAAUAAUGGUGGAUGAAGCACGUGAUGUUUCAAUAAAGGAGCAAAUGGCAAUGGUGUUGCGUUAUGUGAAUGACAAAGGACAAAUAAUUGAAAGGUUUGUGGGGGUUCAACAUGUAACCGACACUACUUCAAGUGCACUAAAGGAAACAAUUGAUGAAUUCUUUUCUUCCGCGAAUUUGAGCUUUUCCAAGCUACGAGGACAAGGUUAUGAUGGAGCUAGCAAUAUGAGAGGUGAGUUCAAUGGCCUUAAGAGAAAGAUUUUGAGAGAACAACCUUGUGCAUUUUAUGUUCAUUGCUUUGCUCAUCAACUUCAACUAGCUCUUGUUGCGGUAGCAAAGAAAAACAUUGAUGUCAACUCUUUUUUCACAACGGCUAAUAGUUUGGUUAAUGUGGUUGGAGCAUCUUGUAAGCGUCGCGAUGCACUUAGAGCACAAUACCAAGAAGAGCUUGUGAGAGCUUUUGAAGAUGAUUGUCUUAUAACGGGGCGGGGCUUAAAUCAAGAAAGGACUCUCAAACGUGCCGGCAAUACACGAUGGAACUCACAUUAUGGUACGUUGAUUAGUAUCAUUUCUAUGUUCCCAUCUGUGGUGAAUGUGCUUCAAAUGAUUGUUGAUGAUAAUCUUAAUGAUAGUUCGGGUGAAGCCUAUAAGUUAAGGAGAGAAAUACAAUCUUUUGAGUUUGUGUUUCACUUAUUUGUAAUGAAAGCUAUAUUGGGAAUAACAAACACUUUGUCUCUAGCAUUGCAAAAGAAAGAUCAAGACAUUGUGAGUACAAUGAAUUUAGUGAAAACAUGCAAGGAAAACCUGCAGUUGAUGAGGGAUAAUGAGUUUGAAGAAUUGGUUGGGCAAGCAUCCUCGUUUUGUUACAAAUAUGAUAUUAUAGUUCCUACCAUGGAUGAGGAAUAUGUAAUUCCAGGGAGAUCAUGGCGUAAUGCUCCAAUGAAGACAAAUUAUCAUCGUUAUCGUGUGGAGAUCUUUAUUCAUGUAAUUGAUGGGCAACUUGCGGAAUUAAAUGAUCGCUUCAACGAGGUAAGUACUGAGUUACUUACUUGUUUGGCAUGCUUGAGUCCAAAAAAUAACUUUGUGACUUUUGACAAACGAAAGCUAGUUCGUCUUGCUCAAUUUUAUCCUUAUGAUUUUUCGGAUAGAGACUUAUUGAUGCUUGAAGAUCAACUUGGUGUUUAUGUUCAUCAUAUGCGUUCGAGUAGUGAUUUUUCUCAAUUGGAAGGGAUUAGUAGUCUUGCGGAAAAAAUGGUGGAGAAAGGAAUGCAUGAAAUAUUUCCUUUUGUAUUUGCUUCUUACAUUGGCUUUGGUUUUACCGGUUGCAACUGCAUCAGUGGAGAGGGCAUUUUCCGCUAUGAAUAUUAUUAAAAAUCCACUUCGCAACAGAAUGGGAGAUCAAUGGUUGAAUGAUAGCUUGCUUGUUUACAUUGAGAGAGAUGUUUUUGCUUGUAUUGAUAACGAAAUUAUAAUGCAAUGUUUUCAGAAUAUGAAAACUCGUCGUGGACAAUUGUAACUUGUAUUAUUGGUUUUGUUAUGAAUUAUGAAUGAAAGUACUAUCUUUCUAUCUUUUUAGCAUUAUUUUCUUUGUAGAAAAAUUUCAGAACUUUUACACUAAGCCCCCUUGGCUACAUAAUCCUGGAUCCGCCACUGCUUUUGACCACUUUAUCACCUAUGUAUCACCACUUUAUAACCUAUUUGGGGAACAUAGGUCAGUUAUGGACGGUUUUACCCUUACAUUUGACGGCAACAUUAACAUAAUGUAACAGUGGGAUCAAUGGAGUGAUUAAUAUAAAGUUGAUGGACCAUUUGAAUGAAUAAUUUAAUUGAGAGACCAAAAUGUAAAUCAAGUAUAAGUUUGAGGACCAUUUGAGUAAUUUACCCUUCGCUUUUAUAUUUGUUGAACUUUUAUUUAUGAUAGAUAUGCAUUUAAGGGUAAGACCCAUUAUGUUCCCCUGGCUAGGUGUAUCUUUUUAUGUUUAUUAAUGAAAUUCACUCGAACUGUUGAGUUUAGUAUGUAAGUUUUGCCUAACUGGCUUUUGAAUCCUAGAACCGCCACUGUUGCUCCAUCCUCCAUGCACUUGCAUGUGCUCUUACAAAGUGUGAAGUAGAUUUUGUGUGCUCCAAGUCAUUGACUAGAGCUGAAACAUGGUUAGCUAGAUUUAUAAGGACCCAUCUCUUUAUUUCCUAGACAUAUACCCAUCUCUCUAUAAAUCUAUAUGUAAAACCUAAUUUCAAACUUAAAUGACCAGUAGGAUAUAAAAGGUCAUAGUAUUCCUAUGUUUUUAUAUCGUUGCCACCAGACUUCUUAUUUUAUUUAUAAUUUAUUUCAAGCAUUUCAUUAACUGCCAUAAUUGUAAUUAAUACUCCAUAUUAAUAGCAUAUCAAUCACCCCAUUUCUUUUGGUUGCCAUUCCCUCUAACAUAUCGCCCCUUAAAUUUGAAAACCAAAAAAAAAAAAUGUAAAUUACAUAUCCAAUAAUGUACCUAUGAAAAAUAUAAAUAUAAAUAUAUACAUAUAAAAAUAUAGGUAUAUUAUUUACCAAAUAGAAAAUAUAAAAACCUAGGUCAGUUGCUUUGUAAUUGAAAUUUCUGUACAUUUUCCACAAAUUAAAAAUAGGUACAUAAUAAUUUAUAGAAAAUAUAUGUACAUUAUUUAUCCAUAGGUAAAAAUACCGAUAAAUGCACAUAGGUGAAUUAUUUACCAAUAUAUUAUUUUUUUGCUAAGGAUUUACCUUAGUUUUUAGUAGAUUAAUUUACCUACCUAGAGGCAUAGGUAGCUUAAAAAAAAUGUACCACCUUAGUUGGUUGCAUACUAAUUUACCUACCUAGAGGCAUAGGUUGCUAAGAAAAAAUGUAGGUAAAUUCAUGUACCUAAACACAUAGGGGUCAAAUAGAGAAUAACAUGUUAUUUCCCUUUGAACAAAUUAAUUUCAAACCAUAACAAUUAUUGAAUUUGGAAAUUGGUAUAAAUAAAAGGAAAUAAAUAAACUAUCAAUUUGAAAAUUAAAAUAAGAAAUGAUCAAGUAGUCAUAUUUGAAAAAAAAGGAAAGAAUAUAUUCUUGGUUUUUAUAGGAACAACGAGUAUAUUCAAACCAAACGGCGAUAACUACACCAAGCUUUAAUUACUUUUUUUUAAGGCCAAAAGUCACUUUUGGUCCCUGUAGUUCGGCAUUUCUACCACUUUUGAUGUUGUAGUUUCAAUUCCGUCAAUUUUGCCAUUGUAGUUUCGUAUUUGUAGCAAUUCAAGGACCUGUUAAUAUUAAUGUCAAUUUGUUUAAUGAUGCAAGAGGUAAUUUCGUCAUCCCAAAAUCCUUGAGCAUAAAAGAUUGUCUGAAAUUCUCCCCAUUUCAUAUUAGGGCUCGAAAUUCAACCACUAAUCCUAAUUUUUGAAGAACCCUAGACCCAAAUGACCAAUUUCAAGCCCUAAUAUGAAAUUACGGAAGUUUUAGAUGAGCUUUUAUGCUCAAGGAUUUUGAGUUGAAGAAACUGCCCCUUGCACUGUCAAAUAAAUUGACAGGAAUACUGACUUGUCCUUGAAUUGCUACAAAUACAAAACUACAGUGUCAAAAUUAACAGAAUUUAAACUAUAGGGUCAAAAGUAGUUGAAGUGUCAAACUAUAAGGACCAAAAGUGACUUUUAGCCUUUUUGUUUCAAUAAGGAAAAAACUGACCUAUUAAAUCCUUGGAAUCUAUACAAAAUUGAAACACAAUUAAUCAACAUUGAAUUGCAGCUAAUUUCUUAAACAAGGGUAUUAUAGGAAUUUAAAAAGUAUAACAUUUAAUCCAUUGAAUUUGAUUAGGAAACUUGAUGAAUUGAAUCCUAGUUAUAUAGUUUUUCUUAUAAAAAUCAGGUUUUAUUUAUAGACAAAUAAAACAAUGGGUUGUAGGUAAGAAAAUAUUAAUUUGAAGGGAAAGAGUCAAAUUUACUAAAUUAAUAAAGCAUAAAUUGGAAAGGGAAAAGAUCUAGAGGAUGCAUUGUAGGAUUGCUCAUGCCAAUAAUUGCACCCUCUCGAUAUUGAAAAACCUAUUGUUUAUUAUUAUCUUCAAUCCUGAAUGAUGCACCUAAAACCCAAGUGUCUCAGGCCAACCAUUGCGCUCAUACCACUUGUUGCAGUACACAUUCACCUGUUUUUAAAGAAAGAAAUUCUACCAAUCGAUAUUUUCUCAAAUUUAAUCACAUAGAUCUAUUAUGGUUAACCAUAUGUACUUUUAUCUGCCAUCCAGAGGUACCUUUUUCCAACGUGCAACAAUUGUAUUUGAUUCACAAUUAUGUCUGAUAUACAUCACAUCAUGCCACUUGCCUCAAAUGAAUUUAAUUGAGUGAGGCAAUGGGAAGUAAUUAAGCUCUAUAUUGGUGGGUGGAGUGUUACUUCUGGAACCCUCAUCAUUCGUCCAUACAGGGGAACAAUUCCCUUCCUUCUAUAAAAUGGGAGCAAUUCUCUCACUGUACUCUAUAUAAAGGAAUAAGUGUCGUCCACUAAUUAAUUACACUUUGUGAGAUUUGAUUUUAAUUAGAGUUCGAAUUAAUGUUGCAGCUAGCAGCGGUGGCACUGGCAAACCAUGCUGCUCAACCAGCACCUCCACUUUACUGGAAUUCCAUCCUGCCAAACACACAAAUGCCAAGAGCUAUCAGUGAACUUCUGCAUCCUGAUUUGUGUUGAAUAGAUAUAGUAUGUUACUGGAGUACGUAUGGCAACAUAUUCACAAAUGUGUCACGUAUUUUCCAUUAUGACGUUGAUAUAUAAUUGCAGACUCCACAAACGAAGAAAAGAGCACAAAUGUCAUGAAUGCUGUUGGGAAUGGAAAGCCAAUUGACCACAAGGGCAAACCUGAAAAUACUGUACUACCACAGCUUGCACGACGCCCAUUUUCUUACAAGAGUGAUGAUCGUCCCACUGACAAUCAACUCCAUUAUAAAAACGUAGCUAUUUUCUUCUUGGAGAAGGACAUGCGCCCUGGCACAACAAUGAGCUUCCAAUUCCCUAGAAAUUCAAACACGGCUACUUUCCUGCCACGAGAAAGAGCUCAAUCGAUCCCCUUCUCCUCUAACAAACUACCAGAAAUUUUCAACCAUUUUUCAGUGAAGCCAACAUCUGUGGAAGCCAAAACAAUUAAGCAAACAAUCGAAGAGUGUGAGGCUCCAGGCAUUAAGGGAGAGGAAAUAUAUUGCGCCACAUCUUUAGAAUCAAUGGUUGAUUUUAGCACUUCGAAGCUUCGAACAAGAAACGUUCAAGCAAUCUCGACGGAGGUAUUGGAAAAAGGUGCCACCAUGUCCAUGCACAAGCACACAACAAUGCCGGGACUGAAGAAGUUGGCAGGUGUCAAAGUCGUUUUGUGUCAUAAGCAGAACUAUCCCUAUGCUGUGUUUUACUGCCAUGUAAUAAAACCAACAGCAGCUUAUGUUCUCUCCCUGAAAGGCGAUGAUGGGGUGAAAGUUAAAGCAGUAGCCAUCUGCCAUCUAGACACAUCAGAAUGGAACCCAAAGCAUUUGGCCUUCCAAAUCCUCAAAGUUAAGCCCGGAACAAUUCCCAUCUGCCAUUUCCUUCCCACUGAUCAUAUUGUCUGGGUUCCGAACCACAAAUCUGCAUGAUCAUCACUUAGCACUGUACGUAUAAUAACCUUUACCCCUGUAUAAUUAUCUCCCUACUCUACUUAUUUCUGCCUCUUCAUGUGGUGUAAGAUAUAUGAUGAGAUGAAGUUUUUGGGAUUAGUGGUCGGGUUGCCUUAAAAACACAGAUUACAGAAACUGCUUGAACUUAACCCGAUCAUGUUUUCUCUUGUACUCGUAAAGCAUGCUGUUGUGGUUCUACUUAAUUUCGUCCUCCCCAAUGUUUGAGUGUUUAAUUGUUACGUUGGAAUAGGCUGCUAAUGCAUGUAGUUAGAGAAGCUUUCAUUUAUAUCAAAGUCCUCAAACUAUCAAGAAUUAAUGCAUCCAGAAACAUAUAUACCAAGACGCAAAACAACAUAUUUUCCAUGCUGUGUCGGUAACACCAAAGCAAACUUCCUUUAUCACAAAAGGACCAAAUUCCAAUACUAAUCUAAUCCAUCAUGUAAAGCAUACAAUCUACAACUGCCUCCCUAAAUUUGUCCAUUGGAUAUAUAUGUCACUUUUUGGUAAUUUGGUAUAGCAGCACCACGUAGUAUGCAUUUAACAGAAAAGUAAACAAAAUUGACAGUAGAACUAUUUGUCCUAACGAAACUGAAGUUGAAAGACCAUGAGAACGAUUUUGAAAAUUAAGGGACUCAAAUGAAAAUUGGGUCUAAGUUCAGGGACCAAUAAAACGAUUAACCCAUAGAUUUUGGAUCCAGUACCACAUCCCAAAGAGAAAACCACAAGUUUGCAAGCAAGUUUGUCCAUACUAACACUACGUACAGUAUGGGCAAUGUGCUAGACUCAUCUCACUUUCUCAACCUAUCCUAUACUUGUCUAAAAGAGUUUCUAAUUUAAUGUACUGAGAUUUACGAAAGAAAUAUCAGAGAAACAAUUUUCAGGCAAUAAAAAAAUGUCUUGGCAAGAAAAUGCACAAUUUGUUACAUAACUUAUUAAAUAUGAACAGUUGAAAGAAAAAAGAAUUUGGAUGAGGGAUUUGCAAAUUCCUAUGGCCCAAUUACCUUUUUUUCUUUGUUUUUUUUUGGUUCUUUUGAUCCAGUAGCAUAUUCCAAAGAAUGAAAACCACAGGCAUGCAAUGCAAGCUCUUUUCCCAUGUUUUCCUCUGUUUUUCUCCUAUCAUGGAAGUGAUUAAAACACACCUCUAAGCUUGUUUUGCGUUUGGUAGCCGAGUGUAAAAGCUCAAUGCAAGAUAGUUUGAGGUAGAAUUUUCUCCUGUUUUAUUAGGACAAUGAUGAGCUAUAUGUGACAACAAAUUGCUUUAAUAAUGAAAAUUAAAAAAGUGUGAUUCAUUGAAUAUUUGCGGGGUUUUGUUCAGAGCUGACAAAGUUCUAAGUCAACACAUCAAAUUCCUUUUUCCAACAAUCGUAUUUGAUUCACAAUUUUGUCUGAUAUACAUCACAUCAUGACACUUGCAUCAAAUGAAUUUAAUUGAGUGAGGCAAUGGGAAGUAAUUAAGCUCUAUAUUGGUGGGUGGAGUGUUACUUCUGGAAUCCUAAUCAUUCGUCCCUACAGGACUCUAGAACUCUCACACUUCUUACAAGGACUACUUAACUCUAUAGCUUAUUGCAUAUAGCAUAUAUAUGCAAACCCAAUUAGAAAUUCUACAACAGAAGCAAGAUCAAUCUCACUAUGCCUUCUAAACAAACAAACAAAUAAAACAAGCAUAUUAAUUGCUUUAAUCACUCUACUAACAUCAACACAGCACACUUAGUUUACUAACAGAUGAUAUAGAAAGGAAAAAAAAGGACCAAUAGGGAGAAAAUGGUGAACUAAGGAGAGACUAAUACUUCUGGUCCUUAGAAGGCAUAACAGAAAUAAUAGAGCACACUGCUUGAAUGCAAGUCAGUAUUAGGAGCAAAACAGCUGCAAUGAAAGAAAUAGUUGCCCAAGGUGUAUUGAAAUAAUGUUGCCUCAAAUUUGCCUUCCAUUUGUUCCAAGGCUUUCUGCAGUAGCUAUUAAGGCGCUCAGAAAGAGUAGCAAAGUAGAAGCUUUCACGAUACACUGCAAUUCCUUUUCCGAGGUUGUUAAUCAGAGUGCACACCUCAUUGUAGUCACCAAGCAUAUUUUUGACAAUCCCAUACUUCAGAAGGAACUCCACAUCCUUUUCGGUGUUCACAAACUCAUCCAUGAGUGAAACAUAAUCACUUAUGUAAUUCUUACGGCAAUGGCACUAUUCAAAGGCAAUGAGGUUAUGGAGUGUGAGCUCUGUGUAAUCGUUUAUUUUUAGUUUUGGAAUUUCUAGAAUCCCAUCGUUGAAUCGUGUUAACGCAGCUUUCCUUUCCUAGCCUACGCGGAAGUCAACUUCACAAUCUCCUCCUAGCAAUUAGCCUUUCCUACUGUAAAUCGGAUUGUAUUCAUGUCUAUAUUAUUUCCUACCUUAAAUAGAUAUCCUGUACUAGUAUACAUAGGGACUUUGUGUAAUCUGUUAAAUACAAGGAAAUAUAUACUCUACAUGGUAUCAACCUAACCUAGGGUUCUCUCUCUCCCCCUUAUUCGAUCCUCUUCUCCUUUAGGUCCACCUCAUGGCUUCGUUUGAAUCCACCAUCUCCCUCCCAAGCCCUAACUCUUCUCAUUUUAUCAAGCUUACUAACUCCAACUAUCUUCUUUGGCUCCGCCAACUCAAACCCUUUUAGUUGGCCAUGACCUCUGGAAAUUUAUCGAUGGCAUUCAUAAACAACCUUCUGCCCACACCUCCACCUCUACCACCACAACACCCACAACCACCACCACUCUUACCGAAAUCAAUCCUACCUAUGCUCAGUGGUACCAACAAGACCAACUCAUUGUUAGCUACAUCACCAGUACACUCUCUGAGUCCAUUUUCUCUCUCACUGUCGGUUGCAUCUCUGCCCGGGAUCUCUGGGAGUGUCUCCAAUGCCACUUCUCUUAAUCCAAUAUGGCCAGUGAAUCUGCUCUUCGUUUUCAACUCAUGGAUUUGCAAAAAGGCUCUCAACCCAUUGAUGCUUACCUUCGUCAUGCUAAGUCUCUUGCCGAUUCACUAGCUGCCAUCAAUUAACCUGUCUCCCCAAAAGAACUUGUCACUGCUGUGCUUCGGGGUUUAGGACCCGAUCACAAAAUGCUCAUCACAGCAAUUCUCAAUUUCUCUCCGCUUCCAGACUUUGCUGAUCUUCGUGCUCGUUUGUUAGCUUUUGAUGCACAGACUCCUCGAAUCUUUCCUGAUCAAAACACAACGCUAAUGGCCACCCAAUCUUCUCCUUACACCACCGGUCAUACUUCCUUCCCUUCUCACCGUGGUUGUGGCUCUUCCAGCAAUAGGCGCGGUGGCUGGUGCAGUAUUGGCCGUGGUGGCUGGCACAACUUCUCAUCUUCCUAGAGCAACCCGUGGAAUGGCUUCCAGCAGCCCUAAUGACCUAAUCAACUGUGGCCUCCUUUUGCUCUAAGUUUUGGAUCUCAAAGCAACUGGCCUUCCUUUCAACCUCUUUGGGCCCAAUCUGCCGCUUCUAGCAAACACUCUGCCCGACCCAACUCAGCUCCUGGUGUCUUGGGACCCGCUUGGUGCACCACAUGCAAUACCAAUCGACAUACUACUACAACAUGUCCUUAUUGCUACAAUGGCCCAGAAUUCUUCCUUUGCUGGGGCUCAAUUCAUGCAGCCACCUAACUCUACAUGGUACCCUGACACAAGUGCCACUCAUCAUAUGACUGGUAGUUCUUCUAAUCUCCAAAGGAAAUUAAAUGAAGGAGUCCUACGAAGGCUCAAGGCUCGAAAGCACACGAUCCGGCUCUGCUGCGGAGCUCACUCAACUACUGGCUGAGGGGGCGCAAAACAGAAAAUUGUGAGUGGACAAAAAUAAAAAUUCAGUUCAGUGUAAACCAACGUAAUAUAACCCCACCGUUUAGAAAACCAUGCAAGAAAUCCAAAUGCAUCUCAAAACCAUCAUAAUCAUCAAAUCAAAAUCAAAUACUGGAUGCCAAGUCCGAAAUCCAUAAAGAAAGCUUUACAAACCCACCAUCCAAAUCUUACAAUCCCACAACUAAACUCUCGAAAGCGUACCCAUUGGCAGUACCAGCAAGGAAGUAUCCUCACCGAGAAACAAGAACAAAAGAAUAGCUAUAUAUAUAAUUAUAUAAUAUAACCACACCUAGUUGUACCGGGAAAACAAUCCAACCGGGGGAUUGUUUGACUAGUCACCAUGGCAGAGUCAAAGUAAACAAAUUCCUCAAUUCACCAUGUGACUAGGGAACGAGCUGUCCAACUGGGGGACCAACUCUCAGCCAGCAUGUACCGUCGAUAGCCUCAAAACCCGUACGUCUGUGACCAGUCCUACGCGUGCAGACUACCCAAUCAAGGGUUUACAGCAACAUCCCAUCAAGGAUGCCCUAGGUUCCCACAAUUCCAAGUAUCUCAAGUUUGCGUAUCCAAGUUCCAAAUCCGGGGAGGUACAUAGGGUAGUGCUUAUAGCACUCCAAAUUGACAUUCUAUACUCAUCACUUUCCACAAUCUCAUCUCAACAACCUAAGUACCCCACACAUAGCCAAACAUAUAUAGAAAUUCUCAAAAUCCAUAUAUACAUACUCAAGAUACUCAAAUAUGUCAAAAUCCAAAAUAUAUUUCCAAUGCAUCAUAAAAAUAUCACUUUUAACAAUUGAAUAAAUAAUAUAUAUCCAAUAUACCAAUUAAAACAUCAUGCAUAAUAUUUCCCAUCAUAAAAUCAUGCAUAAGAUUUGAAAACAAAGUCCACUCACAAGUAGUCCCACACUGCUUGACCUUGAGAGGGUCCCGCCUACUGCGUAUGCGUGGUUGGAGUACCUAUUUCAGAAUACGUAUACGAGAUUAAUAAGAAGCGUUUCGAACGAGAACUUUGAAUUAAAUAUCCUAAUUUCCCAGGUUUCUAGUAAGUGUACUAGGAACGAGACGUUCUAAGGUUCCACUACCCAAUUCGAACCAUGGAAGAGCUUCGGGAGACACUCGGUCAACCGGCGGUCAAAUUCCCAAAUCGGGUCAACUGGCCCACGGGACCCACGACCUCCGUUUUUAAAAUCCGUAAGUUCCUAAAGGUUUCACAAUGUCUAAGAUACUACUAUCACAAGUUUGGUCCGAAACGGACUGUUAGAUCGCUUACGAUCGCACGAUCAGACGGUUAUUGUAAAACGUAAACUUUAAGUUAUUGAAUCAGAACAUCCGGGGCUCCGAUUCACGAUCCGCGAAUUCCUACACGAUCCUAGGAAGGUCUAGAGUAACAUAUAUUGGAAUGGAGUCGAUCCAAAGGUCCGAACAUAUCGAACCUAGACCGGAUAACUCCUAAUAUGUGAGAUUCGUUCGGGGUUCGAACAUCAACCAAAUUGGAAUCCUAAGGUACCUACGUGCUCGUGACAUUAAGGGGAUCAAUUGGGACAAAAAUGCCCCUCUGCUACAGUGCCCACGUGCCACCACACGCGGCGGUAGAGAGUGGGUGUCCAAAGCGAUUUCUCUUCGCCGGAAAAUCUCCAAAUUACAAGCCACUCUCCUGGCUACAGGUUCUACUCAACGAGUGGAACACUUUAUUCAACUACAGCCAAGUCCAAUUCGGACGGCAAGUGGCCGGAAACUCACGGUUUAACCCGGAACUUCAUGGCUUGGAUUGGGCGACCAUCGUCACCAUUGUCGUGGCACAACCUAGGAAAUAGCUAAAAGGAGAGGAGGGCUACCUAUUCCAAGCGAUGGCGCAGCUCGCGGUAGCCGAAAAUGUAGCCGAUGACGUUGGCAGUUUUGGCCGGUUUUUCACGUCGUUGCCAUCGCCGUUUGUCGAGUUUUCGAUUGGAGAAAAGGGGUGGGGUGAGUAGAGGAGGAAGAGAGGAAGCUUUUGCAAGAAAUGACACUUGUCAGGGAGGGGGGGGUUGGGGGAAGAGAGAGAGAGAGAGAGAGAGAGAGAGAGAAAAAAAAAAAAUUUCAGAUUUUCAUCCAAACCCUUUUCGAAAUAUUUACAAGUUUGCCACUAAACUACUUUUGGUUGCCAAAUCUUCGUUAUAACUCCGAUUCAAGCCUACCACGUGUCUACGGAUUCGUCUCAAUACAACCUACCCAAAAAUACCAGUCACUGCCCCAAACUCUUUUUGGGUAAGAAAAUGACCAAAAUACCCCUACCCCAAGGGUAAAUUCAUAAUUUCACUUCAAUAAUUUAAUAAAGAAUUAAAUUUGGAGUCGGGGUGUUACAUUAACUACCUGUUUAGUAGGUGUGGGGUUUUAUACAAAAAGCAUCGAUGUUAUUGGGAGUGGAACCACUUAUUAUAAGUUGUGAUUUAUUUAGUCAAGUUUCCUAUGUGGGAUUUUCUAUUCUUCAACAAGCCCCCUCAUGUGGGACCACCACAUAGUGGGCCACAUGUAAAGCUAAGUCCACAUCGGAGUCAAUCAUUCAAGCCCAAUACCUAAACACCACGUAUUGUGUGAGGGGUAGGGGUAAACAUUCAAGCCCAACAUGUGAACCACCAAAUAUUAAGUAAGGGUAAAGGCUCAAUUCAGGCCCAAUCAAUGAACCCAUUAUGAUAUCAUGUUAAAUUUCAGAUAGACGGGACUGUGGCCCACCACUAGCAACAUUGAUAUUGUCCCCAACUUAACUACAUGUUUAGUAGGUGUGGAGUUCUAUACAUAAGGUCUCGAUGUUUUUAGGAGUGGAACCACUUAUUAUAAGUUAUAAUUUAUUUAGUCAAGUUUCCAGUCAACCUGACUUUGAUACCAUGUUAAGAUUUUAAAGGGACGAACUCUUGGCACUAUUAGUAACAUCGACAUUGUCCCCAACUUAACCACCUGUUUAGCAAGUGUGGGGUUUUAUCCUAAAGGCCUCGAUCUUAUUAAGAGUUGAGUCAUUUAUUAUAUGGAACUUUCUAUUUUGUUAACUCUGUGUAUUCUUCAUCAAUGUGAACACCCCUAAACCAAUCAUACCUGAUACGAAUUGAAACACAAGUUUGUUUUUUGCCUUUGGUAGAUGAGUAGCUAGAAAAGCUCAAUGCACUUGCUCUUCUGCUACAUUUCAAUAUAAGAACAAGGUUUGGAAGUCAGGUCAACUCCUCAUAGCUUCCUUGCCUUUGCUUUGACAUGUCUAUGCACUUCUUGGGGAAGUUUGAAUAAUCCAUUGCAGGCCCCAUGACAACUAAGGAACCAACAUUUUGUAGAAGGUUUUGUCUAUACCUUUUGACUAUAAGUAAAAUCUUUUGUAUCUGCUCUUAUGUUUCGGUGAAGUUUCUAUGUGUCCUUUGUGCCGAGUUUCUAUGCGUCCUUUGUUGAACCAAAAAAUGAGGUUGUUUCUUACUAGAUUCAAAUACUUAAAAGAAAAAAAGAAAUUGUUGUUUCUUAAUGGAUUUUAUGAUGAACAAUAUCAAACUCUCCUCUUAUACGUCUGUUGGUAAAUUUUAACAACAAUAUUAAAACCUUGCAAGUGCACAAAUCAAAUGAUAGUAUAGUAAGCAAGCAAGGGUCGAUCCCACGGAGAUUGUGAUCUAAAGAGAUGUUUAUCAAUGUCACGCAAUGAAAAUCAAAACAAAGGACUUCCAAACACACGCCAACACCAAGGGGGGUUUUGAUUUGUUUUUGUGAAUCAAACAAAAUAAGGAAAAGGAAACAAAAGAGAAUUUAAAUUAGAGUUUAAGAGAAAUUGGUUUAAAAUCAAUCAAGAUCAAUAGCUAGGACUUACUAUCCACCUCCAAACAAUCAAUCAAUCCAUAAACAACAAUAGAUAAUCAAUUUCUAGUAAGCACACUACUACAAAAAAGCAAAAAGACGACGGUAAAUCACCGUCGUGUAUUCGGUUUUUCAAUGGUCGUGGAAUCCACCGUCAUCUUUUCCCUCAUAAACCACGACGCUAAAUCACCGUCGUUGUUACAAUAUACAACGUCAUCAACAAAUACAAAACGACGUCUUUGUACUGCAAAAAGAUCUAAAAAAGCAAUCGAUGAUGAGAAAAGACGACCAACUCUCUAAACAAACCGUCGUUAAAAAGAAAAAAUAUGACACAUAUUAACAGAACAUGGCCGCAAGAUAGACAUACAACGACGAAAAUUAAAAUAAGACGCCGUUAAAUAUCAUUUUCACGACAAUAAAAAAUAUGUCGUCUUUAAAUACAUUAGAAGACGACGUUAUUGAUACCUACUACGUCGCCUAUAUAAAAAUAACCGUCGUAAAAUAAAUUUUCCACUUCGAUUUUUCUAUAAAAGAUGACGUGGAAAUAGUUGUCAGUGUCAUUAUUUACGACGUAUGUAUUUAUAGAGUAGACGUUGAACAACGAAACAACGUCGGUUACAAAUAUAUGAGAGUCGUAUUACAAAAUUUAUACGUCCUAUUUUCAGAAACAAACAACGACGAUAAAUAUUAGACGUUGUUAAAUAAAACAACGUCGAAAACAAAUAAAAACAGACGUGUUUAGUCUGCUAAAGUUCUAAAAAAUAGUCGAGGAUGAGAAUAGACGACCAACUCAAACAAAUCACCGUCGUUAAAAAGGAAAAAUAUGACACAUAUUAAAAGAACAAGGCCGCAAGAUAGACAUACAACGACGACAACUAAAACACUACGCCGUCAAAUAUAAUUUUCACGACAAGAAAAAAUAUGACGUCUUUAAAUACAUGAGAAGACGACGUUAUUGAAAUAUACUACGUUUCUUAUUUACAAACAACCGUCGUGAAAUAAAUUUUCCACUUCGAUUUUUCUAAAAAAGAUGAUGUGGAAAUAGUUGUCAGUGUCAUUAUUUACGACGUAUGUAUUUAUAUAGUUGACGUUGAAAUGCGAAACAACGUCGGUGGCAUUUAUAUAGUCGACGUUGUAUUUAUAUGUAUUCAUUACUCACGACGCACUUAUUAAUAUAGACGACGUUGAACUUCUAAACAACGUCGGUUCCAAAUAAAUGAGAGCCGUAUUACAGAAAAUAUAGAUGGCGUUGAUUAUGAUGAGAGCCGUAUUACAAAUAACGUCGUUUAAUUGAUAUUAGACGGCGGUUAUAAUGAAUUACCGUCGGAAUUCAUUUCGUUCCUCUUCGUUUAUAAAAGAACUUGCGACGUGGAAAAUGUAUGAUGACGUCGUAUUUUUUAACGUUCAGAUUAUAUAUCUCGUUUUUUAGACGUCGGUAUUAUGGGAUUGGAGUCGUGUUAUUUUGAAUUACAUGGCGGUUCUUAAUCCUUCCCCGACGUGAUAUCCUGAAUAAUUGCUUCAUAAUAGCGUCGUGGUUCUUCAUUGUUACGUUGCUUUAAGACGUCGGUAAAUAUGCUGAAUAACUGGUUCACAAUAACGUCGUGUUUUAUUUGAACGUAGAAAGUGAAGAAAUCACAUUACAAUAUAUUACAAAAUUAAUGUCAUACACUGCCAAUUACAUAAGCAUCAUUCAAUCCAUAUAUCUUCACACCCAUCUCGAAUAUUUUGACCGCCUAACUCACCCACCAGUUCAUCAAAUGUGUCAACAUUUGGCAUCCCUCUAGUAAAUGGCUCACACUCAAUUAUCACAUCACCUAAGACUUCAUCACCAAUAACAUUAUUAUAUUCUCUAUUAGGCAUUGAUAACACUACCGACCAACCACGAUGCAUCGGGUCGUCAACAAAAAAUAUUUGUUUGACUUGAGAAGCCAAAACAAAUUGGUCAUUCCUAUGUCCAAUUUUACUCAAAUCUACAAGGGUAAAUCCAAGUUCGUCGACUACAAGACCAGAACUAUCUAUCCAAUCACACCUAAAGACUGGGAUUGUAAACUUUUGGUAGUCAAGGUCCCAAAUUUCUUGAAUGACACCAUAGAAACCCAUAUUUGAGAGAAUUGAGUUUUUAUCCUUGGCACUAGCAACUUGCAUGGUAUGUGCAAGUAAAUAAACUCCACUAUUUUGAGUUGUCCGCACAUCAUCUUGUGCCUUGAUAUUGAAUUUAAUACCUUUAAUAAGAUAGCUCCUAUAUAAUGGCACAGCCAUGUUUGGACCAGCUGCUAGCCACCUUAAAUUUUCUGAUACGCCAUGAUUGUCUUCCUCAAGUUCACUUUGAACCUGCAAAUUAAUCAUAUAUCUUAAUGCAAUCUAACAUAGAAAUAAGAAGAAAAUUAAAAGAGAAAUAUGUUAUUCAACAACAUAUACCUUGAAGCGUAGCCAUUGAAUGAAAGUGUUAUUGUGCUUAUCCUGCAGCCACUUUGUGAUUUAAGGUAUGACAAUCAUGUGAUUUAAGGCCAAGAAGUCUUGAAUCUUGUAAAGAUACAAGAUUUUUAAUAUUUGAAGAAUAACCUUCAGGGACCUUCAUACCAUAGAAAGAAUUGCAAACCUCUCUCUUCUCUGCUCUUGACAAAUUCCAAGGCCCAGGAGGCAAACGAGUACGUCUUUCUCCAUACUCGGGUUGCAAAUCAGUUUUGACCCCCAUGUUCAAUAAAUCUAAUCGAGCAGCAAUCCCAUCUUUAUUUUUUCCAGGGAUCUCCAGCAAUGUACCAAUGAUACUAUCGCAAACAUUCUUCUCAAUGUGCAUAACAUCUAGGGCAUGCCUCACAGGAAGGUAUUUCCAAUACUCGAGAUCAAAGAAUAUUGAUUUCUUCUUCCAACAAACUCUGUCACCAUUUUCAACCAUGUGCAGCACUUCUUCUCCGGUUAAUGGCUCGGGAGGUAUGCCAUAUUCAGGUUUCCCAUUAAAAGCUGCACGUUGCCUCCUAUAUGGAUGAUUGAUUGGUAACCAUUUUCUAUGCCCAAUGUAACAAAUUUUGUGGCCAUUUUCAACCUGUGACUAGGUGUAUCAUCGCCGCAUAUUGGACAAGCUUUAUAUCCUUUAACAACACAACCAGAUAAGUUUCCAUAGGCGGGGAAAUCAUUAAUUGUCCACAUUAAUGCAGCUCUGAGUGUAAAGUAUUCUCCAUUAUGUGCAUCAUACACUCCUCUAAUCCCAUCCCACAAAGAUUUUAAAUCAUCAAUCAAAGGCUCCAAGUAGACGUCUAUAUCAUUUUCGGGUUGUUUAGGACCGGAAAUCAAUAAGGUUAACAUCAUGAACUUUCGUUUCAUGCACAGCCAUGGAGGGAGAUUAUAUGUAACUAAGAUAACCGGCCAACAACUAUAUCUGCUACUUAGAGAACUGUGGGGAUUGAAUCCAUCAGAUGAAAGAGCCAAUCUCAAGUUUCUCGGCUCAUUACCAAACUCAGGCCAUUUAUCAUCAAGAAGUUUCCAAGACGGGGAAUCCGCCGGAUGAGACAUCUGACCGUCAAUUGAUUUUCUAGCAGCAUGCCAAGUCAAACUCUUAGCUGUCUCAUGUGAUUGAAACAUCCUUUUAAACCUUGGAAUUGGAGGAAAAUACCACACCACCUUCGCUGGCACAUCCUCUUUCAAGAUUGAAUCUUUGCCUUCCUUCCACCUUGAGAUACCACAAGUAGGACAAUUAGUUGAAUCCUCAUACUCCUUCCUAUACAAGAUGCAAUCAUUGGGGCAUGCGUGCAUUUUCUCAUAACUCAGCCCCAAUGCACACAAAGUCUUUUUUGCCUCAUACAUAGAGGUUGGUAUUGUAUUUCCUUCUGGAAGCAAAUCGCCUUGAAGUAUCAAUAAUUCUGUAAAACAGACAUCACUCAUCCCAUGUUUUGCCUUCAAAUUAUACAACUUCACUAAUGCCGAUAACUUCGUGUACUUUCUACAACCAGGGUACACUGGUUGAUCUCCAUCCCCAAUCACAUUGGCAAACUCAUACGGAUCGGAACCAAAAUCACCAAAAUCAUUAUCAUCCAUAUCAAUUUCUUCAGACACAAAACUGUACCUACUAUGGCCAUCAUCUUCUUCAACAUUUCUACUAGCAUUAGUAGUUGCUUCCCAAGGUUCUCCGUGAAAUGUCCAAUUCUUAUAGCUUUGGUCAAUUCCAUUAAAGUAUAAGUGAUCCCUUAUAAUUCCAACCCCAAACAACUUCAAAUUAACACAUUUAACACAUGGACAACGGAUAUGUGUUGUAGUUAGAAGAUUUUCUACAGCAAAGUUCAAAAAUGCUUCCACCCCAAACUCAUAUGCCUUCGAUCUUCUAUCCGAGUGCAUCCAUGACUUAUUCAUCUCCGACACUAUAACCUAUUAUCUAUAAUAAAGUGAAAAUACAGGCAAUGACCAUCACUAUAGCAGAUUAUACAAAGAUCUAAUAGCAAGUAAUACAUAACAGAGACGACGGGUUUUAAACAAAAACAGACGUAUUUGGCAUAUAUAGACGACGGAUUUUCAACAGACGUCGUCUAAUAUAAGUAAUACAAACGACGGUUUAUGAAAAAACCGUCGUGUAUAAGUAAUACAACGACGGUUUUUUCAUAAACCGUCGUGUAAUCGUCGUCGUAUGCCUAAAAAGGCGUCGUGUCUCAGUUUAUUUUCAAGAACCCAAAACCCAUUAAGAACACAACAUAUAUAUGAAACCAAGCAAGAAACCAACAUAUACAUGAAGCCAAGCAUGAAAACAAUAAAUCCAUUCCCAAUUCAACAUAACAUAGGGUGAUUAAAAGAUCCGACAAAAUUAAAACCAUUCCCAAUUCAACAUAACAGAUAAUGUAAUCCAUGAACCCAUUAAACAGAAAAUCCAUGAACCUAUACCUAUAAGCACAUUAUUAACAGAUCGCAAAGCAUAUACCUAAAACCCUUUAACAAAACAACCUAAUAUCAUUCAAUGAAUUUACAAAGGGAAGAUAGGGUUUGUACUUACAGGUUGGACGAGCUCACAGAUUCGACGAAGCCUGGAGAGUGCAACUUUUAAUUAGAGCAGAAGUGAGAGAGCGAAUGUUAUGUUGCGCGAAAUCUGAAAAUUUUAGGGUUCAGGGUUAGAAGUAUAAGAAUAAGAGCCAAAUAUAAAAAAAUUUAGGGCGCGCGAAAAUUUUUAGAGCGCGCGCUCUUUAAAACGUCGAAAGAAAAACCAUGGCGAAAGUUCUACAAGAACCGACGUAAAUGUAAUAUUCCACGACGAAAACACUUAACGUAACGCCGUUUAUUUUGACGUUCAUUUUUCGGAUUAAUUUUAAAUUUAUUUUGAAUAUUUUGAUAUAAAGACGACUGAAAAACCACGUCGAAGUUAAGAAAUUGAAAACGUUGUAAAUUAUAAUAGACGACUUACAUAUUAAAAUGACGUCGUUUAAAGUGGAAACCAUGUCGGAUAUUUUACUGCACGACGUAACAUAUGUAUUCCACGACUCAACCACCGUCGUUAACAAUUAAUACCCUAAACCCUUAAAACUAAAUUAUAUAAUUUUAAAAAUUAAGUUUAUAAAAGGGUUUAUGGUUUUACAGCCUAAUAUAUACCCUAUACUACCCAAAAAUUAUACUUUAAAAAUAAACCCCAAUAAAUAACAACCCUAAUCUCUAAACCCUAGACUCUAAACCCUAAACCAUAAAACUAGAAGUGAUUUUAUGACUCAUCAAAACAAUUUUGUUUUGGAUGGUCAUUUUAAAUUUUUUUUAUUCAAAAUGAAUUUUUUCAAGGUUUAGGGGGAAGAAAAUAUAUCAAUGACUUCAUAGGAGUUGACUUUUCAUUUUUCUGAUUUAUUUUAAAUUUAUUUUGAAUAUUUUGAUAUAAAAAUAAUAAAAUAUUCUUAUCACAAUAACAAACCACGUCGGUGUUAAUAAAUUUUAGACGUUGUAAAUUGUAAUAGACGACUAAGUUGUUAAAAUGACGUCGUUUAAAUGAGAAACCAUGGCGGAUAUUUAACUAUCCGACAUAAAAUAUAUAUUCCACGACUUAACCGCUGUCGUUACAAAGUACUACCCUGAACCCUUAAGAAAUUGAAGACGUUGUAAACCAUAAACGACUCAAUUGUUCAAAGAACGUCGUCUAAAUAUCCUUUUACGUCGGAUUUGGUUAAAACGAAACAACAAAAAACGACGGCUUUUGACUUUAUUACGUCGUUGGAAAAGUAUUACACGUCGGUUACGCAAUUUGUAUGUUUGUUUUUUUUUUUAAUUUAAGAAAACCUCAACAAAUUUUUACAUUAUAUAUUAUAGACAAAAUUUGUACAUUAUACAUAAAUAUCAAGUGUUCAAUAAUUCCCCUAUUCCAGGUGAAGGCAAACAAACUCUGACCAUUCAUUCCGGACUUCAUCAAUUGCUUCUUGGGGGUAUGGCGCUUCCUGUUUUCCCUUGGCAUACUGCAUAAACAAUGACUAUUAGGGUUUAUAAAUAAAAAGAAAUUCAAUCACAGACGACGAUAUUUUUCAUAACCGACGUACUAUAUCUAUUCAACGACGGUAAUUUUACAUGACCGUCGUUGAUAAUACAAAAAACGACGUAAAAUGUAUGAAGGUAAUUUCUUCUUACCUUCUUCUCAAACCCCAAGGAAGGAUCCAUGAUGAUGUCCCUCAUGAAGCGCAUCACAUAAUACCCGCAUUCGACAUUGCUGGGUUGCUUUGGUGUCCCUGACAGAGUUUUCCAAAUGGCUGCCUUACGGCCUGGUCUGGCUAUGUGAGAAUUAUAAAUUUUUAUAGCACUGUUCACAAUGUUUUUGGCCUCUUCAUCGACCACACGAUUUCCUGGCAGAGGAUCCAGAAAAUAGACGGUUUCUCUCUUUGCUCUUACAAUCAGCAAGAUCCAAUGACGGCUGCACAAAAUUAAUAUAAAAACGACGGUUAUUUACAAUAACGACGUAUUAUAAUGUUUCACACGACGAAAUAAAGUAGCAAUCGACGACAUUUUACAUUUAUCACGACGAUAAAUAACUACCGACGUGGUUAGUAGUUUCAAACGACUCAAUAAAAUAAAACACCGACGUGGUUAGUUUAUACGCUGUAAUUUAUUGAAAAUCAUAAAAACAAAAUCCUGUUAAGGAGACUAACCCUGGAUUGUAAGGCAUCAGGAAAAUCUGUUCACCGUCAGUCUUUUGAAGUCGAGCUGCUAGUAAGCGUGAUCUGUCAGCUAUUGUGCCAGAGUUGGCACUAACUGUAGCAAGGUCGAUAAAGCCAACCAUAUUGCACAUAUUUGCUCGUUUCAAAACAUCGUGCAAGUGCCUAAAUAUAUAAAAUAAUAUAAACAAGUCAGCACAAAAAAACACACGACGGUUAUGUAUAACAAAACGACGUAUUAUAAAAUUUCACACGACGUACUGAAAUAGACAACGACGUUAUAAUAUAUUUAUCACGACGGUAAAUACUAACGACGUGGUUAGUUAGUUAAGACGACGUAAUAAAUAAACCAACGACGUAUUAUUUUAGAAUGACAAACCUCAUAUAUACAAAAAAACACGACGGUUAUGUAUAACAAAACGACGUAUUAUAAAAUUUCACACGACAUACUGAAAUAGACAACGACGUUAUGAUAUACUAACGACGUGGUUAGUUGGUUAAGACGACGCAAUAAAUACACCAACGACGUAUUAUUUUAGAAUGACAAACCUCAUAUAUACAGCAAUGACAGUGGCUCCUAUUUCUUCCAUGCCUGCAAAUUGUGUAAUAUCUUCAGGCAGGAGGAAGGUAUCGCGCUCUAGACCAAACACCUCCUUAUCAAUUGUAAAGUGCAGGGUCUUAUCCUGAGGCACGAGUGUCGUUUCCACAUAACGACAAAGGGAGUUUAAAGAAGAUGGCGCCUCCAUAUUUGAAUAAUCAACAACUUUAAUAACCUGUUUAAAGAAAUAUAAAAAAUGACGUGGUAAUUCAAUAAAAACGACGGUUUAAGGAAUAAAACGUCGUCUGAAAAGAAUUUAAACGUCGUCUGAAGAAACCGUCGUGGUGAAUAAUUUAUUACGUCUUAAAAAAAAUUCCGCCGUCUAAGUUGUAAACAAACGACGGUUUAAAGAAAAAUAUCGACGUCUGGAAUUUUGAAAAACAAAUAAAAAAGGCAAAGUUAUGUGAACAUACCUGGUCGUCAUCUUCUUUCUCCUUUUCAUCAUGUUUUUCUUCUGUCUUCCCUUCAUCUAUUACGUCGAGAAUGACUAACUCCGUCGUCUAAAAACCACAAAGUUUUAAAAUAACGACGUUUAAUGGCGUGUAAAACAAGUAAACUAAAUACGACGUGGUAUUGAAAUACAAACGACGGUUUAUGUUUAAAAUCGUGGUGGUAUGUAUUUCAAACGACGGUUUUAUUAAUAAUAACGACAUCUAAUGGUUUUUAAAAAAACAGAGAAUUCAAAGUUCAGAUAUGUUACCUUUUCUUCCUGAUGUUUCCCAUUUUUGGCAGUAUCAUCCUCAAAAUGCUGGGAUCUCACAUCACCUCCAGAGCAGCUUGCUUUGUCAGACAUUGGAUUUUUGGGACUUUGGCUAAUUCUGGGUUUAAGCAUGCUUGGAUCAAAAUUGGGAAUUAAUUGGGAAAGCUGACUCAGGAAAUGCUCCCUCUCAGCCUCUACCAAUUGUUUCGUUCUAGCCUCCAUCCUUAAAGCCUCUUCCCUUGCCUUAGCUUCCAUCUUUUUAGUCUCUUCUUGAAGGAGAACUCUUAAACUGUCCUUCAAACGGUCGUCAAAGCUCACUCUCUGUGGUUUGGGUAAAUUGAAAUAUUGCCUUGGUGAGAUCCCAGCACCUACUCCUCUCACUCUGCCUGGAUGCUCGGGGCCCAAAGCCAUGGUCAGCACAUCAUUGCUGCCAGAAACAGUGACUUUGCCUUCCGAGACUUGUUUUUGCAAUUCAUCCUAAAACAAAGAUAUAUAAAAAAGUAAGAACAAAAACACACGACGGUUAUUUAUAUACAAACGACGUAUUAUAUAAUUUCACACGACGCAAUAACAUAUAAAUCGACGUUAUUAUAAUUUAUCACGACGGUAGUUUUUAAACCGACGUGGUUAGUUUUUAAAACGACGAAAUGAAUAAACCACCGACGUCUUAUGCUUUAUUUACAGAUAACAGAGGGAUGAUUCAAUAUUCACACCUUUAACGACCUUGUUUAAAAUAUUUCGACGUAGUAAUUCAAUACAAACGACGCGAAAAUGAACCACCGACAUCUUAUGCUAUAAUUACAGAAAACAGAGUAGUGAUUCCUGAUUUAGACCUUUAACGAUGUGGUAAUAUCAUUCACACGACGCAAAAUAUAACAUAAGACGUAAUAAGAAUUAUUCACAGUUUAAUAAAAAUUUAAAACAGAGUGAGUAGGCUUACAAUUAAUUUUGCUUUCUCUGCCACCUUUGGAUCCGGGAUGUUACCAUGUUUGUCCUGUCUAGCUCUCUUCCAUAAGGUAGAUCGAUCAAUUUCUACCCCAGGCAUGGUUUCCUCCAAUUGAUCCUCCAAACCAGCAUAUCCUUUUCGAGACAAUCGAUGAUUGUACUCAAGUUUCUCCCUAAUCUGUGCAUGUUGAGAAUGCACAGACUCAAAAUCUUUGGAUAACCUUGAAGCUACAAAGGCAUCCCAUUGUGCUUUCUCUAUGAAUUUAUAUAUUUCAGGGGGUUGGCUUAAUCUCUCCCUGUCAUUAGUGUAUGGAAGGAUAUAUUGCCUCGUUAGUGUAGACUUGAAAUCCUUCCAUUUCUUGGCAGCAGAAGCUAACACAGAGCUCUUGCCCCCUUGACCUACCACAAAAGCAAUGUCAACUGCUUCCCAAAUCUGCUCCUUUAUAUCCUUGGAGAUUUGAGCCUAUUUCAUGUCCACAAGUGGAACUCUGGAGCGUGCCAACACACCAAUGUAGGACUGCAUCUCACUAUGUGCUUGGCCAAUUCCUUUCCCCCUUUUAUUGUACUCAACAAUUGGCCUCAGUUUCUGAAGUUUUCUCUUCACAACAUGAGGCAUUGUGCUCAUACCUCGACCAGACUUUGAAUCAUCAGAGAUUGUUGUCGUGCUGGUUCGUUCUGUCUCAGCAGAUGAUGAAGCAAACUUCAUCUUCUUCGAAGGCUUCACUUGAGGAGGUACCAUUCCAAGGUCCUUACCUCCAUUUUUCUUGGAGCCAGAAUCCUUACUUUGGUCUUAGUGAGAAACCAUUUUUACAGACAAAACUGCAAGUGAAAAUAUUUCAGGAAAAGAUUAAGAACACAAACGACAGUUAUUAAUAAAAUACGACGUAUGAUAUGAUUUUAAACGACGCAAUGAAAUAAUCUCAGACGUAAUAAAUGUUUAAAACCAAGGUAAUUAAACAACGACGAAAUAAUUAACUAUAAACGACGUGAUAAUUAACUAUAAACGACGAAAUAUUUAUAUAACGUCGUGGUAUUGAUGUUCACACGACGUCAGUCGUAAUAUACCGUCGUCUAUAUAAGGAUCCAAAACCCUUCUUUCUUUCUCUGUGAAUGUUUGAUUGCAGAUUUGAUUUUUCUGAACCAUGGUUUUUGUUUUCUAAUUUGAUAAAAUACAAGGCCAAGAAAGAAAGUUUUGGAAUCUUAUAUAGACGACGGUAUUUUAAUAUGACGUCGUGGUAUUAACAUUCACACGACGUAAAACAAUAAGAUACUGUCGUCUAUAUUAGAUACCAACCCUACUUUCUUUUUCUUUAUAUUUUAUCAAAUUAGGGAAAAACAAAAACCAUUGUUCAGAGAAAUCAAACCUGCAAUUAAACAAGCAAAUAAAAAAAAGACUAUAAUUUUAAAAACAACUUUGUCAAUUUUCAGACGACGCUAGAACGACUGACGAACCGUCGUGGUCUACAUAUUUAACCACGUACAUAAGAAGCUACCGUCGUCUUAUUUAGUUGAGGUAGUUGUCUUCAAAGUUGGAAACUUUCCCUCUUUGUCUGUAUAUUUUAUUGAACUUGGAAAGAAGUAAAAUGAUUUUGGCCAGAAAAAAGGUAAAAAGAUUUUUCAAACAAAAAACGUAUGAGCAUGCAAAACAACAACCAAAAUAGUGAAAAUGAAAGCUUACCUUUUGCGUGCAAUGAAAGCAAGAGGAAGAUUAUGUUUAAGUUCAGAGACGACGAAGAAGAAGAGAGGAAGACGAUGAGAUACUCUGACAGUGCUCUGACAAGGAAAAAAGUCUAAAAGUUUUCUCUGGGAGAUUGAACUUUUUAAUCGGGUUUGAAAACGGCGCAUGUGUAUGUCAGGUAGACGAAAAGUUGCUUACAUAUAAAACCAUUUCAAAAAAAUAAUACGGCGGUUACAUAUAACUACGACGUAUAAAUUACAAAAUACGACGGUACAUUUAACUUCGGACGUGGUAAAUAAAUACGACAGUAGUGUUGUAGGUACCGUCGUAGUAAACUCAAAAAUUAAAGUACAUAAGUAAUAACUCGCGUCAUGGUAGAUUAUUUAACACGUCGUUUUUAUUAAUUUACCGACGUGGAUUUCUGUAAUAUACGUCGAUAAUACCGACGUUGAUUUUACAAUUUAAACGGCGGUUUUUUUGUAAGGACCGCCGUUGGUUUUAAAAAUUUAUUCUAUAAAUUUGUCGCUUUCAUUCAUUUUCGGUUUACAUUUAAGGUUCCAAGUUCUUCCUCUCUCAGUCUCUCACGUCUCAAAGACAAUAAUUUGGAUGUCUUUCUCAAAGAGAAAUUGAGCUUACUCGCAUCAAAUAUAUGUCCACAAGAAGAAGCUUGUCAACUAGCCUUCUCACUUCCUUGAUCAAGCCUGAUAGGACACUUAGUGCUUCUGAAUACUCCUUGCUUUCCAUCAAAAGAGAUGCAAGCCUGGCCUCCACUCGCUGUCGAAGGAAAGUUCGCUUCUCAGGGAAAUCUUCUUGAUUUUCUUGGCUAAGAAGAUCCGUCAGAUUUGUGAUAGCCUCUUCCUUUAUCCGUAGAGCUUCAGAAGAAGAAGAUGGGUUUCAAGAAUGCGAUAAAGAAUAGAAAUGGCUUCAGAUGGCCUCUAAAGCAUGAGCAAUCGAAUCAGUAGUUGUUGGGAGAUAUGAUGAAGACAUUGUCAAUGCUUUGAACUAUACAAGUCCUGCAGAAAGAUAAAGGACCAAACUGUUAAAGAAACUGAAACAAUGGCGGUUUUCUGUUCUACCGUCGUCUUUUCUCGUCGUCUAUAUUAAGGUAAGAUGGCGGUAGAUUUAUAAUUACCGACGUAGAUUAUUUUGUUAAACGUCGUUAAGUGUACUACAACCGACGUGGAUUUUAUUUUUAAAUUAUAAAUAGAGUUUUUUUUCCCCUAUUCUUUCAGUUUUAGUUUUCAAUUACAAAGCGUGAUAAAUAGAUUUUUCUUUCCCGAGGAAAUUUAAAAUGAGGGAAAUUAAUGUUCUAGAAUUUGUAAACUAACACGACGCAAUAUUUGCAAAUCUGUGUCAUCUGUUAAGAUUAUGAUGUGGAACAGAGUUCCAUCUGGUAAGAUUUCGUAACCCUUGGGAUCUCAGACAAAUCUGAUUAUGUCGGCGGUUUUCUAUAUAAAUCGUCGUGGUUAUUUCAAUUCUUGUCAUUAAGUAGAUCUACCGACGUAGGAUAAGAAAAUCAAAGAAAAAAAUUGUUAACAAAAAUUCUUAUUAAGACGACGGUUAAAAUUAAAGGUACGACGUAUAAAAUGAAUAAAUACGACGUUAAAUUUUAUUGUACGAUUUAAAGAUAACGUCGUAGAACUAUAAGAGAAUGACGUCGAUAUAUUUAUAUUUUCCGUCGUUGUACAUUAAUUUAAUACGGCGAUAUUUUGUAUUUUAAAGCCGUGGAUUUGUUUGUAAUUAUACGGCGUCUUAUACGAAAACCUCGUCGUGUUAUUUUAUGAGUAAAAACGGCAGUUUUUAUUGAAAUCGUCGUCUUUACUUUCUACGUCGGUCGAUUCAUAACUUCUGCCGUUCUUUGUUGGCAUUGAUUUUACACUGCGAAAAUCUGUUUCAAAUAGACGUCGGUUGUUUAAUUAUGUACGUUGUUGUUUUUGAACAGCCAUUUGAAUCUCCAUUUUUUAGUUGUCUAAGGUUGUAUUACACGACGGUGUUUUUAGAACCGUCGUCUUUUUAAAAACCACGACGGUUUUCACUUAGACCGUCGUUGUUUUCUGGUCGUCUUUUUCACUUUUUGUAGUAGUGGCAUAUGAUGACGACACUCACAACAAGAUCAUGGCAUUUGACUCGAGUUGUAUGAUUCUCUCUUAAGUGUAUGUAAAGUGUAUGACAUUUACAUCAAUACGUGUAUUCUUAAUUGAAAUCUACUAUGGCAUUUACUCAAAUUAACAAUCAAGAAUCCAUUAAGAUCAAAGAGAAUAUGAGUGUCACAAAAACCCUAAAACAUGGCAUUUGUUAUUAGGAAUUCAAGAAUCGAUUUCUCAUAACUAGUUCUUAACCCAAUUAUUCGUUGCAAAUAAGAACACAUUCAAUAUGGCAAUUGACCUAUGUUCUACAACAAUUUAAUUCCAAUACAUGCUUCUAAGUUAGCUACUCAAAGAAACAAAAUAUCAGAAUUCACAUAACAUAUAGAAACCGAAAACAUCACGCUUGUAGAAACUAAAAAUCCAUUAACCUUGUUUAUAAAAUUGAAAUCAUGUUUAGGGCUUCAAGAUUAAGCCCUAACUAACAAGAAAUUAGUUACUCAUGGUCUUGGAUGAACUCAAAAAUAAAUACAUAAGAACUGAAAAUUAAAGAAGGAAGGAAAAGAAAGAACUCGUUCGCAGCUUUCUCCUCUUGCGCUGUUGAUCUCUUUAGGACGUGAAUCCUUUUUAUCAGCCUUGCCUCGUCUUUUAUAUCACUUAUAUCAGAGUUCUAAACCCUAAAAUUGACUGAAAAGUCGUCCAAGAAGUCUUGGUAAACAAGGAAUCCAAAUAGGAAAGUAAAAAUCACAAUUCCUAACUCCACUGGGAAAUACAGCUCAGCCCAAUGUUCACACGAUUUUGGGAUCUUCGACCUUGUAGAAAAAUCAUUAAAAAUAUAUUUUAGAAAGAUAAAUGUCUUAUCUUUCCAACCAUAUAUAGCACGUAACUUGAAAAAUUCGGAAAGGCUUCCGUUUCUUCACAUUCACGUAGCAUGUACGAAACUGUCCUGUCUGCACGUGGGCUAACUUUACUUGUAAUACUGUACCAAUUGGCUCGGUAGAAAAUUCUAGAAAAAUCAUAGAUUGAACUUCAAGAUGUUAGCUUUCAUCUCCAAUCAGGGGCGGCCUUGGGGAGGUGCAAGUGGCGCCACCGCACAGGGCCCCCGAAAAAAAAAAUAUUUAUAUUAUAUAUAUAUAUUAAUAUUAUAUGAAUCGUAUAUAUAAUAUAGCGUCUGGAUAUUUGCACAACAGCGUGUUCAGGGGAGUUGGAUGGAGCACAUCUCUCUUUGGCAAAAGGGCCCGAGUUCGAUGCUCCUUGAUGUCGUUCUACUGGCUAGCCUUUUGUGAUAUUAUUUUUGCAUUCAAACUUUACAUAAUUAUUGAACCAUUGGAUUAAUAUGCAACGAUGGGUGACCACAAUCUCUUGGACUCCUGUGGUCCAUGAGAUCGGGACUGAUAUUACAUGACUUAUUUUAUUAAAUUAUUAUCAUGUUGAUGAUUGGUUGUAUGAGAAUAUAGUUUGUAGAAAUAUUUAUCUAUUUCUUGUUGGGGUUUUCUUCCAGGUUAUAGGGUUUUGGAAUUUUUCUUUGUAAUCUAAACAUGCCACCUACUAGAAAAUACGUUUAUGGAUAUACAAAACGGCUUAGAAAAAGAAAAUUCGAGGAAUUGACUCAAUCUCAAAGAGGAGCUCUUGAUAGAUUCAUUGUUAGAGAAUCACAUGCUACAAUUGAUGAAAAUAUUUAAAUUUUUAUGAAUUUAAUUUCUGAUUUUCAUUGCAUAUUUAUUGAUGGUGAAUUUUAGUUAUAAAAAAAAAUUGUUUAUGACAUUAAGUUAUGGCAAAUUUUUAUAGUAUUUUCGUAUUAGAUUAUGCAAGGCCCCAAUUUAAGUUUCGCACAGGGCCCUCAAAAUCUCAGGGACGGCCCUGUCUCCAAUUGGUCUUGUGCUAAAAUUCCUCCGAAAAGUUGAUUUUCCCUUAAAAACCUUCUAAGAGUGCAGAAAAGCUGAAAAUCAGAAAAAUAAAGUAAUAAGCCAUUUUUAAAUCUAAUUCUCUUACAAAACCAAAGUAAAAAGAGUACAUAAAUGAGUAUAUUUAUGGACUUAUCAACGUCUUCUUCGUUGGACUUGGGGUUGUUUUCCUUAUAUGUCCCCUAUAUAUAUAUAUGGCCUUUAGUUGAGCCCACAAAUACCUUCAGUUAGUUUUUGGGUUUAGGGGCCUACAGAACCUGCACUAAACAAUAAAAGAAAAUACCUAAUUAGUUUAGUACGAAUUUAUAAUGAAGGCUUUAUUAGGUGAAGUUUUAUUUCUUAAUCGUUAGAUCAAAUUGGUUAGCAUCUGAAGUCGCCCAAAGAUUUGAGAGGGAUUCCACAAACAUAUAAUAUAAAGAAAGAAAGCAAUAGUAGGAGAUGAACCAGUACAAAAAACAAUAUAUAAAUAGUACAUAAUAAUUCCAUAACCUUGUCACAAACGCACUCACAAAUGCUUUCCAUAAACCUUGCCCUAACAUAUAACAAAUAAAGGCAACAUUGCAUAUGAUGCAACCAUGUCCAAAUCUGAUACGUGAUAAAAAAAAAAGGACAUGGCAGCAACAUAUGACUGAAGUAGAUGGGCUCUUUGCAUCUCGUGUUAUCGUAAUUAAAGACAUCAAAAUAUUAAGGUUGAAAUCUUCUAUAGUAGCAAGCAUUAAAAUAGGUUUGAAGCAGAGUUUAAAGAAAAUUCCAAUUCCACUGAUUUGCCUCUGCUCAAAGACGAGAACCAAAAUGGUUACUUCCCUUGCUGAGUAUAUUUGUUAACGUCGGAAACGGUAAUAGAUGACCAAUCAAACCCAAGUACGACGAGUUUUGCAUAGGAUCAGAAGUAGUUGAAUCCAGCUUGCAUCACACGCUUCUUUGACUCCAUUGCAUUAGAUGAGUUUUUGUAUUUUUGAACAGCUACACUCCGAAGUCGUUUGUGUCUACGCUUCAUGCGCUGCAACUUCGCCCUAUCCAGAUUGGCCUGCCUUUUGUCAUCUUCAAUUUGGCCUUCAACAAAUUCCAAACGUGCCCUUGCCCUUUGGAUUUCAUCACCAAGUUGAAGAUGCCUCUCCUUCCAAAAAGCAAGAACUCUUUCAGACUCAAAACUUCCAACAAAAUGGUCAUUCUAUCUAGGAAUGUGACAUUGCUUGUCUGGUGACUCACCUGCGUUUCAAAGGCGGUCUUUGUUUGGAGGGGUGUUUAUUAUGCUCACAUCAAACUUGGUUAGUAAAUCCAUUCUAUGGGGGGAGUGAGUUUCUGUGGAGGAGAGAGUUUCAGUAGAUGGAGACAGAUUCGGUGGAGGAGUGAGAUUUUUGUGGAGGGAGAAUUUCUAUGAAAUGGGUGAUAGUAAUACCAAUAAAAGGGUUCCCGCCAAAAAGUAUUUGGUUGACAAUGUAUAAAUUAAUUUUUGGUCUGAUACAAUCUAAGUUUAAUCCUAACUAGUUUGGUUAGUUUGGUUGAAUUCACUAACUAGAUGUCACUUCCAUUGAGUUUCUUUCAACCACUAUCAGUGGUGUAAGGAGAGUGUGAGGUUGACAUGCUUGAAAAGCAAAACCUAACACCUCUUUUUUUUAAAAUUGAAAGAAAGUACAUAUGUUGACUACACACAAGCUUUGGUAUGUUGGUCUAUAAAGCUAUGUUCCCUUUCUCAAACGAAAUUGCAUAUGCAAUCCUCGUCCUCCCAAAACAAAUAGAAUUAUUCAAGCAUGUCAACCUCUUCAGGCGCCAACAACACAAUCAAAGAUGACAAAUUGGAGUCGCAGGUUCUAUUUCCACAUUGUACUCGCCGACCCCUUCCAUUUUCAACAUCAUUUGGGAGUGAGGGGGACUCCGAUGAUCCAUUAGAGCUAAUACAUGCAGUCAAUAGCAAGCUGGAUUAUAAUUCCAGACUGAUCAAUUCAUGGCGCGAGAAAUAUGUUGAAGACGAAGCCAUUUUGGCUGAUCUUAACAUUAGAGUGAACAAAGCGUUCUCCCAAAAGAACAAGUACUUGAAGCUGAGUCAUAAAAGGAAGCUGAAAGCUGAGGAGUUAGAUACAGUAAUGAAUGAUGAAAUUAAAGGUUGUUUGAUGAAUCAUAUGCGAUGCGAAGAGCACCACAGUGAACUGGAGUUGGCAUUCAACGAAGGAUUCGAAAAAUUACGAGCAUUUGCAGCAACUACUCAUACAAGUUAUAAUUGGGACUAUGUGUCCCCUGAUGUUGUGAGAGAGAUACUAGACGAUGGUGGUGACAUGAAUGAGCAUAAGCACGUCAAAGCUGCUUGGAAGAAGCCGACCGAUACGACUAAGUGAUUGCGGCUACAGUUGUUCAGUUGGUUGAGAGUGAUCGUGGUAUUGCACAAAUUAGAAGUAUAUUCCCAUAAUGUCAUUAUCUAAUUUAAAAUAACACAAAUAUCAGUUUCAUUUGCUUCAUAUUGUAACACCCCGACCCCAAAUUUCCCCAAAAUUUACCCUCAUUUAAUUAAUUAAUUAUUUAAGGGUAUUUUAGUCAUAUUUUUAACCGGAGAGAGUUUGGGACCAUGACUUGUAUUUUUGGAUAGGUCGUACUGAGACGAGUUCAUAGACACGUAGUGGGCUCGAAUCAGAGUUGUAACGAGAGAGAUAUGGUCAAAAGAAACCCAGUGGCACAAUCGUAAAUAUUUCAAAAUGGGAUUUUUAUAAAAAUCUGGUUUUUCUCUCUCUCUCUCUCUCUCUCUCUCUCUCUCCCGCGACUUCUCUCUCUCUCCCGUCGGCUCUCUCUCUUUCUCUCCUUGUAUCUCCGGCCACCGACCACGGCUGUGGGCGGGGCCGGUACCAAACUGACCGGGACGACGUCCCCUUCCUUCCCCGACCAUUCCCCGCCGGCAACGCGGCCGUUGCUGGCCGGAAAAUGCAGAAAACCGCCGGGAGGUCGUCGAAACUUCAACGCCGUCGAUCUCCCUCCUCCGGCCACCAUUUUCGUCGACCCAGGUAUGGAUCUUGAACCUCUCGAGCUGUUCUAGCUGUUUGUUGGUUGGGUUUUGAUCGAUUCGAUCUCUAGAUCACUCGAUUUUCGAAUUGAAAAUUGGCCGAAACUUCGGCCGCCGUGAUCGGCCAUUUUCGGCCACUUUUUGUGGUAGGUCCAAGAACAAAAGUGGCUCCAAAUAGGGUGUUAUACCUAGGGUAGAAGUUUGGAGCCGAGAUGUUGAGAUUUUCCGGCGAAGCGUUAUCGCUUUGGGCACCCACGCGUGCGGCGGCGCGUGGGCACUGUAGAAAAAGUAGAUGUGUUCCGAUGAGAUCCUUAGGUUGUCACGAGUGCGUAGGAUUUGGCGGAUCUCAAUUCGGACGUCGUUUGACUAUCGAACGGAUAAUCGCAUAUUAUGCGUUAUCCGGGUUCGAUAGGUUGAGACCGUCGGAUGGUCCCAAAUUUAAUAUAUGUUGAUCUAGGUAUUUCUAGGAUCGUGUAGGAUUUCACGGAUCGUGAAUCGGAGCCCCGGAUGUUCCGAAUAAUAAUUUAAAGUUUAUAUUUUAUAUUAACCAUCAGAUUAUGCGAUCGUGAGAAAUCCGACCGUCUGAUCUGAACCAAACUGGCAGGAAAAGUGUCCUGUACCUGGUAGAACCCAUAGGGACCUUCGGAUCGGAAAUUGGAGGUCGUGGGUUCCGCAAGUCUGUUUGACCAGGGUUAGAGUAGUUUGACCCUUGGUUGACCGUGAGUCUCCCGGAGUAAUCUCACCCUUCCAGGGGGAAUUAUCGGGAGCUAGACUAUUGUGGAGGGUUACACAAUAUUAGAAUUAUUUAUAUAAUUAUAUAUGGUUGUACAAGGGUACAACAAAGUCUAGAAUGUCAGUUUGGAGUGCUAUACGCACUACUUUAGGUACCUCCUCGGAUUUUGGAUUCGCUACAAGCACCACCAAGUGAAAGUUAGGUCCCGCGUGGCGUAGGUUAUCCGGCGUUGGGACAGACCCCAUACGUGGCGUUGGUUGUACCGGCGUAUGGGGAGAUUUGCAAUAUGAUGUUCAGGUCUCACGUGGCGUAGGUUAUCCGGCGUUGAGACAGGCCCCGUACGUGGCGUUGGUUGUACCAGCGUACGGGGAGAUUAUGUGAUAUGAUGUUGAGGUCCCGCGUGGCGUAGGUUAUCCGGCGUUGGGACAGGCCCCAUACGUGGCGUUGGUUGUACCGGCGUAUGGGGAGUUAUAUGAUAUGAUAGUAUGGCAUGGUCGCACAUGGCGUAGGUUAUCCGGCGUGUUGACAGGCCCCAUACGUGGCGUUGGUUGUAUCGGCGUAUGGGGAGAAUAUGUGAAAUGCAGAGAAAGGAAAUAAGGUAUCACCGAUGUGUGGAAUUGGGUUUUAGGGAAGAACUACGUGUGGCUUGAUCCCUCAAGGAGGGUACGUAGGCAGCCUAAGGUUAUUGGGUGCAGCCGCAGACUAAAUAUUAGUCAUAUUUGGUAUUUGAAUUGUAUGGUAGUUGUUUGAGAAUUAUUGGAAGGCCAAAGGCCAUUUAUGAGAAUUUGCAUGAAAUUAUAUUGUGCAUGCUGCUAGUUGUGGAUAUUAAAUGUGUUUUUAUGCAGGUUGAAAUUUUGGGAAAUGUCCAAUUUAUAGGGGAGACUCUGCUGAAAUUUCGGCAGGAAGUCUCGGUUUUUAGUAAGUGGGCCUGGCAUCGGGGUGAUGUCAGGAAUUCCAAAGGGUUCGUCUCGGGUUUUGAGAAAAUUCGGGGCGGGUCCUUAAACAUAUAUAAUUAUUGGGACUAUGUAUUGCAAGUCAUCAUGUGUUCCUUCUGUCUAACAUUAUAUUUUGCAAAUAUCAAAAUAUUAUUCAAUAAGCAGUCAAUAUCACAGCAAGUUGGGAAUUAGUAAAGCCCCAUUAUCAUGUCCGUUCACAUUAAAGAGCUGGCGUACUUUUUCUCAAAAAACUGACACGUGAGUCAUAAGUAACAUAACAUGUGCUAUACAUUGUUUAGUGAAUGGUUUAUGGUUUAUUUAUAUAUAAUAAAAUUCCAAAUAUUGCUGAAUAUUUGUUUUUUCUAUAUCCCUGGGAACAUGAGUGACCAUAAGCAUGUAAGACCUGUUAAGAAGAAGCUGACUAAUACGACCGAGUGAUUGUGGCUACCGUUGUUUAGUUGGUUGGGGAGAUCGUGGUAUUGCUAAGAGGGAGCACAUAAUGUGCUUUGCAAUCAAAUUUUCUUUUGUGUGUGGAAUUAUGAGUAGUUCAAAUGUUAGUGUACCCUUUAAUAUUCUUCAACCGUUUGAAAUGUGAUUAGCUGCAAUGUACUUUUUUACACGCUGCUUUCUAAUCACUCUGUUCCAACAAAGUGCUUUAAGUAUCCUUCAGUUACAAAUGUUUACAAAAUCGUGCAUCUAAUAACCAGUCGAGCUCAGAUCUUAAUAACAAGUAAAACACUAGAACAUAACAUUCGGAAAAAGUGGGUGCUGCUGGAAAUCAUUACUGGUAAUGGAAGCAAGAGCUGGCUGCUGGAAAUGCUGCAUUAGCCUGUGAUAUAAUCAAUGAAUCUCUGUUAAAACAUAAUUCACCAUAAACUACCCAUUUUACAUGGUAAAAGUCAUUGCUUCUUCACAUAACUCAAAAUUUGAUACUUUAUCAAAUGUCUAUGAAAAUUUCUAAAUAGGGGAAAGACGUAAAAUUAACAUGUGUCCAAAUUUCAUGCAAGAAUGAAACCAAGCAAAUUUUUAUUUCAAUUAUCAGUGGACAUAGUAAGAACUCAUCGGUGGACAUGAACAAAAAAAUAAUAAUAUUAAAAACUGAAUCUAGAAAACUUCACCUGAUCAUUAGUCUUCAUAACAACCGAAUUUCGUCUAAUAGAAACAUAAAUCAUUCAGUUGGUCCGUGCAUCGUGUCAAAUUCAUAGAAUAAUGGGUCACUACGAUCUAUUGGAGUUGAUUCGUCAUUGUUCGACGGUGAUGUCCUGCAUAGACAUCAAACACAAGCACAGAAAAAAUUUACCUAUUCAAAUUUUAGGUGUUAUUAUAAAUAGUGUUAGCAUCUUACGGUGUGUUCAAAUUUCUUGCGCAUUGUCUUCUAUCAUGACCAAUGUGUCCACACUCCAGACAGUGUCUAAUCCCUCGCUUCAUUGCCUUUUCUUUUGCUCCCGUUACUCGUUUCGACCUUCUUUUGCACCUCACUCUCUUAGGGUCUUUCAUAUAUUGUGUUUGAGAGCUGGACCCUCCAACUUCGUUAUUACUUGGUCCAUCCUUCAACAACUUCAACUUCACCUGCAAACUUUUUAGAGUCUCUGACAGUAGCUCACAUCCUUCUUCACUCAUUAAUGCACCCUCAACCACAUCUUAAGCAAGUCGAGACAUUGUACUCCGCCUUAUUAAAAGACCAGGAUCUGCAGAGUCUUUAAUUUCGUUGCCAUUUGCAUCUGACACCAAUUCAGAUUUUGCAGUUUUCUUCCACCUCUUUAAAAUAUAUUUAUCGGGCAUAUAUUCAAUCUGGUCCCUUCUGAACAAUGCUAGGAUGUGCUUGCAAAUAAUUCCAACAAAUUCAAAUCUUUUGCACCCACACGAUGCGUGGUCAGAAUCUUUAACAUAUACGACGUCUGCCACUCUUGUUUCCCAAUUUUUCCUUUUGCUCACGCGAAAGACAACUUUAGAAGCACCCUCUGUUUUGAGCUCUAGGAAACAUGUUGUACUUUGUAUUAGUUCUUGGUCAAACUUUUGAAACAUUGUCCUUGUGUACAAGGUAGCCAUUUGUUUGUUCAUUGGCAUCGGUAGAAUACAUUGAGCCACUUCAAAUGCAUCUACGUGAUCAGCAACUAACUCUUUUUGACGUUGAUGAGAAAGUGCCCUCUCAAAUCGUAUUAUGAAAUCCAUCAACGAAUUUCUCCUUGAUAUGUAUUGCUUGAAAAAACCAUGAGAACCUUCCACUCUUUGGCUGCUUGACAUUCCAGCGGCAAAAAAUUGUUGUGCGUAGGCUGGAACCCAAGAUUCUCUUAAAUCAAACAUUGAACUUAGCCAUGGAUGGUCAGUCAAACCAGCCUUUGUAACCACAAUAUUCCAUUUUGUAACAAACUUAUCCUUAUUGUCAGUAUCCCAUACGGCUUUCUGAAAUUCACGCCAAUACUCCUUAUAAGCAGAAUGUGGUAACUUAACAGAGAACUUUGAUGUGAUGUGCAAUAUGCAAAGUCGAUGAAAUGUAGUCGGGAAGGGUAUUGAAAUCGCUCUGGUCAUUGCCGCAUCUUGAUCUGUAAUGAUCGUUUUAGGUCCGCCACUUGGCAUGGCUUUCUUAAACUCCUCAAACAUCCAAAUAAACGACUCAGUCGUUUCCUUGCUCAAAAAUGCGCAUGCUUAGACAAUUGUCUGACCAUGGUUAUUAACUCCCAACAUUGGUGCAAAUGUCAAGUCGUAUCGAUUCGUGUUGAAUGUGGUAUCGAAUACAACAACAUCUCCAUAAAACCCGUACGCCCAUCUAGAAGUUGCAUCUGCCCAAAAACAUUGACUAAACCUGUCAUGGCCAUCUCUCUCAAUCUUGAAAUAAAAAGCCUCAUUUUUUUUUUCUGUUCAGCCAUAAAAUACUCGGUCACUAGUUCAACAUCGUGGUUCCUCAACUUCCCAUUCACACUACAUUCAAAAUUGUAGAUAUCUUUUUUGAUAAAACCGAUUUUAUCCAUUCCUCCGGAUUGCACCUCGAAAAUACUUACCUUCUGAUGAAUGAGAAUAUUAACCGAACCCAACUGUUUUGUGAGUACUUUUGUAGAAUCUGAACUAUGACGGUGUGAUCUCAAUAAAUGCAUUCUUUCUGAGGGUGUCAUCUUAUGAUUGUGUCCCUCUGCAAAAAGAGAGAUGGUAUACUUCUUGCUCCCAUUUGUCUUCACAACCACAAUCUUAGCUUUGCAAUUGCAUCUACUUAUUCCCCGCUGUCUUUUUCUCUCCCGAGUUUCAUCUCUCCUGUAUUCACCUUGUUUGCAACAUACAAAUUCUUUCCUCAAAAUCUCUUUCUUAUUUCCCCCCCAAAAGCUGGAAUGAAGUCGAAUACCAAAGCCAGCCAAGAAUGCAUAUCUAUUAUAGAAAUUGUAAACGAGGUCAAGCAAGUCGAACUUCAUCCCAACUGCUGGUGUUUCCUCAUUUCUUACUUCAAGAAUGUAAACCCUCCCAUUAGCUGUUACACAGUCAUCACUCUCUGAGCCCCCAGACAUUUUAUCCACGUAUAUUAUUGAUCCACUUCUAUAUUAUUGCAUAGCAAAUAUUAAUUCAUUAAUAAAUCAUUACUGCAUCACAACAUAUCAAUGCAUUCCACUUACACAAAACAUUGCCCAAAUUGACACAAAACACGCAUAGCCUAACUUGUUGGAUUCCGAUUACACAAAACGCAAGCAAAAUUUAAUAAUAGUUACGUCAUCUCUUGUGAAAUAAUCUAGAAAAAAUAACAUUAGAACCAACAUGUUCAACUAAGAACACAAAUGCAAUUCAAACCAGCAAUCACAUAACUUCACCCAAUAUCCUCUCCAAAUGCUUACUCCUAAUGUCAUUAAGCCUAAGUUUAGGAUCUUUUACCUACAUUUCAUAAUUUUUCACCCCCACCAAAAAUAAUCAACUAAGUAUACUGAAUAUUCAUAAGGAAAUGACGCAUUAUUGAUGCCACAAAUGACGAAUUUCCUACCCUCACAAAAAACAAAUCAAACCCAAUUAAAUCAAUCCAGCAAGAGUGAACUUACCUCUCAAAAUCAAUCGGGAGCUCCGAAGUCAGUAAGCUUGAGAGAAUGUGGUGGACAUUAGAGAAGACUCUUUGGUAUUGGAGACUCCAUCUCUACCAAAAUCGAGGAACGAACUGCUGCUACGGCGUCUAGCUACAGAAAAAGAUAUGCUACUUUACUUUCAUCUGGAAUCUUGUUUGCUGAACGAAAAAGAGAAAGGGUUUUCACUUGAGCCAUAGAAUCAAAACAAGGCAACAUCUAGGUAAGAGCCAUUAAUCGUCAUAUCGAGGAUACCAUAGAUCGCAGGCCUCCCAAGGAGCUGAUGACAAUGGAGCGACUAUAGGGUUUGGGAGCUUUGGAUCCUUCUAAUUGUGGGUUUGCGUUACAUUCAAAAAAAGAGGAGUGUGUUGUUGAGUUUUUCACAUAGAGGGAAAGAGGGAAAGAUCUUCAACUGAAGUUGGGUUUCCAACGGGUCAAAUUUCAACCCGGUUCUACAUGCACCCUCUUUUAAAAACUCACCGUUGGAUUUCAUCCAACGGCUCGUACAUACCCCUCAAAAACACCCCUUAUAACUUUCCACUCACUAUAGAAGCUCUCCCCAGGAAAUGCUUCGAGGUAGAUUUUAUGUUUUGGGCCUUGGGACCCAACUUCACAAAAAGAAAACAAAUUUGACCAAAAAACAAAGUUGAAGGACAUUGAUAUUGUACCUGUAGGAUAGGUUAAAACACUAAAAGGAAGGUAAAUAGUACGUUUACAGAGUUUAAGUGUAAUAAAGGAAUAAAAACAUGCCCAGAGAAUUGAUAAGUGAUAUCAAUUCUUGAAUAUAUAGAACGUAAAAUAAAGGAAUACGUAGAAAAUUAUUUUAUGUGGUAAAACUCAAUCUAUGGGGCCACGGGACUUCUUAGUCCAAAAAAAAUCCAUUGAACGAUGAUUACAAGAAGUACUCACACACUUAUCCUAGACACAUUCUAGAUAAUUUUUACUAACAUCUUUGUAACUCAACUUCUGUCAUAGGAUGAUUUUUUGACACUCCUUAUGUUGAACGCAAUACUGGUCACGAUUUCUUCAAGCUCGCAGGAACUCUCCUUAUAUUGAAUAUGAUACUAGUCACGAUAGAUUCAAGCUCAUCGGAGAAAAACAGCCACAACGGUCUUGGUGCCCUCAAUGGUAUGAGUCACUGAACAUGCAAAUAAAUACAAUAUGAAUGAUAAAAGUGUUUGAUAAAUCACCAAGUUAUGGAACACUUGAUGAUUUAUCUCAAAUAAAAACUCAGCUUUCCAAAGUUUAUGAAUUGAAAAUAUGAUCGUUAAAGCUCUCUAAACAAAGAAGACGAAGAUCUUAUUUUAUAGAAUUUUUCUUUAUAAGAAAGAAAACACAUUGAAAACCAAAUCUCCAAGGCUUGACAGAAAAUCACAAAAGUAUCUUUCCUAUUCUAGAGAUUGGUCACAUGUAGUCCAACCAAUAGGACAUGAGAUAUUUAAGAAAUGAAGAUUUUGAUCAAUAUCAAUAUCAAAUGAAUUCUUAUACGCCUAGUCAACUAUUAAGGGUAUCUUGACUCCUUGAUAUUGUGAUAUGAUUGAAACAUGAUUUCCACGUUAGAAAAUUAAGGGGAUGUUAAAACAUGAAAGUAAUAGGAGAAUCAAAUUGAUUUCGGCCAAAAUUGCCUAAAAAGAAAACACUCCUAAAUAAACUCAAUUCACUUUUAAAAACAGUAAAACGUGAUUGAAUUGUUCUUUAAAACAAUUCCCUAAUAUACAUGCAUGAUAAUGACAUCACUUACCUCUGAAUCAAAUGCCUUUCAUAGGUCAAGCCACAAGUCUGUGUUUUGGGGAUUGCUGAGCUGCAUCAAUCCUGCCAAUGUCAAUGCUGCCCCUAUGCUCUCUCAAAGCACGUUUACAACCUAUGCUAACAUAUACCCUAAACCCUAGUAUCAAGAAAAUGCCAACACUAAUUUCGUAACACGUAGAAAUUGUUAGAGAUUGGAAGUUUUUUUUCUUCAAGUCUCUCCACCACUCACUAAUACAGAUUGCUCAUGUGAUGAGUUUACAAAACCUAUUUCUCUACUCUCACAAAGACUAUACUUCUUCUCAAAAGACUAUAUCACUUUACCUCUAUCUCUGUGAAAUGUAAAAAGUUGAAACUUUAAUGUCAAACCUCGACAAAAGAUGAACUUCCAUAAGUUACGUUGAAUUUGGAUUUGUUGAACUUAAGUGGUUUUACUUUUCUGUCAGUGUUUGAUGACUUAAUUUGGUAUUUACUUCUUCUUUUUUUCCUUGGAAAUGUGUUCCACCAACGUGAGGAAGAAAAAUAUGCACAAAUUAAUAUAUUUAAUAGAAGCCCAAGAUUUCGGAAGCACAUAAUUUCUACAAAAUUCUACAAAGUGUUCUACUUUACAAACUUCAUAUGUCUACCAAUUUUUACUAAAAUUAAUUUAUCUGCAGUGCUCAAAUUCAUCAUAUGUGUGUCCUUAAUUUUAGUGAAAAUUGGAAGUUUCCAUUAUUUUUGUUUUACGGGAAUUUUUUGAACCAAGGAAAAUCAAGUAAAAUUAAUAAAGCAUAAAUUGGAAAGGGAAAAUAUCUAGAGGAUGCAUUGUAGGAUUGCUCAUGCCAAUAAUUGUACCCUCUAAAUAUAUAGGGACAUAUUUUUUUUGCUCAUACCACUUGUUGCAGUACACAUUCACCCGUUUUCAAAGAAAGAAAUUCUACCAAUCGAUAAUGUCUCAAAUUUAAUCACAUAUUUUAUGGACCAUCCAGCUAUGAGGUUUUAUCUCAAAAACCUUCGGUACAUUUCUCCCACAUGCCACAAUUGUAUAUUCACAAUUACGUCUGAUACAUCACAUCAUGCCACUUGCCUCAAAUGAAUUUAAGUGAGUGAGGCAGUUGGAAGUAAUUAAGCUCUAUAUUGGUGGGUGGAGUGUUAGUUCUGGGUACCCCUCAUCAUUCGUCUAUAAAAUGGUGAAGCCAGUUGCUACUGUUACCAUAAGAGCCAGCUCCGACUUUCUUUAAUUUCUUGCUUCAUAUCCACUAGCUACAUCUGUUGCUCUUCUCAGUGUAAGCUCUGCAAUUUGAUUAACUUUCCCAUUAUCUCUCACUGUACUCUAUAUAAAGGAAUAAGUGUCGUCCAUUAAUUCUCUCCGAAAGUGUCGUCCUGAUUUUAAUUAGAGUUCGAAUUAAUGUUGCAGCUAGCAGCGGUUGCACUGGCAAACCAUGCUGCUCAACCGGUACCUCAACUUUACUGGAACUCCGUCCUGCCAAACACACAGAUGCCAAGAUCUAUCAGUGAACUUCUGCAUCCUGGUUUGUGUUUGAGCACUUUAGAAUCUUAGAUAUCUCUUCUACCUGCCAUUUUACUAAAAUAUGUUCAACCACAUAUUUAUCAGUUAACUACUGUCAUUACAUGAGUGACACAUAUUCACAAAUCGGCUGAUCACUUAUUUUCCAUUAUGACGUUGAUAUAUAAUGUUGGGAAUGGAAAGCCAAUUGACCACAAGGGAAAACCUGAAAAUACUGUACUACCACAGCUAGCACGAAGCCCAUUUUCUUACAAGAGUGAUGUGGGGACCAAAUCUCAUGUAUCAUAGCUUAACCCAUAUGCCACAACUAAAAGACGUGGGAUGAUCGAACAGCAUACCCACAUGGUCAUGGAUCUCUUCAGAUAAUCAAUAUUAAACAACCCAUAAACUUCUCCCUUUGAAGAACAAAUUAAAACCAAUUUCUAGAGGAAGGUUACAAAACAUUUUAGCCCGUGAAGAACAAAUCAAGACAAUAUAACCCAUUUGAUAACAAAAUCAAAAUGAGAUUUACCAAUACUAGAUGACCACGGCGCCAGUAUAAUGGUACGACGGCGGCGUUAUUGUAACGGUGGAGAAGUGGAUGGUAUGACGACGGUGUUAGUGUGACGGUGGAGGAAACGAUAUUAUGAAGGAGGCGUUGCUAUGUUCGGUGGAGGAGUCGUGUGUUUCACAGUUCAAUAUAUCCUUUUUAGUCAUUUUAUAUUAGGGUAAAUCAGUAAUUCAAUAAAUAAUUUGAUAGUAUGGUGUACUCAGUUAAUAUUAGGGUUCAUUUAACAGCACUCAAAUUAACUAGUGUAGAGUCUAUCUAUAUUAUUAAUACUAAAAAUAAAUAUAUGACUAAAUAACUCAAAAAAAAAAUAAAUCUACAAUCUUUUUUUUAAAAAAUUUUUUUUAUAGAAUUUUAUUAGAUUAAUAGGCACUACUAAAAAAUCUCCUUAUAAACUACAAAUACACGCAUAACUUAUACUAAUGUGAGCUACUGACACCACCUGCCACAUGACAGUUGUCCAAGCAUAGUGUUGUCAUUCAUUAUUCCCCACAGCAACUAACAUCCAAUAAAGGGUUGGGGCCCACCCAUACUCCACCUCUCUGUAUGUAGCUCUUUGAGAAUACAGAAGAAAUAUUUUUUAGGGAAAUAGCUUAAAAUGAUACCCAUUUCAUAAUUUUAAUUAAAAAUACCACCCCUUUCCAAUUUUUGUACAACUAUCACCUAUAAAUAUAAAAUUAUUGUCCACUUAUUGCUGAUUUUUCACAAGUUCAGAAAUUUUGGAAAGAAGAAGCUCACACAGCUCUCUCUCUCUCUCUCUCUCUCUCUCUCUCUCUCUAGCACAACUCUCUUUCUUUGGUAUCUGUCUAUCACAGCUCUCUGUGUCUCUCUUGGCUCUCUCUAUCUUGGCUCUCUCUCUCUCUAGCACAACUCUCUGUCUCUCUCUUUGCUCUCUUUCUCAUAGCGCAGCUGUUUCUCUCUCUAGCUUCGUUAUGUCUCUUUCUCCCCUAUUCGAUCUCUUGCUUUCUGUUUGGAAUCGCGAACCCCUCCCUUUAGCUAUGUCUUCUGAAUAGCUGCUUGCAACCUUGAAGCUCUAGUGGAUUGCCGACCUCGAAAAGGUAGUGUUGAUGGUUAUUUUCUUAAUAUCAGUGGGAUUAUGUGAAAUGGGUUAUAGUUUGAUUGUUUGGGUUUGUGUUAAAUUCGUUUUGGCUUUAAUUUCUUUGGGUUAGGUUUUGUUGAAUAUUCAUACUCAUUCAUCUGGGUUUGUACCAAUUGCAUUUAGAUUGGUCUGGAUAUGUGAAUCUUGAAACUUGGGAUUUUCUAUUUGAUGUAGUAGAUCUGUAUAGUGUGAUUCUGUUGUGUUCCUCUUAUUUUACAGUCGUAUUGCUGUUAUAUUGUCAUUAUAUUGCUUAUAUAUUGCUGUUAUAUUGUGGUUAUAUUGCUAUUGUAUUGUUUGGUUAUUGUGGUUAUAUUGUGUUAAUGAAAUGUUGUUUUGUCAUGGUCAGAAAUGGAGACAAUUGUUAUUCUCGUGUGCUACAAUGGAAAAUGGGUCACCUCGAAGAAGAUGUGCAAAUACGAAGGGGGUGACUCAAAAGGCUUAAUAGUUCCACGGACCAUCAAAUUUGUUGAACUGUUGGACCGUGUGCAUUAGAUUGGUAAUACAAACAGCAGGGAAGACAAGGUUUGCUUAAAAUUCUCAGUUUUGGUGGCCUCGAAUGAGUGGAAGCACAUAAAUAUUGAGGACGAUGAUGAUAUCAAUUUUUUUAUGAAGUACAAUUCCGAGGUAACACCUUCAAAACUAGCUCCCUUACUCGUGAGUAUAGAAGAUAAAGGAUUGACAAAUGAUGUAGUUCAUAGUAUGCAUAUCACGACAGAUAGUAGUCGGAUGGGUCAUUCUUCAGUUGCCAUUGUUGAAAGCAAUGAAGUAACUUGGAAUAAUACGAAUGUCACUGAUGUGGGAGGUGAAGUAGGGACAGAUUUUGUGGAUAUGAUUGAUUUUAGCGAGGUGUAGGAGAUGCAUGGUGGUGAUAAUAGUACUGAAAGAAAUGAAGUGUCAGUGUACUCUGCCCCUCCUAAUUUGGGCUGCUUCAACAUAGCUGCCCAGUUGCCAAUAAUGCGUUUAGGAGGAGAAUCUGAACCCACUCGUCAACAUUAUUGGAGUCAAAUAGGUGAACAAAAUCGGUACAAUGCAGCCGGUGUAAAUGAUGAAGAAGCAUAUUUGGACAGCGGGUUUUCACGAAGUGAUUGGAAUCCGAAAAUUACAGUUGGGCAAAUUUUCUCUAGUAAGAAAGCAUUGUUGACGGAGUUACGGUUGACGGCAUUAAGAGGCCACUUUGAAUUUAAGGUGCAAUUCUCUUGCACUAAAAGGUUGCUUGUGGUUUGUUGUCAACGUCCAUGCCCAUGGCGGGUCCGAGCAUCGAGAAUUGGAGAAUACAGCUUCAUGAUUGUGAGGUGUACAACUGUCCAUGAAUGUGAUUUGAGGUUCGUAAGUGACAAGCAUCGUCAAGCAACCGCAGCACUUGUAGCCACUUCACUUAAAAGGAAGUGACAUUAUGAGAGAUGUGAAACACAACUUUGGUUGCACCAUCCAUUAUUCGAAAGCUUGGAAAGCAAAGGAGUUAGCUCUAUUGUCCAUUAGAGGAUCAGCGGAGGAGGCAUAUUAUAUCCUUCCAGCUUAUUGCUAUGAAUUGGAGCGUAUGAAUCCCGGCACAAAAACACACAUCCAAACUGAUGAGAACAAUCACUUUGUGUAUUUAUUUAUGGCGGUUGGCGCAUGUAUUAGAGGGUUCCGUUCUUCCAUGCGCCCAGUGAUAGCCGUGGAUGCCACUCAUUUAAAAUCCAAGUACAAGGGUGUUAUGUUUGUAGCAAAUGCAUUCGAUGGUAAUUGAAAUAUAUAUCCUCUUGCUUUUGGGAUCGGGGAUUUGGAGACGGAUGCAUCAUGGCAUUGGUUUUUCACUAAACUUCAUGAAGCCAUUGGUGAGUGUCCCAAUCUUGUUAUUAUUUCUGAUCGCAAUGUUAGCAUAGAGAAUGUGUGGAACAAAAUUUUUCCAACUGCACAACGUGGCAUAUGCUUUUAUCAUAUGAAGGGGAACAUGAAACGCACUUGCUAGUUGAAAAAGCGUGAUCACAUACUUAUGCACUUUGAGCAGGCUGCGAAAUCUUAUUCCAUUGCUGAAUUUGAUUGUCAUUUUUGCAAGAUCAAGCGAAAGGAACAUGUUGCUCAAUAUCUUGAAGAGACAGGGUUACAUAAGUGGUCUAGAGCUCACAUGGAUGGACGCCGCUACAAUGUAAUGACAACAAAUAUUGCAGAGUCAAUCAACUCAGUCCUUAGGUUUGCAAGGAUGCUGCCAGUGGUUCAUUUGAUAGGGGAAAUUGUUAAUCUCCUUGUGAAAUGGUUCACCGAACGUUGUGAGUUGGUUUUGAAUUGCACAACAACAUUGUGCCCCAAUUUUGGAGAGAAGAAGUUGAGGAACAGGUUGGAGGAUGCUGCAAGGAUGAAUGUGGUUAAAGUAAAUAAUGCACAGUUUAAUGUUUUGGACGGUGAUAUGGACGGCCUCGUAGAUUUGGCGAACAGCAGUUGUAGUUGUAGAAAGUUUCAGCUUGAGCAGCUACCUUGCAAGCAUGUAGUUGCAGUUUGCCGCUUCUUGAAAGUAAAUGUAUACGCAAAGGCUUCUCGGUAUUACACUCAGAAAACCUGGAUGAUGCUUAUUCGGAUAGCAUCUACCCGGCACAACCUCACGGAAUGUGGGAUAUUCCUGAAGAUGUUCGAAGUCGAGUUGUGCUGCCUCCCAUGGCAAGGGUCAUGCCAGGCAGACGAAAGAAGAUCAGAAUUCCCUCGCAAGGAGAGGGCACCAUUAGAAGAAAGUGCUCAAGGUGCGGUUCCGCAGGCCACAAUAAAAGCACAUGUAAAAACAAUAUUCCAUUGCGCAAUGUAUCUUAGACAAUAUGAUUUGUGUUGCUUUGGUAGGUCAUGUAAACUCUACUUUUAUUUGUGGUGGGUUUCGUGUUAUGUUGAAUGGGAAUUCUUUUAAAUUUGCAUAAUUUGGGUUGCAUUGCUACAGCAUGCUGUAUUGCUGACAGAUUGCUAUUAUAUUGGACUUUUAUUGUACUGGUAUUGCUUCCAGAUUGCUAUUAUAAUUUGAGUGCGAAAUUAAAGGGACUGGAAUGUAAUUCCAAAUGGAUCCAAAUCAUUAAAGUUCUUAGAAUUCCUAUAUUACACAGUUACUGUGAUACUCCGACUAUACCUUCUUUUAUGAUUACAAAUUCGGCCAAUGCAUAGGCCAGAUGUGGGGCAAAUACAAGGUGAAAUGUCCUAUGUGUUUGACUACAUAUACUUGUUGAAGGAGCAUUACGAAUGCUAACCUCAAUAGAUUGCUCAUGUCUUGCCAAGAACACUCUUGAAUUUAUGCAAUGUGCCCAAGCCAGUCCCAAAGCUGGACUCACCCGUCUGCCUGAUGUGUCCAGGGACUCCAAGUUUCCCAACCUCACCUCAUUCACUUUAUCAUGUGGCCCAAUAAAAUCCACCACUUGGUUGGUGACAACCACCGCCAACCCAAACUUAUUUGCUAAACCCUUCAAUGUCCCAGAUAUGUUGAAAAAUAUUUCAAACCGCCAUUUCAAAUCUGCUGGUGUUGUCUGAUACUGUGAUCGGAACAAUGCAGCAAUGGAAUCAAUGACAAUGAGUUUCACAGGUAGGUGGGUGUGAUCAAUGGCAAUAAAUGCUUCUAUGUCUCCAAGGACAUGGAUGAGUUGUUGAGCAUCAUGAACACCAUGAACAUAUAUGUCUUCCAAUGGCUCCAACCUUAUUAAGUUGGGGUAUGAUGCAUGAUAAAGGUUGCCUAGUUGUUGCAAUCGACGAAAUGGGAAGCUGAAUUCUGUGAAUAUGUAGACGGUGGAGCCCUCUAGUCCGCCAUGUGAGGGUGGGAGCUGAGCUGGUACCGUAAGUUGGAGACAAAGUUGCGUCUUCCCAGAACCACUCUCCCCUACCAAUUCUGUUAUAGAGUUGCAGGGUAUCCCACCCCCCAAGCAGUCAUCUAGUAUUGGGCAUCCAAUGGAUAAUUGAGGGGUUGAAAGAGGAAGGAGCAUGAGGUUUUAGGGUGUCAUAUUUGUGUAAUUUAGGGGGGGAUGUGAUGGUGCUACAAGGCAUGCAUUAUAUAUAUAUAUAUAUGUAGAGUUCAUUUUGAAGGUCUGUAUUGUAGGCCAUAUGUCUUUUAAGGGAUGUAUAAUCCAUCCUUUUUUCAGGUUGUAAUUAAUUUUUUGUUUAUUUAUUAGUAUUUUUUUGGACCAAAUAAUUUAAAAAACAUUAUGAUGCAGUACGUACUGUAAUAGGAUCAUAUUGUAACUCUAUCAUCACUCUAUUGUACUCUUAUUGACAUAAUAUUGCCGUUAUAUGCAUGUUUAUUAUAUAGUUAUUACUGCUAUAUCGCCACUGAACUGGACACCGAUAAACUGUAUACGCACAAAUACAAAAAGAGGCUUCAUCAUUCCAUAAAAUCCUAUUUCCAAACUUACAUAAUACAACAACAGGCCACCCCAUCGUUACAUAAUACAAAAAUACGCCACCUCAUAGUUCCAUUUCCCUACUGUUGACAAAUUCGAAGUUGCAUACUCUUCAAGUGCGGUGACCGCGACGCAUGAAAUUCAUGACCCCGGCCACAGUGAUGUUGGCCUAGUUUCCUGCCGGAUCCACUAUUUUUGCAAACUUACGAAAUAGUUCGAAUCCGCUUUCCACUUCUUCUUGCUUCAACUUGGCCGUUGCUUCUGAUUCCUUGAAUACCAUAAUUGCAGUGGUAGGGGCAAUUUCAAUUUUUGCUUUCAUUGUCUUUAUAUGUAGGAGAUGCAUGCGCGCAUGAUAACGAGAGCGAAUUGUGCGGUUUUUUAUGACACCCCAUCUAGUUUGGCCCUCCACAAUUUUGAAACUAUGUCUGCAUGAAGAUUUUUCCAAAACAUGGUAUUGCCUCGACAUUGCUGCAUGCCAUGGACCAAGUCUGCAGGGAGUGAAUUGGGUGACUUGGCUUGUGUUUCAGUCUUCUCUCCUUCAGUAAUUGAAAGUGUUGGGUGUGGUGUGAGGUUAUGGUCCAUGGUCUUCGAUAUUUAUUGUAGCCUAGUGUACAACUUAAUUGGAAAAAAAGGGGACUAAAUGCGAUGGGAGUGAAAUCAGUGGGGAAGGUAGUGGCUGUAAGCAGGAGUUAAUGUGAUGGAAGUUUUCAUUUCAAACAACUGGGUUGAUUAAUAUAGGCAAGUUUUAAUGACCUGGAGUAACUCAGAGAGUUAUUGGUGGGAGGGAUUAGAGGGAGUAAUUGGCGGGAGGGAUUGGCGGGAGUCUUAGGCGGGAUAGUAUUGGGCGGGAGUUAUUACCCAGUUGACUGUAUGCCUUUUUGUAAUAUAUUUGUAUGUUGGACGUUCCAAACUUGGUAAUUUUCCCAUUAUGUAAUUCAAAUAAGGGAUUUGCCUAUUUGCCUAAUUGACCAACUCAUUCAAAUUGACCAAUAUGGUUAUUGUCUUAUUUCUCAUUUCAGCAAUCUCAAUUCGUUUCCAUUUUUCCAUUCUUCAUAUUUUCCUAUUUUCCAUGUGUCAUCCAAUUUUCCAAUUUUCCAAUUUUUCAUUAUUUUUGCCUAUUUUUUCCUAUUCCCUAUUUUCCUAUUGUGCAAUUUCCCAAGUUUCCUUUUGUUGUAUUUCUAGUUUUCCAAUUUUUCAAUGUUCCCAUUUUCCCAUUAUGUAAUUUAAAAAAAGUUGCCUGCUUUGCCUAAUUCAGAAAGUAAUUAAAAUGGUCCAAUAUGGUAAUUGUCUUAUUUUCCAUUUCCACAAUUUCAAUUCGUUUCCAAUUUUCUUAUUUUCCAUGUGUCCCUAUUUCCUAUUUCCAUUUUUCAAAUUUUAAGUUUUUGUCCAAUUAUCCAAUUAUCUUUUUUCCAAUUGGACUAUUUUCUAAGUUUCCUUUUUUUCCUAUUUCCAAUUUUCCAAUUUUUCAAUUUGCUAACUUUCCUUUUGUUCUAUUUCCAAUUUUGCUAUUUUCCAAGUUGCCUUAUUUCCUAUUUUUCAAUUAUCCAGUUAUCCAAUAUUCCAAUUUUCCAAUUAUCCAAUUUUCAAUUUUCCAAUUUGCGAAUUUGCCUAUUUUCCAAGUGUCCUUUUUUCCUAUUUCCUAUUUCAAAUUUUCCAAUUUUCAUGUUUUCAGAGUUUCCUUUUUUUUUCCUAUUUUCCAAGUUUCCUUUUGUCCAAUUUCAAAUUUUCCAAUUUUCCAAGUUGCUUUAUUUUCCAAUUACCCAAAUUUCCUAUUUUCCAAGUGUCCUUUUUUCCUUUUUCCAAUUUUCCAAUUUUCCAAGUGUCAUGUAAUCCUAUUGCCUAGUUUCCUCUUUCCAAUUUUUCCUUUUUUCCUAUUUCCAAUUUUCAAUUUUCCAAAUUUCCCAAAUUUCCAACUUUCCAUUUUUUCGUAUUUCCGAUUUGCCAAUUUUCCUUUUGUUCUAUUUCCAAUUUUCCAAGUUUCCUUAUUUCCCAUUCUCCAAGUUUUCACUUUUCCUAUUUUUCAAUUUCGCUAUUUUCCAAUUUUCUGUUCUGAAAUUCGCAAUAAAUGCUUAGUUACACAGUCCUAUUUUGGGUUGAAAUCCACAAUUUUCAAUUUCCCAUUAAGGUUUGCUUUUUUGUCGUUUGGAAGCCAAUUUUAUUGUUGUUAAUGUAAUGUUGUACUGUUGUAAAUUACAGCCAAUGAGUUAAUGAUGUAGUUUGCAAUCCCAUCAAUUGAAUGCACCAACUAAAUACCCAAUAUACUUCAUAUAAGUUCGUACAUAUAACUCAACCUUCCUAUACAGAACUGCAACAGAGGCACCUUCUUAACGGGAAAGGUAAUUAGUCUUACUAAAACGCAAAUAUUCUCCACUACAGCUAACCAAUUGUCGUUUACAACUGGAGACUGAAUCUACCUUUAUUUGUUUUGUUGCAGGCAACAGCUGUGAAUUGUCCCCGGCAAUACUUAAAGAUGUCGGAUGUACGCCCUCCAAAUGAGCAUGUCACAGUUACCCGGGGGACCAGCCGUGGCAUGUGCCAUUCCCAUCUCCACCUCGGACUCCCAAUCAUGAUCCCACUUCAUCUGGAAGUGAGGCUGAGAGCAAUGAUCCGCUUGACAAAAUCUCUGCCGUCAAGCACCACCUCCAAUAUAUGUCAAAGGCAACGGAUUGGUGGGAGAGUAAGUGCGAUAUUCAUGGCCAAGUUAUGGGAAACUUGGCCAACAAGUUGAACAAAGCAUACGCUGGAGAGGUGAAGCAAACUCUAAAAGCAAAAAGUCGGAGCAAAGAGUUAGAGUCCUUGAAGUUGAAAUUGGAAGAGAGAAAGAAAAAUGCUGUCGAAAAAUUCACACAAUCUGAAGAAUAUAACCAUGAAAUGGUUGAAUGUUUCAACAACGGCUUUGAAAUGUUCCGAGAUUAUGCUUCGGUCAUCUCACCAGACUACAAUUGGAGUGAAAUUGAUGUAGCUGGUGUUUGGCAGGUGCUGAAUAUGGGUGCUGAGGGAAUGGCUCAUCAUAGCCUCGUGCAUGCAGCAAGGAGAAAGGACAAAGACUUGGAUCUUUUGAUGGACCUGUAGUAACAGUGAGUGCUGCUUCAGUUCAACUCACCUGAGUACAUGGAUCUUUUGUUGCCUUCAUUUUCCCUUCGCAGGCUAGUAUUGUUAAGGUUCGGUGGCGAUUUCUUUUGCAUGUGUAAAAUGUUGUCUGUAAUGUGUAUGUAUUGUAUGUAGAUUGACUUAAUAUUGUAGUUCUAUUGUAUGUAUAUUGCCUUAAUAUUGCCUUUGUAUAGCAUAGAUAGUGUAUGCAUAUUGCCACCGUAUUGGAUGUAUAUUGUAAAACUAUUGGUAUCGUAUUGCCCUUAUAUUGCUCUAAUAUUGCCUCUAUAGUGCACCUAUAUUGACCUAAUAUUGCUCUUAUAUCGUAUGUCAAUGGCAUGUGCUCUAAUAAGUCUCCAGUUCGUUGAAAGUAAUCCUGAAUUCAAAUAUGAUGGACAAGACAAUUGUUAUCCAUCCUUAUAUUACCAUGAAUUGAUUUGGACCUUUCAAAUGAUAGUUGGAGUUGCACAUGGAUUCAUAUUCAAAAGGAAAGUAAUUCUCUCCCUCAAUGAAUUGUCGUUCAAAAGAAGGCAGCUAUCAAAUUUUGGGUACAAAAAGGCAACAUCCACGGUAAAUUAAUUGGGCACAAACCACAUAUUACAAAACCAGGAUGAUUUUUGGCAUGCUUCAAAAGAGAAGGGCCAAAUACAACAGAAAAGAAAAUCCAUUCAAGCUUGUACAAUAGAAUGCACAAUAACCCUUUUACAUGUCCUUCCAACACCAGUGUUUUGCCUACUUUAGAGUCGCAGGAGGAGAGCUUAUUGCCAUUGUGCAAUUCGAGGGGGCAGUCAAUUUGGAAUGGUGGCAUAAACAUGUUUACUCCACGGAUCACCUAUAUGGGACAGAGCUUCCUUCUUCCCUUGUCGUCUGUAGGUUUCAACUUCACACUUUUUAUAUACAUGUAUGAGAACUUGUGGCUAUUUAUUUAUGGCCUUCUAACACUUGUUCUGCCAUUCCAAAGUGGGUUGGAGACUUUUUGAGUUGAAUGACUGGAAAGACUUCAGAUGACAGAAACUAGAGAGUUUGAAGAAAAAGGGUUACCAAGAACAGCAGUCAUGCCCACGACAUAAACUAAACAUGCUAUAAGCUCCACAGUAAUAUUUACUUCAUCUCCAUAAUCAGAAUAUUGGGAAAAAAAUACCACGGAGAAAUACGUGAAAUGAAAAACAACUCGGCAGUUACUGUGAGAUUGUGUACAUAAAACUUGGAACAACCAAACCAAUUAAAGCUAAGCCAUCUCAUACGUAUACCUACAUCAAAUAACAGUGUAUGGUCAUCUUGUUUAGAAUAUUGCAAUCAACACUUGGUUGAGACCGACCUGCAAAAACAACUGGGUUAAGUACAGAUGAAGCCAUUUAUGAAGGGCAGUUCCAGAAUUAAGACCUACGUUAAUUUGUAACUGCCACCGAAUCAGUUCAUAGUGCCAAAUGCAUCUACCAAGCACACAGAUAUGACCAGCCAAAAGAAAAAAAAGCAAAGUAAAAAAGAUAAAAGAGGCAUGCCAUAAAUGGGAACCUCAGCAGAAAUCAUCAGAUAUGCAUACAAGCAGAUUGAGUAACAUCUCACUAAGUAGAGGUCAUGUUGGUAAUCGCAUGUUGUGUUUGCACACAGACAUUUGGUUUUUGCAAACACAACAUGCAAUUGCAUUCCAUGAUGUGUGUGUUGUGUUUGCACACAGACAUUUGGUUUUUGCAAACACAACAUGCAAUUGCAUGAUGUGUGUGUUGUGUUUGCACACAGACAUAUGGUUUUUGCAAACACAACAUGCAAUUGCAUAUUGUGUGUGUUGUGUUUGCACACAGACAUAUGGUUUUUGCAAACACAACAUGCAAUUGCAUAUUGUGUGUGUUGUGUUUGCACACAGACAUUUGGUUUUUACACACACGAUAUGUAACAUUUAGUUUUACCCUUUUAUUCUUAUUUUCUUCGUUCAAACAUGGUGGUGAGAAAAGCACCAAACCAUCCCAUCAUAUAAAGCAAAACUCAUACAAUAUUUUAGAUGCAAAAGUUAUAUAUUUUAUAUAAAUGCAUCAUCCGCAUGGCUUGAAAUUACAAAUUCACGUUCACAUAUUACUUUUCACAAGCGCACAGACUAACAAUAAUAAUAAUCAACCAAGUAGUUGCGACAUUCAUCCUAUUACGUCCAUAUUGAUAAUGUCAGAAGUUUCAUCGAUAAGCCUCAUCAAACUACAAGUUUUUUAAUUUGAAUUAUGAAUUCAGAACUAAAAGCUCAUGAUAUGCAGAAAAUGACAUACAUUGUCCACAAUCGACUUUUCGAUAUAUUUCUGCUCUAGCAAUUUAUCGUCCAAAUUCUGGACUCUCUGUGUCAGGUGCUUCUUUGUGUUCUAUCCAGCAUAAGAAUAUUUAAUAGUGUGAUUUCAAUUGUUUAUACAAAUUCUAUAAGUAAUAUUGAUGAGUGCUGUAAAUCUAUUUGAUAUUGGGAACAAACAUGGUCCCACUAACAGAAACUCAAACAAAACAGGAAUUUUUUUUUAUUUUUUUUGGCAUAGACAGCCGAAAAGAAACUUACAGCAAUAGCCUCUGUCACGCUCUCCAGACGUUUAUGCAAUUUUGAAACAGCAGCAUUCAUACUACGCUUUGUCACAUACAGAAGAUCUGAGAAUUUUAGACCCUAACCAUUUGUGAAGAGCAAAUAUUAGAUUUGCUUAAAGAAGACAACAACUCACAGAACCAAUGGAUGAAAUAAUAUGAACAUAAAUAUAUCAUUUGGAUACCUUCCACCACAUGUAACCAUAACCCAAUGCCCCCAAGGUAGCUGUUGGCAUUAUUAGUGAUGUCAAACCUAUUAAAAAAAUCAAAAAAAAAAAUAUAACCAAGUAUAAAAUGUUUCUAUUGCAUUAUGAAAUACAUACGUGUAAGGAAUUAAUCGUUUUACAACUUAACCAAAAAGUCAAGGCAGGAGCAUGCAUUCAUUGAGUGGUUAUAAGCAAGAGGAAAAAGCACAAAGCAUGCUAAGAAUUCAUUUGAACACAGAAGAGAAAGUAAGCUACCUUGGAAUUUGGCUGUCAUUCCCCUUCAGGACGGCUCUCUGUAGUGACGAGUCUAGUUGUCGGACCUCAGCUGCCAGUCGGCGCACCUAAAACAAAGUAACACAGGAAAAUUGAUAUCCAUUACAAAAAACAAAAAUUGAACACGAGAAAGCAUCCUUCGACACUAAAUUUAUAGCAGUUUUUCCAAUACCUGUGAUGCGAUCGCAUAAAAGUCACCUUCUGAUUGUUCUCCGGUUCCAUUGAACAAAGGCUGCAAACAAAACAGAAAUAGACACAAAUCCAUCAAUUUUUUGAGCAACAAGACACAAGCUCCGAAAUAAAUAAACUAUCUAACUGAUCAAAACCCUAGUUUACCAAAUGCAUUACAAAAUUAAAAACUCAUACAAAAAUAACACCAAAUACAAAUGUUCUGCGAGUUCCACUAGCAAAGCAGAGUACAAAUCAUGAAAAUGGUACCUGAAGUUCACCGAUCAAUUCAGAUAAUUGACCAUUCUUACGCAGGAUGGUGCUCGUAUACCCUGUAGAAAGAGAACAAUCACUCAGAUCAAAUGUAGCUAAAUACACAAGGAAACUAAUCCAGUAUGCAAGAUGAAAGAGGAGUGAUUGGUACCUACUCCAGCGAAGAUCAGCAAACACAGUAUGAGGUUCCAAAUUCAAAUAACAACAUAAUGCUAAGCAGAGAAGUAGAAUUGCUGCCGAAAUUAUUUAAAACGAACUAAGUCAAAACUAAAUGGAGAAAUGUUAACAAAGUUGUAUGCUUCAGUAAGUCCAGUAACAGAUUCCCAAAACCACAGAGACAAAAUGUGAACAAUGGCUACAAAAGCAUCCAUAAAGAGCAACUAUGUUUAUAUAUGGAGGUGUACAAAAUAGUUAACCUUCAAAAUCGAAACAGUGUGUGUGCCAUGUAAGGCAAUUAGCCACUGCUUCUAGACUAUACAAUAUUACACCUCACAAUAAUAACUAAACCAACUAGCUCUAGCAAAAAGGCAGGAUGACCAUAUAAAGUACCCCCAGCAAAGCAUCUACGUCUGCAUCUUCAUAUCAAGGAGUUCCUGACAUAAGUAAUGAGCAAAGUGAAUUCCCAAGUCAUAAGUCCAGAAUGAGGUGAAUUCACGGACAUUAAAACAUUUACCUCAUAAAUAUGCCUCCCCCCUUAAACCCUCAAUUGCAAGCCUCAGCCGGUAAUAUUUGAUCUUCAAAGGGUCAACUUUAUCUACCGAAAUCCCAGCACUGAGAUGCUCGAUGAAUUUGACGGUCAUGAUUCCGCAAGACGUACUGUGAGACCAAUAAGUUGGGAAAUUAGAACUGCAGUUAUGUAAGAUUUGGAUAAACUGCACUAAAUUCACAAAGCUUACCCAUCUCGUUGUUGUGGCACAUCUGCAAUGCUGCAAACUGAGAAUGGCGUAAACGUCAACAUCUUCAGCCCCUUUUGCUUAACCUUUUCAACCUCAGAAUCUUCAUAAAAGUGCAUAUCGUACAGCACUCGUGCCAGCGUAUCGCUAAUAGGGUGCAGAAGUGUAACCAGCUUCGAACAUUUGGUAAAAGCAACAUAUGAGUCAUACACAGUUGCAGUAUGUCAGACGAAAUCAAUUUCGAUUGCAACCCAGUAAGACCCUUUAAGAUUAUAUGGAAUAUAGACCUUCCGGACUUUUGUCCAAGCUUGGCCAUACCCGUGUUGCCACGUACCGCGUACAAAGUAAUGUAUAUUCUGCAGCUUGCUGGGUGGAAGGUCAACGGUGUUUGAAGCAACUGCCUUCUUCGAUCCACGUUUCUUGGCAGUCGGUUUGAACGGAUCUAGAAAUUGCUGCAUAAAUUGAAAUGAAGGCAUAUUAGAAAAUCACAACCGAAAGCAAAUGAAGCAGCGAAUGUAACAUGGUAACAUGUUUACCUGCAAGCAACAAUCUGCUGUUGUCCAGUCAGUUCCAAAUACCAACGGAUGAGAGAGUUGCCUUUUCCAGAUAAGAAAGGUUGCCAUGUCCAGGUGCUGAAAGUUGACACACAUAAUAUCAGCACAAUUUCAUACAACUGUACACUUAAAAAAGGUGAGAAAACAAUUUAAUUAUCGCAAUAAAGUAGAGCUUUGUGUAUUCUUACCCUUGAGCUAAUCCAUUCCGUUUCAUCGAUAAGUCUGUAGAAAAAAUCAGCGCCCACUGAAAAUAAUUCCAGCUGCACCUCCGCACUACAAAAGGCAAACUUGCAAUGGUUACUUUUAUAGUCAUCUCAUAAUUCUGACUUUGUUGAUGACAAAAAUACACAUGUAUAUUAAAGCAAACUCUACGUUUUCUCAUUAGUCUAUGACUACAUACUAGAAUAGGAUGAAGAUUGGAAUUCAAAGGUAAAGAAUCCUAACCUGAUAUCGUUUUUCCAGGCAGUACAAAACUCUAUUACUGCCUUCACAUCUUCAAUGGGCACGGAUUUUGAUGGAUCAAAACAUGGCGGGGUUGCAGUCGCAGCCAACACACUCAUCGUCCUCUUCUUCCUCAAAGGAUCAGUAAAUGGGCUCAACAAUGUCUGCGCCGGGCGCUUCUGUCUGCACCCUUUACCUUCCACUUCUUUUUUUUCCACACUCGAACUACCUUCUUCAUCACCAGCCAUACUAACUGUGGGUAGACUUGGAGGAUUCAUCGGACCUCCCGAUGGCAUACUCUUAGUCACUUUCCAAUCUUCUAACAGAGACAACACUUUUUGGCAGAUUUCGUCACACCCGGCCACAUCUUCCGGGGUAGGCAGCUUCUCGGAUUGUGCCUGCUCAGCUGCUUCAUGCACUUGUAAGUGAGGAACUGAAGCGGCCAUUUCUGCCUCUUCGACUACCAUGGCUGCGGAAGGUUCGGCUCCAUCACCGGGAACUUGUGUUUCCAUUACCGCCGGUUCUGUAGGCGGACUAACAUGGUCAUGUAAUGGCGACAAGUGAUUGUCGCCUCCUUCAUUCAUAUGAGGACUACUGAGGUCCUCAUGUCCUUUCCCACCUUCAUUCACCCCACCAUUUCGUUUUUUCAGCUGCUCUAUCUCCACAUUAAAAUAAUGCUCCAUUAAAGCCAGGGUGUUGCGGAAAUCCUCCACACACUUUUUAUUUUUUUCGAACUCUCUUUCAACUUUCAAUGACUCCUUCCGUACCAUGUCUUCCAACUGAUGCACUCUGUUGCGAAGCGCUCGAUUUGAUAUGGCAACUUUGGCCAAUUCAUCCUUUGUCCUUUGAAAGUCACGCUUCAAAGUGCGUAACUCUCUGGACGCGACUGUACCCUGCAUUCAGUUAUAAUGCAAGUGUUACAAUAUUUUCAAAAUAUAUUGCAACAAUACAGCAGUUAUUUUCCUAUUGUAUUAUGACGUAUAUCUUGGAAAAAAAUGUAAUGCUUGCCUUAGAAGACGACGGAAGGCUAGCAGUUUCGUCAAUGUCCUUAUCUUUUUCUUCUACAGAGGCAGAAGUGCUGGUUUUUUGUUCAGCGUCAUCGCCAAACAACUGAACAAGUUCUUCAGUGUCGUCAACACUGUCACCCCAAGUCCAAUACGGCUGCUGCUUGUCGAUUACAGAUGGCCGGAGAAGUUGCACAUCAACCUGCAAUUUACACAUACAAUAUACAUAUCAGUAAACUUAUUAUAUUAUAUUUUCAUAUGCCUAACAUUAUCAUUAAAAACUUAACUAACCUCACGGUUCUCGAAUACUUGGCUCAUUAGCUCAUAAAAACACGGCGAACUAUUGCUCCUCCAAUGUAGUAAACGAGGGAUGUAGGCAUUAUCUUCGUGCACCACCAAAUGUAGUGCAGCCAACGCUGGAAAAACCUCAUAAGCCCAAAUCUGGUUUGAGGAAUAAAACGUGAGUCACUGUAAACAAAUGAAAUUUAACUUCAACAUGAAUGGAAAUUUGCUCACCUGAAGUGCAUAGGCAAAACCUUUGAGGUGGUACUCUCUUGGUCUACCAGUUGCCGUUGUUUUUGCUUUCUUUUCAGAUUUUUUUGUUUUUGCAGCUUUUUUGGGCACUUUCACUCGCUGGUAAUCUGUACAAAGUGCCCUCAGAAGUGACACAAUUGUCUUGGCAUAACACACAGCACCCCAUGGAUACUUCCCAAACUCUUCAAGGUCUUCCACCAACUUCAAAUAUCGCAUGUCAAUCUGGACAUGUUUUUCACUGCCCAACAGCACAAACACAGCAAAGUAUACAAAUCUGAGCUUCAAUACAUCGUCCGCAUCAACGCAUUUGAGGAAGGCCUUUUCUAAUUCCAAAACAUUGACAGUUUUAUAGUUGCCAAAGUACUUCCUUUUCAAUGAGCAGUUCUCAUUAGUGGGAAUCGGAAUAAAGGGAAGGUUUCCAAACCUUAGCCCUGUCACGAUGCAAAAUUGCUGCGCCGUGAAUUGGAUCACCUUAUUGCCAACGAUGAAUUUGAUCCCGUUGAGUUGGGAAACUGUCUUUGGAUCAGCUUUCCUCAGCAGCAAGCCGUGGACAAUUGGCGAAGUCCACUUGAGGUCCUCAAUCAGUAGGAGAUGCCCAAAACAACUCUCUUCAAACCUUUGUAGCUGUUGUUCACUGAAUUUCUCCUUUAUCGUGCUGAUUGCAGUCUUCGUAUGGGAUAGGGACAAUGCUUUUCCUUGGAACUUUUCUUCCUCUGCAAUCAUCAACUUCAUUUGAGCAACCAUCUUUCCCUGCAUGCCAAUAUUAUAAAAAAAAAUUCAGUCCGUUGCAAUCUAGACAAUAACAAGCAAUAAACAAUCAGCACUUAUCUACAGCCUAUUAUAGGAUAUUAAGUGAAAACAAAAAAACAAAAAAUACAGGGCAUAAACAAAACCCCAGCUAUUUACAACUGACCUACUAAUUCAAUAGCUCAAAGCCACAUCCCAAGACACCCAGUACUCUACCACUCUUGCAUAAUAUAAUAUCUAAAGACACAUCUCAACACACCAGAUAAUCAUGACACAGCUUCAGCUAGAAUGGGAAUGUGCGGUAGCACAAGCCUAAUUGAGAACAAUUCAAGACUAACGAUAGAAAUCUAUCUGACUAGAAAGAGUUUUAAAAAAACAAGAAGACAUCGGGAAAGAAUUGAUUGACUUCAAGGUAUAAUGUAAUGGAACAUCCUAUGAAUUAGUGGCAACCAUAAUAAUGACUCCACUAUGGCCCUCCUUUCAAAUGUAAGAAAAUGAAUGAAAUUGGCACCAUCCCUUCAGUUUUUUCUUAACAAAAUAAGAGAUUUGUAUGUAUUCUCUGCUUUAUCGAUAUCAAAGAUAAAUUAAUAAAUAAACCAUCAAAACUGUAUAAAAUGUUUGUUAGACAUGUACAAUUACAAAAUUAUAAGUUCUCCUCAGAAACAAAGUUCUCUAAGUACGCAAACAAGAAAAGCAAAAGCUUAAAGAGUUAGCUUAUAGCAAAAUCAAUGUCCCCAUUUCUCUAAACCACACCUGCUGGUGGUAGGUUCCCAUCUUCACUCAUUUCCCGCUUUCUUUUAAACAGACAAUGAUCAAGCACAAAAGAGCAAACUUUUAAAUAACUCAUAUUACACCACAAAUAGUUCUAAAGAAAACUUAUUCAUAUCCAAUAUGCAACCCCUAAAGUUAGUAAACAGAGUUAUAAAAAAAUAUGUCAAAUUAACAAGCAUUAUUCUCAAACAAAAAGUAUGAUAUGGUUGGGAGUUUACAAGUUCAAAAUGAUAUACACAGGUUAAUUGUCUUAGACUUUAGAUAUCAUCUUCAACAAAGAAAAUAGAUACCGAUUAGACUUGUAAGAAGGUUAAAUGCAAUGGUCAUAAAGACCCAUAGUAAGCCACCAAAUACCAAUCAAUAACUGCUAUAAAAACCAUAAUAAAACCAUAAUAAACUAAAAAUACAACAGCACUAAAAUGCCAACACAACAUCACUACAUUAGCAAUAUAGUAGCAACAAAACCACAAUACGACAUCAAUAGCAACAGCAAAACAACAGCAGUGCAAGCAUCAGUCCACAAAGAACAAACCCAUUCACUGUUUCAAACAAGGAAUCAUCAUACUAAGAUCAUUUCAGAGAAACCCCAAAACCAAUUUCAGUGAAACCCCUAAACCAAUUUCAGAGAAACCCCUAAACCAAUUUCAGAGAAACCCCUAAACCUUCAACCAAUUUCGAACAAAUCCCUGAACCAAUUUCAUAGAAAUGCAUAAACCCUAAACCAACUUCAAAGAAACCCUAAACUGUAAGAAAAUGACGAUGAACAGUACCUGUUCAAGGUGAACGAUGGAGUUGAGCUUCGAUGAACAAAUUUCGCUCGGAGAGGAAGAGAGAAGAGAGAGUCAGAGCUGAGCGACGAGAGAUUAAGGGCUGAGCGACGAGAGAGUGAGAGCUGAUCGACGAGAGAUGAGAGAGUGAGAGCAAAGUGACGACAGAGUGAAGAGAAAUUGAGAGAAGGAGCCAAGAGAGAGAGCUGAGAGAGAACUUCAGCAAAACUGAUAGAGAACUUCAGCAAAAGUGAUAUGUGUACAAUAAGGGGACAAUAAAUAUAUAUUUAUAGGUUAUAGUUCCAAAUUUUUUUAAAAAGAGUGGUAUUUUCAGUUACAAUUAUAAAAAUGGUGGCAUUUUGAGCUAUUUCCUUAUUUUUUAUUCAACAUGGACGCAGAAACUGUUGCUAAACUGCAAACUUCUUAAAAUAUUUGUCUCACUUUCUCAACCCUAUAUUUGUCUAACUUUCUAGAUCCAUGUACUGAGAUUUAUUAGGGAAAUAUUGUAGAAACUGAUUAUUUUGAAAUAUUAAAUGUGAAAAACUGAACAAAAAUUUGAUGGGUUACAUAUUUCAACUCAUUUCAGCAGCUUAGAUUUUGAAGACCUCGGAAGAGGCCAUGCAGUGAGCCUAGCUAGUGCACUGUUGAUCACUUCAGUGUCUACCGAUCUGUAAUUUUUCCAGAUUGGUUAUAUUUUCCUUUACAUAUUCUUAUAUUAUUCCCAGCUGUAAGUGUUUUACACACUUGUCUAUUAGAAAAGGGGAGACUUAUAAAUAAAUCCAAAAUGGGUACAGUAUUUAUAAAGAAUGACAAAAUUAAAGUGUUUGGGCAAUAAUGCCCUUAUUCAUUUUGAGAUUGCCUAAGGAAUAUUUUUUCUGAUUUUCAGAAGAUGCCAAAGGACCGUUGUUUGAUGAUUGCCGUAAGGAGCUAAGAAAACUUGCUUUGAUAGUUUUGGACAGAUGCAUGCUACUGUUGCUGGGAUGAUCUCUUCACGUGAAAUGAGGAUGAUGAUGCUUCUACACUACACAAUCCAACGAAUUCACAUGUCUAUUUCAGAUACAAGUAUAAACUAACAAGGCUUUAAAAUAUGGGCUGAUGCACUGUUGUUGAUGUUGCUGACACUGUUACUGUGUUGUUGAUACUGUCACUGCGUUGCUGUUGGAAAAAGCACAAGGACUUCACAUGUUGCUUUCGUCUUUUGUGGAGGAGAGAGACCUAGGACUUGCAUGUCUUAGAUAUUUAAGAUAAGGGGCUUUCGUUCCAUUUUGAAAAUACUUUGGGUGUUUUUGAAAGGUGAUUGUUUCUUUUGGGUUUCUCACUAAAUUUCGCUUUAGAAGGGAAAAUAAUAAUAAUAAUGUCAAACAAAGUAGGGUAAAUAUUCAGAUAUGCUCAUAUUAUUAUUCUUCUCCAAUAUUGAGGUAUUUAUACAAGUACAAAGAUGUGUUAACCCUAAAUAAAAUAGGAAAUAUAUCUAAAUUAUAAUAGGCAGUAAAUCUCUAUUACAAUAGGACUAAAUAAUAAUUGGUAAGUAACCAAAAUUCUAAUGAAAUAAGGAAUCAAAAUCCUAACUAAGUAAGGACUCGCCAACACUCCCCCUCAAGUUAGGGCAAACAUAUUUCGCAUGCCUAACUUGACAAGCGAGUCAUAGAACACCAUACUUGAGAAGCACCAAUUGUAGAGAAGGUCUUUUCGUCAACCACGAGUGAAACAAGUGACAAACUAAAGCAAAGUUCGCAGCGGAAACACAAGAGCGAAUCCUAAAAAAUAGGGCACAUAGCAGAACACAAAAAUCCUGGAGCACGACAGUAGAUAAGGCAGAACACAGAAACCCUGUUAGCACGGCAAUAGGUAAGGCAGAAAAAGUCAAGAGCAAAGGCAAGGUCAACAGGCGUGACCACAACGAAAACACACCAGCAAAGACAUGAGCAACAAUAUUAGCACCAUAAUAGACAUGAGCAACAAUACUGGUACCAACAACAGCAAUACAAGGCACUGGCACCAGCAAGAGCAACAAGGCAUGGACAUAACAUGCAUAAUCAAUAGUAAUCAACAUUGUCCCCAACAAGAGUCAUAAUAGGCAUGAGCAAUAACAUUGUCCCCACUAAGAGACUUAACAGGUAUGAGUAACAGUACUGGCACCAGCAAAGGGCAUAGUAGUCAGCAGCAAUAACAAUGACAAAUACUUCUAUUAUUGCAGAGACAACUUCUCUUCACUCCCCAUCUCCCCUUGAAGAGAAGGGGUCAUCGGAACCAUAAGAAAAGUGGCACUUAAGAAACAGAAGUUGACUGACGCUCAAAUGUAGAAGAAUCAGCCAUGGCAAAUAGGUAGCUGAAUUGCAGCGGAAUAGAUGAGCAGCGGUGUCACUCCCCCUCAUAUCUGAUAAUGUAUGAGAGUCGAGAUUUGGAGAAAGCAAUAUCGAAAAAUAAAGUUGCAGAACCCAAAUAAAGUUGCAUCUAUCUCCCCAUCAAAUCCGACACUGGUAAAGGGUCGAGAUUUGAAAGAGGAGAAAUUGAAAUAAUAGUAAAGAGACUCAAACAUGCAGUCUCAUGGCAGAAACAAAUGCAAGAGGGGAAGAUGGUAGCAUACGGUUGUCCCAUGAAGAAAAAACUUCAGAAAAGGAGAAUAGUAAGGGAGGAAACCUAGCAAAUCAUGAACAGAGACAAAGACAAAGAUGCUCAAACUGAGAAGCGGAAAGGCAACUCAAGAGAGCAACCGAAGAAGACAGAGGCCCGCAGAACAGUCAAAGUUAAGGCUCGGCGAGUGGUGACGAUGCUCGCGGAGGAAAGCAACGGCUCGGUGAGCGGUGAUGAGGCUCACGGAGUAAAGAGACUUGUUAUGAAGUUUCAAAGAUAGAGAAGCUGAGACAUCAAGAAAGACCAUCUGGCAUACAAAGAUGAAAAAUAAAAAUUUUGGAACAGUAGCAAAGAAGCAUGUGAAGGCUGGUGCGGUGAAAACACAUAUGAAAGGAUGAACAAAAGAAGAUGACUAUACAAGAUGAAGACCCAUGAUGGGUUAGGAAUGAGGAGUGCCAACGACUCUCAAUUUGGCAGAGGUUAUCGCAGGUUAGGAACCUGGCUCUGAUACCAUGUCAAACAAAGUAGGGUAAAUAUUCAGUUAUGCUCAGAUAUGCUCAUAUUAUUAUUUUUCUCCAAUAUGGAGAUAAUUAUACAAGUACAAAGAUGUGUUAACCCUAAAUAAAAUAGAAAAUAUAUCUAAAUUACAAUUGGAAGUAAAUCUAUAUUACAAUAGGACUAAAUAAUAAUUGGUAAGUAACUAAAAUUCUAAUGAAAUAAGGAACCAAAAUCCUAACUAAGUUAGGACUCGCCAACAAAUAAUAGUACAACUCUUAUUAGCAACAGGUUACAAACUUCUUCUACAACACACCAACAUGAAUCUAGCCCUGAUCCACUCUUUUACAUACUUGAAAACAAAACAAAACACGAAAAACAAAAAACAAGAAACAAGAUAGGGAGAAAAUGGCUACGGAGAGACUUCCUGCUAAUCAGGGGCGGCCCUGGGGUGGUGCAAGUGGCGUCACCGCACAGGGCCCCCGAUUCUUAAGGGCCCCCAAAAAAUAAUUCUUUAUAUUAUAUAUAUAUAUAUUAAUAUUAUAUGAAUCGUAUAUAAAGUAUAGCGUCUGGAUGAUAAAGAGACUCAUUAUCAUUAUCUUAGUCAUAAGAUUCAAAAUGAAUUGAUACUUUUGUUAGCUUCUGAGCUCAAAAGUGCAAUCAUUAAAAAGAUUGAAGAAGCUAAAUAUUUUUCUGUGAUUCUUGAUUGUACUCCAGAUGCUAGAAACCAAGAACAAAUGAGUUUGAUAGUAAGAUGUGUGGAUGUCUCUACUAAUUCAAUAAAGGUUGAAGAAUUCUUUUUGGAAUUUUUGAUUGUGAAUGAUACAACAGGACAAGGACUUUUUGAAGAGUUGCAAACGGUGUUGCAAAAACUUAAGCUUGAUAUUGAUAAUGUGAGAGGACAAGGCUAUGACAAUGGAUCAAAUAUGAGUGGGAAAUAUCAAGGUGUCCAAAGAAAAUUUUUGGAUGUAAAUCCUAGAGCAUUGUACACACCUUGUGGUUGUCAUAGUCUUAAUUUAACACUUUGCGAUAUUGCAAACUCUUGUGGAAAAGCAAAAGAUUUUUUUGGAAUCAUACAACGUAUUUAUACAUUGUUUGCUAAUUCUACAAAGCGGUGGAAGAUAUUGAAAGAUAAUGUUAAACACUUAACUCUGAAAUCAUUGUCAGUUACACGUUGGGAAAGUCGUAUUGAAAGUGUGAGAGCAAUAAGAUUCCAAGCUGCAGAUUUAAGAGAAGCUUUACUUCAGUUAGCAGAAAGUGACGGUGACUCCAAAAUAACAAGUGAAGCUAAUUCUUUGGCAACAUAUGAACUUGGAAAUUUUGAGUUCUUAUUGGGCAUGGUUAUUUGGUAUGAUAUAUUAGGUGGUGUCAAUGUAGUGAGCAAAAACUUACAAUCUGAAGACAUGCUUAUUGAUGUUGCUAUUGAUAAAGUGAAAGGGUUGAUUACUUUUUUUUUGAAAAGUAUAGAGAAAAUGGGUUUACAGAAGCUAUGUGUACUGCUAAAAAAAUUGCUACUGACAUGGGAAUUGACCCGGUGUUUCCUGAGAAGCGAAAAAUUCGUAGAAAAAAACAUUUUGAUGAGAAUACUUGUGAGCUAUCCCAAUCAGUUCCUGAAUCAACUGAAGAAAAGUUUAGAAUUGAUUAUUUCUUGUAUUUAGUGGACCAAGCUAUUGGUUCUUUACGAAGAAGGUUUCGACAAUAUCAAGAGUAUGAGAAUUUUUGGGUUUUUGUUUACUUCAGAGAAGUUAAAUUCAUUGGAUGAUUGCGAUUUGAAGAAUAGUUGCAGUCAUCUGGAAAGCAUUUUGAAAAAUGACAAGUUUUCUGAUGUCGAUGGGGAGGAUUUAUUUGUUGAGUUGAAAGUUUUACAAGAGCUUUUACCAAAAGUAAAUACCACAGCUACUGCAAUAUUAAAUUUCUUGAAAAGAUUAAAUUGUUUUCCAAAUGCAUUCAUUGCAUAUAGAAUCCUAUUGACUAUUCCUGUUACUGUUGCAUCUGCGGAAAGAAGUUUUUCAAAAUUAAAAUUGUUAAAAUCAUACUUGAGAUCAACUAUGUCGCAAGAAAGAUUAAAUGGACUAGCUUUGAUUUCAAUUGAAAGUGAACUUCUUGAAAAACUUGAUUAUGAACAUUUGAUUGAUGAUUUCUCUUCUAAAAAUUCAAGAAGAUCAAUUUUCAGACAUUAGUAUUGUACUAGCUGUGUUUUUUUUUUUCUUCUAGGGUAAAAGCUCUCAUAAUAAUUUUAAUUCUUCAAAUAAGACAGCAAAUACAAUGUGAUGAAUUUUGGAUAAUCAGGUAUGUUUUUGUUGUUGCUUUUGUGUUUAAUGCAAUAUAAUCUAAUUUUUUUAAUGACAUUUGUGUGCAACUACUCUUUGAUUUGUGAUUGCCAAUUUUUUUUUCUUUCUAUUAAACACAGAUUGCUUAUUGGAGGCAGCAAGAGACCUUAUAGGGGCACAAGGAGCUUAUUUUUGUACAAAACAUUUAACUUUAUCAAAUGGAAACAUUUAAAUUUUUAUGAAUUUGAUUUCUGAUUGUCAUUGCAUAUUUAUUGAUGGUGAAUUUUAGUUAUAAAAAAAAAAUUGUUUAUGACAUUAAGUUAUGGCAAAUUUUUAUAGUAUUUUCGUAUUAGAUUAUGCGAGGUCCCAAUUUAAGUUUCGCACAGGGCCCUCAAAAUCUCAGGAACGGCCCUGCUGCUAAUACUUGAUCAAUAACAGAGAUAAUAGAGCACACUGUUUGUAUGACAAUGAGUAUCAGAAGAAUAAUAGCUGCAAAGAGAGAAAUAGCUGCCCAAGGUGUGUUGAAAUACUUUUGUCUCAAAUUUGCCUUCCGUCUGUUCGUGGUCUUCUUGCAGUACUCGUUUAGUUUGCCAGCAAGAUCACCAAAAUAGUAGUUUCCGUGGUUCGGAGCAACUUUACUGCAAAGCUUGUUAAUCAUAAUGGAAACCUUAUUGUUGUCACCUAGCGUGUUUACAACAAUUCCAUUGUCAACAAGCAACUCUACAUCCUUUGGGGUGUUUACAAAUUUAUCCAGGAUGAAAACAUAAUCGCUUAUGUAUUUAUCCACGCAAUGGCCUUGUUCAAAGGCAAUGAGAUUUCUAUGUGUAAGCUGUGUAAUCAUGUAUUUCAAUUUUUGGAAUUUCCAAGGUGUUUUUCUUGAACUGUAUAUCGAAUAAGUUCUUGCUUGAUCCCACGUUAAACUUAACUCCGGCCUGGUGUAGUUUUGUCAUGCUGGGUGUACUUUGGAGCCCUCCAUUUUUUUUUCUUUUGGCAGAUGUAAAGUUCUAAUAAAAUCAACAAAAUGUAAAGGUUUUUUAGGAUCAGGAGGCAUAAAAGACUUACGGAAGGCUGGUGAGUUCUCCAAGUUUUCUAAACGCAGUGCCUGUUGGAAGAACUUGUAAGAGAGUUCAAUUAUUGAAGGCUCCCCAGUCUGAGCACCUGUGAGAUUGUAAAGAUCCUCGAGAAUGAAAAAUGGCAGCUGAUUUACGAGCAUAAGCAUGUCAGGCAAUAUAUUUUGUAGCACCCAUGGUUUUUUAAAUAUCCAAGCAUCAUCAUCCUGCAAUUUUUCUUCCUGAAAUUUUUCUUCGGAUUUAUUCCUCAACAAUAGCUCAAUGACAAAGGCGGCAUCAACUAGAAUGAUAUUCACAAAAGUAGCAAUGUUAAACUUCUUAGGGCUAGUUUGGCGGCGUUGUGCUUUUAAAAAAAUAUGCUUCUGCUGUGCUGUGAAAAUAAUUAGCUGUGAAAAAAAGCUACUAGGCGUUUGGUAAACUGUUUUUGAAAAACUGCUGUGAGUAGUCAAAGUGUUUGGUAAAUUUUUAUCAGAAGUACUUUUAGUGUGUAUAAUGACCAAAAAGGACAUGAUGAUGAAAUUGUUUGUUAUUUUCUUCAUUCUUUUUCUACUUUAAAAAAAAAAAAAACCCAAUUUCACUACAUAAAUUUUUAUUCUUUUUUAAUUCACACCUUUUUAUCAAAAAAUUUAAUCUACAAUUAACAUACAUAUUUUACCAUAAAUUAUAAAUUACUAUUAUAACAAAAGUAAUUCUAAAUAUUGUUAUAUUAAUAUGGGCUUCGGACAUGACAAAAAUACAAAAAUUGUUCAAUUUUAAAAUGCCCCAAUAGAUCACUACAAUAUAAAAGAAGCUAAUUAGAUGCAUUCAUUAAACUUGUAGCGAUGCUAUUUCUUAAUGCAUUCAUUAGCUUCUUUUUUUGGUUUCCAAUGGUUCUCUAACAAUUUUAACUAAAAAAACAACCAUAAUGCUUUGUGAACAAUAAAUUCAAGUCCAAAUCUGCUAUUGCCCACACCAUACAUAUAUACAUAAUUGUUCCUUUCAUAAAACUUGAAGAUUCAAUAGUAAUUACACAGUUUACCAAUCUUGAUUCCAACUAUAUCCAUAAAAUUAAACUAUAAUUAGAAAUAGAGGAGCUACAUGUGAUUACUCAUAAAUGCUUCCCACUCUCAUCAUCAUCAUCAUCAUCAUCUUCCUCCUCUGUACUUUGCCUUUCACAAAUGGACAAGACCAGAUGGUAACGUACACGACAUGGUCCACAUAUAGAUAAAUUUUGGGUUCACUGGAGAACAUAAAAGAGUUUUUACACGAAUACAAAGUUAGUUAAGUAGUGAAUAAAGUAAAACUAUUCUGUACAAUUCUAGCUGAUGCAGUCCAAAAAGAAUAUAUGUCUAAUAACUUAAAUAACAAUAAAGAGAAACAAAAGCCUCAUGAAAAAUGCUAGAGUAAAAGUUACAUAACUGAAUCGAUGGACAGAGAACUCCACAGGCAGAGAAACAGCAACAAAAAUUGUCAAAACAGUAGCAAGACCAUGUUGGAGUCAAGGCCAAAGAUCAUAUUUCCUGUGUAUCUUCUUCCAUUCUGAAUUAUUCUCGUAUUCAAAUACUGUAACUCUAUUUCAAGUGCACCCCAAAAUACUUAUCUAAGGCCAGUACAUAGGACUUCAUAAAGGGUGCGAUAAAAAAUAUUGCCCCUUAAUUGAUAAACAGAACCAAGAUCCCAACAGCACACCAAAACUAUACCAACCACACCUACAUAAUAUGGACAGAAAAUCCUGUUGUUCCGAUCUCUAACCACACCAAUGACAUUCAUUAGGAAAAUACAAAAGAUGGGUACCCUGCAUUUCUAACAUUUAAGAUAAAAUUCACUGCCAGCUAAUCACAAAUUUGAAAAGAUGGCAAGAAAAUUGGCUAAGCUUUAACAAAAACCAGAGCAGUCCUUGCAUAGACCUGACUUUUUGCUCCAAGCUUUAGCAGAUCACUUACUGGUAGAGAGCAGAGAACAUGUAUGUGAAUAUCUGAAGUUGGAAGGGUAAGCCAUCACAAACACCAAGAGAUCUGAUUCUCAUCUCUUGUUACAACAACAAAUCACAAACACCAAUACAUCUGAUUCAGAAUCUCAUAAACAAUGGAGGAACAAACACAUAUUCACACACAUAUAAAUCCCUAAACAGAAAAAAUAAAAAAUAAAAAAAAAACCAUGAAAGUCAUAGGAGAAUCAAAUUGAUUUGGGCCAAAAUUGCCUAAAAAGAAAACACUCCUAAAUAAACUUCAAUUCACUUUUAAAAACAGUAAAACAUGAUUGAAUCAUUCUUUAAAACAAUUCCCUAAUAUACAUGCAUGAUAAUGACAUCAUUUACCCCUGAAUCAAAUGCCUUUCACUGGUCAAGCCACAAGUCUGUGUUUUGGGAAUUGCUGAGCUGCAUCAAUCCUGCCAAUGUAAAUUCUGCCCCUAGGCUCUCUCAAAGUGCGUUUACAACCUAUGCUAACAUAUACUAGAGUUUGUUUUAGUAUCUAGAAAAUGCCAACACUAAUUUCGUAACACGUAGAAAUUGUUACAUAUUGGAAGUUUUUAUCAUUUUUUCUUCCAGUCUCUCCACCACUCACUAAUACAGAUUACUCAUGUGAUGAGUUUACAAAACAUAUUUCUCUACUCCCACAAAGACCAUACUUUUUCUCAAAAGACUAUAUCACUUUAUCUCUAUCUUUGUGAAAUGUAAAAAGUUGAAACUUUAAUGUCAAACCUCGACAAAAGAUGAACAUCCAUCAUCAAUUACAUUGAAUUUGAAUUUGUUGAACUUAAGUAGUUUUACUUCUCUGUCAGCGUUUGAUGACUUGAUUUGUUAUUUACUUCUUCUUUUUUCCUUGGAAAUGUGUUCCAUCAACGUGAGGAAGAAAAAUAUGCACAAAUUAAUAUAUUUAAUAGAAGCAAAAAUUAAUAUUUACAAAAAUAUGCACAAAUCAAGUAAAAUUAAUAAAGCAUAAAUUGGAAAGGGAAAAUAUGUAGAGGAUGCAUUGUAGGAUUGCUCAUGCCAAUAAUUGUACCCUCUAAAUAUAUAGGGACAUAUUUUUUUUUGUUUUCAUGACAUGUGGUCCUAAAAUUAUUGUUCUUAGCGGGCUCUCCACCCCUCUCGACUGAAAACCUAUUGUGUAAAUCUUCAAUCCUGAAUGAUGCACCUAAAACUCAUGUUGCAAUACACAUCCACCCAUUCUCAGGCCAAUUAUUACUCCUAGUGGGCUCUCCACCCCCUCUCAAAUUUAAGUGGUCCAUUAUUAUUAACCGUAUAUUUUAUGGACCAGCCAGCUGUGAGGUUUUAUCUCAAAAACCUUUCUCCCACAUGCCACAAUUUAUGUCUGAUACAUCACAUCAUGCCAGUUGUCUCAAAUGAAUUUAAGUGAGUGAGGCAGUGUUACUUCUGGGUACCCCUCAUUAUUCGUCUAUAAAUUGGUGAAGCCAGUUGCUACUGUUACCAUAAGAGCCAGCUCCGACUUUCAAAAUAAAAAUUCCAACAACGGUCUUAGUGCCUUCAAUUGUAUGAGUCAUUGAACAUGCAAAUGAAUAAAAUAUGAAUGAUAAAAGUGUUUGAUAAAUCACCAAGUUAUAGAACACUUGAUGAUUUAUCUCAAAUAAAAAUUCAGCUUUCUAAAGUUUGUGAAUUGAAAAUAUAAUCGUUAAAGCUCUCUAAACAAAGAAGACGAAAGUCUUAUUUUAUAGAAUUUUUCUUUACAAGAAAGAAAACAUGUUGAAAACCAAAUCUCCAAUUUCCAAGGCUUGACAGAAAAUCAAAAAAAUAUCUUUCCUAUUCUAGAGAUUGGUCACAUGUAGUUCAACCAAUAGGAAAUGAGAUAUUUAAGAAAGCAAGAUUUUGAUCAAUACCAAUAUCAAAUGAAUUCUUAUACGCCUAGUCAACUAUUAAGGGUAUCUUGACUCCUUGAUAUUGUGAUAUGAUUGAAACAUGAUUUCCAUGUUAGAAAAUUAAGGGGAUGUUAAAACAUGAAAGUAAUAGGAGAAUCAAAUUGAUUUGGACUAAAAUUGCCUAAAAAGAAAACACUCUUAAAUAAACUUCAAUUCACUUUUAAAAACAGUAAAACAUGAUUGAAUCAUUUUUUAAAACAAUUCCCUAAUAUACAUGCAUGAUAAUGACAUCACUUACCCCUAAAUCAAAUUGUCACGCCCCGGACCUGGGGGUCAGUGGAAACCCCACGUUCGGUGCGUGAGAAAAUAAAAAGUAAAAUAAAAUAAAAAGAAUGCCGAAACAAGGGUUUAAAAUAAACUUCUCUUAUAAAAAUAACUCCAAAAUCUUACAACUUUACAAGAAAUAAAUAAAGCCCUAUCAUUCUUAUCUAAUUCAGCCUCAACUGGUUUAGUCCUUGUCUUGCCCACUAAUUCAUCUAAAAAAUGAAGAGUGUUGCUAAACGAACCCUAAAAUUAAUUGAGUACACCCUACUACCAAACGAUUUAUUGAAUUUGUCACAUCUCGGGAUCAACUCCGCCGUAGCACGAUAUUGUUCGCUUUGGGCCCUCCCUCUCUGGCUCGCAUGGUUUUGUUUCUGGGAACUCACGAGUAACUUCCCAGUGGGUCACCAAUCCUGGGAUUGCUCUAGCCCACAACUCGCUUAACUUCGGAGUUCCUACGACUCCGAAGCCUGUGAGCUCCCAAAAGGUCUCGUGCUAGAUGGAUGCGGGUGUGCACAUAUAAGGCACAUCACCCCCUCUCCGUUGGUUGAUGUGGGAUCUUAUAGAAUUACUAAUUUAUCCUAAUAUAAAAUGACCAAAGAAGAUAAAAUAAUAUUGGUAUCUAUUGCUUUGAAUCCAUGCCUUCAAACAAAUUGACUUAAUUUUUAACAAACAACACGGAGUCCAGGAGAAGUGUAUUGAUCCAAGUUGAUUUUUGUAUGCGUAAAACUUAAACAAUCAAUAACACAAAGCAGUUCAUGCUGAAAUAUUGGAAACCCACACCCAAAGAGUUCUCCGCUGCGAGGUUGAAGGCAGGAGAGAUGGGUGACAGAUUUUACUUCCACUGCGAAGUUGGAGGCUAGGAGAGUCUGUGACUGCCAUGGUUGAGGGAGAAGAUGCGUUCAAAAUGCCUAUUGAUAUUUUACAUUAUUGGCUUUUUUCAAAAGUGAAAGUUUUUUUAUGGGUAAAACCUAAAUUUACUUUUUCUAUACAAGUUAACAGUGUUUGUGUAUUGUGAAAAGGUGGAGAGACGUGUCAAAAUUUUAGACAAAGGACAGGAGGAGAUAGGGAAUUUGGGGACAGCAGAUCUCAACUCCCUUGAGACCCUAUUCUCUACGCCACCCCUCCCCCUCAACAACCCUAGUCACCAUUUCUCCUUCAACUCCAACGGCAACUCAUUAAAACCCAAUUCUCAAAUGCAACAAUCUAAUCCCAAUCCCAAUUCAGAUGUUUCUAAAAAACCCAUUGUCGUGGUGGAGAACUGCAAUUCCAGGUGGUGGUGGUGGUACCACAUGGGAGAGAGAAAAAAGAAGAAGAAGAAGCAGGAGAGAGAGAGUUUUUUAUUUUAUUAUUAUUUUACUGUAAUUUUUUAAUUUAAAUAAUUAAAAAAAUUAAAAGUUAAAGAGGAUGUACCAUGGGUAUUUUUGGUAGUUAAAUAAGGUGUACUUAGGGUCAGUUUGGCAUUGCUGUGCUGUGAAAAUAAUAGCUGUCAGAUUUGCUGUGAGAGAAAUCAGCUGUGAGAGAAAUCAGUUUGGCGUUUGAUAAAAUUUUUGUUAAAAGUGUGUUGAUAUUGAUUUUAUGCUUAAUCCGAAAAUGAUUGCUGCAUAAUCAUUAAACCCAGCGCCUCUUCGAAACUGAUUCCUAUAUAAUCAGAAAAUGAAAGCACCUCAUUAGCUGCUUUCCUUUAUAGCUUUCUCUCACAGCAAUUUUUAACAAUAAGUGAUUUUCUCACAGUUUACCAAACGGGUUGGGCUUCUCAAAAUUUUUUAAAAAUCACUUAUUACCCCAAAUAAGCAAUACCAAACGGGCACUUAGUUAAUUUUACAUUUUAAUUUAAACAUUAGGGUGUACUCAGUUAAUUUUAGGGUUCGUUCAGCAGCACUCAAAAUUAAACAAGGUGAGGGAUGAGCAAGUAGGGACAUGAGACAUUGCCACAGUAGAUUGAUAUAACUAAAUAUUAUUAUAAACAUAGAAAUAUAUAAGUAUUAUUAUAAUAGGAUUCAUAAUAAUUAAUAUAAAAGUAUAACAACAAUAUUUACAUUUAUGUACCAAGAUAAUUACACAUAUAAAUAUAACCAAUAUAUAUUUUUAUAUAUUUUAAAAUAUAAGUCUUUACGUAAAUGCCUUUCACGGGUCAAGCCACAAGUCUGUGUUUUGGGGAUUGCUGAGCUGCAUCAAUCCUGCCAAUGUCAAUUCUGCCCCUGAGCUCUCUCAAAGCACGUUUAAAACCUAUGCUAACAUAUACUAGAGUUUAUGCUGUAUCUAGAAAAUGCCAACACUAAUUUCGUAACACGUAGAAAUUGUUAGAGAUUGGAAGUUUUUAUCAUUUUUUCUUCCAGUCUCUCCACUACUUAUUAAUACAGAUUACUCAUGUGAUGAGUUUACAAAACCUAUUUCUCUACUCUCGCAAAGACUAAACUUCUUCUCAAAAGACUAGAUCACUUUACCUCUAUCUCUGUGAAAUGUAAAAAGUUGAAACUUUAAUGUCAAACCUCGACAAAGUGUUCUACUUUACAAACUUCUUGUGUCUACCAAUUUGUACUAAAAUUAAUUUCUCUACAGUGCUCAGAUUCAUCAUAUGUGUGUCCUUAAUUUUAGUGGAAAUUGGAAGUUUCCAUAAUUUUUGCUUUAAGUCACUCUUCUGAAGGAAGUUGAGGUUCCACUUCAUAAUCCAAAAUGUCAGGUUGACUUAUGGCAAACAAUGUAAAUAUGUAGGAGUACUAUGACCUUUUAUAGCAUUUUUAGUUUGAAUUUGGGUUUUAUACAUAGAUUUCAAAAUUAAUAGGUUGAUGCCUAGGAAAUAGAAAUUGUAAGGGCCUAUAUUAGAGUAGCCCUCUUAAAAAUAAUAUUAAUUAAUGAAUAUUUGUUCUUCUUGUUGUUUUGAAGUAGUGGUGGGAGGCAGACCAACAAAAAAAAAAUAUAGUGAAGGCUUAUAAGAGCAUUUACAAUCAUGCUCCCUAUUUUUUAGUUAAAAUUUAGCUAAAAAUAGAAAAAAAGUUAUUAUAGGAGCUCUUUAUAAAGCUCCUUUAUAAAAUUUGAACUCCAAUCAUACUCCCUAGUUUAGGGAGUCAAAAAUACUAUAGUUAUUUUUUAAUUCAAUUUGAUUUUGGUUAAUCUCUAUAAAUAUGAAAAAAUAGUUAGCAUUAAUUAAAAGUUUAAACUAUGCAUAAAACAAAGAAACAUUAAAUUAUAGGGAGCCACUAUGAGUCAUUACUCUCUCCUCAGAUUUAGGAGCUCCUAAAGGUCUCCCUAUUUUAUGAGGUGGAUAAGGAGCAUGGUUGGAGUUGUAUUUCUUCAAUUUCCUCCCUAAAAUUUGUCUAAGGAUGUGGUUUAGGGAGCCCAUUGUGAAUGCUCUAACUCUGGUAAAACACGAGUGACAUGGACAACAUAUGUUACGUCGUACUGAAGAUUUUUGGGUUUCUUUAAUUGGUUAAGUAGCAUCCACACAGCUUCCUAAAUCAUCUCCUUAGACAAAUUUUAGGGAGGAAUUGGAAAAGUACAACUCCAACUAUGCUCCCUAUCCACCAACUAAAAUAGGGAGACUUCUAGGAGCUCCUAAAUCUGAUGAGAGAGAAAGGACUCUUAAUGACUCCCUAUAAUUUAAUGUUGCUUUAUAUUAUUUUGUAUACAGACGGGUCAAUUAUAUUAAAUUAAAAAAUAAUUAAAGUAUUUAUGACUCUCUAAACUAGUGAGCAUAAUUGUAGAUCAUCUUAUAUACCUUAAUUUGAAGAUUCUUUAUUUGGGUUUCUUUCAAGACUUAUCACCUUAGCCACGCCACCUACACGUCUGCAAGCUUUCCUAACAAGGAAGGGGAGGCUGCGCAAUACUUAUCACCUUAGCCACACUACACCAAAUUGACGUCUGCAAGCUUUCGUAAUCUAACAAGGAAGGGGAGGCUGCGCAAUACUUAUCACCUUAGCCACACCAACACCACAAGACCAAUAUGUGUAGUCCAGGAGGCUUUCCCAUUUUAAUAUAUAUUAUCAAAUAAAAUAAAAAUCAAUCUAUUAUCAUAUAUAUUAUAAAAUAAAGAUUAUUGCUCCAUCCUCCAUGCACUUGCAUGCCUCUUACAAAGUGUGAAGUAGAUUUUGUGUGCUCCAAGUCAUUGACGAGAGCUGUAACAUGGUUAGCUGGAUUUAUAAGAUCUUUUCUUUUCUGGGAAUUUUCUGAAUCAAGAAAAAUUAAGUAAAAUUAAUAAAGCAUAAAUUAGAAAGGAAAAAUAUCUAGAGGAUGCAUUGUAGGAUUGCACAUGCCAAUAAUUGUAUCCUCUAAAUAUAUAGGGACAUAUUUUUUUGUUUUCAUGACAUGUGGCCCUAAAAUUAUUGUUCCUAGCGGGCUCUCCACCCCCUCUCGAUUGAAAACUAAUUGUGUAAAUCUUCAAUCUUGAAUGAUGCACCUAAAACUCAAGUGUCCCAGGCCAAUUAUUGCUCUCAUACCACUUGUUGUAAUAAACAUCCAUCCAUUCUAAAGGAAAGAUAACCAUCGAUAUUAUCUCAAAUUUAACCACUUAAGUUCAUUAUGAUUAACUAUGUAUCUUAUGGACCAAUCCAAUCAUGAGGUUUUAUACCCAAUUAGAUCGACUAAUACAAAGUUCACACGUGGAUUGAAAAGCGCUAUCAGUAGGGGAGUGUUCGGCACCCUUUACUGCCGAACGCAACACAAGACCCCUUGCAUGCCUUCACUAAGUUGAGCCUAUCUAUUUUUUAGCAUUAACAAUAUAUAUAGAUUGAAAAAAUAAAAUAAAAAUCAAUCUAUUAUCAUAUAAAAUAAAUAUUAUUGCUCCAUCCUCCAUACACUUGCAUGCCCUCUUACAAAGUGUGAAGUAGAUUUUUUGUGCUCCAACUCAUUGACUAGGGCUGAAACAUGGUUAGUUGGAUUUAUAAGAUCUUUUCUUUUCUGGGAAUUUUCUGAAGCACGGAAAAUCAAAUAAAAUUAAUAAAGCAGAAACUGUACCCUUUAAUUAUAUAUGGACGUAUGUUUUUUUGUUUUCAAGUCUUAGAUGACAUGGGGACCUAAAAUUAUUGCUCCUAGUGGACUCUCGACCCCUCUCAAAUUUAAGUGGUCCAUUAUUAUUAACCACAUAUUUUAUGGACCAUGCAGCUGUGAGGUUUUAUCUCAAAAACCUUCGGUACAUUUCUCCCACAUGCCACAAUUGUAUAUUCACAAUUACGGCUGUUACGUCACAUCAUGCCACUUGCCUCACAUGCAACAAGUCUGUGUUUUGGGGAUUGCCGAGCUGCAUCAAUUCUGCCAAUGUCAAUUCUGCCCCUGGACUCUCUCAAAGCACAUUUAAAACCUAUGCGAACAUAUAUUAGAGUUUAUGAUGUAUGUAUCUAGAAAAUGCCAACACUAAUUUCGUAACAUGUAAAAAUUAUUAGAGAUUGGAAGUUUUUAUCAUUUUUUCUUCCAGUCUCUCCACCACUUAUUAAUACAGAUUACUCAUGUGAUGAGUUUACAAAACCUAUUUCUCUACUCUCGCAAAGACUAAACUUCUUCUCAAAAGACUAGAUCACUUUACCUCUAUCUCUGUGAAAUGUAAAAAGUUGAAACUUUAAUGUCAAACCUCGACAAAGUGUUCUACUUUACAAACUUCUUGUGUCUACCAAUUUGUACUAAAAUUAAUUUAUCUACGGUGCUCAGCUUCAUCGUAUGUGUGUCCUUAAUUUUAGUGGAAAUUGGAAGUUUCCAUAAUUUUUGCUUUAAGUCACUCUUCUGAAGGAAGUUGAGGUUCCACUCCAUAAUCCCAAAUGUCAGGUUGACUUAUGGCAAACAAUGUAAAUAUGUAGGAGUACUAUGACCUUUUAUAGCAUUUUUAGUUUGAAUUUGGGUUUUAUACAUAGAUUUCAAAAUUAAUAGGUUGAUGCCUAGGAAAUAGAAAUUGUAAGGGCCUAUAUUAGAGUAGCCCUCUUAAAAAUAAUAUUAAUUAAUGAAUAUUUGUUCUUCUUGUUGUUUUGAAGUAGUGGUGGGAGGCAGACCAACAAAAAAAAUAUAGUGAAGGCUUAUAAGAGCAUUUACAAUCAUGCUCCCUAUUUUUUAGUUAAAAUUUAGCUAAAAAUAGAAAAAAGUUAUUAUAGGAGCUCUUUAUAAAAUUUGAAUUCCAAUCGUACUCCCUAAUUUAGGGAGUCAUAAAUAUUAUAGUUAUUUUUUAAUUCAAUUUGAUUUUGGUUAAUCUCUAUAAAUAAAUAAAAAUAUGAAAAAAUAGUUAGCAUUAAUUAAAAGUUUAAACUAUGCAUAAAACAAAGAAACAUUAAAUUAUAGGGAGCCACUAUGCCAAUAAUUGUAUCCUCUAAAUAUAUAGGGACAUAUUUUUUUUGUUUUCAUGACAUGUGGCCCUAAAAUUAUUGUUCCUAGCGGGCUCUCCAACCCCUCUCGAUUGAAAACCAAUUGUGUAAAUCUUCAAUCUUGAAUGAUGCACCUAAAACUCAAGUGUCCCAGGCCAAUUAUUGCUCUCAUACCACGUGUUGUAAUAAACAUCCAUCCAUUCUAAAGGAAAGAUAACCAUCGAUAUUAUCUCAAAUUUAACCACUUAAGUUCAUUAUGAUUAACUAUGUAUCUUAUGAACCAAUCCAAUCGUGAGGUUUUAUACCCAAUUAGAUCGACCAAUACAAAGUUCACACGUGGAUUGAAAAGCACUAUCAAUAGGGGAGUGUUCGGCACCCUUUACUGCCGAGCGCAACACAAGAUCCCUUGCAUGCCCUCACUAAGUUGAGCCCAACUAUUUUUUAGCAUUAACAAUAUAUAUAGAUUGAAAAAAUAAAAUAAAAAUCAAUCUAUUAUCAUAUAUUUUAUAAAAUACAUAUUAUUGCUCCAUCCUCCAUACACUUGCAUGCCCUCUUACAAAGUGUGAAGUAGAUUUUUUGUGCUCCAACUCAUUGACUAGGGCUGAAACAUGGUUAGUUAGAUUUAUAAGAUCUUUUGUUUUUUGGGAAUUUUCUGAAGCAAGGAAAAUCAAAUAAAAUUAAUAAAGCAGAAACUGUACCCUUUAAUUAUAUAUGGACAUAUGUUUUUUUGUUUUUUUGCUCUCGACCCCUCUCAAAUUUAAGUGGUCCAUUAUUGUUAACCACAUAUUUUAUGGACCAUCCAGCUUCGGUACAUUUCAAAAAGCUUCGGUACAUUUCUCCCACAUGACACAAUUGUAUAUUCACAAUUACUUCUGGGUACCCCUCAUCAGUCGUCUAUAAAAUGGUGAAGCCAGUUGCUACUGUUACCAUAAGAGCCAGCUCCGACUUUCUUUAAUUUCUUGCUACAUCUGUUGCUAAGUUAAUUUCAGUCCUAAUGGGGUUUCAUCUCCCACUCAUCUUUGCUAUUCUCAGUGUAAGCUCUGCAAUUUGAUUAACUUUUCCAUUCUCUCUCAUUGUACUCUAUAUAUAUAAAUGAAAGUUUUGUGUUCCUAUAAUUCUCUCCGAUUUUAUUUAGUACGUACUUAAGUGUCGUCCACUAAUUAAUUACACUUUGUGAGAUUUGAUUUUAAUUAGAGUUCGAAUUAAUGUUGCAGCUAGCAGCGGUUGCACUGGCAAACAAUGCUGCUCAACCAGCACCUCAACUUUACUGGAACUCCGUCCUGCCAAACACACAGAUGCCAAGAUCUAUCAGUGAACUUCUGCAUCCUGGUUUGUGUUCAGCUCUUUAUAAUCUUAGAUAUCUCUUCUACCUGCCAUUUUACUAAAAUAUGUUCGACCACAUAUUUAUCAGCUAACUACUGUGAUUACAAGAAUGACACUUAUUUUCCAAUAUAAUUUGCAGACUCCACAAAUGAAGAAAAGAGCAAACCUGAAAUUUUCCCAUUGCAGGGCAAUAGAGUUUACACUCAAAGCCAUUAUAAAAAACGUCCUCCUCCUCCAUCUGACGAGGGCAAACCUGAAACUUUCCCAUUGGGCAAUAGCCAUUACACUCAAACCCGUUAUAAAAAACGUCCUCCUCCUCCAUCUGACGAGGGCAAACCUGAAAAUUUCCCAUUGGGCAAUAGCCAUUACACUCAAACCCGUUAUAAAAAACGUCCUCCUCCUCCAUCCGACGAGGGCAAACCUGAAAAUUUCCCAUUGGCCAAUAGCUUUUACACUCAAACCCGUUAUAAAAAACGUCCUCCUCCUCCAUCUGACGAGGGCAAACCUGAAAAUUUCCCAUUGGCCAAUAGCUUUUACACUCAAAGCCAUUAUAAAAAACGUCCUCCUCCUCCAUCUGACGAGGGCAAACCUGAAAAUUUCCCAUUGGCACGUUCUCCUCCAUCUGACAGUCAACUAAAGCAUUACAAAGACUUAGCUAUUUUCUUCUUCGAGAAGGACAUGCGCCCGGGCACAACUAUGAAGUUCCAAUUCCCUAGAAAUUCAAACACGGCUACUUUCCUGCCACGCGAAAGUGCUCAAUCGAUCCCCUUCUCCUCUAAGAAACUACCAGAAAUUUUCAACCAUUUUUCAGUGAAGCCAACAUCUGAGGAAGCCAAAACAAUUAAGCAAACAAUCGAAGAGUGUGAAGCUCCAGGCCUUAAGGGAGAGGAAAAAUAUUGCGCCACAUCUUUAGAAUCAAUGGUUGAUUUUAGCACUUCGAAGCUUGGAACAAGAAACGUUGAAGCAAUCUCAACGGAGGUAUUGGAAGAAGGAGCCACCAAGUACAUGCACAACUAUACAACAAUGCCGGGACUGAAGAAGUUGGAAGGUGACAAAGUCGUUGUGUGUCAUAAGGAGAACUAUCCCUAUGCUGUGUUUCUCUGCCAUGCAAUAAAACAAACAGAAGCUUAUGUUCUCUCCCUGAAAGCCGAUGAUGGGAUGAAGGUGAAAGCAGUAACCAUCUGCCAUCUAGACACAUCAGAAUGGGACCCAGAGCAUUUGUCCUUCCAAAUCCUCAACGUUAAGCCCGGAACCACUCCCAUCUGCCAUUUCCUUACCACUGAUGCUAUUGCCUGGGUUCCAAAACACAAAUCUGCAUGAUCAUCACUUAGCACUGUACGUGUAAUAAGCUUGGUCGGGUUGCACCCUAGGCCUGCAUAAUUAUCUCCCUACUUAUUUCUGCCUCUUCAUCAUGCGGUGUAAGAUAUAUGAUGAGAUGAAGUUUUCUCUUGUAACUAUGUAGACUACUUCAACUUGUACUCAUAAUAAAGCACGCUGUUGGGGGGUUCUACUUAAUUUCGUUCUCUCCAAUGUUUGAGUGUUGAAUUGUUACGUUGGAAUAGGCUGCUAAUGCAUGUAGUUAGAGAAGCCUUCAUUUAUAUCAAAGUCCUCAAACUAUCAAGAAUUAAUGUAUCCAGAAACAUAUACCAAGACGCAAAACAACAUAUUUUCCAUUCUCUGUCUGUAACACCAAAGCAAACUUCCUUUAUCACAUCAUUUAAAGGAUCAAAUUCCAGUACUAAUCUAAUCCAUCAUGUAAAGCAUACAAGUGCCUACCUAAAUUUGUCCAUUGGAUAUAUAUGUCACUUUUUAUUUUUUGAUAGAGAUAUAAAUGUUGAAAAAAUUAGAGUACACAACUCUUAUAGACACUACUACGAUUUACUAUUUGCGCGACGGAAGUUUGCGCGACGAACAUUGUUUCGUCGCGCAAAAAGCACUAUUGCGACGAAAAAAAAAUACCGUAGCGCAAACAACAUAACACAAGCGCGACAAACAGUUUCGUCGCGCAAACAAUCUAUGCGCGACCAAUAUUAAUUUCGUCGCGCAAAGGUAGGGGAAAAAAACCCGGUUUUUUUUUUUUGGCGCCAUAAUCUUGCGCGACAACAACAAUCGUCGCGCAUGACAAUAUUGCGCGACAAUUCAAAGAAUUCGUCAGGUAAAGAUGGACAGAAAAUUGUCUCAUUUUUUUGGCGGUAAAAAACUUUGCGCGACGAAAUUUUUCGUCUCAAAAGACAACUUAGCGCGACGGAAAUAUGUACCGUCGCGUAAAAAAACGAGGGAUACUUAUUUUUGGCGCCAAAAUGCAGGGUGGAUAAAAAAAAUUUUGCGCGACGGAAUUACCUUCGUCGCGUAAAGUGUAAUGCCGGUGCUUUCUUGCGCGACGAAAUAAAUAAUUUGCGCGACGUAAUUUAAACCUUGCGCGACGAAAAGUAUUAUUUGCGCGACGAAAUUUUGUGCGACGAAUAAUAUGUUUCGUCGCACAAAAAAGCAGAUGUCGACAGGUAAUUGCGCGACGGAAAUGUUGUUUUGUGCGAUGGAAAAGUGGGUUUUCGCGACGGCAUUUUGCGCGACGGAUAUUGGUGUUCGUCGCGCAAAGUCCUUCUUCUUCAUAUUAGUAUCUGCCAUUGCAGAGGCAGAAUGCAGAAAUUGCAUUCUGCCUCUCUCUCACUCUCCCUGCCGCUGCUCUGCUGUGAAUUCAAUACGUUCAUUGGGUAUGUAUUUUUUGUCGUUAGUUUAAAUGUAUUAAUGUAAAUUCGUAGUAACGCUAUUAAUUUUGUUAUCGUUAGGGAUAUUUGUGAUUAGUGAUUGGUGGAGAACGAUUGAGAAGGUAUGUUAUUGUAAAAGUUUGUUUGUUAUGUUUGUAAUUUUUUUGUGAAGUUAUAUGUAUAUAAUGUUGUGAAAUUGUGCGUGACAUAGCACAAUGUGUUGUGAUGUACGAAGUUAAUUGAAAUUAACUUCGUACUUUUAUUUUUAUGUUUAGUAACACGUAGUUUCCCGUUCGAGAUUAGUUGGAUUUCGUGCAUGGAUGAGUAAUGCAUGACUGCGGUCCAAUUAAUUCUUGAAUUGUCCCAUUAUUUGGACAGUUUGGUAAUGCAUAGUGUUGUCACAUAAUCUUCGGCUACAGGAUUAGGUUUCGAUUGUGGAGAUUUCGGUGUCAUCUCGGUACGUUCUUCGAGUGGUACGUAGGUAUUUAUACCUAUGCCCACUUCAAGAACUGUGUCGAGAUGCUGCCGAAAUUAAUCCACGUCGAAAUCUAAUCUCAUGUAGCCGUAGGUUACGUGACAGGACUAUGCAUUCCCGAAUGGGAUAGGGCCCUUACCGGAGGCAUAAGGUGACAUUAUAACUUCGUAUGAAGUUGUUGUGAUUGUUGUGUCGUGAUUGUGGUUUCAUGAAUUAUGAGCAGAAGGUGGAUACAUAACCCGAAUAGAUGCGCAGACGAAUACUUGGAUGGAAUCGAGGAUUUUAUUGAGUUUGCACAUAGACACAACCCGGGUGCAAGUAGAAUCCGUUGUCCUUGUAGGAGGUGUAACAACACGUUGUGGGAGACAAUUGAAAAUGUUGGAUUUCAUUUAGUAAGGAAUGGAAUGAUUGAAACAUAUAGCAUUUGGAACCUUCACGGCGAACAUGUAGGCCAUGCUUCGUCUUCAAAUGCCCCAAGAGUGGACAAUGUUGAACCUAUUGUGGAUCCUAAUGAUCAAGUCAUGGGUAUUAUACAGGAUGCUUUUCCAUUCGCAUCGACCAACAUCAAUCAGGAAGGGGAAGAUAACGUGCCUACACCAAUAGACAGUGCGGAGUUUGAACAGUAUGAAAAACUGUUAAAAAAUGCCAACCAAGAGUUAUACCCGGGGUACGAGAGCUUUUCCGUUCUCACUUCUAUUGUGGAGCUAAUGCACGGAAAAAUAAAGUAUCGUAUGUCGAACUUGUGUUUCGAUUACUUUUUGGGGGUUUUCAAGAGAAUGCUUCCGACGGAUAAUUAUUUGCCGAAAGACCAGAAACAUGCACAGAAGGUGUUGCAUGGUCUUGGAUUGGGUUAUGAAAAAAUCCACGCUUGCAAAAACAAUUGCAUGUUAUUCUACAAAGAGCAUGAAACGUUGGAUACAUGCCCUAUAUGCAAUGAGUCGAGGUUCAAAAUGACAUCCCAGAAUAGAACGACUAAGAUACCACAAAAAGUCAUGCGUUAUCUGCCCCUUAAACCUGGGUUGCAGCGAUUGUAUAUGUCGACGCAUACUGCCACAGACAUGAGAUGGCAUAAGGAAAAACGGGUAGACGAUGAUGUGAUGCGGCAUCCUGCAGAUGGGGAGGCAUGGAAAGAGUUCGAUCGAACGUUCCCCGAGUUUGCUGCUGAUCCCCGAAAUGUAAGAUUGGGACUUGCCACUGACGGAUUCAAUCCGUAUGGGGUUCUAAACCAACACCACAGCACUUGGCCGAUUUUCGCAUUCCCAUAUAAUUUGCCGCCUUGGAAAUGCAUGAAAAAAGAAUACAUGAUGAUGACUGUUUUGAUAACUGAGGAUCCUGGCAGGUCAAUUGAUGUGUACUUAAGGCCUCUGGUUGAUGAGCUGAAAGAUUUAUGGACAAACGGUGUUCGCACGUACGAUAAAUCAACUGGGAGGAUGUUCACUUUGCGAGCAGCAAUUAUGUGGACUGUGAAUGAUUUUCCAGCAUAUGCAAUGGUUUCUGGGUGGAGCACAAAAGGUUAUAUGGCAUGUCAUGUAUGCAAGGAAGAUGUAACUUCUGGUUGGCACGCGGGAAAAGUUUGUUACCUUGGUCAUCGGAGAUGGUUGCCAUGGGACCACGAGUGGCGAGAAAAAGAUAAAGAGUUCAACGGGAACACAGAGCGUCGCCUCAGACCUGGAGAAUGGUCCGGUGAUGAGAUCUUGGAACAGCUGAACCGUUUGGAUUUUGGUCCGUUCGGAAAAACAAUUAGUCGGACCAGACCUUCUACACAUUUGAACUGGACGCACAAGCCUAUGUUUUUUGAGCUCCCAUAUUGGUCGAAACUGAAAUUGAGGCACAAUCUAGAUGUGAUGCAUGUUGAGAAAAAUGUAUUCGACACAUUGGUGGGCACGAUUCUAGAUAUCGAGGGGAAGACGAAGGACACGAUCAAAGCUCGUCUUGAUUUGGAAAGAAUGGGCAUACGAAGGGGUUUAUGGAUGAAUAGGGACAGUGAUAAAGCUAGAAGGGAUCUUGCAUUCUUUUCUAUGAAACCGAAUGACAAAAAGGAGUUUCUAAAGUUUGUAUCGUCUGUCAAAUUUCCCGAUGGGUAUGCUUCUAAUAUCGCACGUUGCGUGAAUGUCGAUGGGGGUAAAUUUACUGGACUUAAGAGCCAUGACUGCCAUGUUCCUGUGGGUAUUCGACACCUACUGCCGGAAGAUGUGGUGAAGCCAAUCAUGUUGUUAUCCAGAUUUUUUUCCCAACUGACGGCAAAAACAUUGCGAAGGACAGACAUGUUUCAGUUGCGCCAUGACAUUGUCCAAGUCCUAUGCAAGUUUGAGAUGAUAUUUCCUCCGGCUUUCUUUACAAGUAUGAUGCACGUAAUGGUUCACUUGCCAGAAGAGGCAUUGCUUGCUGGUCCUGUCAACUAUCGCUGGAUGUAUCCAAUAGAAAGGUAUAUAAUCUUUAUCAUUUGUGUAUGCAUCAUUAUCGACACUUUGCUAAUUUGUAUCAUAUCGUUUUAUUUUGGCAGGCUUCUCGGAGAGCUGAAAAAAAGUGUACGCAACAGGGCAAAGCCCGAAGGAUUAAUUAUAGAGGCUUGGGUUCAAUAUGAGUCGCUUACUUUCUGUGGAAUGUAUUUAAAAGAUGUGGAGACGGUUUUCAAUCGUCCUCAACGCAAUAAUGACGGAGGUAUGAGAAAUGAAAAACUUUUUGUUUUUGCCCAAAGCGCAUGACCAUUUGGAGAUCCUGGACGAGGAGAGUCGUUUUCUAGAAAUGACAUGGAGGUAGCGCAUUGGUUCGUACUGAACAAUUGUGAUGAGAUAAUGGCCUACUUAGAUGAGCAUGAACAGAUGAUGAAGCGAGAACAUCCAUCACAUUUGGUUGCCCGGAAACAUCGUGAAUUAUUUCCACAAUGGUUUUUGGAUUCUGUAAGUUAUAACUGUUUUGUAAUUGACAAAUAUAAAUUGUAGUAUUUAAUUUUGUCAGACUAACAUGUAAAUGAUUUUGUAUACUAUUAGGUGAAUAAAUUGAAAUCAUCGAAUUCCCCCACUUACAGUGAUGAGUUAUAUAACUUGGCGUUCGGCCCAAUUCGUGCUGAGUUGUUCUCGGGUUGUAAUGUUAACGGCGUCAAAUUUUUGGGGGCCGCACGAGAUGACAAGUUGUGUAUGCAAAACAGCGGUGUCCAUGUCCCAGGUGGAGGCGAAAGUACGGACAUUGAUUUCUAUGGCAAACUGACAACUGUCGUGCAAUUGCUUUAGAAAGAUCGAUACCAAGUCAUCAUGUUUAAGUGUCGAUGGUUCGAUACCAACCCAAAUAGGGCGGGAAGUGUUAAAAUCGACCAUGGAGUACUGUUUGUGAACAUGGCGUCCCAAAUUGUGUAUCUAGAUGACCCUAAAGCCGGGAGCGGGUGAAAAGUUGUGCAGAAGAUGGAUCAUAGGAACGUGUAUGAUAUACCAGAACUAGACCCAAGUGACAACGACGUCGACAAUGUGGCUGACCAACGUUUAGAAUCUUCAAUGGAAAAUGAUGCGGAAACACUUCGAGAUACAAAUGUUAUACAAGAACCGUUUCAAAUAGAAGGAGUGUCUUCAGUAGAAAUACCGAUUCAGUCAAUUACAAUUGACCUCGGUGAUCUUCCCCGAUACGAUGUUGCAGUGGGUCCUAGCAACGCCGAUGAUGCAGUUAUAGAGGAGGAGGAGGAAGAAGAUUGGGAGACCGAGAGUGAUGAUAGCGAUGAUAACGAAAGUUAUUAUAGUUCAGAUGAUGAAUAAUGAAUUUAUUUGUAAAGUUAUUAUGUUAGUGUAUUCAUUUUGUGUAAUACAAAUCUUUGAAUAUAUGUAGUUGUCCAUAUGUAGUUGUGUAUUCAUUCUCCAUAUUUCAUCACAAACUUCAUUGGAAUGUCAAUACUUUAGUCAAUACUUAUUACGACCCCAUGCUUGUCGAUUGGUUUUUAUUUAUUUAUUUAUUAAUGUCUUUAACUCUUCAAUUAUUAUUUUUUUCUUUUGAGAUAUAGUUAUUUCUUCAUGUUUAAACAAAAAAUAUAAGUUAUUUCUCCAAUAUUAUCUGUGUGCCACUUAUUUUUCUUCACUUUGGUUCAUGAUUAGUGGCAUCAAUCUAGUCAAACCGAUAAAAUCGGUCGAUUCAAAUCUUAAUUAUCAAUUUAGUUUGGUUUUGAUGAAGAAAUACAAAGCCUUUCCAAAAAAUACAGAGCAUAAAAAAUGAUGAAUACAAAACCUUUCCAAAAAAUACAAAGCAUACACAAUUUGAAUUAAAUGAGGAUUUAUGGCGCCAAAUCCUUGCGCAACGAUAAGGAGCCCUUCGUCGCGCAAAUAUAUAUUAGGUAACGUUAUAGUAUAAUAUAUACCCACAUAUAUAUUUAAAAUUGGCGAUCGAAGUAGUUCAUUGUAUUCAUAUGAAGUGUAGGACUGUAGCUGCAAAAAAUCAUCAACAUCGGAGUUAAAAUAACCGUUCAAUCAUCACUUUUUAUUUAGAACCGUCGAAAAGUUUUACCCCGUUACUUAAUCUCUGAAUGUUUUUUUUGUCUGAUUUUUGCUGUCUAUGAUCUCGAAGUAUAACAAAACAAGUUUGACGGCUGGAUGACUGAAGCUAGUUUCGUAGACUGCGUGUGCUAUCAAAAUCAUAUAUUCACCAAAAACUCAAAAAUUUGUUCAUACAUUUGUGAAAAUGUAACUUAAUGUUUAUGUGGUAUCCCCUAGUGUAAAAAUAUGAAAUUGAAGAUCAAAUUCAGUCAUUGUAUUCAUAUAGGGUCAACAAAUGUUGCUGUAAAAAAUGAUCAAAAUCGGAGUUAAAAUAACCGUUAAAUCAUGACUUUUCAUUUAUAACCGUCAAAAUAUUUUGUCCUGUUCCCUGAUAUCUGAAUGUUUGGUCGUUUUGAUUUUUGGCGUAUACGAUCUCCAAGUAUAAACAAAUAAGUUUGCCGGUUGGAUCAUUGAAACUAUUUUAGGGUUUAGGGUUUAGGGCUUAGGGCUUAGGGUUUAGGGUUUACAUUUUAGGGUUUAGGUUUUGCGCGACGAAUAAACAUUCCUUUCGUCGCACAAAGUGAAAGUGACAAAGAUUGCGCGACGGAUAAGUCUUCCAUUCGUCGCGUAAUCUGGGACACACAUUUCACCCCUCCAUACCCUUUGAACACUUAGUGAAAAUUUCAACCGAAUGAAAUUCUUGAACCCGCGCGACGAACAAAGCAAAUACGUCGCGUAAAGUGGACGUGAACAAGAUUGCGCGACGGAUAAAUCUGGUAUUCGUCGCGCAAUCUGGGCCACACUUUCACCCUUCCAUCCCCUUUGAACACUUAGUGAAAAUUUCAACCGAAUGAAAUUUUUGAACUCGCGCGACGAACAAAACAAAUACGUUGCGCAAAGUGGACGUGAACAAGAUUGUGCGACGGAUAAAUCUAAUUUUCGUCGCGCAAUCUGGGCCACGCUUUCACCCUUCCAUCCCCUUUGAACACUUAGUGAAAAUUUCAAGCGAAGCAAAAUCUUCAACUCGCGCGACGAAUAAAAGUAUUCGUCGCGCAAAAGGCACAGGCCUCUGAUUUUUGUUAGCAAACAUUGCGCGACGUUUACUGUCUUCGUCGCGCAAAAGGCACAGACCCUUCAGUUUCAGCCUCCCGCUAAACCCAAAAUUUUCCCAAAAUUUUGGCGGAACGACAGCGUUUUGCGCGACGAACAUAUGACUUUCCGUCGCACAAGGUUAACCUUGCUCGACGUUUACUAUCUUCGUCGCGCAAAAGCACAAACCCUUCAGUUUCAGCCUCCCGCUAAACCCUAAGUCCCAAAAUUUGGGCGGAACGACAUCGUUUUGCGCGACGAAUAUAUGAUUUUCCGUCGCGCAAGGAGAACCUUGCGCAACGUUUACUAUCUUCGUCGCGCAAAAUCACAGUUUCAGCCUCCCGCUAAACCCUAAAUCCCAAAAUUUUGGUGGAACAACAGCGUUUUGCGCGACGAACCAUGUAUUUUUCGUCGCGCAAAAGGCACAGACCCUAAUCCCCAUUCAAAAUUUGGCGUUCUGGGAGACCUUGCGCGACGGAUAUUUCAUCGCGCAAGAUUCAUUAAUACCAUUUUGCACGACGCAUUCUGUUCUUCGUCGCGCAAAGUCGAAUAAAUUUGCAGAAACGGCCCGAUGCCUCCUUCUUCCCCAUUUUCUGGUUUCUCUCCGUUUCUUCCUCUCUCUCCGCCGUCACCUUAGCCCUCUCUCUCUGCCAUCACCUCAGCCACCUCCGCUCGUUCCGUAGCCUCCCUGCCGUCACCGUCGAGCCUGCCGUCGCAAUUUCGUCAGUUUUUCCCGAUUCUUCGCCGGCCGAUUUCUCUCUCCUCCGGCCACCAUUUUCGACGCCUAAGGUAUGAUUUCUCGACUAUUUUUUGUGCUCUAGCUGAUGGUUGGUUAGGAUUUCUUGAAUUUUCGCUAUAGGAAAUAGGAAUUAAAACCCUAGGUUUUGGCCGCUUUGGGAAUUUCAAAUCCGGCCACUUCCGGCCAUUUUUCGGGGUAGGUCCGAGAACAAAAGUGGCUCCAAUUAAUGUUUUCAACCUAGGGUAGGAACCUUGGCCCUUAGUUUUUAGAAUUUUCCGACGAAUGUUAUCGCUUUGGACACCCACGCGCUGCCGGCGCGUGUGGUGGCGCGUGGGAUGUUGUGGCAGUGGGGCAUUGGGUCCCAGAGCAAUCCCCUGUUUGUCACGAGCGCGUAGGUUUGCUCGGAUUUGAAUUUGGUUAUCGUUUGAGUCUUGAUCGGAUUUCGGCUAUUGUGCGAUUUCCAGGUUUGAUAUGUUCGGACCGUUGGAUCGAACUCAAACUCACGUAGUUGUACCUUUGUGUUUCUACGAUCGUUUAGGAUUCGACCGAUCGUUGAUCGGUGUCCCGGAUACUUCGAAAUUCCAAACCCUAGGUGAAGCUAUGCUUUUAAUUAAUUAGUUUAAAUUCUUAAUGAAAUUAUAUGUGCAGAUGUCAGAUUUGAUUAGACGUGGUAGGUCGAUGAUGACUGCACCGAGUUCGGAUCCCCCUGCUCAGUCGGCAUAUGCUGCCACUGCUCCAGCUUUGAUGGAGCACGUGCUGGUUGGUCCCGGGGCGUCCCAGGCGCCUGCGUCAUCUGCGUCAUCCGUCGCGCAGCCAGCUAGUGCUAGGCGGCGGCACCGGCCCGCCGACACGACAUCGACCGACGGUACUGGUGCCUCGGGAUCACAGCCAGAUAUAACUACCAUUUUGUAUUGUUAAUUUUAUAUUGAAAUUUGACAAUGUUGUUUAUUUAACAUUAAUAUCUUUUUUCUUUGCAGCGAAGAAGAACACCUGAGGGCCGUGUCGUCAGCUGAAGACGGCGAAGGUCACCCGGGUGACCAACAGUCGUAUCAGCAUCGGAUACGACGAGCGCCAUCGGGCUGCACCGACGGCGGAGUUGCAUAGCUCCUUGGCCCACGACAUUGGCCACGUCGUGCGGACCCAUUGCCUGAUGCAAUGGAAGUCUUGGAGGGUCAUGCCUGACGAGAUCAAGGUGGAGGUUCGCGGCCAGUUGUCGGUAUGUACCUUACAUUUUCAUUAAUUUUCUUUAAAAUUGUGUAUAUUUCUAUUACUUAACGUAUCUAAUUAAUUGAUUGCAGACGAACUAUAACUUGGAGGAUCUCGACGAAGAGUCGUUGGCGUACGUCAACAGACUCUUCGCUGAGAGGUACAAGCAGUGGAAGAGCGACUUGCACCAUCAUUUUCAGGCCUUUGAUGAUCCGCAAGUCGCUCUUCAGGAGGGUUGCCCGAAGGAGCUUGAGGGGCGGGAGGAUAGUUGGGAGUGGCUCUGCGCUCAUUUUCAAGCGUCCGAAUAUGUGGUAUUUUUUUAAUAAUAUUUGUUUAAUUAUUACUUAUUUCUUAUUAAUGUUUAUUUCAUUUUUUUUAUUUCAUUAUUAUUUAAUUUGUUAUGUUUUAACUAAUACGUUUCAUUUUUUGUAUAACAGAAUAAGGCCCAAGUGAAUAAGGGUAAUAGGAAGAAGAAGACCCUUCUCCACCAUUCCGGCUCCAGGCCCUUUUCGUAUAGGAUGGAUGCCCGGCGACGGGUAAUAAUCACAUAAUUUAUAUUUCAUUUUUAAUGUCAUUUUUAUUAAUUUAUUUUUUUCAUACUAAUAUUUUUCUUCUCUUGUUCAAUUUAGGAGGGGUCCAAGUUCCCAGAGAUCGACGUCUUUGGUGACGUUUAUGUUCGACCCGGGAAUGAGUUGGCCGAGUCCCUUCAUGUAAGUAUUAUUUAAUUUUAAUUCUUAUGUUACGCAUUCAAUUUAUAUGCAUGUUUAAAUUUAUAUUUUAUGUUAUGUUCAACAGACGACGAUGGUGGAGAGGAGCCAGUUGGUUCUUCAGGAGUCCGCCUCCCAGCUUCCUCCCGAGACUCCGAUCGAGUCUGUGGCUCCUCCACAGGAUGCUGGAUUUCAGAUCUUGACGGAGACGUUGGAUCAGACUCUCGGGAGGAGGCCGGGGACAUAUUGUCGAGGGAUGGGGAAUGCCCGGCGGAGGGAACCUAGACCUCGUUCAUCGGCCCAGUCAAACAGUCAGGUGACUGCUUUGACAGCACAGGUGGCCGAGCUUCAGGGUCAGAUGUCGGUGAUUCUACAGUCCCUCGCACAGAGCGGCUUUCCAAUCCCGCAGUUUCGUGCGUCAACCUCCCAGCCCGUCCACCCCGAGUAUGCCCACCAGACCACUGCCCCGGUGGACGCCCAGACCUCCGAGCCGCAUACUGGCGACGACCCGAUUGAUUUUGCUUCAUUAUUUGAUUAGUGUAUUUAUUUUCAUCAUAAACAUUUAUUUUAUUUGUAAUACAUUUAUUUUAUUUUAUAACAAAAUUUUGUUCUAAUUUAUUUUUAUUGCAAUUUCAUUGUUUAAUCAAUAAAAAAACCAAUUUUAUUUAAAAAAAAUAAAAAUAAAUAAAAAACAAAAACAAAAAAAACAAAAAAAAAUUGUAAUAUUAUUUUUGCGCGACGGAAGACAUUUCGUCGCGCAAAACCACAUGUAACAAAAAAAAUUAAAAAAAUCAAUUUUUUAUUACUUUAAUUCUUGCGCGACGAAUACAUACGUCUCGCAAACAUUUUUUGCGCGACGAAAUGUUUCGUCGCGCAACAGCUUUUGCGCGACGACUGAAAUUUUCGUCGCCAAAUAGAUGAGCGACGAAAACUUUCUCAUCGCGCGAAUAGUUCUGCGACGAAUAUAUACGUCUCCCGGACUAGUUUUGCGCGACGAAUUAUUUUCGUCGCGCUAUUCGUUUCGUCGCGCAAAUAUACGUGCGCCGAAUACUUUAUCGUCGCGCAAAUAUUUAUGCGACGAACAGUUGUUUCGUCUCCACACCGUUGGUGCAACGAUGGUUUACCCGUCGCACAAUUAUGCGCGACGAAGUGUUGUACCUCGUCGCGCAAAGGCUUUCUUCACGAUCUUCGCGCGACGGAAGGUGCGCGACGAAUUUUUUGUCGCGCUGAAAUUAGGGCGACUAAAUAAGACUUUGCGCGACGUUUUGUUAUUCGUCGCGCAAAGAGUAAAAUGUAGUAGUGAGACUUGUUGGAGACAAAACAGGUAAACAAAUUACUUGUAUUAGACUCACAAAAUAUUACAACAAGACAACUCUCAAAGAAAAGACAAACUCUCACACUUCUCACAAGGACUACUUAACUUUAUAGCUUAUUGCAUAUAGCAUAUGCAAACACAAUUAGAACAUACCUACGUACACUAUGGGAACACUCGUGUAUAUUUCAACACAAGAAAACAUGUGCACCGUGCACGGUUCACAUGAAGUAAGAAAUGAAGAGGAAAUAAAGAAGAAGAAUACAAAAGAAAAUGGAGAUGAGAAAAAAAAAAAAACCGAAUAAUGAAAAAUGAAUUGACAAUUAUAUAUGGUUGACAUUAGAUCUAAUAUUAUAUGUAACAACUAUUGAUCUAAAAUAAACAUUAAAUCAAACAAUAAUUAAAAGAUUUGACAAUAUAAAAAUUUAUUGAGGACAAAAAAAGGCAAAAACUUAUGAAAAAUGGAAACAAUAAAUAUGAACUGAGUCAUCAACUCACCAUGGUAAGUUUGCUGACGUAUAAAAAUAGUCAAUGGACAUCGAAAAGUAAUUGGCUUACAUCAAAAAUUAAAAUCACGUGGGUUAUUCCUAAGAAACCUUAAUAUUUGCCUUCCAUUUGUUCCAGCAAAAUAAAAGUCAUUGCUACUUAUUGUAACCCCUUUUCCAAGCUUAUUAAUCAAAGUAGACACCUCACUGCUGUCACCUAGCCAAUUUUCAACAAUGUCAUACUUAACAAGCAACUCCACAUCCUUUGAGGUGUUCACAAAACGAUCCAUGAGACUAACAUAAUCACUUAUGUACGUCUCCUCGUAGUGGCAUUGUUCAAAUGCGAUGAGAUUUCUAAUUAAUACCUCUGUAUGAUCGCUUAUUUUCAAUCUUGGAAUUUCAAGAGUCCGGCCAGCAAAUCUAAUAAGGUAUUCAUUGAUCCCUCAUUCAACUUGAACCCUGCCCUGUGUAGCUCUGUGAUGCUGGGUGUGUUUAUAGUUAUGAGUUUCCCGUCAUUAGUUUUUAGGGUUAUUCGUUAUAUGAGUCCCUGAACUUAGACCCGAUUUGCAUUUUAGUCCCUCAAUUUCCAAAAUCGUUCCAGUGGUCCUUCAACUUUAGUUUCGUUAGGACAAAUGGUCCUGCCGUCAAAUGAUUAUAAAGUGGAAAAAACAAGAACAAAAAAGGAAGUGAGUUAAAUUUGCACCUGCUAUGUUCAAACGACAAAGUUCGUUUCCGUUUGGUCGAUUACAAGAGAAGCUCAAUGCAGCUUACUUGGUUCCUCUUGGUAGAUGGAAAUAUAAUUUUUCUCCUAAUAACAAAGGUUUAGUGCAAUCAAUGAUGGGCUGUAUAGAACAACUUUUUUGUUUUAUAUGUUUAUGUGAGACAAGUUUUGCCAGAUUGAAUUAAUGUCUUCUAGCUAUGUACCUUAUCUUUUUGCCGGGCCAUGAGUUGAAUGUAGAGGCAGAGCAUGGCCUUGGGUUUGUAAAAGACAAAAGACUGAACCAGACGUAAUUAUUUAGAUUUUGGAUCCAGUUCCACAUCCCAAAGAGAAAACCACAAGUUUGCAAGCAAGUUUGUCCAUAUUAACACUACGUAGAGUAUAGGCAGUGUGCUACUCAUCUCACUUUCUCAACCUACCCUAUAUUUGUCUAAAAGAGUUUCUAAUUUCGUGUACUGAUUCACUACUACAUUUUACACUUUGUGCGACGAAGAGAAUUUCGUCACGCAAAAUACAUUGGUCGCGCAAAGUUUAAAAAAAAUUUUAAAAAAAUAAAAAAUUCCCGCGUCCAAUUUUUGGUACUUGUCCAAAUUUUUUGAGUUUUGCGCGACGAAUACUAACAUCGCGCAAAUAUUUGCGCGACGAAAUAUUUUUUGUUUUAAAUUUUUUUAAUUUAAAAUAAACUAAUUUAAUAGUUUGCGCUACGAAAUAUUUUGUCGCGCAAGGUUUUUGACUUUUUGUUUUAUUAUUUCUUUAAUAUGAAUUUAUUUAUAUGAAUUUUUUGAAAUUUUUACUUUUUAAAUUUAAUUUAAUUGUAUGAUUUCUUUUUAAAAUUACUUUAAUUUAAAUUGAUAUUAAUUUUUACUUUUUAAAUUUAAUUUAAUUGUAUGAUUUUUUUUAAUUACUUUAAUUUAAAUUGACAUAUUCAAAAUAAAAUUACAUAUGAAAAAUAGUGAUUAAAUUAUCCAAUAAAUAUAUAUAUAUAUAUAAUAUUCAAAAUGUACACAUAAAUUAACAAAGCACAAUAAUAAAAUCCUAAUACAAGCGUAUUGUGGUGGUAGUGUCGGAGGAUAUGUUUUGAUAGCUUCCUAAUCCUCAACUUUAGCCGUCAAAGUCUCGAUGAUUCCCUACAAAAAAAAUAAAUAUGGUCAAAUAACCACAAACAAAAAAAAAAAAAAAAAAAAAGGCAUAAUCUCCCCUAAAAUUGUUAUACCACAAAUCCAACCCAAACUCCAAUCCCUCCCCUUUACUCAACCCCAAAACCCACACAAACUCAAAAUUAACUCCAAAAACACAUAUUAAUGAAAAAAAUUUAAAAUUUGGAGAGAAUAUACCUUUUGGCAAGAUUGAGAGUGAAUGAGAGGGAGAAGUGAGUGUGAGAGAAUUAGAGAAGAUAGUGAUAGAGAGAUGAGAGAGAUGAGAGAGUGAGUGAGAGAGAGUGAGAGAUAGUGAAGAGAGAGAUGAGAGAUUAAGUGAGAGGAGUGAGUGAGAGAAAUGGUGGGAUUUGGGGAGAGGGAAAGAGAAAGGAGAGGUAAGAGUAGAGAAAGGCAUUGAGAAAAUGGUGGAUGAGUUAUUUCGGUUUUAAAAACCGUAUCACUUUGCGUGACGAAAAAUAUUGUUGGUCGCGCAAAGGUUUGCGCGACGAAAAAUAUUGGAAUAUUGAUCGCGCAAACUUUUGAGCGACGAAACAUAUUGGUCGCGCAAAGUCUAAAAAAAUUAUUUAAAAAAAAUAAAAAUCCCCGCGUCCCAUUUUUGGUACCCGCCAAAAUUUUUAAAUUUUUGCGCGACGAAUAUAGGAAUAUUGAUCGCGCAAAGUCUAAAAAAAUUAUUUAAAAAAAUAAAAAUCCCCGCGUCCCAUUUUUGGUACCCGCCAAAAUUUUUAAAUUUUUGCGCGACGAAUAUAGGAAUAUUGGUCGCGCAAAGUCUAAAAAAAUUAUUUAAAAAAAUAAAAAUCCCCGCGUCCCAUUUUUGGUACCCGCCAAAAUUUUUCAAUUUUUGCGCGACGAAAAAUACAUAUUGGUCGCGCAAAGUCUAAAAAAAUUAUUUAAAAAAAUAAAAAUCCCCGCGUCCCAUUUUUGGUACCCGCCAAAAUUUUUAAAUUUUUGCGCGACGAAAAAUACAUACUGGUCGCGCAAAGUCUAAAAAAAUUCCCGCGUCCGAUUUUUGGUACCCGCCCAAAUUUUUGCGAGACGAAAAAUAUAUAUUGGUCGCGCAAAGUUUUGAGCGACAAAAAAUAUUGGUCGCGCAAAGUCUAAAAUUUUUUUAUUUUUUUUUUAAAAUCCAGCGUCCCAUUUUUGGUACCCGUCCAAAUUUUUAGAGUUUUGCGCGACAAACUGUUGGUUGCGCAAACUUUUGAGAGACGAAAAAUUGGUUCGUAACACAAUAUUUAUAAAAAUAAUUGUUAUGAAUAAUAAAAAUAAAAUUAUUUUAUUUUACAAUUUAAAAUAUAAAUAAGGUUAAAGCUGCUUAAGAAAUAUAUAUACUAUUCAAUUUCUUAAGUGUUAUACGUACAAAAUAAAUAAAUUUAAAGGUACUUAAUAAAUAAAUAUAUAUACACACACCAUUCAACGAUCCAACCGUCAGACUUAUUUGUAUAUACUUCAAGAUCGUAUACCCCAAAAAUCACAAAAAACAAACAUUUAGAGAUCUAGUAACGAGACAAAACUUUUCGAUGGUUAUAAAUGAAAAAUUACGAUUUAACGGUUAUUUUAACUCCGAUUUUGAUGAUUUUUUUUUACAGCUACACUCCUUGACCAUAUAUGAAUACAAUGACUGAAUUUGAUCUUCAAUUUAAAAUAUUUACACUAGUGGAUACCACAAAAUCUUAUGUUAUAUCUAACGAACGUAUAAAUAACCUCUUAAUUGUUAGUGAAUAUAUUGUUUUGAUGGCAUAUGCAUUCACCAAAACUAGUUUCAACGAUCCAACCAUCAAACUUGUUUGUUUAUACUUCGAGAUCAUAUACGCCAAAAAUCAGAAAAAAUAAACAUUCAGAGAUCAAGUAAUGGGACAAAAAUUUUCGACGGUUAUAAUGAAAAAUCACGAUUUAACGGUUAUUUUAACUCCGAUUUUGAUGAUUUUUUACAGCUACACUCCUUGACCCUAUAUGAAUACAAUGACUGAAUUUGAUCUUCAAUUUAAAAUAUUUACACUAGUGUAUACCACAAAAUCUUAUGUUAUAUUUAACGAACGUAUAAAUAAACUCUUAAUUGUUAGUGAAUAUAUUGUUUUGAUGGCAUAUGCAUUCACCAAAACUAGUUUCAACGAUCCAACCGUCAAACUUGUUUGUUUAUACUUCGAGAUCAUAUACGCCAAAAAUCGGAAAAAAUAAACAUUCAGAGAUCAAGUAAUGGGACAAAACUUUUCGACGGUUAUAAUGAAAAAUCACGAUUUAACGGUUAUUUUAACUCCGAUUUUGAUGAUUUUUUACAGCUACACUCCUUGAACCUAUAUGAAUACAAUGACUGAAUUUGAUCUUCAAUUUAAAAUAUUUACACUAGUGGAUACCACAAAAUCUUAUGUUAUAUUUAACGAACGUAUAAAUAAACUCUUAAUUGUUAGUGAAUAUAUUGUUUUGAUGGCAUAUGCAUUUACCAAAACUAGUUUCAACGAUCCAACCGUCAACCUUGUUUGUUUAUACUUCGAGAUCAUAUACGCCAAAAAUCGGAAAAAAUAAACAUUCAGAGAUCAAGUAAUGAGACAAAACUUUUCGACGGUUAUAAUGAAAAAUCACGAUUUAACGGUUAUUUUAACUCCGAUUUUGAUGAUUUUUUACAGCUACACUCCUUGACCCUAUAUGAAUACAAUGAACUAAUUCGAUCGUCAAUUUAAAAUAUAUAUUUUCUAACAAAAACCCAAUCUGAACAACAAUAAUAUAUUUUUCUAACAAAAAUCCGAUCCGAUCUAAAAUAAUAAAUUUAAAGCUACUUAAUAAAUAUAUAUACUGUUUAAUUUCUUAAGUGUUAUGCAUACAAAAUAAAAAACAAAAAUAAAUUAGUAUAGGCGACAAAAUGUUUGGAUUACGUCAUGCAAAGAUUUUAAAAUAUAUAUAUAUAUUAUUUUUAUAAGGACUUUGCGCGACGAAGUUCAUUGUUUCGUCGCGCAAAGUCACUUUGAGCGACGAUGUAUUGUUGUCGCGCAAAAGUUUGUCGCGCAAAGUUACUUUGCGCGACGAAUUUUUUUUCAUCGCUCAAAAUUUGGUCGCGCAAGACUUUGAGUGACGAUGUAUUGUCGUCGCGCAAAAGUUUGUCGCGCGAAGUGACUUUGCGCUACGAAUUGUUUUUCGUCACGCAAAAUUUGGUCGCGCAAGACUUUGAGCGACGAAGUUUUGAGUUUCGUCGCGCAAAGUGACUUUGAGCGACGAAUAGUUUUUCGUCGCGCAAAAUUUGGUCGCGCAAGGGGUUUUUUUUUACUAGUAUGAGUUUUAUAUACAAUUUAUAACAAUAUUUUCAGGCAAAAAAAUGUCUUGGCAAGAAAAUGUACAAUUUGUUACGUACUUAACUGGAACGAUUACCUUCAAAUUCCUAUGGCCAAUUACCUUCUUUUUUCUUCCUUUUUUUUUUUUUUUUUUUUUUGGUUGUUGUUGUUCUUUUGAUCAAGUUGCAUAUUCCAAAGAACGAAAACCAGUACAGGCUCUUUUCCAAUGCAAGCUCUUUUCCCAUGUUUCCCUCUGUUUUUCUCCUAUUUUUCUUAUAUGGAAGUGAUUAAAAUACACCUCUAAGCUUGUUUUGCGUUUGGUAACCGACUGUAAAAGCUCAAUGCAGAUAGUUUGAGGUAGAAUUUUCUCCAAUUUUACUAGCACAGUGAUAAGCUAUACUAUAUGUAACAACAAAUUGCUUUAAUAAUGAUAAUGAAAAAAGUGUGAUCCAUCGAAUAUUUGCGGGGUUUUGUUCCAAGUCAACACAUCAAAUUCUUUUACACCAUGAAAUUAAAAAAAAUUUAUUCAACCAUCUCGACCUUAUGCUCGAUCAUUUUGCACAAGCAACCGUCCACGUACCCCAAUAAUUUAAAAGGGCUGAUGAUCUUUAAUUUGGCGAAAGCUUCUAUCUACUUCUACCGCGCUAUAUAUGAGCUAUGCAAUUGUGACGGUGUUACAUGACGUCACAAUGUCGUAGGGAUAAAAAAAUAAUAGUCAUGGUUUCUUAUUAAUGUUAAUACAGGCAUAGCAAAAAGCUUGUAUUUCUAGUGGUUAAGAACAAUUACCCAUGCACUUGAGAUAUUAUGUGCUUAAAUCCCCUCUUCCCCAAUAUUUCUUGUAUAAAAAUAAAAAUAAAAAUAAAAAUAAUAAAGAUAUUGAUAUUGUAUUCUAUAAAGUGUUGGACAUGUUUUAUACCCCUUUACUGCAAAUUACAGUUUGACACAUGUACAAAAAUAAUAGGUAAGUGUUGGACAUCAAGAGUACUUACAUAUAGGUUUAAUAGGUAAGUUUUGAAUAUUUCUGUCUUUAGCUUUAAUUAUUGAAAAUCAACCUAUUAUCAUAUUAAAGACUUAUCCAUGUUCAACGUACAUUCUCUUAUUUUUCUCUCAUUGAAGUAAAUACAAAACUAAGCACAUAGUGGAAAAGUAGGUCACGAUUAGGGGUGGGUUUGGUCUGGGUUGGUUCAGUUUUGGGCUCAACCCGAACACCGAACCGUAGACCUCGAUUUGGCUAUUUUGGAAACCAAAACUAAACCAUAAUUAAUGAAAACCGACCACUUCAAUUACCUUCUGGUCUUCCAACCAGAAGAAAACUCAAAACUUUAACCAUACCAAGUGCAACAGAAUUACACCAGGCUGGAGUCAAGUUUAUGAUGGUUAAAGAUAAAAACUUAUUUGACAUACAAUUUGAGAAUGGAAUCCUCAAAAUUCCACACCUGCGAAUACAGGGUUAAACAGAAAUUUUCUUCCGCAAUUUUAUUGCCUAUGAGCAGUGUGAGCUCCAUGAUCAUUACAUCAACAACUAUGUCUUCGUCAUGGACCGCCUGGUCGACAGUGCCAGGGAUGUGGAAUUGCUUGUGAAGAGUGGAAUUCUUGAAUCCAUGCUACCGGACAGCGAGGCAGCAGGGGAAUUUAUUAAUUCUCUUGACUUGGGGCCUAUUUUAGGCAAGCUUGAAACAAGACUAUUUCAGUUCACCAUGGGCUGGCCUGUCUAUUAUUGUAGCCGCUAUACUAGUUGUGCUCACAUUUAUUCAAACAGUGUGCUCCGUAAUGGCGCUGUAGGUUCUUCAUUUCCUCAAUUUCAUGUUUAGUGGUUGCAGAUUUGUUGCUCAUGUACGUGUUUAUCUAAAGUUAAAUAAGAGUGAUUGACUGAUAGUCUGUUAGUUUGUUUUUCUGGGGUUUUUCCCCUGUUCGUCAAAAAAGAAAAAGAGAAAGAGUGAUUGCUUGUGCCUGUUUGGGCCUAAUUUGACACACCCAAUCCAAAAUCAAAAAGUCCAUGUCAAUUUUGGACAGCCACCAGCAUUCCCUUUGUAAUUAGGCCAAAAACUGCACACCCAACCUAGCACUGGAGCCUAGAACAAACAAGGUAAACUCAGGACCCAAGCAGUUUGAUUUUUUCAUUUAAAUUGGAAUCAAGGGCCCCAAGUCAAAAAAGCCCAAGCCCAAGGCAGAUUUUUUACCAAAAAGACCCAAGGAAGCCCAGUGCAUGCGAAUUGCUUAGCCCACAAUCCCAAAACUCAAAACUAAGUUUGGCAUGAUUAAAUAAAGAUAGAGAGAAGCCCAAAAUUGAAGAAACCCAAAACAGUUUUAUCAAAAUUGUCAGCUCUCUACCCAAGACCUAAAAAGGGUCAAAAAUACCACUAUUGGCAAAAUUGACGCACUCAGCCUUGGAUCACAAAGAAAUCCACGUGACUAUUUGACUUUGAGAAGUCAACAAUUUCAACUAGUCACAAGAGAAGUUGAUUGGAAUUAAUGUAGGCAGGUCAUUACAGAAAAGACUUCUUUGAAACUCUGUAGCCAAAAGAUCAAAAUCCCUUUCUAUAUAAUUCUGCAUCAGAGUAGGUGGUCUUUCCAAGAGAUAAGCAGACUACGUUUUCAAGAGAUAAGUAGAGAAUGAGGGAGUUGUUCAACAAGAAAAGCAAACUAACCAUCAUGAUAGGUUGUGUUCUUUCUCUCUACAAAAAACAAUAGGGAACAAAGAAGAGUUGGUUUUUCUUUCAGAAAAAGGAAGGAAAAGACCUACAUGAAAACUAAUUAUUGAUGGUUCUUCUCUGCCAGAACAGAUAACUUCUCAUUUUCUUUGACAUUUAAAAAUGAAAGGUCUCGCUUUUACAAAAUCUGCCGCCCAUUAUUUAAAGAUUAGAAAACCCACUCCAGCAUUUCCUAUAAAUAUGAGAGGAGGUGAUGUCACAUCACGGGAUUGGCUCUGCCGUAGCACGAUAUUGUCCACUUUGCGCCCCCCUCUCUACCCUCACGGUUUUAUUUUUGGGAACUCACGAGCAACUUCCCAGUGGGUCACUCAUCUUGGGAUUGCUCUAGCCCCCAGCUCGCUUAACUUCGGAGUUCCCAUGACUCCGAAGCCAAUGAGCUCCCAAAAGGCCUCGUGUUAGAUGGAGGCGGGCAUGUACAUAUAAGGCACAUCACCUCCUCUCCGUUGGUCGAUGUGGGAUGUUACAGGUGAACAUAUCAAAGGACAGCCAAAAAAUCAAUCAAAGACAAAAACUCAAAAUGAUCACUUGAUCUCAAAAGCCUUCAAAACACUGAAGCAAGCAAAGCUCAUUGAGCCACAACGAACAAGUCAGCUAGAAUUCAGAAUCUUUAGAGUCAGUUCAGUUUCAGAGAAAUAAUCAAAGAAAGCGAGAUCUCUCUCGUUACAAAUUUGGUUCAGCUUAAAGCCAAAACAAGCAGAGUUCAGGUUCUUACAAAUAUGAAAACCUCAAUAAAUUUAUGGAGAGCCCUGAUCAAGCAAAACAGGUACUACAGUGCAGUUCUAGCUUAGUAAUAAUCAAAUCCACCCACUUCUGCCCCUUCCAGAUUGAGAAGGUCCCAAUUCUGCCCAUUCAAAAAGCCUUCCAAGACUUGAAAUAGAUUAAAGCUCUGCCAAACUCAAAUGUUGGAAUCAAUUCGCAGCUGAAACAUGACAGUUGAAGGUGUUGAUAGUCCAGUCCAGCACAGACAUACCCAGUCUAGCCCAGAUCAGAAGCAUUCACCGAGGCAGAAAUUGAAGUCCAAAGCUCUUUUUGUCUUUUUAGAGUUGGUCUUCCUUUUCUGAGCUUUGUAAAAGGCAAUUCUGCCUAAAACAGUUCACUUUCUUAUCAUUUAUUCUGGCCAGAACUACCAGUUUUGUACUGUGAAAAAUUAUGAAGUCCUCACCAGUCUAAGGCAAGAAAAGAACUUACUUGGGAGAUAUUCCUCACCAAAUUCACAACCGUUUGUUUAGAAAUCAGUAACUUGGUGUAACGACCCGGUCCUAAAUAAAUUGGUAAUUAUUAAUUUAUUCAGAUAAAAGACCAUUUUGCCCAUAGAAUAUUUUAAUAGGUUUACAUGUUGACCCGGGAGGCUUCGGUGAAAUUGUUACAUCUCGGUCCGAAAAAGUGUUAAAAUAAUUAAAGUAGAGUGCUGCUAAAAGAACCCUAAAAUUAACUGAGUACACCCUAUGAUCUAAGUACACCCUAAUAUUUUAAUUAAAAUAUAAAAUUAACUAAGUACACCCUAUAAAACUAUCAAAAAUAACACUGAUACACCCUAAUACUUGUAGCAUUAUUUUAUAGUUGAUUAUUUUAAUAGUGUUUAUAAAUCUUUGACUUUUCAUAUGGAUUUAUGCUUCUACUAAAAUUGUUGCCACUUUUUUUCCAAUUCCAAGUUCUUGCAAUCACCACAUCUUUCGUUAAAAACACAAUAGGACAAGCAAUCUCUUGAUUAGGGUUGAAUAUGGUUAGUAGGGUGUACUUAUUAAUAUUAUAUUUGUUUCACAAUUCCAUAUAUCCUUUUUGGUCAUUUUAUAUUAGGGUAAACCAGUAAUUCAAUAUAUACUUUUAUAGUAGGGUGUACUCAGUUAAUUUUAGGGUUCGUUUAGCAGCACUCUUAAAGUAAGAGAGAAUAAAAUGAAAUAAACAUUAAAAUAAAAUGAUUUGAAUUAAUUAAGGUUUUUGAGAAAUUAAAAUAUUAUUUAAUAUUAUAAGGGGAAAAAGAUCAUUUUAAGUUUGGGAAGGAAUUUGGAAAUUCCAAUUGUACCGUUGUGUAGAGCAUGUCGAAACGAGUCCGUAGACACGUAGUGGACUCGAAUCGUAGUUAUAACGGAGAAAUGGCGAUCAAAAGAAGUUCAGUGGCAUAGCCAUAAAUAUUUCGAAGUUCAGUUUUUUUAAAACCCAAAUUUCUUCUCUCUGGGGAGUGGGAGAGCCAACUUCAAAUGGUGAUUUCUCCCAACUCCGACCACCACACUUCCCUCUUCCUUCAGUUUUGGCAUCAUGAUGGGUUCCAUCCCGGAAUGACACAUUUUCGACGCUAAGGACGUCACAAAUGGUAUUUGAGAUGCUUUGUAAAUUUGUAACCAUGGAAAACACAAUGAACUUUAUGUUCGGAGUUGCAAGAGAACAUUAAGGGGAAUAUGGAGAGUGGGAAAAUAGUAAUAAGUGGAGAUCUGUAUGCUUACUUACUACUGAACUUCCGUCGUGGUGGUUAGUAUGAAAAAGUGUUAGAGAUUAUAGAUUUUAUGGAGGAACAUGGUUGUACACUGAUAAGUAGUCGGUAGGAGUUGAUUUAAGUUCCAAGAGAAAUUCAUUAUGAACUGGGAUGAAUUACUGCAAGAUUCUUGCUGUUUUGAAGUUAUUGAUUUUAGGGGCAUCACCUCUGAAUGAUCAUAAUAACCAUGCGUGGGCUCUGCAUGAGGUUUCUUUGACAUUGUUUGAUUUUGUGUAUUGAUAAUUACACUUAGGGGUGUCACGUUUCUAGAAACGUGUCUAUCCAAAUUGUUGUAUCUCAAUAUCCUAUGGAAGGAAAGCUGAGAAGCUGAAAAUACUGGAUUUAUGGUGGUGAGAUAAAAAUUGUCAGGAACUUUCAAAAGUCAAAUUAUUUCACAAAGGGAAAUACUGGAGAGAAGUAUUAGAGAAUUUUCUUUGGAUAAGUUAUAUAGGAGUGGAGGAGUUGCGAGUUUAACCAAGGAGGGUUGUGACAAUUUAAAUUGAGAAGUAGUGGUGUUGGGUGAAGUAUUAUUUCAUUCGCGUGGGCUUGAAUGCCGCGAUUGACAGGAAUGGAACAUUAGGGUUCUUCUUCCUUGCUCUCUCACGCGAGCUCGCCAUAGAGAGUAUUUCUUGGCGUGGUACUGGCUUCGUCCGACCUCCGAUUACUGUGAUUUUUGAAAGGACCCGGCCCAAAUUUCUCAAAAUCCGAGGCGAAUCCUGUGAAAUUCCCGACAUCACUCCGAUGCCAGGCCCACUUACUAAAGACCGAGACUUUCUGCCGAACUUUCGGCAGAGUCUCCCCUAUAAAUUGGACAUUUUCCAAAACUACCACCUGCAUAAAACACAAUUUAUAUCCCCAACUGGCAGCAUGCACAAGAUAAUUUCAUGCAAAUCACAUAAUCGGCCUGCGGCCUUCAAAUAAUUCAAAACGAAACCACCAAGCACACUAUCAAAUUAAUUCCUACCUUAAACAAGGCAAACAAUAAAUUUAAAUAUGAAUUAUGACUACUAAAUUUCAACAUACGAGGUUUUAACCUCCUAACACAAUCACAUCUAUGUCCGCGGCUGCACCUAAUAACCUUAGGCUGCCUACGUACCUUCACUGAGGGAUCAAGCCACACGUAGUUCUUCCGUAAAACCCAAUUCCACACAUAGGCAAUACCUUUAUUCAUUUCUCUGUAUUUCACAUAAUCUCCCCAUACGCCAGUACUACCAUUGCCACGUAUGGGACUUGUCAACAAGCCGGAUAACCUACACCACGUGCGAUCUCAACAUAAUAUCACAUAAUCUCCUCAUACGCCGGUACAACCAGCGCCACGUAUGGGGCCUGUCAACACGCCGGAUAACCUACGCCACGUGCGACCUCAUCAUACUAUCACAUGAUCUCCCCAUACGCAGGUACAACCAACACCACGUAUGGGGCCUGUCUCAACGCCGGAUAACCUACGCCACGUGAGACCUGAACAUAAUAUCACAUAUCUCCUCAUACGCCGGUACAACCAAUGCCACGUAUGGGGCCUGUCAACACGCCGGAUAACCUACGCCACAUGCGACCUCAAUAUACUAUCACAAUAUCUCCCCAUACGCCGGUGCAACCAACGCCACAUAUAGGGUCUGUCUCAAAUUGGAUAACCUACGCCACGCUAGACCUCAACAUCAUAUCACAAUAUCUCCUCAUACGCCGGUACAACCAACGUCACGUAUGGGGUCUGUCCGCAUGCCGGAUAACCUACGCCAUGUGGGACCUAACUUUCACAGAGUGGUACUUGUAGUGUAACCAAAAUCUGGGGAGGUGCCUAAGGUAGUGCAUAUAGCACUUCAAACUGACAUUCUCUCACUUAUCUAAACUAAUACUAGAGGUCUUCCCAUUUUAAUGGUACCAGUCUAUAGUAGAUUGUAACGUAAUUUAAUCAUAAAAAUAAUAUUAUUUCUAGACCAACGAUUAUUCACAUAAACAUGAAUUUCAUAAUUUCACUAUUUAAAAUAAUAUCUAAAAGUUUCCUAUAAUACAAAUAAACACUCUAAAGAUCCCAACUUAGUCAACACAGCUCAACAAUGCUCAAGACCUGUCAUUAGGGUCAUUAUGAUCCUUCUAGGAAGGUAAAACUACCUCGAAAGACUCAAGGUCAACCAAGGGUCAAACCACCCACAAUUGGUCAAACGGGCCCACGGGGCCCACGACCUCCAAAUUCCAAUCCGAAGGUUCCUAUGGGAUCUACAAGGUAUAGGACACUCGUCUUGCAAGUUAAGCCUAGAUCGGAUGGUCAGAUCGCUCACGAUCGCACAAUCUGAUGGUUAAUAUAAAACAUAAACUUUAAAUUAUUUAAUCGGAACAUCCGGGGCUCCCGAUUCACGAUCUGUUCCUACACGAUCCUAGAAAUACAUAGAUUAACAUAUAUUAAAUUUGAGACCAUCCAACGGUCCUAACCUAUCGAACCCGGAUAACGCGCAAUAGGCGAUAUUCGUUCGAUAGUCAAACGACGUCCGAAUUGAGAUUUACGAAAUCCUACGCACUCGUGACAACCUAAGGAUCUCAUUGAGACAUAUUGCUAUCCCAAAACCGACCGAAAUCCAAUUCGAAAAUCGAGUUACUUACGUUAAGAAUCGACCGAAUCCUACCCAACAGGCAGCUAGAGCAUGAAAAGUAUGUGAGAAACCAUACCUCACUCGUCGAAAUCAGUGGCCAAAGGAGGGAGAUCGACGAUAGAGAAGUUCGGACGAACUGACCGCUUCUUCUCCAUUUUUCAGCGAAACCACGGUAGCUGGUGGCGGGACCUAGCUGGGGUUGGAAGAGGAUGACGCCCCGGUCAUUUUGGUAUCGGCCUCGUGGUCAUCGGUGGCCGGAUGAGAAAACAGCCGGCGAAAAUGUGACCGGCUGCCGUUGCGCACGCGAGAGAGACCACGAGAGAGAGAGAGAGAGAGAGAGAGAGAGAAAUCUGAUUGUGCCACUGAGAUUCUUUUGACCAUAUCUCUCUCGUUACAACUCCGAUUCAAGCCCACCACGUGUCUACGGACUCAUCUCGGUACGACCUAUCCAAAAAUACCAAUCACUACCCCAAAUACUUUUUGGAUCAGAAAGUGACCAAAUUACCCCUACCUCAAUGGUAACUUUGUAAUUUCACUUAAAUAAUUUAAAUAAGGGAUUAAAUUUGGAGUCGGGGUGUUACAAUUUUUGUUGCUAAAUGUUGUCAUCAUUUCUCCUCUACAUCACUCAGUGAUCAUUCACUCCCAUUUCUCUAGUUUACACGGUGAAUUUUAUUUCUAAAAUUUCUUAAAAUUCCGGCCACUGUGAGUUUGACCAGCGACUUGGGUUACUUUUGCCCAUCUUUUUGGAAAUGGAACCGAUUUGAGGAAGAUUAGGAGGAAAGAUACAUAGGCCGCUGAGGCAGAAGUAAAGCCGGAGCUUUACCAUAGACAGAAGUUGUUUUAGAAGUCCUGGAAGAUUGUGAACAGGAAUUGGAAGUUUGCAUGGGGUGAUAGGAUUUUUAGUACUUGUGCAAACAGUGUUAAAAAUCACAUAAAAUACUUGCAAGAAUACAAGGCUAUUGUAGUCUAGAUGCUCAUGCAAGGUCGUUUUCCUCAAGGACUAAUUAGCAAUUUAUGUAAAAAUAAAUUCCAAUUACUACUUAAAAUAAAAAGUCAAGAAAGAUGAUUAUAAAUUUGGUUGAUUCUAAAAAACAAAUAUUAAACAAAAACAAAUACGAUUGAAAGAAAGAGUUUUGAAUAUCAAUUUAUAAAAACACUAGGGUUUCACCAUCACCUAGCAAUCCUAUGAACUUUUACCAAUUACUUAUGAUUUGCACAUGCCACUUUGAAGGUUAGGUUUUCCUAAUGUAUAUUCUACUUAGAACCUCCAACACAGAAUGUAUAUCCAACAUGCAACCCGUCCGGACGUUCGGAUCAAAUCUGAACAUGAAAGACUCAUUAAGUUUUGUGAAAACCCUUUGAAAAACCAUGCAACCCUUAAGACGUGGUGUUCAUCUUAAGUGAAAUUACAAUUAUUAAUCAGAAGAAGCUAGCAUCAAUUUCAGGGAACCUUCCGACCAAAAUUGCAUCCAAUUACUUUUCUAAAGAUCCUAAUGGUGAUCAGGCAUUAAGACAAUUAGAUAGUUUAAAACAGUGAUUAACAAUUCAAAAUACGCAUGCACUCAUCAUAAGCAAUUAAAUAAAAAUCACAUAUUCAUGCUAAGGUUCAAGGCUUCACCCUAGCAAAAGAAAUUUAGUUACGCAUACUCAUAAUUGAAAUCCAAGAAAAUAUCAUUAAGAAGAAAAGAACGAAAACACCUGAAAGUUGUGAAAACCCAAAACCCUAGCAAUUGCUCUCCACAAUGCAAAGUUCAAAAGUGAAAAGGGAGUCCUCCAUUCCUUGUGAGAAAGAGCUUAAAUACCCCUUAAAACCUAGCUGCCAAUGUACAGCUUUUCUAUCCCCACAAGGAAACUAAUUAAAAUAAAAUAAUACUAGGAAAUAAAGUCCAAAUUGGAAUAGGAGAAUCUGCUCAAAAUCUGCCCAGCCACGUUUUGGCCCCAAAUCUCCUCCAAAUCUGGCCCAAGAUAGCUUGUUUUAAAGAUAAAAAAUGUUCUGAACACUUCUUUAGAAGGCCACGAACCCAUCCGAGGUCAUCUUGGGCUCCAAAAACGCAAUAAAAGCCCAACACGUCACUAUUCCAGCACCGCGCACUGCUCCUUUAUUUUGUUGCCAGAAAAUAACCGCUUGGAAGAAAAAUCUGAAAUUUUGAUACGAUCAAGCUAAGUGACUCAAGAACGUCCUCCAACUGGAAUUACUCCAAAAUUCCUCAAUUUGAUUAUGUUUUGCUCCAGAGAGAUUCGAAAGUCCUAUAUUGGAAAUAUAAUUCAAAGUAUCAAAAGUCUUCCAAAAUAAUAACCAAAAUAUACUAAGAAUGAGGUUAAAUAUAUAAUAUAAAAUAUGUCCAUCAAAAUACCCCCAAACUUAGCUUUUGCUUGUCCUCAAGUGAAACAAGACUCAAACAAAAAUAAAAACUUAACAGAUUAGACAUCUGGCUAACACUUAACUAGGACAAAAUUUCCACCUUCAAGUUGCAAUCCAUAGAAAAUUUUAAAAACUAGAACAUCCUUUCAAUAGAUCUAAGUAAUCCCACCACAAAGUCUAAGCUAUUUAGACUCAAUUAGAAAAGAAUUCACAAACUUCUUUCGGUGCAAAGUGAACCAUUAUGGUUAUGGAGACUUGACUAAAACCCUUAACUCUCAUCCCUUUUAUUCAUACUUCACACACUCCACACUUUUUGUUUUUUUUGUUUUUUGUUUUUUGUUUUUUUGUUUUUUUUUCUUUUUGUUUUUAUAGUAACAGUAGUGGUUGUGCAAUGUUGGUUCCCUUAAGCUUUCAAUCCAACCGUGUAGCCAGCUUUAGGUCAAUGUCUCCCAAACCACUCGGGUUUUAGGGCACUAGGUGUAGAACACCCCUAAGGACUUAUUAACUCAAGCUGAAAAGGCUACGAAACCAACUAACCACCCUGCCUCAUGCCAAAACUCUACCUUUUGUCUCGAGAAUCACUGCUGAUUAGGCAGGAUUGACCCGGUUACUAGCAAAGCUUCGGGUGAGGUAAUUAUUACUUUAUAACACAAACUAACUUUAUUUAUAUUGAACAUAAAUUAAAACACAUUUGGACAAAAAGUAAGUAUUCCAAUCUCACUCCCCAAAAACCAUGUUGGUGUGAUGUGCAAAUUUCAAAGUAUAAUUCAUGAAUUAAUGUCUAAGCAACAAUAAAUAGAAAAUACUCUACCGUGGGAUUGAUUUUCACCAUGUCCAUUUGUUCUAACGUUUAAAAUAAUCUAUGGAUAUUGACUGAAAAACGAAAAUUUGUAAACAAGACUCAAAAAAUGAAAAAUAAAAAAAAUUACGUUCCCACCCCCUAACUUAAAUCACACAUUGUCCUCAAGGUGGGGUAAAUAAUCAAAAGAAACAAGAGCAGAAACAAAACGACUAAAACUUAGAAAAUGGAAAUCAAAAAUAAAGAAAAUACUCUAAGAAAAGAAAUUAGGAAGGCAAAGGAUGAGAUCCAGAUGGAUCUGGUAAUCCUAUCCGUAGAGAUGGAAAGAUUCUAUACACGCCAUUGAGACUGGAUUUGGAGAUGAGGAUUUGACCCUACCUUGUUCGACGAAUUCCCUCAAGGGGAAUUAUAGCAAUAAAAUACAUAUGCUUCUACAAACAUUUAAUUGCACUGCUACGACGUGGAAAGAGUGCUUUGGGGUCUCAUCUCAUGUGAACCCGUUCGAGUAGAAAUCUUUCAUUAGAAUCAGAAAUGGGUCAUGGUAAAGAGAGGUAGAUGAUGAUUACAGUUCGGUAAAAAUGAUCAUUUCUGACAUUCCUCUCAAAGAACCGUGUUGGCAAUGUCGUUUAUCGAUUCUAAAGAAAGAAGAAAAAUAUCAACAAGUCAAAGAACGUGGAUUUCUUUUAAGGGGAGAGCUAGAACAAAAUCAAAUCACGAAUGGAAGAGUUUAGCUUUCAGAGGAAGAUUGAGCAUUACAGCAGCUAUUAAAGGAUAUUUUUAGUUGAAGAAUGAGAUUUUUCUUCCUCUGAUUGUUUAGCUAGAGCUUUUGGCUUGACUGCCAACGUGGUUGUGGAGGAAGAAACUUGGGAACCCGAGUAGUAGAUGCGAGCCCACUACCCAUACCCCUUUUGAGUGACAGGUAUGAAAUUUCAAGGAUGAAAUUUUUAUAAGAGGGGUAGAUUGUAACGACCCGGUCCUAAAUAAAUUGGUAAUUAUUAAUUUAUUCAUAUAAAAGACCAUUUUGCCCCCAUAAUAUUUUAAUAGGUUUACAUGUUGACUUGUUGACCGGGGAGGCUUUGGUGAAAUUGUUACAUCCCGGUCUGAAAAAGUGUUAAAAUAAUUAAAGUAAGAGAGAAUAAAUUGAAAUAAACAUUAAAAUAAAAUGAUUUGAAUUAAUUAAGGUGUUUGAGAAAUUAAAAUAUUAUUUAAAAUUAUAAGGGGCAAAAAGAUCAUUUUAAGUUUGGGAAGGAAUUUGAAAAUUUUGAUUGUACCGUUGUGUGGAGCACGUCGAAACGAGUCCGUAGACACAUAGUGGACUCGAAUCGGAGUUGUAACGAAAAAAUGGCGAUCAAAAGAAUUUCAGUGGCAUAACCGUAAAUAUUUUGAAGUUCAGUUUUUUUAAAACCCACAUUUAUUCUCUCUGGGGAGUGGGACGUGCCAACUUCAAAUGGUGAUUUCUCCCAACUCCGGCCACCAAUUCAAGUAAGACCGGCCCCGUUAGAACCACCACACUUCCCUCUUCCAGUCCCAGCCCAUCUCAGUCUCGAUCCGCCGUCGUAGUCGCCGAAAAUCGCCACGAAACAAGGUGGUUUGGAUAGUUUUUGUCGAAAUUUCGUGGAGCUCGUUCUCCCUCCUCCGGCCACCGUUUCAGGCGAGUGAGGUAUCAUUUCUCACCUAUUUUCUAUGAUAUAGCUGAUGGUUGGAUAUGAUUUGAUAAAUUUUGAGCGUUGAUAGUUCGAUUUUCGAAUCAAAGUUUGGCCGAAUUUCGGGAUGAAAUUCCGGCCACUUUCGAUCACUUUUUGGGGUAGGCCCAAGAACAAAAGUGUCUUCAAUUGAUGUCCUGAUCCCAGGGUAAGAGCAUUGGUCGAAAAUUUUGAGAUUUUCCUGCUGGUGGUAUCGCUUUGGGCACCCAUGCGCUGAUGGCGCGUGUGGCAGCGUGUGGGCACUGUAGCAGAGGGCCAUUGUGUCCCAAUGCGACCCCCUUGUUGUCACGAGUGCGUAAGGGUGCUCGGAUUCCAAUUUGGUUGAGGUUUGAACCCCGAAUGGAUUUCGUAUAUUGUACAUUAUCCGGGUUUGAUAGGUUUGAACCGUUGGAUAGUCUUGAAUUUAAUAUAUGUUAGUCUAGACAUCCCUAGGAUCAUAUAGGAUUUCGCGGAUCAUGGAUCGGAGCCCCGGAUGUUCUGAUUUAAUAAAUUAAAGUUUGUGUUUUACAAUAACCGUCCGAUCGUGCGAUCGCGAGCAAUCCGACAGUCCGAUCCGAACCAAACUUGCAGGACGGGUAUCCUAAAUCUUGUAGAACCCAUAGGAGCUUUCGGAUAAGAAUUUGGAGGUCGUGGGCCCGGUUGACCAAGAUUAGGUAGUUUGACCCCUCGGUUGACCAUGAGUCUUCCGAGGUAGUUUCACCCUUCGAGGAGUACUAGAAUGACCUUAUUACAUAGUCUCGACCUUUAAUUGAGCUAUGUUGACUAUGUUGAGAUUUUUAGAGUGUUUAUUAUUAUCGUAUGAAAACUCUUGGAUAUUACUUUUAAUAAUUGAAAUUAUGGAUUUGAUGAGCGUGGGUAAAUUGAUUUGAUGAGUGGUGAAAAGAAGUCGUGGGCUUGGCUAUGACUAUUAGGAAGUGAGGGGACAUUUAUGUUGAAUAUGCAUUAAUUUCAACAAUUGAAAGAACAUGCAUGGAAUGGGUAUAUAUAUAUAUAUAGAUAAAUUGGAUUAAAGAUUGAGAAAUUAAUAAGUUGAGAUAUUAGUAAUAUUUAAUUGAGAAAUGGAUUUUGAGGUGGAAAUUGGAAGGUUGAAUUUGGGGAAUUUUGGAAUUGAGAAUUAUGGGUUAAUACUGAAAGAUGUAGGAUUAUACUAUGUAAGUACCAUCCCCUAGUUACUAGGCUUCCCAUACGUGGAGUUGGAAUUUCUGGCGUGUGGGAAGGAUAUAUGAUUAUUAGAUCUCACAUGCCGUUGGAUUUUCCAGCGUGAGACAGACCCCAUACGUGGGGUUGGAUUUUUCGGCGUAUGGGGAGAUUAUGUGAUGGUUAGGUCACACGUAGGGUGGGAUUUUCCAACGUGUUGACAGACCCCAUAAGUGGCGUUGGAUUUUCCGGUGUAUAGGGAGAUUAUGUGAUGGUUAGGUCACACGUGGCAUAGGAUUUUCCAGCGUGUUGACAGACCCCGUACGUGGCGUUGGAUUUUCAGCGUAUGAGGAGAUUAUGUGAUGGUUAGGUCCCAUGUGGCGUAGGAUUUUCCGGCGUGUUGACAGACUCCAUACGUGACGUUGGAUUUUCCGACGUAUGGGGAGAUUAUCUGAUGGUUAGGUCACACGUGGAGUAGGAUUUUUCAGCGUGUUGACAGACCCCAUACGUGACGUUGGAUUUUCCGGCGUAUGGAGAGAUUAUGUGAUGGUUAGGUCACACGUGGCGUAGAAUUUUCUGGCGUGUUGACAGACCCCAUAUGUGGCGUUGGAUUUUCCGGCAUAUGGGGAGAUAAUGAGAUGGUUAGGUCACACGUGGCAUAGGAUUUUCUGGCUUGUUGACAGACCCCAUAUGUGGCGUUGGAUUUUCGCGCGUAUGGGAAGGAUAUGUGAUUAUUAGGUCUCACAGGUGGCGUUGGAAUUUCCGGCGUAUGAGACACUAACAGUGAGAAGAGAAUGAGAUUAUUUUUCUAUAUCAGAGAAAGGUUAGAGUAUAAAAAGAAAUAUGUUUGGUGUGUGGUAAUUUAAAUUAAAACAGGGAAAGAUAACUUACCUGUACUACUGAAACAGUUGUGUAACAUUUGGAGCAUGAUUAUGGAGUGAAAGAACUACGUGUGGCUUGAUCUCUCAGUAAGGGUACGUAGGCAACCUAGGUGCAGUCGUAGACUAAACGUUAUUUAUGUUGUUUUAUUGAGAUUGGUUCUGACCCUGUCGUUGGUCCUGAAAUUCGGUUGAAAACUAGAUGCGAGUAAAUAAUUGUUCAUACUCCCGUUUCGUUGAGGGAGGAUUGUGUAAAUGUGUUCUGGUCAAGACAGGUAUAAGAACUCGUUUAGGAUUGAUGUACGAUUUGGGCUAAGGCCUUAAACUACUUGUUGUUGUAUUAGGAGAUUAAAACCUCGCAUGUGGGAUAAUUGGGAAAGUUAGAUGAUGUAAAGUGCACUUAGGCAUUCAUAUAUAUGUUUAAAUUUAUUAUUUGUCUUGCUUAACGUAAUUGUUUGACUUAUGGGCUUUAUUGGUGAUUUGCUUCAGAUUAUUUAAAGGCCGAAGGCCGUUUAUGUGAAUUGCAUUUUGAUACAUUGUGCAUGCUACUAGUUGUGGAUAUUAAAUGUGUUUUAUGCAGGUUGAAAUUUUUGGGAUUGUUCAAAUUACAGGGGAGACUGCCAAAAUUUUGAUAGAAAGUCUCGGUCAUUAGUAAGUGGGCCCGGCAUCGAGGUGAUGUCGGAAUUUACACAAGAUUCCUCUCGGGUUUUCAGGAAUUCGGGGCGGAUCCUGUUACUUGGGGUGCAAAUUAUCCAUUUGUUCACCCGUUUUCGUGUUUUACUUCUGAGGUGGAAGGGCGAAGUUUCCCACUGGCUUGGAGACCACUUGUUGGUCGACAAGUCAGCUUUCUUUGGUGUGUGUGAGCGUGCCACUGCUAGCAAUGUAAAUUCUAGCAGACUUAUUUUUUAGAGUGGAUAACUUGCGCCUCAAGUUACUGACUUCUAAAACAAAUGAUUGUGAAUUUGGGUGAGGAAUAUCUCCCAAGUAAGUUCUUUUCUUGCCUCAAACUGGUGAGGACUUUCACAAUUUAUCUCAGUAUCAAAUGGUUGUUCUGGCCAGAAUAGAUAAUAAUAAAGUAGACUGUUUCAGGCAGAACUGCCUUUUACAAAAUUAAGAAGGGAGAAAUCAACUCUAGAAAGGAAAAAAGAUGGCUGGAAUCCCAUUUCUGCCUGGGUAGAAACUUCUGAUCCGGGCUGGACUGGGUAUGUCUAUGCUGGACGGUGCUGUCAACAACUUUAGCUUGCUCGGCUUUAGUUGUAAAUCGAUACCAAAGUUCAAUUUUGGCAGAGCUUCAAUCUACUUCAAGCCUUGGGAGACUUUUGAGUGGGCAGAACUGCAGCUUCUUCAGUUUGAAGGGACAGAAGUGGCUAUUCUCGAGGAUUUAGCAAGCUGGAACUAUGCUAUAAAAUUUGUUGAGGUUUUCAUAUUUGUGAAAACUCAAACUAUGUUUGUCUUGGCUUUUGCUGAACCAAAUUUGUAACGAGAGGGAUCUUGUUUUCAGAAGACUUAUUUUCUAAGUCUGAACUUUGGAAUUCUGAUCUAAAGCUGUUUUCUUGUUUGUUUUUUUUUGAUUGACUGAUGAAUUGAGUGUCCUUUGUUUCUUUGCCUUCUUUCGCUUUUAUAAGAGAUCCUCCUAAGGAGGUCAUUUUUAAUCCUAAACAAUGGGCGGCAAAAAGAUCUCUUAUAAUGUAAAGUAAGAAGGGUUUCUUAUCAAUCAAGGCAGAUAGGUUCUGAGCAGUCACCUCCUAAAAACAGUCCAUUCCCUGGUUUCCUGGGUGGCAGCUUUCUAAUUCAACCAACGCCACCGUCUGUGUGGGCUUUUUAUGGCAGUUUUGGCUCUUUUCUUUUGUAUUUUCUGAGUGGUUCCCUGUUUCCCGUUCUAAUUUAGAAAGCGUGAUUCGUGAAUUCCUUGGGAGAUGGUGUAUUGAUUUGGAGCAAAAUCUUGAACACAGAUGGGUUUUUGAUCUUCAAUUGGCAGUGUUUCAGAGACGUCCCUCUCACAUUUUUAAACUUUAGUUGGAAUUGCUGACUUUUCCAAAGUUGAGGCAAUCACGUGGGUGUGUCUUUGAUCCCUUGGUUUUGAAUCUAUCGAAAAUUACGGGCUGAUCUUUGAAGCCCAUUUCGAAAGUUUCCACAUCUGGGCUUUCUUUGGGCUGAGGCUUUAUUUCCAACAUUCUUGGUGUGAAGCCCAAACUGUCUGGGUCUUAUUUUCGUUUUUCUCAAGUCUCUGGGCUGGGCAGGCAAUUUUAUCAUGGGCCUGUCUUCUGGUCUUGGGCGUGCCGAAUUUGGGCCCAAACAAUGCCCCCUAAGUCUGAAUCGUUUUGGAAUGGUUUCAGACUUAAUGUUUUGCCAUUUAAUUCACGUGCCAGUUUCUUCCGUGUUUUCGCCCACGUCUGCCACGUUUGCCUGCUACGAACUAGAGUUCGUGGGAAAACGGCUAGUUAUUAUCUAGUUACUAGCUAAUAAUCAUCAGGUGCCGUCCCAUCUUCUUCUUCCCACGUUUUCGAGCCCCUCUUUAAAAGAAAUUCAAAUUCAUAGCUUCUGAAAAAAGAAACCCUAAACCUUCCAGCUCUUGUUCCUGCGAGUUCUUUCUUCGAGAUUUCCAAAGCCUUCUUUAGACCUUCCUUUCUUCUGCUUCUUCCCUUGAAUCAGAAAUGUCUUCCCCAAGGUCCCGCGCUCAGUCUUCUUCCGCUUCAGUUCCUCCCGAUUAUAUCACUGGGAGCGGGAUUGAUGCUCACGCGAUAGAAAUCAGGAGCAAGCUUCAUCCCUUUGCCCAGAAGAAUCUGGACGAGAAUGUCCUCCAUUUGUUUGAGAACACCCUGGUGUUAGGGCCUCACUGGUUUGGUCCUGUUCCAGCUGAGAUGGCAGAAUUGCUAAAAAAGGAUGCCGAGGCUCCUUUGUGUUUUGAGAGCUCUUCUGCCCUGGCUUCUUAUUCUUGGGUUAGCAAGAAUUUGAGCCGGUCCUUCCCGUCCAGCGAGGUGAGGAAUAGUCUGGUCAAAUGGGCAGACUGGAUUGAUAGACUUCUCCCGAGAUAUGGGGGUCACUGGAGGAGAGCUGGGAUUUAUGACGCCAUUUUUCUGUCCAAACAAUCGAUUAACAGAGAUGAGAAUCUGCUUGCUGCUGCUUUAUGCUUCUGGAAUUCUGCCAGCAAUACAUUUGACUUCCGCGUGGGUCCUAUGGCGCCAACCUUGCUGGAUAUGGCUCAGAUUUUUGGGUUCAGGCCCCAUGGUAGGCCUGUUGAUGCCAUUGGAGAUUAUCACAGGCGAAGGAAUCAAGAGAAAGUGGCCACCCCUUUUACUAUCCCUCCAGCCGUGAUCAACCAGAACUGCUCUUUCUCCAACUAUCUGAAGAAGUUCAGUGCUGAUAAGGACAAGGAUCAGCAACAUAUGUUGUUCCUUCUGUAUUGGCUGAAUUGGUUCGUUCUCCCCAAUCGGUCUUCUGCAGUUCUGCUAGAGUACAGACACUUGGCAGAAGCACUCCACAAUCACACUGAUGUGGGGCUCGGGCCUACAGUUCUGGCUCACCUUUUCAAGAAUCUGCAUACUUCCACCCUGGAGAACCCAUUGAACCUGUCAGCCCCUGGCGCAUUCUGGAUGAUCCAGAUCUGGCUGCAGGUUUAUUUUCCAGAACUAAGGUUCCCAGACAUAGUUCUGCCUGAAGAUCAAGUCCUGGCUCUUCCUCUGAUGUCGGCAGAAGUGCCCAAGCAUUCUAUUGAGGAGUAUUUGAUGCUCUUCAGGCAUUGUACAAAGAGGUCGGCAGCUCAGUGGCAAGUGGUGAUCAGGAGGACCUAUCCUUGGUUCCAGACCGGAUUUCGGUUGUUUGAGAAGGAGCCAGAAGAUGAAGCUGCCAGAACAGAUUUCAGGAGGAAAUUUCUGAGCAUUACUCUGCCCAGAGAUCUACCCCAUGGUGGGGGCAAACCUCCAAACUAUCAUCUGGGGGCAGAAGUCUACCAUCCCAACUUCUGCGCGAGGCAGCUUGGUUGUCCCCAACUCAUUCCGCUGAAAUCAUAUCGGAGUUGUAACCGGGCCUCUUCUUGGAGGGAUGCAGAUGAUCUGGAGGUGCACAAGGAUGCCCGGUGUGCAGUGAACAAAAUCAACAACAGCACGGAUGCCCUCUAUCCCUCGUGGGAGCUGAAUUCCUGCAGUUCUGCCGACUUUGACGCAUGGUGGAAAGCCAGAUUCCAAAGUCUGCCUGCUUCUGUCACUGCCCUCAAGGUGCUGUUUGAUGGUUGGGAAAACUGGGUCGUUUUUGCGAAUGGGGAUGCCAAGACGCAUAUGAUCCAGACCAUCAAGGAUAUUAACGCGCAAAUUAUAGAAGGUAGAUUUCUGAUUCUGUAUGGGGUUCGUUCUGUCCUGAUGAUUGAUUUCUAAUGUCUAUUCUGCCUGUAUCAGAUCCUUCUUUGACCAGCGUAGGUGGGCAGUCUGUUCAUGCUGGGGAAGUGAUUGGUAAGUCUUUUCUUUUAAUUCUAUUCUGUCUUUUCCUGCUGGAUUGGUCUCUAAUGUCUAAUGCCUUGGUGCAGUCUCUUCCGUUAUUGCUGCCGGGGACUUGGAGCUCCCUUCUGCGGAUGAAGGAGAUGAGGUCCAGACAGAACAAACACCUACCGAGGCCGCUCUUUCUGGCAGAAGAAAAAGGAAAGGACCUGCCCCUCCUUCGGAUAAUCCCACGCGGCCUGGUAUUUCAGGUAAGCUCGUGAUGUUCCAACCAUUCUCUUUAAAUUUAUUAUGUCUUGCCUUCUUUUCCCUAAUACUGCUUUUUGUUCUGUGCAGCUGGAAGUCCUUCCCCUCCUCCUACCAAGUUGAAAAAACUUAAAAAGAGGAGUGAGGAGGAGUAUGUCGCCGCGGAAGAGACGGCAGCAAUUCCCACCACUACCUCCGGGACGGAUGAAGAGCUGCGAGAGGCUUUUGAGGAGGUGGAGCAGGAAAAAGAAUUGGAAGAGCUGGAAGAAACGCCUCAGGAAAAAACGGCAGUGGCGGAAGGAGAGGUAAGUUUUAUUUCUGUGAUUCGCAUCAGUUCCCUUCUCGCCCUGUUUCUUCCGUUCUGACCCUUAUUUUGUAGGAGAAGAUCCCUGCUGAGGUGAUUGCAGAGAGCAUUGCCUUGGCGCAGAAGCAACAAGGGGGUCCAAGGGCUGAGCGGACUAGCUCAGAACUAGCCCUAUUUGAGGAUGCUGAGGCAGAGCAUUCUACUGCCGUUCCAGCGGCUGAGGAUCAGGCGGAACGGUCUGCAUCAGAGCCUGUGGAUCAGGCAGAGCUGUCUGUUGUGGUUCCGGAGGCUGAAGUGGAAACAACCGCCGCUGCCCCUGUGGUUGUGGUAACUUUCUUUCUUUAUCUGUCCACACUCUCCUGCAUUUCUGCCUUGUUCUUUAUUUUUAACUGUUGUAGCCUUUUCAGGUAGAAGUGCCUAAAGCUGUUGGCGUCCUGGCAGCGGUUACCAGUCCCCAGAAGCCUCCCAUUGUUGCUGUAAGUUUUCAUAACUUUUGGGCCUUUAUUUUCCACUUUCUGCCUGGUCUUACCUUAUGCUUUCUUCUUGCAGAUGCCAAUUCAUUCCCUUCCAGGAUCAUCUGCCACGGCUUCUUUUGCUGAUCCAGAACUCGAAGAGUUUGAAGCCAUGGAUCUGGAUGCCCAAUUGGACAGAUUGGAGAAACUCAGCUCUCCUCCAGGCAAGGCAAAAUCUAGGGCAGUGGAGGAGGCCAUGGAGAGGUUGAAAAUCUGGCAGUCUAAUGAGCUGGAGUUUGAUCAAGACAAUGAAGCCUUAAAUCAGCUGAUGAAGGACCUGGACCUGCUUCACAGACAGAACAUGGCUCCAAAACCUAUCCUUGAGAUGGGCCUAAGCUUGGCCAGAGAUGUGCUCAAUCUGCAUGAUCGCUAUGAGGAUCUCAGGCCUACUUUCAAGACUUCUGAAUUCUGCAAGGCCACUCAUGAAGCCAACCUGGCUGAUUUUGCAAAGCAGAAAGCAGAACUGGAUCAGAUGGUGGCCGGAUAUAAGGAAGCCAGGGCCACUGCGGACAAGCUGGAGAAGCCGAUGGAAGAGCUCCAAAAACAACUGGCAGAAUGCAGGGAGGUGCAGAGCAGGCUUGGGGCUGGACUGAGUUCUAAAACUAAGGCCACUUUCCUUGUGCAAAGUAUGGUUGCAGCUUCCAGGACAGCCUUGGAGAUUGCAGAGGCUUCAAUUCACCAGGGGGUGCUGCUCCAGAAAGAGCUUUCUGUCAAGAAAGCGAACCUGCAGGAGACUCUUAGAAAACUAGGAUUUUAGCUUCUUCUUUCCUUUUAUUGUUCGAAUAAUUUGCCGCAAAGGUGGCUAUUUUUAUAUAAGCUUUCAAAGCAUUUUACUGCUUUUCAUUUAUUCUUGAUGCAAUAACUGGAUACGGCUUUGAAAGUAAAAAACAGAACAACUUUAAAGCAAAAAUAAAUCUAAACAAAAUUCUUUUCAAGAAACAAAAAGGUCAAACUUGUUCCUCUUCUAUCCCGGGAUCUGUUUAUACAGCCUGCGAAUCCCACGUGGUUGGAUAGAACUUCUUUAACCAUUUACCAUUGAUUGGGGCAAAAUGAACAACUCCAUCUCGGUCCUGCAACCUGUAUGCCCCCAUUCCGAGGAUUUGGUUAAUUAUAAAAGGGCCUUCCCAUGUAGGUGACCAUUUCCCAUAUCCAGCUAUGUGUGCUCCAAGGGGCAGAAUUGCCUUCCAGACUAUCUCUCCCUCUUCAAAACUCUUGUUUUUGACUCUUUUGUUGUAGGCCCUUGAUACAGCCUGUUUUCCUGCUAAGAGUUUGUUGAGGGUGUCAAUUCUGCUUGCAUCCAAUUCUUCCAAUUCCAGCAACAUGGCUUGAGAGUAAUCCUCCCCAGUGAGACCAUGCUGGUGAGCAAUUCUAAGAGACUGGACCGCUAUCUCCAUGGGAAGAAUUGCAUCGUGGCCGUAGGUUAGAGCAUAGGGGGUCAUGCCAGUUGCUUCUCUCUUUGAAGUUCUGUAUGCCCACAAAGUUUCUGAUAACUUCUCAUGCCAUUACUUUGGAUUCUUCUCUAGCAUCUUUUUGAUGAUAUUGAUAAUCACCUUGUUACUUGAUUCCACCUGUCCAUUAGCUUGAGCAUAGUAAGGAGUAGAUUGAAGCAGUUUGAACUUGAACGUUUCUGCCAUAUCUAGCAUGUCCCUAGAUAUGAAAGAAGAACCCCUAUCGGUUGUGAUUGAUUCUGGAAUGCCAAACCUUUGUAUGAUCUGUUCUUCUAUAAAGGUGAUGAUCUCUUGAGAUGUUGUGGUUUUUACUGGCUUGGCCUCUACCCACUUGGUGAAGUAAUCUGUGGCAACGAUAAUGAAACAGUGCUGCUGGUUGCUGGCUGGAUAGAUUUUGCCAAUGAGAUCCAUUGCCCAUCCCCUGAAAGGCCAUGGUUUUACUACUGGAUUCAUGGGAACCGAAGGAGCCUGCUGGAUUGGGCCGUGCCUUUGACAGGCUUCACAUCCUUUGGAGUAGUUGAUGCAAUCCUUCAUCAUGGUUGGCCAGAAGUAGCCAUACCUUCUGAUUAACCAGCACAUCUUUCUUCCCCCUUGGUGAGCUCCACAGAUCCCCUCAUGGGUUUCUCCCAUGGCUUUCAUAUAUUCUGUCUUCCCGAGGCACCUUAAUAGUACCUCAUCCUUACUUUUUCGGACCAAAUCUUCAUUCCACAUGAGGUAGUUUGUAGCCAUGAUUCUGACUCUUUUCUUAGAGGGCAGAGUGGGAUAUCGUAAGUAAGUCAUGAUAGGCUCCCUCCAAUCAUCUUCAGUGAUCAAGGCAGAAUUGACUUCUAUCUCCAUUCCUCUCGUCAAAACAGAUGGUAGACUUUUCCUUCCUAUCUUGAUGAUCCUUUGGACGCAGUCUUCGGGCAUUUGUAUGCCUGAUGCCACCUGAGCCAGUUCAUUGGCUGCAAAGUUUUCCUCCCUUGGGAUGUUCUCCCAAGUAGCUUCUCUAAAUUCUGUUAGCAGAUUUCUAGCUGCUACUAGAUAUACAGCCAGAGAAGGAUUCAGACACUUAUAUUCUCCAGCAAUCUGUUUUAGGACAAGCAUGGAAUCUCCCAAGAUCUCCACGGACUGGACUCAUAAUUCUACCAACAUCUCGAGCCCUAUAAUCAAAGCCUCAUACUCGGCCAUGUUGUUGGUGCAUUGGAAAUCUAGCUGGAAGGAAUAGCAAUGUCUGACCCCUAAUGGUUCUUCCAGAACAAUCCCUGCUCCUGAAGCCUUGUCUGUCUUUGAUCCAUCAAAAUAUAACUUCCAAGGUGUGAGAUGAAUCGAGUAGAUUGGAUUGUUAAGGCAAACAUGAGCUCUAGUUAGCAGAUCUGCAUUUGCUAUGUCCAAAGAAUCCAUGUUUUCAAUUUCCUCUCCCGAGUGAUCUACCAAGAAGUCUGCCACAGCUUGCCCUUUGACAGCUUUCUGGGGGACAUACCUGAAGGUGAAUUCUGUCAAAGCCAAAGUCCAUUUCCCAAUUCUGCCCCUCAGCAUUGGUCUUGUUAGCAUGUAUUUGAUUAAGUCUGUUUUGGCAAUGAUGUAGAUAGUAUGUGGCAGCAUGUAGUGCCUGAGCUUUACAGCAGUGAAAUAUAAGGCCAGGCAAAGCCUUUCUAUUGCGGAAUACCUUCUUUCCACUUCUGUCAAUGUUCUGCUUAGAUAGUAGGCUGCCUGUUCUUUUCCUUCUUUGUUAUCUUGAACUAUUAGACUUCCAAUGGAUACUUCUGAUGCAGAUACAUAAAGCUUGAGGGGUCUGCCCCUUUUUGGUGGGGACAGAACUGGUGGAUUUGAGAGGUAAUGCUUUAUUUCCUGGAAAGCCUGUUGGUGCUGUUCUUCCCAUUUGAAUGUCUGUUCCUGCUUCAGUCUUAACAGGGAAGAAAAAGGUUGGAUUUUUCCUGCAGAAUUGGAUAUGAAUCUCCUUAGAAAAUUGAUUUUUCCUAAGAGACUUUGAAGUUCCUUCUUGUUCUGAGGUGGUAGAGCUUCUAUGAUGGAUGUUGCUUUAUUUCUGUCAACCUCUAUACCUCUCUGGUGGACCAAGAAUCCUAAGAAAUUCCCUGCUUGGACUCCAAAAACACAUUUUUUGGGGUUCAUUUUCAGUUUGUGCUGCCUCAUUCUUAGGAAUGCCCUUCUCAGGCUUGCUACGUGAUUUCCUUCCUCAGGGGAUUUAAUCACCACGUCAUCUAUGUAUACUUCCAAGGAAUGUCCUAUCAUAUCAUGAAAAAUAGAAUUCAUUGCCUUUGGUAGGUGGCUCCCGCAUUUCUCAAACCGAAAGGCAUUACAGUAUACUCGAAAGCACCUAUAUGUCCUGGACACAUAAAGGCUGUCUUGUGGAUGUCCUGUUCUGCCAUCAUGAUCUGGUUAUAACCUGCAUUGCCGUCCAUGAAAGAUAGCAUCUGGUUAUGAGUGGCUCCAUCCACUAGCAUGUCUGCCAUUGGCAUAGGAUAUUCGUCUUUAGGAGAUGCCUCAUUCAGAUUUCUGUACAAUAUUUGCUAACCAAUCGGAAUAGACGGCUGGCCUGAUGAAUCCUGCCUUGAGCAGCCUUUCUAUCUCUUCUUUGACCUUUAGUUCUGUGUCCAUAGACAUUCUUCUUCUGGCCUGUUUGACUGGAAGGUAGCCAUCUUUAAUUGGCAGCUUGUGCUCCACUCACUGCCUGUCCAAUCCUGGCAUUUCGUGGUAAUGCCAGGCAAAACAAUCUCUGAACUCCUGUAAAAGUGCCAUGAGUUCAGUCUUGAGUGGUUCCUUCAAAAGUGUGCUGAUGAAAGUAGGCCUUGGAUCUUCUUCUGUUCCUAAGUUUAUCUCCUGUAGAGGAUCCUCUACUUCUGGCAGGGAGUCAUCCAGUGCUGCUGGUGCAAAAUCUAAUACUUCCUCCUGUAAAAUUUCCUCCUCUUGCUCUUUUGUGCUUUCAUGGGUGAAUUCUGCCAUAUUGAUGGCUGGAUUCUGUAUGAAAAGCCUCCUUUCUCCCCAGUAUAUCAACAAUCUUUUUGUGAUGGAUCGGAUUGUUGCAGCUCGAUCCUUGUCUAGUUGAUUCGGACUAAACAUCAGAGUUCUGGAAGUUCAGCACAAAAAGGUCUAUUCCAGUCCUCUAGAGAACUGGCUAAACCUUCUUCAAUGAGUCUUUGGGCCGUGACACCAUGUGGACGGCCGUUCUGAUUGACUCCAAGGAAAGUGAAAGGACCGAGGUCAUCAUGAUAAUACCUUGUUUCAAAGCACAUGGCAGAGGGCAGGAAUGGCCGUGGAUCAGCCUCUAUAAUCUCCAUGCAGCCUUCUUCAUUCCAUAGUGCUAACUGCGGGUGGAGGGUGGAAGGAAUACAAAGGCUCUGGUGAAUCCAAUCCCUGCCAAGUAGUGCAUUGUAGGUGGUGGAAGUAGUGUCUAUAACAAAGAAUGCUAUUUUCAACUCUUUGCUUCCGAUUAUGACAUCCACAUCUAAGAUGCCAUGUAUUUUGGUGAUGCAACCAGAAGUUGGUGACGGUCAAUCGUGUUGGAAUCAGAUCUUUCUCUGUCCUGCCCAGCUUGGUCAGCAUUCUGUGGGGUAAUAGAUUAAUGGCUGCACCUCCAUUUACCAUGAUCUUGGAAAUAGGAAUACCCCCAAGAUUUGCCGUUAUAAACAAAGGUCUGAGGUGAAACAAGGUUGCUCUGUAGCUGGUUUAUUGGCUGUUCUGCCUGUCUUGGGGUUUUCUGCUUGUGGUUCUGGUGGCUCCUCUGCUUCUGCCAAUCUACAUUCAAAGCUUUCCUGAGAGAAAACAUCCCCUUCCAGAGUGCUUUCUUGUCCUUCGGCUGCCCUGAAUUUACUUGGUAGGAUGAAUACCAUGUUAAUUCCCAGAUCACCCUGUAGGAGGUCUUCUAAUUCUGCGCCAAAAGCUUCUGUUUCUGGGUCCAAUUCUACACCAAAUUCCAUUAAUUCUUCCCCGUAUUCUUCCGUCCAGUCAUCCUGUUCUGCUACUUCGAGGGGCUCUUUCUGAUCAUCUGCGGAAGGUUCAUAGUCCAAUUGCUCUUCUUCAUAUUCCUCAGUGUAGUCGUCUUCUCCUUGUAACGGGGUAGACCCAGAUUUCUCUGGUGUCUGCGUGGUGUCAGGACGGCUGCUGGACGACGAGGCCACAUGGAUAGGAGACCUGGCUGGGGGUUCUGUUUUCAGCAAUUCCCUUGACUGGCAAGCUUUCUGUUCUGUCUGGGGAAGUGUUUCAGGAUUUUUUCCUUUCCUAGCAGAACUGGGUUGUGAACGUACCUGCGUAUUAUCUUGGCUCUUAAGAUAUGUGCAGUAUUGCCUCUGGAUUCUCCUUUUCUGGGUUCUGGUUAGCUCCAGAGUCGGUCUACCGCUUCUUCCUACGGAAUACCAUCUCCCUUCUAUGAUCGUUGCCAAGGAUCUUUCGUUUCUGGGCAUCUUGACUGGUAUUUCCUUUCUGGGUUGCUCCAUCCUCCUCUCGCUGUAUUGUGUAGGCCUAAGACAGCUCUUCUGCCUUGUUUUGUCUCGGGAUGAGGUUCCAAUUCUGUCAAAGACACUAGGUGUGGGCUGAUUUUGUCUGUCUAGAACCACCUCUAGCUCUGUUUCACAUUUGCACCUACUGCAGAGCACUACCCCAGCCGAGAUGGUCGCUCUUGGUAUUUGACUGGUCUCCCUUAUGAUUCUUCUGCCUCUGCUGCAACCAGCAUCUGUGAUUGGCUCGGUUUUCCUCUGUUCUGGCCAAUUUAAGUUGACCAUAUUGACUUGUGGUUGAGGAAAAGGAUCCGUUGUGACGGAUGGUGGUUUUUCUGCCAGUUUCAACCUUCCUGCCGUUAUCCCUUCUUGUAUUACGUCCCUGAAAACAACACAACUAUUGGUAGAAUGGUUCCAAGAGUUGUGCCACCUGCAGUACUGUCUGCCCUUGAGUUCUUCCGGCUUCGGUAUUCUGUGAGGCGUCUCUAUUGCCUUCUACAGUAGCAUUUCGUGGAACAAGGCAUCAACCUUGGUUAAGUCAAAAGAGUAAACCUUGUUUUACGUUGGUUUGUUUGGAACGAAUCCUCCUGUGAAUGGUGGUGGCUUUUGGUCUUUAGGUGGCUUUGUGAGGGCUUUGCAACUAAUGGGAUGUUUUAGUUUUGCCAUUUCUGCCACUGAAACCUCUUUCUCUUCUGAUUCUUCUGCAUCUUCUUGUGAUUCCACCUCGAUCAGGUGGACUGAAGAAGAAGGGGUUUUAUAGUAUGUACCUUUGGAGGAGUUCCUCCUUUGCUGUUCCUCCCUGAGUAACUCCUCAUAUUUGGAUGCCUUAUCAGCCAGUUCUGCCAGAUCUCCGAACAAUAUCCCGUCGAACCUUUUCCUGAGAGAGAUUUUAAGGGCAACUUGGGCCAUCUGGAUGAAGUGUCUUUCUUCCAUCGGGAUUCGGCACUUCAUUUUGAGCUUUCUGAACCUGGUUAUGAAAUCUUGGGCCGGUUCAUCUUCACUUUGCUUGAGGGCAGCUAGAUCACUGAUGGUGACUUCUGGCUGAAUCCUGUAAUAGUAGUCAUGGAAGACAUUUUCCAUCUGUUCCCAGGUUUGAACAGAGUUAGCUGGCAGGCUGGUGUACCAGGUAAAAGCUUGCCCAAAAAGAGAGUUGCCGAAAAGCCUUAAUUUCAGCAGAGGGUUGCUUUCUAUAGCUAUGCAUUGGACGGAGAACCUGCCUAUAUGUUCAACUGAGGAAGAAUGGGGGUCUUCCCCAUUGAACAAAGUGAAGUUUGGCACUUUGAAACCUGGAGACAACAGUAUUUGAUCGAUAUAGGCUGGGUAUGGCUUUCUGUAAGUAGGCCUUUCCCCUAUUCUAGCCUCGGGUUCCAUGAUUUCUCUGAUCAUUCUUUGCAACGCUCCUAUGUCAUUCAAAGCAUUGACUGGGGGAAGAUUUUGUCCCUGUUCUGGCUGAACGUAAUCAAACCUGGGCUCUGCUCUGUGUGGUCUGGGUGGAACUUCCUCCCUGUGUUCUUCCUGCUCUUCGACUUCUGGAUGAUUCCUCCAGUUUGCCCCCGGUCUAUUCCUGUCAUGAUUAGCAAAAAGGUUGUUCCCUCCUCGGCCUCUCCUCCUUCUUGCAAGUGGAGGGAAUGGAUUAGGGUCCAUCCUUCUGGGUCUAUAUGGCAAUACUGCCGGUGGUUCAGGCAGAAGCGCCAAAGGUUGAUCAUGUGGGAGCACAUGAAGUGGAAUGGGCUGAGGUUCUGGCUGGUUCUGAGCCAGUGCCAGGUUAUCUGGUUGAGCUGGGGCUUCAUGUUUUUGAUUAGGAAGGGCUCCUUCCCUCGGACCAGCCUGAAUUUCUCCGUGGUCUGGCACUCCAGCCAUCUGUGCAACUAGGAAAUUUUCCUGGUAUGGCCAUAUUAGUCCUGGCGGAGGGCCAUAAGGGAGAUCCAACUGCUGGAUUACAGGAUCUGGGUUUGGGUUUCUGGCCAUGGCGGAUUCUCGGUCCUUCCGGAACUGUCUGUUUACCUGCCAUUACAUCAUGGCUGUCAUGUUAUUGAGAGUGUCCUGGCUCCUUCGUACUGUGAUCUCUUGUCGGAGUACUGACUCCUGUAUUUGAUUCAUCCUUUUGGAGCCAGUCCUGGAACGUCUACUUCCUGUACUGCCGUGGGCAGAUUGCCUAGCAUCGCUUUUUUCUGAUUCGAGGCCUUCCCUGAGAACCAUCUUGUUUUUCUCCAUAUCUGGUGUGGGUUCUGACUAGAUCUUCCGGUAUUUGUGAAUCUGUGAAUGAUUCUGUCAGAGUAUAUAUACUGAGAAGUCCCACUGGGUGUGCCAAAUUAUUCACCCGUUUUCGUGUUUUACUCCUGAGGUGGAAGGGCGAAGUUCCCCACUAGCUUGGAGACCACUUGUUGGUCGACAAGUCAGCUUUCUUUGGUGUGUGUGAGCGUGCCACUGCUAGCAAUGUAAAUUCUAGCAGACUUAUUUUUUAGAGUGGAUAACUUGCGCCUCAAGUUACUGACUUCUAAAACAAAUGAUUGUGAAUUUGGGUGAGGAAUAUCUCCCAAGUAAGUUCUUUUCUUGCCUCAGACUGGUGAGGACUUUCACAAUUUAUCUCAGUAUCAAAUGGUUGUUCUGGCCAGAAUAGAUAAUAAUAAAGUAGACUGUUUCAGGCAGAACUGCCUUUUACAAAAUUAAGAAGGGAGAAAUCAACUCUAGAAAGGCAAAAAGAUGGCUGGAAUCCCAUUUCUGCCUGGGUAGAAACUUCUGAUCCGGGCUGGACUGGGUAUGUCUAUGCUGGACGGUGCUGUCAACAACUUUAGCUUGCUCGGCUUUAGUUGUAAAUCGAUACCAAAGUUCAAUUUUGGCAGAGCUUCAAUCUACUUCAAGCCUUGGGAGACUUUUGAGUGGGCAGAACUGCAGCUUCUUCAGUUUGAAGGGACAGAAGUGGCUAUUCUCGAGGAUUUAGCAAGCUGGAACUAUGCUAUAAAAUUUGUUGAGGUUUUCAUAUUUGUGAAAACUCAAACUAUGUUUGUCUUGGCUUUUGCUGAACCAAAUUUGUAACGAGAGGGAUCUUGUUUUCAGAAGACUUAUUUUCUAAGUCUGAACUUUGGAAUUCUGAUCUAAAGCUGUUUUCUUGUUUGUUUUUUUUUUAUUGACUGAUGAAUUGAGUGUCCUUUGUUUCUUUGCCUUCUUUCGCUUUUAUAAGAGAUCCUCCUAAGGAGGUCAUUUUUAAUCCUAAACAAUGGGCGGCAAAAAGAUCUCUUAUAAUGUAAAGUAAGAAGGGUUUCUUAUCAAUCAAGGCAGAUAGGUUCUGAGCAGUCACCUCCUAAAAACAGUCCCUUCCCUGGUUUCCUGGGUGGCAGCUUUCUAAUUCAACCAACGCCACCGUCUGUGUGGGCUUUUUAUGGCGGUUUUGGCUCUUUUCUUUUGUAUUUUCUGAGUGGUUCCCUGUUUCCCGUUCUAAUUUAGAAAGCGUGAUCCGUGAAUUCCUUGGGAGAUGGUGUAUUGAUUUGGAGCAAAAUCUUGAACACAGAUGGGUUUUUGAUCUUCAAUUGGCAGUGUUUCAGAGACGUCCCUCUCACAUUUUUAAACUUUAGUUGGAAUUGCUGACUUUUCCAAAGUUGAGGCAAUCACGUGGGUGUGUCUUUGAUCCCUUGGUUUUGAAUCUUUCAAAAAUUACGGGCUGAUCUUUGAAGCCCAUUUCGAAAGUUUCCACAUCUGGGCUUUCUUUGGGCUGAGGCUUUAUUUCCAACAUUCUUGGUGUGAACUGGACUAAACAGUUAGUCGGACCAGACCGUCUACACAUAUGAACUGGACUCACAAGCCUAUGUUUUUUGAGCUCCCAUAUUGGUCGAAACUCAAAUUGAGGCACAAUCUAGAUGUGAUGCAUGUUGAGAAAAAUGUAUUUAACACAUUGGUGGGCACGAUUCUAGAUAUCGAGGGCAAGACAAAGGACACAAUCAAAGCCCGUCUUGAUUUGGAAAGAAUGGGCAUACAAAGGGGUUUAUGGAUGAACAGGGACAGUGAUAAAGCUAGAAGGGAUCUUGCAUUCUUUUCUAUGAAACCGAAUGAUAAAAAAGAGUUUCUAAAGUUUGUAUCGUCUGUAAAGUUUCCUGAUGGGUAUGCUUCUAAUAUCGCACAUUGCGUGAAUGUUGACGAGGGUAAAUUUACUGGACUGAAGAGCCAUGACUGCCAUGUGUUUAUGCAACGCCUACUUCCUGUGGGUAUUCGACAUCUAUUGCCGGAAGAUGUUGUGAAGCCAAUCAUGUUGUUGUCCAGAUUUUUUUCCCAACUGACGGCAAAAACAUUGCGAAAGACAGACAUAUUUCAGUUGCGCCAUGACAUUGUCCAAGUCCUAUGCAAGUUUGAGAUGAUAUUUCCUCCAGCUUUCUUCACAAGUAUGAUGCACGUGAUGGUUCACUUGCCAGAAGAGGCAUUGCUUGCUAGUCCUGUCAACUAUCGCUGGAUGUAUCCAAUAGAAAGGUAUAUAAUCUUUAUCGUUUGUGUAUGCAUCAUUAUCACAGACUUGCUAAUUUGUAUCAUAUCGUUUUAUUUUGACAGGCUUCUCGGAGAGCUGAAAAAAAGUGUACGCAACAGGGCGAAGCCCGAAGGAUCAAUUAUAGAGGCUUGGGUUCAAUAUGAGUCGCUUACUUUCUGUGGAAUGUAUUUAAAAGAUGUGGAGACGGCUUUCAAUCGUCCUCAACGCAAUAACGACGAAGGUAUGAGAAAGGAAAAACUUUCUGUUUUUGCCCAAAGUGCACGACCCUUUGGAGAUCCUGGACGAGGAGAGUCGUUUUCUAGAAAUGACAUGGAGGUAGCGCAUUGGUUCGUACUGAACAAUUGUGAUGAGAUAAUGGCAUACUUAGAUAAGCAUGAAGAGAUGAUGAAGCGAGAACAUCCAUCACAUUUAGUUGCCCAGAAACACCGUGAAUUGUUUCCACAAUGGUUUUUGGAUUCUGUAAGUUAUAAGUGUUUUGUAUUUGACAAAUAUAAAUUGUAGUAUUUAAUUUUGUCAGACUAACAUGUGAAUGGUUUUGUAUUAUAUUAGGUGAAUAAGUUGAAAUCAUCGAAUUCCCCCACUUACAGUGAUGAGUUAUAUAACUUGGCGUUCGGCCCAAUUCGCGCUGAAUUGUUUCGGGUUGUUAUAUUAAUGGCGUCAAAUUUUUGGGAGCCGCACGAGAUGACAAGUUGUGUAUGCAAAACAGCGGUGUCCAUGUCCCAGGUGGAGGCGAAAGUACGAACAUUGAUUUCUAUGGCAAACUCACAACUGUCAUUCAAUUGCUUUACAAAGAUCGAUACUAAGUGAUCAUGUUUAAGUGUCGAUGGUUUGAUAGCAACCCAAAUAGGCCGGGAAGUGUUAAAAUCAACCAUGGCUUACUAUCUGUGAACAUUAACAGAACUUGGUAUGAUGACGACCCUUACAUUUUGGCAAACAUGGCAACACAAAUUGUGUAUCUAGAUGACCCUAAAGCCGGGAGCAGUUGGAAAGUUGUUCAGAAGAUGGAUCAUAGGAACUUGUAUGCUAUACCAGAACUAGACCCAACUGACAAUGACGUCAACAAUGUGGCUGACCAACGUUUAGAAUCUUCAAUGGAAAAUGAUGCGGAAACACUUCGAGAUACACAUGUUAUACAAGAACCGUUUCAAAUACAAGGAGUGUCUUCAAUCGAAAUACCGAUUCAGUCAAUUACAAUUGACCUCGGGGAUCUUCCAAGAUUCGAUGUUGCAGUGAGCCCGAGCAACGAAGAUGAUGUAGUUAUAGAGGAGGAGGAGGAGGAUUGGGAGACUGAAAGUGAUGAUAGCGAAGAUAACGAAAGUUAUUAUAGUUCAGAUGAUGAAUAAUUAAAUUUUUUAUAUUUUUAUUAUGCUAGUGUACAGACUUUGUGUAAAACAAAAGUUUGAAUAUAUGUAGUUGUGAUAUCCAAACCUUAUAUAUGUGGACAACUGAAACAUUAUUAAAAUAAAUUUAGUUAUAAAACAUCGGUAAAUCAAUAUAUCCAAACCCUUUUAAUAUUCAUUUAAAAUUUUUUUUUUUGACAAAAACGUUUACAAAAUGAAAAUGAUAAAAUAUUUGUUAUAAAACAUUGAUAAAUAAAUAUAUCCAAACCAUUUUCAUACAAAGUUUGAAAAUUAUUGACAACAAACAUUUUUCAAAAAUGAAAAUCCUUGCGCGACGAAGUACACCUCGUCACGCAAAGUUUGCGCGACCCAGUAAACAGUCGUUGUGUAAAGUUAAAACAUUGCGAGACAAAUUAUCAUCCGUCACGCGAUAGAAUUUUGCGCGACGAAUAUUUACUCUCGUCGCGCAAAUGUAUAUUCUUUUAUAAUAUAUUUUAUAUACACAUAUAUAUUCGAAAUUGACGAUCGAGUUAGUUCAUUGUAUUCAUAUAGGGUCAUGGAGUGUAGCUGUAAAAAAUCAUCAAAAUCGGAGUUAAAAUAACUGUUAAAUCAUGACUUUUCAUUUAUAACCGUUCAAAAAUUUUGUCCCGAUACUUGAUCUCUGAAUGUUUUUUUUUUCCGAUUUUUGGGGCCUAAGAUCUCGAAGUAUAAACAAACACGUUUGACGGCUGGAUUAUUGAAACUACUUUCGUAGAAUGCGUAUGCCAUCAAAACUAUAUAUUCACCAACAAUGAAUAGUUUACUUAUACUUUCAUUAAAUAUAACAUAAGAUUAUGUGGUAUCACCCUAGUGUAAACAUCUUAAAUUGAAGAUCAAAUUCAGUAAUUGUAUUCAUAUAGGGUCAAGAAAAGUAGCUAUAAAAAAUCAUCAAAAUCGGAGUUAAAAUAACCGUUAAAUCAUGACUUUUCAUUUAGAUUCGUCGAAAAGUUUUGUACUGUUACUUGAUCUCUUAACGUUUUUUUUGUCAGAUUUUCGGCGUAUACGAUCUCGAAAUAUAAAAAAACAAGUUUGCCGGUUAGAUCAUUAAAACUAGUUUCGGGUUUAGGAUUUCUGCAGUUUAGGGUUUAGGGUUUGCGCGACGAAGCCAUUUCGUUGGUCGCACAAAGCCUGCAAAGAACAGUCUUGCGCUACGAAACUAGGAUUCUUUGUCACGCAAUCUCAACCAGCCCUUUCACCCUCUUCCUCCUUGGACACUUAGCCAAAAAAAGUUGCGAGUUUACAGAAAGCGGCUUUGCGCGACGCUGCCGGUAUUCGUCGCGCAAUAUGUAUGCCAAUAAAACCUAAAUCCCAAAUUUUGGCGAAUUACAACUUUGCGCGACGAAUAUGGGAAGCUUCGCGCAAAGUUUUCAAUCUUUCCCGCUAAACCCUAAGUCCCAAAAUUUUGGCGGAUUGACAACAUUGCGCCACGAAAGAAGGUACUGUGCGUCGCACAAAGUUUUCAAUCUCUCCCGCUAAACCCUAAGUCCCAAAAUUUUGGCGGAUUGACAAUAUUGCGCGACGAAAGAAGGUACUGUGCAUCGCGCAAAGUUUUCAAUCUCUCCCACUAAACCCUAAGUCCCAAAAUUUUGGCGGAUUGACAACAUUGCUCGACGAAAUAUGGUACUGUGCGUCGCGCAAAGUUUUCAAUCUCUACCCAAUAUUUUGCCGGAUUGACAACAUUGUGCGACGAAAGACGAUACUGUGUGUCGCGCAAAAACUACCCUGAUACCAAAUUUUGGGAUUAACAAUAUUGCACGACAGAAGUUAUACUUAUGUCGUCGCGCAAGUGUCAAUUAAAAUAUUUUGCGUGACGCUUUUGUUUGUUCGUUGCGCAAAAUCGAAUAAAAUUGCAGAAACGACGCGAUAGCCUCCUUCUUCCCCAGAUUUGUUUUUCUACCCUAACUCUCUCUCUCUCUCUCCGCCUUCAGCUCAGCCCCCUACCCCAGUGGAUUUUGGACGACGGCGCCACAACAGUGGUACCCCGGAGGUUUCCCGCCGUCACCGUCGAGCCAGCCGCCCUAAUUCCUCGAUUUUCACCGAAUCUGCGCCGCCGUCGUUCUCUCUCCUUCGGCGACCAAAUCCGACACCUGAGGUAUGGUUUCUGUCCUAUUUUUGAUGCUUUAACUGAUGGUUGGGUAGGAUUUGUGUAAUUGUUGCAAUAGGGCAGUGGAUUUGAAACCCUAAAUUUCGACCGAUUUUUGAAUUCCAAUUCCGGCCACUUCUGGCCAUUUUUCAGGGUAGGUCCGAGAACAAAAGUGGCUCCAAUUGAUGUUUUGAACCUAGGGUAGGAACCUUGGCCCUUAGUUUUAAGAAAUUUUCGACGAUUGGUAUCGCUUUGGACACCCACGCUCUGCCAGCGCUUGUGGUGGCGCGUGGGGUACUGUAGCAGUCUUGCAUUGGGUCCCAGUGCAAUCCCAUAUUUGUCACGAGCGCGUAGGUGUUUUCGGAUUGGAAUUUGGUUACCGUUUGAGUCUCGAACGGAUUUUGCCUAUUGUGCGAUUUCCGGGUUUGUUAUGUUCGGACCGUUGGAUCGAACUCAAACUCACGUAUGGUGUACCUUGUAUUUCUUGGAUCGUCUAGGAUUCGACGGAUCGUGGAUCGGAGUCCCGAAUACUCCGAACUCGCAAACCCUAGGUCAAGAAUCUUAAUAAAAUUGUAUGUGCUUUCAAAUAUUCGUAUGUUUUAUUAAUUUGUAUGUGUAUUAAUGAAAUUGUGUAGAUGUCAGACCUGAUUAGACGUCGUAGGGCGGUGACGACUACGCAGAGUUCUGAGCCCCCGGCUCAACUGACAUCUGCUGCCACUGCGCCAGCACUGAUGGACCACUUGGCAGUUGGUCCCGCGGGGUCCCAGGCUCCUGCUUCAUCAGCUUCAUUAGUGGCACAACCUGUUAGCGCCAGGAAGCGUCAUCGGCCUGCCAGCACCACCGACACCACAUCCACUGAUGCGUCGGGGUCACAGCCAGGUAUAGAUUUCCUUAAACUCCAGUUAUUUAUAUUUUUGUUUUUGUUUUUAUUUUUGUUUUUGUUUUUGUUUUUGUUUUUAUUUGUGUGUGUAUUUUAUAGUUAAAUUUGUUAUUUAUUUAACAUUAAUGUCAUCUUUCUUUGCAGCCAAGAAGAACACCCGAGGGCCGUGUCGGUAGUUGAAGACGGCGAAGGUCACUCGGGUGACCAACAGUCGUAUCAACAUCGGAUACGACAAGCGACAUCGGGCUGCACCGACGGCGGAGUUGCAUAGCUCCUUGGCCCACGACAUUGGUGAUGUCAUUCCGAGCCAUUGCCCGAUGAAAUGGAAGUCUUGGAAGGUGAUGCCUGACGAGACCAAGAUGGAGGUUCGCGGCCAGUUGUCAGUAUGUAGGCCUUUUAAUUCUUUUUCUUUCAAAUUUUAUAUUUCUAUUAUUUAAAUGUAUUUAAUUAAUUUAUUGCAGACGAACUACAACUUGGAGGACCUGGACGACGAGUCGUUGGCGUACAUCAACAGACUCUUCUCUGAGAGGUACAAAUAGUGGAAGAGCGACUUGCACCACUAUUUUGAGGCGUUUGAUGAUCCAGAAGUCUCUCUUCAGGAGGGUUGCCCGAAGGAGCUUGAGGGGCGGGAGGAUAGUUGGGCGUGGCUCUGCUCUCAUUUUCAGGCGCCCGCUUUUGUGGUAAUUUGUAAUAUGAAUUUCAAAUUUAUUAUAUUUUUCUUACUAAUGUUUUUUUAAUGUUUUAUAUUUAAUUUCAAUUUCAACUAAUACGUUUUAUUUUUUGUAUAACAGAAUAAAGCCAAAGUCAAUAAGGGCAAUAGGAAGAAGAAGACUCUUCUCCAUCAUUCGGGUUCCAGGCCCUUCUCCUAUAGGAUGGAUGCAUGGCGGCAGGUAAUCAUAAAAAAAAUUUUAUUUAAUUUUUAAUAUUUAAUUAUUCUUAAUUUAUUUUUUUGUACUAAUAUUUUUCUUCUCUUGUUCAAUUUAGGGGGGUCCAAAUUCCCAGAGAUCGACGUCUUUGGCGACGUUUAUGUUCGACCUGGGAAUGAGUUGGGCGAGUCCCUUCAUGUAAGUAUUAUUUAAUUUUAAUUAUUAUGUUACGCAUUCAAGUUUAAAGGUUAUUAUAUGAAUGUUUUAAUUUAUAUUUUAUGUUAUGCUAAACAGAUGACGAUGGUGGAGAGGAGCCAGUUGGUUCUUCAAGAGUCCGCCUCCCAACUUCCUUCCGAUACUCCGAUCGAGUCUGUGGAUCCUCCACAGGAUGCUGGGUUUCAGAUCUUGACGGAGACAUUGGAUCAGACUCUAGGGAGGAGACCGGGGAUAUAUUGUCGAGGGAUGGAGAAUGCCAGGCGGAGGGAAGCCAGACCCCGUUCAUUAGCGCAGUCAAGCAGUCAGGUCACUGCUUUGACAGCACAGGUGGCCACUCUUCAGAGUCAGAUGUCGGACAUUCUGCAGUCCCUCGCACAGUUCGGCAUUCCAGUCCCGCAUUUUGAUGCGCCGACCUCUGAGCCCGUCCAUCCUGAGCAUCCCCACCAGACGACGGCCCUUGUAGACCCCCAGACCUCUGAACCGCAUGUGCCAGACGACAAUGUAGAUUUUGGAACAUUAUGAUUAGUUUUUUUAUUUUCAUAAUUAUUUUUUAAAUAUUUCUCUUGCAGCAUACAUUUAUUUUAUAUAAUAAAUAUGUUCUUUACAAUUCUUUUUUUUAUUGGAAUUUCAUUUUAUUACCCAAAAAAAAAAAACCAAAUUUAUUUUUUUAUAAAAUAAAAUAAAAAGUAAUAUUAAAAUUAAAUAAUAAUUAUAUAUAUUAAUUUUGCGCGACGAAAUCUUUC